rnacentral:lncRNA from 1 species
AAGGGAAGGAUACGCCAUUCGACCCAGCAGCAGAUUAAGUCAACCCCAGUAAGGCCAUUGUUUGUCAGAGAUCUUAACUCGGACAGUACUGGGAUAAAAUCUGACUCCUCUUCUUCUUGGCAGUCUCAGGCUGCAUUUCGCUCAGCCCGUGUGACCUGUGAAGGUCCUCUUGCGCCUUGCCUGUUAGGCUGCCUACGCUGCCAUGAGCUCAUUAGUCUUGCUCUUCAGCUUGAGCUUCGAUAUCACACACUUGGCGCAUGCACUCAGACUUGAMMCACUCCAGCUAUCUCAUAGACUGUCUUUGUCUCGAAGGUCCAUCCCAGUUUUGCUCCUCCUGGUACCUCUAUCUUAGCCACCUCUAAGCGCCAUCCGCAAGGCCAAGGGUCUCUAAUCUCUACGGUCAGGGACUUCGACAUCUUCCAUUCUAUGUCACUGGUGGAUGAGGGCUCGUUUUCAAAACUUCAGUUCAAUGGACUGCCAAAGUCCACCGUAUUGGCAUUGCCUGCCUAUGCUCNUUCCGAAUUUCAUCACCUGCUAGGUCCUUGGACGUCCCUUNNNNNNNNNNNNNNNNNNNNNNNNNNNNNNNNNNNNNNNNNNNNNNNNNNNNNNNNNNNNNNNNNNNNNNNNNNNNNNNNNNNNNNNNNNNNNNNNNNNNGGCGGUGAGACGCCGGAGAGAGGGGGUGGUUGGGCAUCGGAGGAAGGGCUGAGUGGUGGUGGGCGCUGGAGGGUAGGGGCUUUGCCGCCGGCGACCUGAUCGGGAGGGUGGCCGGUGGUGCAUUGGAGGAGGGGGGUGGUGGUCGGGACGAGAGAGGAGUCGGGGGCCGAGAGUGGUGGUCGCGACGGGGGAGGAGUCUGGGUACGAGAGAGAAGAGAGGUGGUGAGAGGAUAAGGUCGGGUGGAGGUGAGUGGUGGGCCAGCCGAGUUGAGUGGAUGCGGUGGAUCCUGGGUGGGAGAGGCAGCGACGGUGGGAUGGGCCGCCACGUCAUCGAUCCAUGGGAUCGAUCCGCGUGGUGUGCUUUCUCUUUGCCGUCAUCCGGUUAUUUUUCAAGACGACAAAUUAAGUCGUUGCCGUCAUCCGGUUUUUUUACAGACGACAAAAUAUUUUUUCACCACGUCCGUGCGUGGUGGUGUAGGUGGGGGUUGGGUCGUCGGUCGUGUACGUCUACGUAGUCCUUUCCCAACGUCCAUUCNNNNNNNNNNNNNNNNNNNNNNNNNNNNNNNNNNNNNNNNNNNNNNNNNNNNNNNNNNNNNNNNNNNNNNNNNNNNNNNNNNNNNNNNNNNNNNNNNNNNACUUGGAGAUGAAGUCGCCAGCUUGGGUAGAACCCGGCCCAAACUAGGCGGGUUACCAACCAGAUAAUUAUCCCCCUAACGAUUUAGGCCCCCAGAUUGACUUGAAUUUUUUUUCACCGCCAAAUAUUUCUCACCCACGUUAGGGCGAUUCAUCUCAAUCCUUUUACGAACCAUGCACUUAAAACCGCCAUCUGUUGCGGAAAAAACUUCAAGUCGCCGAACCACUUCUUGUUGGCGCCUUCUUAGUCCCUUUAACCUCGGAAGAGAUGAUUGACGUAAUCUCCAACGGAUCCUUCGGUUAUUGCUAUCCCGAAAAUUUUGGGGCGCCAUCAUGGCGAAUCUUUAUCUUUUUUGGCAGUUACCCACUCGUGGCGCCCUCGAUCCCAGCGCCUGACCUUGCCAUGACAAAUGAAGAUGAUAUGUGUCACAAGUGCACACUUGAAGUUUGCCAUCAUGUUCUAACUUCUAUGCCGGUGGCUGUGGAGGAACAAGUGUGUCGUGACGAGGGUGGUGUUGGCUAAUUGAGGUAUGAACCNNNNNNNNNNNNNNNNNNNNNNNNNNNNNNNNNNNNNNNNNNNNNNNNNNNNNNNNNNNNNNNNNNNNNNNNNNNNNNNNNNNNNNNNNNNNNNNNNNNNAAAAAAGGACUCUUGUAAAACCCUAAGGGACUUUGACCCUGUAUAUGAAGGGCGAGUCCCAGGGGAAGGAGAGGGGGAGGUUAGAAAUCAUCGAGUGCUUAGGGUCAGGCGAGUUACGCCCCCCUUGUAAUCGAAAACACCAUCAAUACAAAACACCAAAMCAGGGACGUAGGCCUUUACCUCCUAACGAGGGGCCGAACCUGGGUAAAUCUCUGGCCUCGCUCCCCGCAUAMCCCCUUUUGAGUUGCCACCAAGAUGCGAUGGGCUCCAACACUAAGUACUUUCACGAGGACAUCUGCCGUGACAAAACAACGACACCUUCCACCAGCCCAGUCGCAUGGGCUUAGGUGGGGAGGGGCGCCCAGCCCACCAGGCGCUGGUAUGCACUCUUCUCAGCCCAUGUGGCCCCUCGGGGCAGGUCGGACCCUUUCAACACUCCUGGUACUCUGAGGUAAUGCCCGAACUUUCCGGUGACCAAAAAUGGAACUUCCUGUAUAUGAAUAUUUACCUCCUACCUAUUUUGAAGAUCCUAAAUCCCUUAAACUUAAGAGAAUAUGUACUCAUCAUCAGAGUGGUCUGAUCGCGCGAAGAAAACUUUACAUCCAUCUGAUAAGUGGGGANAUUACUGUCCAGUGUCUUAUGGUACAUAGCAAUGAUNNNNNNNNNNNNNNNNNNNNNNNNNNNNNNNNNNNNNNNNNNNNNNNNNNNNNNNNNNNNNNNNNNNNNNNNNNNNNNNNNNNNNNNNNNNNNNNNNNNNGAGAGAGAGAGAGAGANAGAGUAGAGGAGAGAGAGAGAGAGAGAGAGAGAGACGAGAGAGAGAGAGAGUAGAGAGAGAGAGAGAGAGAGAGAGAGAGAGAGAGAGAGAGACGACGACGACGUACGUCGUCUCUCUCUCUCUCUCUCUCUCUCUCUCUCUCUCUCUCUCUCUCUCUUCUUCUUCUUCUUCUUCUUCUUCUUCUCUCUCUCUCUUCUUCUUCUUCUUCUUCUCUCUCUCUCUCNCUCCUCCUCCUCUUCUCCUCUUCUUCCUCCGCUUCUUCUUCUUCUUCCUCUUAUUUCUAGUUCUAUUUUUCUUUAUCCUCUUCUUCUACUUAUUCUUCUUUUCUUCUUUUUUUCUCUUCUUCUCCUUAUUUUCUUCUUCUUAUCUUCUUCUCUUAUUCUUUUCUACUUCUCCUUCUUAUUUCUUUUCUUCGCCUCUUCUUCUUCUCCUUCUUAUUUUUUUUCUCUCCUCUUCUUCUUCUUCUUCUUCUUCUUCUUCUUCUCCUUCUUUAUUUUUUCUCUUCUUCUUCUUCUUCUUCUUCUACUUCUUCUCCUCCUCCUCCUYCUCNCNCCNCNCNCUACNCNCUCUCUCUCUCUCUCUACUCUCUCUCUCUCUCUCUCUCUCUCUCUCUACUNNNNNNNNNNNNNNNNNNNNNNNNNNNNNNNNNNNNNNNNNNNNNNNNNNNNNNNNNNNNNNNNNNNNNNNNNNNNNNNNNNNNNNNNNNNNNNNNNNNNGACUGGUUCUUUACGUCUCUGAAUUGGACUACCUCCUUUCCCAACACUUUGGUAUGUCCCUUGCCAUGGCCUGUAUCCGAUCAUAUUCCCUGUUCGGUCGAAAUAGAAACCAACAUUCCACGCAACAAAACGUUCCGCUUUGAAACAUACUAGAUUGCCCACCGAGGGUUUAUGGAGACAGUCUCGCUAGCAUGGAAUAAACCCGUCAAACAUGGUCAGAAUAGCAAUGCAACAACGAUAAUCUGUCAGAAACUUACAGCUGUUCGAUUUGCACUAUGAAGAUGGAGUAGCGGUAUCUCCCGCCUUAAGGUAGCAACCAUCAACACCAAUAAGGCGUUGCUGGAGUUAGACUCCCUCAAAGAUCGACGUACUCUCACCACGCCAGAAUGAAACUUCCGACGCGUCCUCAAAAAUCACCUUCUCAGGUUGCUAAAAUACCAGAAAGAAUACUGGGGCAAGAGAUGCUCCAUCAGAUGGAUCAAGUUUGGAGAUGAAAACACAAAGUUUUUUCAAACAGUGGCAACUGAACGGUAUCGACGCAACUUUGUGGCUACACUCAGAACUGAUGCAGGGAUCGUGGUUGAGACACAUGCCAGCAAGGAGGCUCUCCUGUUUGACACCUAUAGAAGAAGGAUGGGCGCGGCAAGAGCUCCCGAUAUACGGUUUGAUUGAACGCAACUACGGCGACAAGGCAUCGACUUUGAAGUUCUUACGAUCCCCUUUGCACAAGAGGAAAUAGACCCUGUAGUGAAAGAGAUGCCAGCUGACAAAUCUCCAGGGCCGGACGGUUUUAACGGCGCCUUUCUUAAAACUUGUUGGCAUAUCAUCAAGAAAGACUUCUAUGAUCUUUGUGACGAAUUCCACCGAGGUAAUCUCAACUUGGAACCUCUGAAUUAUGGGCACAUCACGCUCAUCCCCAAGACGGCUUCUCCUGAGACAGUGAACGACUAUCGUCCCAUUACCCUGCUUAACUGCUGCCUCAAGAUGAUCACCAAGAUACUGGCGCAGCGACUCCAGAAGAUCAUUCUACAGAUUGUGCAUUAAAACUAGUAUGGGUUCCUCCGUGGUAGAUCUAUACAUGACUGCUUGGCAUGGGCUUUCGAGUAUAUACACCAAUGUCAAAGCUCUCGAAAUGAUAUAGUCCUGCUUAAAUUAGACUUUGCUAAAGCUUUUGAUACGGUUGAACAUUCGGCUAUGAUCACCAUCAUGCAACGUAUGUGGUUUAAUUCAAAGUGGAUCCAAUGGAUGCAAUGCAUCUUCUCGUCUGGAAAAUCAUCGGUAUUACUGAAUUGAGUCCCUAGUAAACAAUUCCCCUGCAGAUGUGGAGUAAGACAGGGAGACCCUCUCUCACCAUUGAUAUUUGUGCUGGCGGCGGACAUACUCCAAACAAAGAUUAACAAACAACUAAAUUUGGGCUUGUUAUCCCACCCUAUCGACACAAGAGGCGAUGCUGACUUUCCAGUAAUCCAAUAUGCCGAUGACACCAUCAUCAUCAUGCACGCGUGUGAUGUCAAGGCUGCGAGAAUGAAAAGAAUACUAGAUGACUUCGCCACGACGAUAGGGCUCGGGAUUAACUAUCAGAAAUCAACCCUAGUUCCUAUCAAUGUGACUCAAUAGGUAUGUGACAACAUCAUCUCGAUCUUUCGUUGUGCGCAGGCAACAAUGUCGUUCACCUAUCUAGGGCUCCCGCUGGGUACAUCUAAACCUAAUUUCCUGGAUAUGACACCGUUAGUCUGUAAAGCGGAGAGGAAAAUCACAGCUGCCAUGGCGCUGAUGUCGCAUGCGAGCAUAUUGGCCUUGAUGAACUCACUGGUCACGUCGCUACUCGUGUACCCAAUGUGGACCCUCAGAAUCCCCCCAACGAUUGUAGAACAAUUUGAUAAACUCCGGAGGACGUGCCUAUGGAGAAAAAAGACUGAAGAUGGAUUCAAAAGUAAUACACUAGUGGCGUGGAACGCAGUUUGCCGCCUGAAAGAGUAUGGCGGCCUAGGGGUCCUGAACCUCAAACUACAGAAUGACGCGAUGCUUCUAAAGAUGCUUCACAAGUUCAACAACAGAAAAUAAAUCCCAUGGGUAGCAUUGAUCUGGAACACACACUACGGGGGAGCAAUCCCCCAUGCGCAAGAUCGUUGUGGCUCUUUCUGGUGGCGAGAACUGACUAAACUUAUGCCGGUGUUCCAAGGUAUAAAGCGAGUCAAUGUUAACAAUGGUCUCUCAACGCUCUUUUGGAAAGACAACUGGAACAAUGCCGUAUAUGCAGAAAAGUUCCCUCGGGCUUUCUCCUUUGCUAGAACUGAAGAUGCCUCGGUUCAGAACUUCUUGGGGACUAGCUCGCUUCAAGAAGCCUUCUCGCUGCCCCUGUCAGAACAAGCGCAUAAUGAACUCAGAAUGAUGCAACAAGAAAUCAGAGACGUGCAGCUAAACCCUAGGGGAGAUGACUGGGUGUGUUCUUGGGGAGCUGGCACCUUUGAAACGGUAGCAUAUCGACGUUUCUAUUUGAAAGAGACUACGGUGCACCCAGCGUUUCACUGGCUGUGGAAAACAAAGUGUGUCCCAAAGAUCAAGGUAUUUGGAUGGUUUUUGCUGAUGGACAGGCUCAACACAAGGAAUAUGCUCAAACAGAGACAUUACAACAUAGGGGAUACUCUCGAUUGCAUGCUAUGCGAUCGACACAUGGAGGAAACACUGGAACAUCUCUUCUUCAAAUGCAGCUUUAGCCAGCGCUGUUGGAAUAUGCUCAACAUCAAAUGGUCAGAACAACAACAUAGACUAGAGAAACUACAACAUCAGAGGACAACACACCCCAGGGACAUGUUCAUGGAUAUUUUUCUGGUGGCAGCCUGGAGUCUAUGGAAGGAAAGAAAUAACAAGUGCUUUGAGCAAAUAACCCCAUCUCUUGGGGCCAGCCGACGUCAGUUUGUACCAGACAUCUCCAAUCUUAGACACCGUGUGCCUACUAGCAAAGUGCAAAACAUAGAUAACAUUGUGGCAACCCUAGCUGAUAUCACGUAAUAUGUAACCUCACCCUGCCCACCUCCCCCCUCCCCCCCAUCCCCAUUCCACCCCCUCCCCAUCAUGUACAUGUGUAACUAUUGGCUUUAUAUAUACAUGCAGUAGGAUUUUAUCCUACUGUCUUACACUCAAAAGAAAGCAAGCAAGUUGGAUGCACACCCACUAGUUUUCUUUAAGAGCUUUCACAUAGUCUUAGCUCUAGUGCAUCAUUUGUAUGGCAAUCCCUACUCAUUCACAUUGAUAUCUAUUGAUGAGCAUUUCCAUAGCUCAUUGAUAUGCCUAGUCAAUGUGACCAUCUUCUCCUUGUUUGCCUUGCAACCUCCACCACACUCCACUCCACUUAUAGUGCUAAAACCAUGGCUCACGCUCAUGUAUUGCAUGAGAGUUGAAAAAGUUUGAGAAAGUAAAGGUGUGAAAACAAUUACUUGGCCAAUACCAAGGUUGUGCAUGAUUUAAAUUCGUUUUGCAAUGAUGAUAGAGCAUAGCCAGACUAUAUGAUUUUGUAGGGAUAACUUUCUUUUGUCCUUGUUAUUUUGAAACUUCAUGAUUACCUUGCUAGUUUGCUUGAAGUAUUAUUGUCUCCACGUCAAUAGAAAACUAUUGUUUUGAAUCUAAUGGAUCUGAACAUUCACGUCACAUAAGAGGAGUUACAAAGGACAUCUAUGCUAGCUAGCAUGAAAGCAUAAAAAUUCAUUCUUUAUCACUUCCCUACUCGAGGACGAACAGGAGUUAAGCUUGGGGAUGCUUGAAACGUCUCAAACGUAUCUAUAAUUUUUGAUGGUUUCAUGCCGUUAUCUUGUCAACUCUCGAUGUUUUAUAUUCCUUUUAUAUGUUUUUUGGGACUAACUUAUUAAUUCAGUGCCAAGUGCCAGUUCCUGUUUUUCUGUGUUUUUGACUCUUUUCAGAUCUGAUUUUGGAACGGAGUCCAAACGGAAUAAAAUCCCCAAAAUAAAAUUUUCCAGAACAGAAGAAGAUCGGUGGACUUGAGGGCCAAGGCAGGAGGCCCACAGGGAGCCCACAAGCCCUAACGCCACGGCCAGGGGGGCCCGCGGCGACUAGGCUUGUGGGCUCCUUGGCGCUCCUCUGCCCUAGCUCUUUCGCCUAUAUAUUCCCUAAAAUCCCAGAAAAAAUCAGGGCAUCCACGAAAACACUUUCCGCCGCCACAAGCUUCCGUUUCCGCGAGAUCUCAUCUCGAGACCCUUCCUGGUGCCCUGCCGGAGGGGACUUUGGAGUUGGAGGGCUUCUACAUCAACAUCAUCGCCUCUCCAAUGACUCGUGAGUAGUCCACUUCAGACCUAUGGGUCCGUAGUUAGUAGCUAGAUGGCUUCUUGUCUCUCUUGGAUCUUCAAUACAAAGUUCUCCAUGAUCUUCAUGGAGAUCUAUCCGAUGUAAUCCUCUUUGGCGGUGUGUUUGUCUAGAUCCGAUGAAUUGUGGAUUUGUAAUCAGAUUAUCUACGAAUUAUACUUGAGUCUUUGAUGAUUUCUUAUAUGCAUGAUUUUAUAUCCUUGUAAGUCGCUCCGAGUCUUGGGUUUUGUUUGGACAACUAGAUCUAUGAUUCUUGCAAUGGGAGAAGUGCUUGGUUUUGGGUUCAUACCGUGCGGUGUCCUUUCCCAGUGACAGAAGGGGCAGCAAGGCACGCAUCGUGUUGUUGCCAUCAAGGGUAACAAGAUGCGCUUUCAUCAUAGAUUUGAGAUUGUUCAUCUACAUCGUGUCAUCUUGCUUAAGGCGUUACUGUGUUCUUAUGAAAUCAAUACACUAGAUGCAUGCUGGAUAGCAGUGGACAUGUGGAGUAAUAGUAGUAGAUGCAGAAAGUAUUGGUCUACUUGUUUUGGACGUGAUGCCUAUAGAUAUGAUCAUUGCCAUAGAUAACGUCAUGACUUUGCGCGGUUCUAUCAAUUGCUCGACAGUAAUUCGUUCACCCACUGUCUACUUGCUUUCAUGAGAGAAGCCACUAGUGAACACUACGGGCCCUGGGUCUAUUCACAACUAUCGCUUCCACUUUUACUUUUACUUUGCUUUGUUUACGUUUUGCUUUCAGUUCUUACUUUGAAAAAAAUCUAUAAGGGAUUGACAACCCCUUCAUAGAGUUGGGUGCAAGCUCUUUGUGUUUGUGCAGGUACUUGUAACUUGACGCGAUCCUCCUACUGGAUUGAUACCUUGGUACUCAAACUGAGGGAAAUACUUACUGCCGCUGUGCUACAUCACCCUUUCCUUUUCAAGGGAACACCAACGCAAGGCUCCAAGGCCGCGGGGGAAUCCUUUGCAUAUUUCCCAAGGAAGUCCCUAUAGGCGUAGCACAUAGUAGAAGGAUUCCCGGUGCCGUUUCCAGGGAAUGUCUUUUGUUGCCGUAGCACAAGUCCAAGGUAUGGACUAGGUGAGAACUAUGCCCCCGUUGCUAGACUUGAAGCCAUUCACAUUCUUAUCACUUAUGAAAAUCAACAUGAUAUUACUCUUUGCCAAAUGGAUAUGAAAAGUAUUUUUUUAAAUGGUGAAAUUGAGGAGGAAGUUUUUGGCAAACAACCUCCUGGUUUUGUGAACCCUGAAAAACCUAAUCAUGUUUAAAAACUUUGUAAAUAUUUAUAUGGUCUGAAACAAGCCCCUCGAGCUUGGUACAAAUGCCUAACAAAGAGUCUCAUUGAAAAGGGUUUUGAGAUUGGUCAAAUUGACGUAGCUUUAUUCACUAGAAGAGUAAACGGCAAACUAUUUGUGUGCCAAAUAUAAGUGGAAGAUAUUAACUUUGGAUCUACUAACCCACAUUUUGGUGAGAAAUUUGGAAGGUUGAUGUCACACAAGUAUGAGAUGUCCAUGAUGUGUGAUCUGAAAUUCUUCCUUGGUUUGCAAAUCAAACAAUCGAGAGCAGGUACGUUUAUCUCUCAAACCAAGUACACCAAGGACUUAAUCAAGAAGUUCAACAUGAAAGAGUGUAAAGUUAUGAGAACCCCAAUGCCUACUAUUGGACAUGUUGACCUCACGAAGGAGGACAAACCGAUUGAUCAAAAGGUUCGUUGAUAAAUGAUCGGUUCAUUGCUAUAUCUAUGUGCCUCCCGUCCCAAUGUCAUGUUGAGUGUUUGCAUGUGUGCCUGAUAUCAAGCGACACCUAAGGAUUGUUAUCUAAAGGUUGUGAAAAGAAUUGUGAGAUACUUGAUACAAACACCAAACUUUGGCAUAUGGUAUCCUAAGGGAUCUUCUUUUAGUCUUGUUGGAUAUUCCGACUCGGACUAUGCCAGAGACAAUAUUGAUAGAAAAUCCACCUCGGGUACAUAUCAAUUUCUUGGGAGGUGUCUUGUGCCUUGGUCAUCCAAGAAACAAAACUUGGUAUCUCUAUCCACUAGCGAAGCAUAAUAUAUUGCCUCCAGAUCAUGUUAUGCGCAUUUACUAUGGAUGACGCAAACUCUUAAGGAUUAUGGUAUUCAUGUGAAACAUGUUCCAUUGUUGCGUUAUAGUGGAAGUGCUAUUAAAAUUGUUCAUAAUCCACUAAACAUUCACGAACUAAACAUAUUCAAGCGCGACAUCAUUUCAUUCGUGAUCAUGUUGGUAAAGGAGAUAUUAAUCUCAAGCAUGUUCGUACCAACAAACAAUUGGCUGAUAUCUUUACAAAACCACUUGAUGAGAAAGUGUUUUCCAUUUGAGGAGUGAGUUGACCAUCAUAUAUAGAUGCUUCAAACUCGAGCUAGACUCACUCGGAUGCAUGCAAGGGCAUGAGCUUACCUUAUUAUUUCAUGAUGCUAUUGAUGUGACACUAUCUUAUAUCUUGGAAAACUAUGCUCCCUUGUAUUGCAUCUAACCUUACUUUAGGUACUUGGAAGAAUUACAAUUCACAAGAUUUCCAUCAACUCACAUCAAACGCAAUCUUGUCAUGGCCAAGUAUCAACAACCCCUUCUUCGAAUAUGAAGGAAGAAGAAAACAAAAUCAUAUCCUUGACAACUACUUGAUGAAUGGAUUCACUCUUGUCAUUUGGACAUAUAAUGUUCUUCCUUGCAUGCGUAACCAAUGUAGGUGAAAAGUGAACCAAAACGACAAGGAUCACUCUCGACUCAAGAUGAUCUUCAUCAACAUUGAGCAUCCACAACAAGUUCACCUACAUGCCACAUCAUCAACAUCAUUCAAAGGUAUGUACUCAUAUCCUUGAUAAAACUUUACACCAAGUCAUGAGGUAAAGCAACUCAAGUGAUAUGAAGACAUCAAAAUGCUUAAUCCAAAAAUGGCACCCCCAUUUUGCACUUAACGAUGAGUAUGACCUAUGAUCAAGCAUUCUUCCUUGACUCCUCAAGUCAAUACACUCUAAUAUAGUUGACCUAGUCACCGACAAACAUCUAGAUGGAGAUUCUUGUAUGGUUCUUAUUUUAAAUUGCAUACUUUCUUGGAACCAUUCAAUUCUCAUCUUAAUCAAAAAAAAUAUUUUCUCUUGGUUUAUUUUUUAAAUAUUUGCAUAUUUCCUUUUUCAAAGUUUGUAUAUAUUUCCUAUCUAUGUGAGUUGAGCACCUAAAUCUCAUUGCAACUUGGUCACACCAAUAUGGGGAACUAGGUCUAACCAAUUUCACCUAGGGGCCUUCUACCAUUCUCGGUUCUACUGAACCAUAUUACCUCGGUGAUUCCGAAUUUAUCAUUGCUUAUGUACUCUUGGUUAUUAUGAACUUUUGACAAAGAGGGAGAAUCUAUUCAGUGAUCGCAAAGUUUAUUACAUCCUAAUCUUUUAUAGAUUAUUUCCAUUGAUGCCAAAGGGGUACACCUUGGUUUCCCAUAAUUCUCAAGGGGGAGAAAAACAUCAAAGCGGGAGAAAUAUUCAGUGAUCUGACAAUACAAGAGGGAGAAAAUGUCUAGGAACCCUAACAAAUAGCGGGAGAUAUUUAAAGGAACUUUUAUCCAUACUCAAGGGGAGAUCAUUGUGGGAACCUUUAUCACAGGAAAAUAAUAUAGGAUCCCUUACUCUCAAUGACCCCUUACCCUCUCACAUUUUUUUGGAAAUUAAUACUAAAGGGGGGAGAUAUAUCAAAGCUUCUAAAUGCUUAUACCAAAAGGGGAGAUCUACCAAAGGGGAGAUCUCCAUAGGGGUGAUAUACCAUACCUUACACAUUCAGGGGAGAACUACCAUUGAGGGGGAGAUAUUUAAAGAUUUAGUUGAGUUUUAUUGCCUACUUUGGAUUGAAUUUGUCUCUCCACCUACUCCCAAUAUUUACAUGCUAUGAUUCGGGAGUAGAGGUAAUCUUACAUAUUCAUUCUGAGGGAAGAAAGUUAUAAAUAUCUUUGGAUACAUAUCUAUUAUCGAAUCUUAUUUUUAAUAUGUCUUCAACAUCUUGGUACUUUUGAAGCUCUUUGCAUCUUUACAUUAAAAUACUCUUGCGUUAUCUAACAUUUGUUUUCCCAAGUGUAUUGCUACUGCUAGGAUGCUCAAGAACCUCAAGGUAAAUAUAUGCAUCAUAUCCUUGUUCAGGAUGAUCUCUUAUCUCUUGCACAUAUUGUUUGUAAGAAUAAUGAGUGUUGAUCUUAGUAAUCUUUCAUUCACAUUUUUUUGAUGCAUAUAGCCAAGAUUCACAUGACUCAUCUUGUCCCUUCUACUAUGUGGAUGCUCAUGCAGUCCAAAGCGAACAUCUCUUAAAGGAGAUUUCACAAAUUUAGGGGGAGCUUGUAUUAGUCAUGUACCUUUCAAAGUUGUCAUAUUCCACUUCCUAUCUUUAUUUUAAGCUCUGAUUGUAUGUUGUCAUUAAUUAUCAAAAAAUGGGAGAUUUAAAGAACAUAUGAUCCCUUGGUGGUUUUGAUGAUUCAUGACAAAAUACAUUGUCUCUUGGACUAACAUUAUUACCUAGUAUAUUUCAGGUAUAGUCCACAAAGAGCAUUGGCUAAAGUAUUGUGUGGAGAAGCCCCAACGAAAGGAAUAGGAUUGGUUAAGCCUCAAGCAAGAGGACUCUACAUUUUAUAUUUGUGGGAAAUCACUUUUGAGUCCAUAGGAAAGCCAAUACUAUUAAAAGGACGAUGUAUUUAUGAUGAAUUGGUUUCUCAAUUGCUUAGAGAUAGGCACCAAAAAAAUUCAGUCAUUCUCCCACGAAUAUAUUUGUUCAAAGCCUUCACAUCAAAAUAGGUGCCACCAGGAAUUCUAUUUCGUCCCUACCGGUUUUCCCAGUGAGAGAUCCGUUGCCAAACCCUAAUCUCUCGGUACCACCAACUUUCAUAUCAGUGCCACCAAAAGACAGUGACCAACUUUAUGGUAUCUCUGUUUCAAGAAUCGGUAUUUCUGAGAUUGAACUCGGUACCAACGAGAAUUGGAAACUACCCUAGGUCAUCGAAUUGGUACCAACGACAUUUGUAUAUUGGUCUCACCAAGAACUCAAAAGUUGCCACAUUUAGUGCAAAUCGGUACCAUCGAGAUUCAUUUUGGUGUCACCGAGUUGGGCAAUAAUGUUGUAACGGUUGGAUUUUUGGAGAUGCCUAUAUAUAACCCUCCACCUCCUCUCAUUUGCAGAGGAAGCACUCAUGACACACUUACACUUGCCAUAUCCAUUUUUCUAAGAGAGAACCACCUACUCAUNAAGAUAUUCCAAUCCAACCGUUUGAAACUUGAUAUCUAUUCUCCUCAAGUUGCUUUCCACCAAAUCAAUCUCUCCUUCCCAUGACAAAUCUGUGAGAGAGUGAUUGAGUGUUGAGGAGACUAUCUUUUGAAGCACAAGAGUAAGUAGUUCAUCGUUCUACCGCAUCUACUACCUUUUGGAGGGUGGUGCCUCCUAGAUUGGUUAGGUGUCGCUUGGUAUCCUCCUACUUCGUGUUUUGGAGUUGAACUAAGAAGUUUGUACAUGCAAGGAGAUUGCCUACUUCGUGAAGAUCUACCCUGAGUGAGGCUAGUCAUGUGUGGACGUAAGCCAUGGUGGAAUAGACAAGGCCGGUUCUUUGUGGACCCCUUCUGGGUGGAGCCCUCCGUGGGCUCUCGUAACCGUGACCCUUCGUGGGUUGAAGUCUCCACUAGCAUGGACAUACGAUAGCACCACCCAUCGAAACCACGUCAAAAAUCACCGUGUCUUCUAUGCGUUUGAUCUUCCUAAACACUACGCCUUACUUAUACGUGCAAUGUCUUUACUUUCCGCUACCAUAUAUGUUGACUAGAAUGUGUAGGGUGCACUAGACUUGUUAGAAAUGCUAAAAUUUUCCAACCACUAAAAUUGGGAAAAUUCUAGGAUUUUAAUUUAUGCAAGUAGUCUAUCUACCCCCUCUAGACAUCCCUUCGAGUGAUCCCAUAGAACACGUACAAACAAGGUUGGGGCAAUCUCCACAACUUAAUUGGAGGCUCCCAACAACAACACGAAGCUUCAUCAUAAUGAAUUGUGGGUCCAAGAUUACCUCAAAUGCUCGAGGCAAUCUCCACAACCUAAUUGGAGACCCCGGACGCUUGCUCGGAGCUUUACACCACAAUGAUUGAGCUCUGAGGCACCACCAACCAUCUAGGGCGCCAAAGCACCCAAGAGCCACAAGCUCUAGGGUUCCCAAACACGCAAGAGUAAUAAGCUUCUCGAACUUCACUUCCACGUAUCGCUGUGGAGAACUCAAAUCGAUUCACCAAAUGCAAUGGCAAGAAGAAAUGAACUGGUCAAGUCCCUGAUACGUCUCCAUCGUAUCUACUUUUCCAAACUCUUUUGCCCUUGUUUUGGACUCUAAUUUGCGUGAUUUGAAUGGAACUAACCCGGACUGACGCUGUUUUCAGCAGAAUUGCCAUGGUGUUGUUUUUGUGCAGAAAUGAAAUUUCUCGGAACAUCCCGAAAAUUUACGGAGAAUAUUUCUCGAAAAUAUGAAAAAUACCUACACAAAGAUCCACCGGAGGGGACGGGCCAGUGGGCUACAAGCCCUGACGCCGCGGACUCCCCCCCUGGCCGCGGCAACCAAGCUUGUGGGGCCCACGUGGCUCUGCCGCCCCCAACUCCAGCGCUAUUUAUUCCCUUUCGUCCCAAAAAAAUCAAGAGAGAAGAUUUCAUCGCAUUUGCAACAUGGAGGCGCCGGCACAUCCUGUUCUUCAUCUGGAGGGCACAUCUAGAGUCAGUUUUGGGCUCCGGAUCAAGGAGAUCGUCGCCAUCGUCAUCAUCAACCUUCUUCCCUCUCCAAUUCCAUGAAGCUCUUCAUCGUUCCUGAGUAAUCUAUUUGUAGGCUCGCUGGGCGGUGAUGAGUAGGAUGAGAUCUAUCAUGUAAUUGAGUUAGUUUUAACGGGGAUUGAUCCCUAGUAUCCACUAUGUUCUGAGAUUGAUGUUGCUACUACUUUGCCAUGCUUAAUGCUUGUCACUAGGGCCCGAGUGCCAUGAUUUCAGAUCUGAAAUUAUUAUGUUGUCACCAAUAUAUGUGUGUUUUAGAUCCGAUCUUGCAAGUUGUAGUUACCUACUAUGUGUUAUGAUCCGGCAACCCCGGAGUGACAAUAACCGGAACCACUCCCGGUGAUGACCAUAGUUUGAGGAGUUCAUGUGUUCACCAAGUGCUAAUGCUUUGGUCCGGUUCUUUAUUAAAAGGAGAAACUUAAUAUCCCGUAGUAUCCAUUUGGACCCCGCUGCCACGGGAGGGAUGGACAAUAGAUGUCAUGCAAGUUCUUUUCCCUAAGCACGUAUGACGACACACGGAAUGCCUGCCUACAUCACAUUGACGAACGGGAGCUAGCAACAUAUCUCUCCGUGUUAUAACUGCUACAUGAUGAAUGGCAUCCAACAAAUCACCGAUCCAUUGCCUACGAGUUUGUCCCACUGCUGCUGUUACUUGUUUUGCUCUGCUGCUGUUACUACUGUUGCUGCUACUGUUACUUGCUUUGUCCUGCUGCUGCUGCCACUACUGUUGCUAAUACUGUUACUUGCUACUGUUGUUACUUGCUACUGUUGCUACUUGCUACUGCUGUCACUACUGCUGUUCCUUGCCACUGCUGCUACUCGUUACACUGCUACUACCUGCUACAAUACUUUUUCUAGCACCGUUGCCGGGAAAGAAUAUUUCCCGUCCACGGGCAACUUACUGGCGCCAUUGAAACAACAGUUAGGAAUAAUCUGCCGUCAACAGAUCGUUUCUGGCACCGUUGUUAUCAUACUACUUUCUACUGAUACUUUGCUUGCACACACUAAUCUUUCAGGUGUGGUUGAAUCUGACGCAUUCAGCUGCUAAUACUUGAGAAUAUUCUUUCACUUCCCGUCGUGCGAACCAACAAAUUUGGGUUGAAUACUCUACCCUCGAAAAUUGUCGCGAUCCCACGCGCUGGUGGGCUAUUGCAAGACAAUUUCUAAUUGUUGAGCAACUGGAAGCAGCACUUUUCUGGCUCCGUUGCCAUGGAGGCAUCAAGUCAGGAAUAGUUGCACGUCAACAACAUUUUUCUGGCGCCGUUGCCGGGGAAGGAUUGAUAUAUUCUCUGAGUCACUUGGGAUUUAUAUCUGUUGAUCACUAUGAAGAAUGUGAAAGAUCCAAAAACCAAAGUCAUGCCCUCAACUACGAGGGGAGGUAAGGAACUGCCAUCUAGCUCUGCACUUGAUUCACCUUCAGUUAUGAGUAAGUUUGCGACACCACCUCCUGCUAGAAAACUUGAUAUGUCGCCUGUGCUUGAUGAUGCUUAUGAUGCUACUCCUAGAGAUACUAUGCCUCAUGAUGCUAGAGAUGCUAUGCCUGAUACUGCUAGAGAUGCUAUGCCUGAUAUUGCUAGAGUUGCUAUGCUUGAUACUGCCUUGCCCGAUGAUGCUAGAUAUGCUAUUUUUCCUGAUGAUGCUAUGCUUGAUACUGCUACAGAUACUACUUUGCCUGAUGUGCCACUAGGGGCAUUCCUUGAUGCUCAUAUUGCAAGAGUUACUGCCAAUUCUCGUGAUGCUUCUGAAACUGCCAAUACUAUUGAGAUAGAACCUGCUUUUGCUCCUGCUAGAUCUAGCUCUCCUAGAUAUGAAUUGCCUGAUAUACCAGAGGGUUAUGUUAUGGAGGGAGAGAUAGCUGAGGAUUUUCUUGCGUGUAAGGAUGCCUAUGACGCUGAGAAAUCACUUCUCAAGUGGAAGGAAAAAUCUCUGAAAGCUAGGAUGAAAUACGACCCAAAGUUUGCCACUUCACCUAUCUUUAUCACCGAUGAGGAUUAUGAAUUCUCUGUCGACCCUGAGAUAAUCUCUCUAUAUGAAUCUGAUCCUUUCCACAGUUAUGAGUCUGAGACGGUCGUAGCCCAUCUUACCAAACUACACGAUAUAGCCACCCUUUUCACUAGUGAGGAGAAGAUCCGCUACUACUAUAUCCUUAAGUUAUUUCCUUUCUCUCUAAAGGAUGACGCUAAAGCCUGGUUCACUUCUCUUGCUCGUGGAUGUGUGAGUAGUCCCCAGGAGAUGGUCUAUUACUUCUGUGAGAAAUAUUUCUCUUCCCAUAAGAAGCAAGCUGCCUUGUAGGAAAUAUACAACUUUGCUCAACACAAAGAAGAGAGUCUCCCACAAGCUUGGGGGAGGCUCAUCCAGCUACAGAAUGCUUUGCCUGAUCACCCUCUUAAGAAGAACGAGAUACUUGAUAUCUUCUAUAACGGACUUACCGAUGCUUCUAGAGACCACCUAGAUAGUUGUGCCGGUUGUGUUUUUAGGGAACGAACUAUAGAACAAGCUGAGAUCCUACUGAAUAACAUCUUGAUCGACGAUAAUGCUUGGACUAUUCCCGAACCACCUCCUAAGCCAACUCCGAAGAAAAUAGGUAUUCUAUUCGUCAGUCCUGAAGAUAUGCAAGAAGCCAAGAAAUCUAUGCAAGAGAAAGGCAUUAGAUCUGAAGAUGUCAAAAAUCUACCGCCCAUCGAAGAGAUCCAUGGUCUCGAUAAUCCGAUACAGGUAGUAGAAGUAAAUUCUCUGUGUAGGUUUGAUGAGAGUGAUAUUCCUUUUGACAAACCUGCUAGCCUAUGCUUUGAUGAAUUUGACAACUUUGUUGCCAAACAACAGAGUUUCAAUGAUUAUGUUAGCAGACAAUUGUAACAAAGUACUCGUAUGCUUAGUCAUUUAAGUGCUUGUGUAGACAGAAAUGUCAAUGAUCUGAAGCUUCUGAGUAAACAUGCCUCUAUGAUUACUAAUCAGGUAGAACAAGUACUUAAAGCUUAGAAUGACUUGCUCAAUGAAUUAAAUGACAAAUCUGUCAGAGUCAUUACUAGAGGAGGCAAAAUGACUCAGGAACCUUAGUAUCCUGAAGGCCAUCCUAAGAGAAUUGAUCAAGAUUCUCAAGGAAUUAAUGCUGAUACACCCACUCAUCCUAAGAAGAAGAAGAAGGAUGAUAGAAACCUACAUGUCAAUUCACCAAAUACCGUCACACCUGAAGAACCAAAUGAUAUUUCUGCGUCUGAUGCAGAAACACAAUCUGGUGACGAACAUGAACCUGGUGACAAUAUGGACAGCGAUGUUCAUAAUAAUGCUCAACCUAGCAAUAAUGAGGAUGUAGAGAUUGAACCUACGGUUAAUCCUGAUAACCCACAACCUAAUAGAUACGAUAAGAAUGACUUCACUGCUAGGAAUCAUGGUAAAGAAACGGAGUCAUGGGUUCAGAGACCUAUGCCCUUUCCUCCUAAGCCAUCCAAGAAAAAGGAUGAUGAGGAUUUUGAGUGCUUUAUUGAAAUGAUAAGACCCGUCUUUCUGCAGAUGCGGUAAAUUGAUAUGCUCAAAAUGUCUCCAUAUACCUUGCUCCUAAGAAACAUGGUGAUCCCGGAGUGCCCACUAUACCUUGCUCCAUUAAAGGAAACUACGUAAGAACUGCCUUAUGUGACCUUGGAGGUGGUGUUAGUGUUAUGCCUCUCUCCCUUUAUCGUAGACUUGAACUGGAUAAGUUGACACCCACUGAAAUUUCUCUGCAAAUGGCCGACAAAUCAACUGCUUUCCUUGUCGGCAUUUGCAAGGAUAUGCCUAUUGUGGUUGCUAACACCACUAUCUUAACAAACUUUGUUAUCUUGGAUAUUCCCGAGGACGAUGCCAUGGCUGUCAUCCUUGGAAGACCCUUUUUAAACACUGCAGGGUCUGUUAUAGAUUGCUACAAAGGCAAUGUCACCUUCCAUGUCAAUGGUAAUGAGCAUACAGUGCACUUUUUGAAGAAAUGAUAUCAAGUACAUUGCAUCAAUGCUAUCGAAAAACUUCAUCGAUUCUUAUUGGGAGCUUUGAAUGCCCUAUUCCCCGUGUCAAGAUGAAGUAUGAUUUGCUUGUUGGGGAGAUACAUAUCCCCAUUGAGGUGACCUAGUGACUAUUCAAAAAUUCUCCGUUCUCUUUUGCGAUUCGAGAAAAUUUUGUCAUGAGGAUUUGAUAAACCCCAUUGACGGAUUUCUUUCGAUGACCAUGAAAUGGAUGAAUCAAAGAGUUACAUGCCUCUGUUUUAAGCUUUUACUUUCUGUUGCUUAGAAGAAAAAUGAUAGAUUUAGUUUAGUUUUCCCUAUUUCCUGUUUUAGCGUCCCGGAGAAAAGUACCCCAAAAAUAAAAUUUCUCCGAUGGUCCUGAAAAUCAAAUAUGAUUUUUUCUGGAAUAUUUGAAAAAUACUGGGACUGAGAGCUGGCCUGGGGGCCACACCAGUGGGCACAAGCCCUGUCACUGCGGCCUCCCCCCUGGCCGCGGCAACCAAGCUUGUGGGGCCCACAGGGACCCCCUCCACUCAUUCCAGCUCCCAUCCUCUUCUUCUACCUCCAGAAAAAAUCGUUUCACAGCUCAAACCCGUGUUCUUGCUCAUUUGGCUGUGAUUUUCGAACUCCUUGCUCAAAGCACCAUUCUCCGAACCGUUUUGGGGAAAUUACUCCUUGGUAAGUGACUCCUCCAUUGGUCCAAUCAGUUUCUACUCUAGUGCUUUAUCCUUACCGUAUUCUUGCUACCUUGGUGACCCUGUUCUUGAGCUUGAAAUGUUGGUUUUAGCUGGUCCCAAGCAGUUUUAACGCGUGAUACGGUCUCUAGGCAUUAGUAGGAGUAGUUGCUACAAGGUGUGGUUGGUCUUUAUUCACUUUUCUCUUGAACUUCAAAAAUUUCAGCAAAAAUAAAUUAUGUUCAGGAGGAAGUUUCAUGGUGGUUCCUCAAGUAAGAAGGGUCCCCGUCUUUCUAUUCGGGAGCCCGAUCCUUAUCAACUAAGAUAAGCACCGGUACAACCAUGUGAAUGGCCUUCCGAUGAGUUCAUGAUCGAAGCAGGCUUCAAGGAUGAGUUUGAUACACUUGUCUGCAAUGUCGGGUUAGAAGAAUUCCUCUCAAAUAAAUGUGAACAGUAUGCUUUGCUCACUGCCUCUUUCGUGUGUAGAUUUAAAUUUUUAGUUGGGCGUGACUCAUCCAUACCGUUUGACCUGUAUGAUAAAUCCUACGCCAUGGAUUUGGAGGAUUUCAAUAGGAUUUGCAAGAUACCCGAUGGGGGAAAUCUUAAAGAUCCUGCUAAGUCUUCGGUUAGAGAUUUUGUCUCUAGUAUAACUGUUGGAGAAACUAGAGACAUCACGCAAGCUACCAUAGGAAGCAUUCAUUUCCCUGGCUUGCACUACUUUUCCCUCUUCAUAGGUAAUGCAUUAACGGCAAGGUUGAACAUUGUCACCUAUGCGCAUCCGACCUUAGUAUCCUUAAGAGCGCAGUGACGGGUGACAAAAGCUUCAACAUGGGAGCUAUUAUAGCAAGGAGGAUGAAUAAGAAUGCUAUUGAUGGGGAUUUCUUUGGCGGCAUCUAUGCCACUUGCAUAGCAAAUUUUCUUGGAGUACCCAUCCGCGCAGGAGAUCCCCCGCUCCAUACAGCUUUCCUUGACCACGUCGCUAUGACACGCUACCAGUUCCUUGAGAGGGAUGAUGAAUCCCUCCUAUACCGAUUGAUAUUUAACCGGCAACGUGUUUUCCAUAUUACCCUUCCUGCUCCUGCUUUGUUUGACUUUCAGGUAAAACGGAGAUACUACAUAACCAUAGGAGAGGCAUAGGAGUAUGAGAGGGAGGCGACGGCUGCUCGUCUCUGUGAGGCAACUAUUUAGGCAGUGGCUGCAGCGCUCCCGUAUAACCCCGAUUAUGAUUUUGGGUUUUGCCAGGACCGUCCUUGGGAGUAGACCAAGCGAGGCCAAAAGCCUAAGCUUGGGGGAGUACGUGUUUGCACCAACUUUACAUUCAAGCUUAUGCUUUCACUUUGUUAGUCAGUGUUUACACUUUGCCACUGUAUUAUCCAUGCUAGUUUAUUUUCGUUUUCUUGUUUUGUGUCAUUUUGAGAAAACCCAAAAGUAUUUUUCUUUCUUCUUUUGCUUGCUGGGAGCUUUCUCGUGUAAAUAGUUUUCUUUUUCUUUGUGUCAAGGUAGAAGAUAUUGGUUACAAUGUUUAGUGGUUCUUGCAUGCAUACCUGUUUAGCUUUCAAAGAGCCAUAUUACUUUGUCUUCUCCUUUGUGUUUGCCUGCAGAUUCAGCUUAGUCCAAUGCACGAGAACUCUUAUUAUUGUUCACUUCGUUCGAUCGUGCAAGUGAAAGACAAUAAUGAUGAUAUAUGAUGAAGUGACUGAGACUNUUUUUGUCCUUUGAGAAAACCCAAAAAGAUUUUCCUUUCUUCUUUUGCUUGUUGGGAGCUUUCCGUGUAAAUAGUUUUCUUUUUCUUUGGGUCAAGGUAGAAGAUAUUGGUUACAAUGUUUAGUGGCUCUUGCAUGCAUACCUAUUUAGCUUUCAAAGAGCCAUAUUACUUUAUCUUCCCCUUUGUGUUUGCCUGUAGAUUCAGCUUAGUCCAAUGCAUAAGCACUCUUAUUAUUGUUCACAUCGUUCGAUCGUGCAAGUGAAAGGAAAUAAUGACGAUAUAUGAUGAAGUGACUGAGACUGGAAAAGCUCGUAUGAACUCUAUCUAUUUUGUUUUUGUAAAUAUGGCUAGCUUGUCGUUCCAGAUUCAGCUUUGUUGAGAGAGAACCAUGUUUGCAAAAACAACUUAGAGAUCAUAGUUUUGGAUUCCAUGCUUAAUUAGCUAGGAGCUUAUAAUGGUUUGUCUUGAAUGCCAACAUGGAUUUUGAGAUGACUAUAAUGUAGUAUGAUAGGAUGGUAUUCUCCUUUGAAUGAUUCAAGUGGCUUGACUUGACGCAUGUUCAUGCAUGUAGUUGAAACAGAAUCAACAUAGCCUAUAUGAUGUUCGUGUUCAUGGUGAUUUAUAUCCUAUUCAUGCUUGCACCCAAUGUUAGUCAAACUCAUUGCAUCUUGAUGACUGUUGUCGCUCUCUAGUUGGUCGCUUCCCAGUCUUUUGCUAGCCUUCACUUGUACUAAGAGGAAUACUGCUUGUGAAUCCACUUCCAUAAACCCAAAAGUUUUUUCAUGAGAGUCCACCAUACCUACCUAUUUGCGGUAUCUACCUGCCGUUCCAAGUAAAUUUGCAUGUGCCAUUCUCUAAACCUUCAAGAAAUUUUCUAUUUUGCUUGCCCGAACCGCUCAUGUGGUGACAGGGGGCUAUUGGUAUCUUCCAUGUUAGGCGUGUUAUCCUCGACAUGUGUUUAUUCACUGUCAUUCACGAGAAAGGGGUCGGUAAUUGGAAUCCCAGUUCCACGCUUAAAUCGAAAACAUAACUCUAAAACAAGACUCCCCCCGGAUUGAUGUUAGUAUGGACGGUACCCGAGGAUUGGUUGGUGGUGGGGGAGUUAAAACUUUACUUUUCUGUUUGGGAACCGCCUAUAGCAUUAGUAGCAUGGAAGAUAUUGAGAACUCUUGGUCAUUGCGUUGACAAUGAAAGCAUGCCACCCAAAAUUAUUAUCUCUGUUUUCAAAGCUUGAGCUCUGGCACCUCUGCAAAUCAAUGCUUCCCUCUGCGAAGGGCCUGUCUAUUUAUUUUCCUAUUGAGUCAUCCUCUUCUUAUGUAGAGAGCACCUCUGUCAUUUUUAUGCUUUGCUUGUGAUUGAUAUUGAGUAUGAAUAUGAAUGGAUUUUCGUUGCUAUGAAUUACAAUGUUUAGUCAGCCCUUGAUCUUUGAAAGUGCUCUGCAUUUAUGUUUUGCGGUCUCAGAAAGAGCUAGCGAGAUAUCACCUAUUCAUAUUGCUUCAUGCUUGUUUUGAUUGAAUUGUUGGUAUCCAAAACUCAUUAUUAUUUGCUCGCUAGCUGAUUAUGCCAUUAAUAUUAGUUCACCGUGAGACCUUUGUGUCACUUGCUUAUGUGGUUAACUUGUGAUCUUGCUGAAAUUCUGGUUAUGAGUUAGACAUAGUUGCAACAACAAGAUCAGACAGAGUUUGUCAAAGUUUUUCUUUCUCUCUCAGUUUGUCAACUGAGUUGCUUGAGGACAAGCAAGGUUUUAAGCUUGGGGGAGUUGAUACGUCUCCAUCGUAUCUACUUUCCCAAACUCUUUUGCCCUUGUUUUUGGACUCUAAUUUGCAUGAUUUGAAUGGAACUAACCCGGACUGACGCUGUUUUCAGCAGAAUUGCCAUGGUGUUGUUUUUGUGCAGAAAUGAAAGUUCUCGGAACAUCCUAAAAAUUUACAAAGAAUAUUUCUGGAAAAUUUGAGAAAUACCUGCGCAAAGAUCCACCGGAGGGGACGGGCCAGUGGGCCACAAGCCCUAACGCCGCGGCCUCCCCCCUGGCCGCGGCAACCAAGCUUGUGGGGCCCACGUGGCUCUACCGCCCCCAACUCGAGCGCUAUUAUUCCCUUUCGUCCCGAAAAAAAUCAAGAGAGAAGAUUUCAUCGCGUUUGCAACACAGAGGCGCCGCCACAUCCUGUUCUUCAUCUGGUGGGCAGAUCUGGAGUCCAUUUUGGGCUCCGGAUCAAGGAGAUCGUCGCCAUCGUCAUCAUCAACCUUCUUCCCUCUCCAAUUCCAUCUAGCUCUUCAUCAUUCCUGAGUAAUCUAUUCGUAGGCUCGCUGGGCGGUGAUGAGUAGGAUGAGAUCUAUCAUGUAAUCGACUUAGUUUUGACGGGGAUUGAUCCCUAGUAUCCACUAUGUUCUGAGAUUGAUGUUGCUACUACUUCGCCAUGCUUAAUGCUUGUCACUAGGGCCCGAGUGCCAUGAUUUCAGAUCUGAAAUUAUUAUGUUGUCACCAAUAUAUAUGUGUUCUAGAUCCGAUCUUGCAAGUUGUAGUUAGCUAGUAUUUGUUAUGAUCCGGCAACCCCGGAGUGACAAUAACCGGAACCACUCCCGGUGAUGACCAAAGGUUGAGGAAUACAUGUGUUCACCAAGUGCUAAUGCGUUGGUCCGGUUCUUUAUUAAAAGAAGAACCUUAAUAUCCCGUAGUAUCCAUUUGGACACCGCUGCCACGGGAGGGAUGGACAAUAGAUGUCAUGCAAGUUCUUUUCCCUAAGCACGUAUGACGACACACAUAAUGCAUGCCUACAUCACAUUGACGAACGGGAGCUAGCCACAUAUCUCUCCGUGUUAUAACUGUUGCAUGAUGAAUGUCAUCCAACAAAUCACCGAUCCAUUGCCUACGAGUUUGUCCCACUGCUGUUGUUACUUGUUUUGCUCUGCUGCUGUUACUACUGUUGCUCCUACUAUUACUUGCUGCUAGUGUUACUUGCUUUGUCCUGCUGCUGCUGCCACUACUUUUGCUACUACUGUUACUUGCUACUGUUGUUACUUGCUACUGUUGCUACUUGCCACUGCUUCACUACUGCUGUUCCUUGCCACUGCUGCUACUCGUUACACUGCUACUACCUGCUACAAUAAUUUUUCUAGCACCGUUGCCGGGAAAGAAUAUUUCCCAUCCACGGGCAACUUACUGGCGCCAUUGAAACAACAGUUAGGAAUAGUCUGCCGUCAACAGAUCGUUUCUGGCACCGUUGUUAUCAUACUACUUUGCUACUGAUACUUUGCUUGCACACACUAAUCUUUCAGGUGUGGUUGAAUCUGACACAUUCAGCAUCUUAUACUUGAGAAUAUUCUUUCACUUCCCAUCGUGCGAACCAACAAAUUUGGGUUGACUACUCUACCCUCGAAAACUGCUGCGAUCCCACGCGCUGGUGGGCUAUUGCAAGACAAUUUCUAAUUGUUGAGCAACUGGAAGCAGCUCUUUUCUGGCUCCGUUGCCGUGGAGGCAUCAAGUCAGGAAUAGUUGCACAUCAACAGUCCCUCACACUCAAAUCCCUCCACAACAAUAGAAGCUAUGGAAGGAAAUGAGAGGAAUAAUGAAGGAUCUCACAAAGAACUCCAAGAUCUAGAUCCAAGGGGUUCCCCUCACAAAGAGGAGAAAGUGAUUGGUGGAAAUGUACAUCUAGAUCUCCUCUCUCUUUUCCAUCAAGAACUAGCAAGAAUCAUUCGAAAGAUUGAGAGUUAGCAAGCUUAAAGAAGGACACAAUGGAGGAAGAAAAUGAGCUCAAGAGUGAGGGACCAUUGGGGAAGAAGGACUCCUCAAUUAGACAUCCCAAAAUCCAACAUGCCCACAAGUCGUGCUCAAGCGGUACUACCGCUUGGGGGAAUUGGUACUAUCGCUUAUCACGGUCAAAACAGCCCAACGAGAUAGAAAAACACGAGUGGUAGUUCUGCCAAAGAGGUAGUACCGCUCGGGGGAGAGGUAGUACCUCUUAAGAGGUACUACUGCUCCGUGCCUGGGGUAAAGGUAGUACCACUUGAGAGGUACUACCUUUCUGUACUACCCCUCUACUAUCGUUGAAGAAGAUUGGACACCAGAAUCAGAAAAUAAGCGGAAGUAGAAGUGGUAAUGGUCAGCAGAAGUACCUCUUAAGAGGUACUACCGCUUGAGAGGUACUACCGCUUAAAGCAGUACUUAAGACCAACGAAAACUGAAACCUGCAUAACUGUCGGAUAGAGACUCCAAAAUGAGCAAGCUCAAGCUUGUUGGAUAGAUUACUGAUGGCACUCUCUGGCUAUGGCUAGACGAAUGCUAUUCUCGAUUGCUCAACAAUUAGAAAUUGUCUUGCAAUCACUACAAGGAAUAUGCUAAUACACGACGCUAUUUUUUCGUCGCUACAUCGUCAUGGUUUUUAAUUUACGACGAUCUCACGACGAAAACCAAGCGUCGAAAACGGAGCGUCACAAAUGAACAGCAACGACGUUUUGAUUAAAAUCGUCGUAACUUUUACGACGAUUCCUGGAUUGUCGUAAACUUUACGACGAUCCUAAAUCGUCGUUGGCAAUCAAACUCAGUCCUACGUGGCAGUCCUACGUGGCAAAAUUACGACGAAAUCAAAACAUCAUGGUUGAAAUCAGCCCAACCCAUUUCAAUUGAUCACAUGGGCUGGUUUUAAUUAUUUGGGUUUUUUCUUAUUGGGCUUGUUUUUGGGCCUUAGCCUAUUUGCAGCCACUUCUAGUAUUUUUUCAAUUUUUUUUAUAUCAUCAUAAUUUGGGCCAUGGCCUUUUAGAUCCCAAAUAAAUUUGGUCCAGUUUCAGUUUUGGCCCUUUUUCAUUUUUGAAUUCAGCAACUUUUUGUUCCAUAAUUUGGAUUCAUUUCUAUUUGCUGGGCCUUUUCAACCCAAUUAUUUGUCCAGUAUUAAAUCCAACACUAUUUCAUAUUGAAAUCAAGAAAACUUCAAGUCGAAUUAAAAUCAUCCAUGAUAUAACAUCACAAAAUACAUAUCCCAAGUUUACAUAUCACAAUAAACCAUCUCAUGAAAACAUUUCCUUACACAUGAAUAUAGCAAGAACGAACAAAAUUACACAAUAGAACAAUCGCACAUCUUUUACUGUCCCAACAGUACAGUGGACUUCAUUCCGCUCUCCUAUGAGGCAUGCUCGAGAUGCCACAACUUGUCAAUCUAUAAGAACAUUACACUUCACAUGAAUCAAUCAAAAGGAAACAAAUAUAAAAAAUAUUAGAAAUAAAAAGAUUUAUUUUCAUCCUAAAGAUGAUGUUAAAAAUCCUGAGAUAUAAAUUCUCGAGUAUAAUUAGUCCAACCUAAACAGGUCAGAGAAACUGAAAAUUAAACUUCAAACUAUCUAAGAUUGUUCCAGGAAAUUCUGGACAAAGGAAAUGCAGACAAGCAAACUUAAUAUCUUUAUGGUAUUUUCGCUUUACUAGAGGAAUUUAAGCACCGACACAAGUAGGAGUCAAUGACACAACAAUUAGCAGACAUGUAAGAUAAUACAAAACAAGCUACUCCACGUUACUGUGAUAACCAAGUGCAAACCAGGGUGUAAGAAUAUUAGCCCAAAAAAUCCUUUGGGCAACAUACAUCACUAAAUUACGCUAUCAAUAAGUGCACCAGAGACUCUAAUUUAUUACCUUCAGAAGUUUUAGAUCGAAUCAAAUGAAAACAUGAAAAGGGACUACCAAAGAGCAUUAUUGAUUUAGAUAGAGCUUUGAUGCUGAGUUGAUUUCUCGUGUCAACUGGGGUAAUUCUUUAGCCAGAUUGGAGAAAGGAAACCUGACUAGCACUCAAAAUAUUAACCAGAAGACAAUAGUAAAACAUAAAAGAUGGAUCAGAUUUCCGGCUUUUAAUCCUGAUGGGAUUACAUUUGCGCAUUGUAUACUCAUAGUCGAUAAUUUGGGGACAGUAUCCUCGGGUCCAUAUAACCCAAGGAAAAAAGCAAUUGGUCAUCACAGUAAGUGCAGAAACGUGGUAUGGAUAUGAUAUCAUCACUUCUCACAACAAACAAAAAAUGGUGUAGGAGUUUCUAUUUAUUUAAGACAAGACAACUAUACAGCAUCCAUGACAGAAUGUGUUGCUUACUAGACAUUCAGAAUAAGUAGAGAUACAAAAACAUGACUUCAGAUGCCGAAUAUGCACAGUUUAAUAAUAUACAGUAUCAUGAGACACCUAACAAGUGUUGAUCAUCACUGAUGAAUCAACCACAGAAACCAGCUGCAGAAAGAACAAUAUAGUUGAUAUGUGUAAACGGGGUAUAGUAACAGGAAGCUCCUUCUAUGAGAGCAGCCAGUGUCACAAAAACAUGUUUCCUUCUUGAUGUCUGCCAAUCUAACGAGAAACAAGGCCAUGAAAGCAGACCAAGCAUCAGAUACCUCAUGGCAUCCCAAAUACCACUAUCCAAACAAAAUUUAGUUCAGUGCUAAGAUAUGUAUGGACAAGUUGAAUGCAAAAACCAUCUCAAAGAAUGGUUCGUGCUAGAAUCUUAACCCAAAGUAUCUCUAGGCAACGUACAGCGCUGAAUUACACUACCAAGAAGCGGACCUCAGUACUCAACCUUAAAGCUGAUAAAAAUUUAGCAGAGUAUACCAAAAGAUGAAGGGGAACACUCAGCGUUUCAAAAAAGAAGGCAGCAUCAAAUACUAUAGUAAUUAUUAUUGGACAUGAUAUAGUAAGGUACUUUCACUGGUUAUUGACUGUUUUCAGUUUUCACUAAGCAUAAGUGCAUAAUAUGGAAACAAUAUAAGAGAAACCAUACACCCUCGGAUAUUAAGCUAUUCCAAGUAUGUGAGGUAUACAACUUAUAGGAGCUUACAUGACAUUCGAACCGAUAGUCCCAACGCCCAGAGCAAUGUUCUUCGAGGAAUCUAGGUGUUCUUGUUUAUUCUCUGUAAUAUCUGAUCUCGAUAACCUUUUCUUCUUCCCUCUACUGAUUAAAAAUAGAAGUAAUUAAUCCCAGUCCAAUGUGUUGAGGGAAGAAAAACAUAGCGUGUCAAAAAAGAAGGCAGCAUCAAGUACUAUAGUAAUUACUAUUGGAGAUGAUAUAGUAAGAUACUCUCACUGGUUAUUGACUGUUUUCAGUUUUCACUAGGCAUAAGUGCAUAAUAUAGAAACAAUAUAAGAGAAAACAAAAGUAGUUAGUCCUAAUAAAAUUAUUUCACAUAUUUGUGGCAUGUUCACUCUCAGUUCUUAGGAAGGGAAAAUGCAACCUAGAAUCCUAAAUUCGUUGCAUAUUUUGCCUAUGAUGAAACUAAGAAAAACUAACUUGACAAUACAUGCUAUGGACUGUAGUCUACAGAAUAAAUGACAUACAAGAUUAAAUAAUAUGAUUCUAUUUUGCAGAAGCAGCUGUUUUUUCAUACAUCCCAUGGCAUUUCUGUCGUAAUCACUAGCAACUUCAAAUAGAGUUAAGCAAAAAAUAUCAACAUUCUUUAUUGAUUUCGAUUACAUGCAAAUAAGUAAAAAUGCCCUACUCUACCAAUAAGACAUAAGUAAAGAGCUGACAACACUAGACUGUACAACUACACAAACACAUGAGGUGCUUCUAAGACAAAAAAUAAACCUGAAUUUAGUGUGAGGACUAGCCAAUCCAGAAAGUAAAAAACGCAUUACUGAACAGUCACAGUUUCCAAAACACUAGCCAAUCCAGAAAGUAAAAAACACAUUAGCAAAACUGCAGGACAACAGAAAGGAAGAGUUAAUUUGUGUAGGUGACUGAACAAUACUAUUCAUCUGGACAACAGAAAACUGAUCACCAAAUCCUUUUCAGACAACUAAUUCAUCAAAAGGAACAUGACAUAUCAGGUACUAGUUCACAUAGGACACUGAAUUUGGUAAACUGAAAUAUACCCAACAAAAUACCGAGCACAAACAACAUGUUUUAAUAAUCAUAUUCAGUUAGGGGAAGCAAGUUGGCAGACAUUUCUACAUUAGAAUGUCCACGACUAACAAAACAUUCAUGGUAACACAAAAGGCACAAUCCGGCGAAGUGUUGUAAAUUCCCUUGUAUCCGAGUGGCACAAAUCUGCCUAUUUAUGAAGUAAAUCUAGGCCGGAAUUCCUAGAAUCUCGAACCCCCGAAGUCGCUGAAUAACCAAUUUAUUAGCAGAUCCAAUGGGCUAAACUUGUGAAGUACUAGUAACAUCUAUCUAAACGCUGUCCCAGGUAACAACAGAUCCGGAAAAUCUCUAGUUGGGACGUGUCCCGCUUACUUGAGGUAGUCAUCCUUGAAGAGGUCUUCCCUGUCAUCUUCCUCCUCGUCGCGGAUAACGGUGGCGCUGUCGUCCUCGGGGAGCACAUUAAGGUCGACCUCUGCCUCGCCAUCGUUGUCCGAGUAGGAGGAUGGGUCGGUGGCGCCGUGGCUGGUGGUGGUGUUGGGCGGCAGCCAGUCGGUGUUGAAACCCAGCGAGCCGGGGGUCGACGGCGCGUUCUUCUCCGAGUCGUCCUGGGAAAAUCAAAUCAACCGACGGAAACGUCAGAUCCGGAGGCGGGAAGCAAUUCAACAAGUUAAACCAUCUAUUAAAAAAAUGAAAACCACGCGAAUUUAACAUGUAAAGAUCUAGCUCGAAGAACAAUAAUAUAUAGGUCAUAUGAAUGAUGGUUCAAAUGCAUUCAACACUUCAAAUUACUACUACUACAACUGUCCGCAAAAUUAUAGAAACUUGGCAUAUACCGCAAGCAUUUCUCUUGCACUCAGUCAGGGGAUCGACUUCCAGGUUCCAGCUAGUAGGAGAUUUUCAGUAGAUAAUUUCGAGGCCACUAUCUAAGAAAUUUCAUUAAGUGAUUUCUCUUGUUACUAAACCUACUACACUAUAGCUAGCUCACUAAGAAUUCGUACAAGCAAUCUUGUUACUAAACCUACUACACUAUAUGUCUUGUCAUUCCUGUCCUAGUUUUCAGUGUCAGGAGACUUUUACUAACUUAUGAACAGCAACUGCCACUAUUGACUUCGCCAAAUCAAUAAUUACAAUCACAAGAUCGACCAGGAAACACAGAUUUCAUGCAAAAGACACGGAAUUCAGCAACUAAAAUCCUCCAUGAACAAAGAUAUAGCAGUUGAAACAGUCCAAAUCAUUCAUGCAGUUCCUCACAAGAAAUCAAAUCAUAUGGAGGAUGGAUGGAGAGGCCUCCAUGCAUGCAUGUACGCUUCUUCUUCUUGGUCGCAGCGGGCGGGGAGGAGGUUCCCGCAAUCACGAGCUGUAGAUCGCCCUCGUAUUCACCAAUCUCCGGCGGGCUUCCGGCUAGUUACGGUGGCUUCCCGUGGUAUGGCAGCCAGAACUCCUCUCCCACAACCUCUGUUGUGCUGCUCACGGAAGGGAAGGGGUUUGGUUGGUGGUGGUGUUGGGCGGCAGCCAGUCGGUGCUGAAACCCGGCGAGCCGGGGGUCGACGGCGCAUUGUUCUCCGAGUCGUCCUAGGAAAAGCAAAUCAACCGAUGGAAACGUCAGAUCCGAAGGCGAUUGCUGAGCGUGGCGGCGGCGGCGAGAGGAGGGAGAUGGGGGAGAUGGUCGCUUACCAUCCGCGGGCCCCGAGAAGGCUCUUGUGGAGGGGGCGUGUGGUGGCGAGAUGAGGCUAGGGUUUCAGCAGGAAGGGGGGAAUGGUGGGGAGAGACGGUGUUUCGGUGGGAAGGGGGGAAUGGCUAGGGUUUCCGACGGCGGCGCGGUUCGGUGGCUGGGGCGAGAGGGGAGACGGCGGUGCGGAGUGGGGCAGGGCAACGGGCGACGGAGAUGGGGGAGAAGGGGCGCCGUGGGAGAGAGAGCGAGGGGGCGAUGGGGACACGGGACGAGGGGGCUUUCCCCUCGUCGAUGGGGUGGCGGCGUGGGGUGGAGUGGGAGUGAGGUUGUGGGUCCAUUUAGGGUUAGAUGGAGGUUAGGUGGGCUGGCUUGGGUCGGGCGAUUUGGGCCAAGGGGGUUUUCUUUCCGCCUUUUUAUUAUUUGUUUCUGUUUUUAUUUCAUUUUUUAACAGCUUUAGUUUUAUUUUAUUUUAGUGCAAUGAAAUCUCUUAAAAUUAAUAAUUCUUAAAGGAAAAUUCUCCUAGGUAAUAUCGGACACAUCCGAACAUUUUUAUUUUGACAUUCAAAAACUUUUAUUGCUUUAUUUUAUUUUUAAAUUCAUUUUCAAACUGUUUGAACUAAUGCAAGAUCAACAAUAGAAAUCACGGUGACGUGGCAACAUUAGUGUGGAAUCACUGUAGCUUAAUUACAUAGGUUACUGUAGCAACAAUUGAGGAUAUCACGUCGACCUCCACCGAGCCCUCCAUCGACUGUGGACGGCUCAGAUUGGAUAUAGUGGGGUAAUCCAUGAGAAUAGUUAUCAUUGGUUGGAAACAUCUACAAUUUAAAAUACUAGUUUCUAAGUGGUAAAAAUAUUGAGGGAAACUGGCGGAACUAAAUGAGCUAAAAUUUGGUGGAGUGAGGUUAUAUGGUCAGUUUCAUCCCGUGGUAAAAUUUCAUCAACUAUAAAUCAAUAUAAAAUGUACUUGCUUCACAAAAUUAAAAUAUUAGCACAAACAAAGAUUGAAUGAUGAGCUCACAUGGAUUGCUAGAUGGGGCUAAAAUUUUGUUGAGAACUAUGUUUUCGGCACAUAGAAGAUGUGGAAAAAAUUCAACUCAUCAGGAUAUUCCUAUCUAGUACUUCCUUCACAAAGCUAUUAGCUGAACACAAAUUUUGGAAAAUUUGUGAGAAAGAUUUACUAGGCAAAUCGUUACGAAAGUUUUCAUGAGGCAAUGAUUUGGAUAGGAAAGAGUGCGCAAAAAAUAUAAGGGUAAUCAAAGAAAUAGAAAUAGCACUUCCUUCACAAAAUGCUAUUUUGAACAGAGUAGGAAAAUGAAUAUUGCAGAAUUAUUUUUAAACUAUGGAAGGAAGGAUUUUUCACAUAUUUAAGGAAUAUAUGAUCCAAAGUAUUUAUGAGAAUUUUUUGAGAAUUUUUGGAAUGAUAGAAUAGUAGGUUGCUUCACAAACUAGGAUGAGGUGGGAUAGAAUGGACCCACGAGUGACAUGAUAGAAUAGUAGGAUGAGGUGACAUAGUUAGAACAUGUUACGACAUUUUUAUAAUCGUCGUAAAAGUUAUGACGAUCUCAUCUUAUGCGGUUACGACGUUUUUGACUCACAUCGUCAUAAUUUAUAUGUAGAUUUGAUCCCCUCAAACGGUUUACGAUGAUCUCGGAUGAAAUCGUCAUAGAAUUAUGACGAAUUCAUCAACGACAUCUAAAAAAACGUCAUGUAUGAGUAUAUUUCUUGUGGUGAAUGACCCACCAGCGCGUGGGAUCGAGGCGGUUUUCGAGGGUAGAGUAUUCAACCCAAAUUUGGUGAUUCGCCAAUAGGAAGUGAGAGGAUACUCUCAAGUAUUAGCAGCUGAAUGUGUCAGAUUCAACCACACCUGAAAGAUUAAUAUCUACAAGCAAAGUAACAACAACAAAGUAGUAUGAUAGCAACGGUGUCAGAAACAAUCUGUUGACGGCAGACUAUUCCUAACUGUCGUAUCAAUGGCGCCAGAAGUUGCCCGUUGACGGAAAUUGACUUUUCCCGUCAACGUCGAGCGAAUCAGAAUUGUAGCAGGUAGCAGCAGUGUAAUGAGUAGAAGAAGUGGCAAGGAACAGAAGUAGUGACAGCAGUAGCAAGUAGCAACAGUAGCAAGUAACAAUAGUAGCAAGUAGCAAAAGUAGCAAGUAACAGCAGAGCAAGUAACAGCAGCAGAGCAAAACAAGUAACAGCAGCAGUGGGACAAACUCAUAGGCAAUGGGUCGGUGAUUUGUUUGGAUGAUAUUCAUCAUGCAAGAGUUAUAACAUGGAGAGAUAUGUGGCUAACUCCUGUUCGUCAAUGUGAUGUAGGCAUGCAUUCCGUGUGUCGUCAUACGUGCUUAGGGAAAAGAACUUGCAUGACAUGUAUUGUCCAUCCCUCCCGUGGCAGCGGGGUCCAAAAGGAAACUACGGGAUAUUAAGGUUCUCCUUUUAAUAAAGAACCGGACCAACGCAUUAGCACUUGGUGAACACAUGAACUCCUCAAACUAUGGUCAUCAUCGGGAGUGGUUCCGGUUAUUGUCACUCCGGGGUUGUCGGGUCAUAACACAUAGUAGGUAACUACAACUUGCAAGAUCGGAUCUAAAACACACAUAUAUUGGUGACAACAUAAUAAUUUCAGAUCUGAAAUCAUGGCACUCGGGCCCUAGUGACAAGCAUUAAGCAUGGCAAACUAGUAGCAACAUCAAUCUCAGAACAUAGUGGAUACUAGGGAUCAAUCCCCGUCAAAACUAACUCGAUUACAUGAUAGAUCUCAUCCUACUCAUCACCGCCCAGCGAGCCUACAAAUAGAUUACUCACGAACGAUGAAGAGCUUCAUGGAAUUGGAGAGGGAAGAAGGUUGAUGAUGACGAUGGCGACGAUUUCCCCUCUCUGGAUCCCAAAACGGACUCCAGAUCUGCCCUCCAGAUGAAGAACAGGAUGUGGCGGCGCCUCCGUAUCGCAAACGCGACGAAAUCUUCUCUCUUGAUUUUUUCUGGGACGAAAGUGAAUUUAUAGAGCUAAGUUUGGGGGCGGCAGAGCCACGUGGGCCCCACAAGCUUGCUAGCCGCCACCUGGGGGUGGCGGCUACGGGGCUUGUGGCCCACUGGCCCAUCCCCUCCGGUGGAUAUUUGCGUAGGUAUUCCUCAUAUUUUCCAGAAAUAUUCACCGUAAAUUUUCAGGACGUUCUGAGGACUUUCAUUUCUGCACAAAAACAACACCAAGGCAAUUCUGCUGAAAACAGGGUUAGUCCAGGUUAGUUCCAUUCAAAUCAUGCAAAUUAGAGUCUAAAACAAGGGCAAAAGAGUUUGGCAAAGUAGAUACGAUGGAGACGUAUCAACUCCCCCAAGCUUAAACCUUGCUUGUCCUCAAGCAACUCAGUUGGCAAACUGAGAGAGAAAGAAAAACUUUGACAAACUCUAUUUGAUCUUGUUGUUGCAACUAUGUCUAACUCAUAACCAGAAUUUCAGCAAGAUCACAAGUUAACCACAUAAGCAAGUGACUAAAAGGUAUCACGGUAAACUAAUAUCAAUGGCAUAAUCAGCUAACGAGCAAAUAAUAAUGAGUUUCAAAUACCAACACUUCAAUCAAAACAAGCAUGAAGCAAUAUGAAUAGGUGGUAUCUCGCUAGCUCUUUCUAAGACCGCAAAACAUAAAUGCACAACACUUUCACAGAUCAAGGGCUGACUAAACAUUGUAAUUCAUAGCAACGAAGAUCCAGUCAUAGUCAUAGUCAAUAUCAAUCAAAAGCAAAGCAUAAAAAUGACAAAGGUGCUCUCUAAUUGGUGCUUAUACAAGAGGAGGAUGACUCAACAGGAAAAUAAAUAGACAGGCCCUUCACAGAGGGAAGCAUUGAUUUGCAGAGGUGCCAGAGCUCAAGCUUUGAAAAUAGAGAUAGUAAUUUUGGGUGGCAUGCUUUCAUUGUCAACACAAUGACCAAGAGUUCCCAAUAUCUUCCAUGCUACUAAUGCUAUAGGCGGUUCCCAAACAGAAAAGUAUAGUUUUAACUCCCCCACCACCAAUCAAUUACACUCCACGGCUAGCCAAAUCCUCGGGUACCGUCCAUACUAACAUCAAUCCGGGGGGGGGAGUCUUGUUUUACAGUUAUGUUUUCGAUUUAAGCAUGGAACUGGGCAUUCCAAUUACCUGCCCCUUUCUCAUGAAUGACAAUGAAUAAACACAUGUCGAGGAUAACACUCCUAGCAUGGAAGAUACCAAUAGCCCCCUGUCACCACAUGAGCGGUUCGGGCAUGCAAAACAGAUUAUUUCUGGAAGGUUUAGAGAGUGGCACAUGCAAAUUUACUUGGAAUGGCAGGUAGAUACCGCAAAUAGGUAGGUAUGGUGGACUCUCAUGGAAAAACUUUUGGGUUUAUGGAUGUGGAUGCACAAGCAGUAUUCCACUUAGUACAAGUGAAGGCUAGCAAAAGACUGGGAAGCGACCAACUAGAGAGCGACAACAGUCAUCAACAUGCAAUGAGUUUGACUAACAUUGAAUGCAAGCAUGAACACGAUAUAAAUCACCAUGAACACGAACGUCAUAGAGGCUAUGUUGAUUUUGUUUCAACUACAUGCAUGAACAUGCGCCAAGUCAAGCCACUUGAAUCAUUCAAAGGAGAAUACCAUCCUAUCAUACUACAUCAUAGUCAUCUCAAAAUCUAUGUUGGCAUUCAAGACAAACCAUUAUAAGCUCCUAGCUAAUUAAGCAUGGCAUCAGAAACUAUGAUCUCUAAGUUGUCAUUGCAAACAUGGUUCUCUCACAACAAAGCUAAAUCAGGCAUGACAAGCUAGUCAUAUUUACAAAAACAAAAUAGAUAGAGUUCAUACCAGCUUUUCCAGUCUCAGUCACUUCAUCAUAUAUCAUCAUUAUUGUCUUUCACUUGCACGAUCGAACGAAGUGAACAAUAAUAAGAGUUCUCGUGCAUUGGACUAAGCUGAAUCUGCAGGCAAACACAAAGGAGAAGACAAAGUAAUAUGGCUCUUUGAAAGCUAAACAGGUAUGCAUGCAAGAACCACUAAACAUUGUAACCAAUAUCUUCUACCUUGACACAAAGAAAAAGAAAACUAUUUACACGAGAAAGCUCCCAGCAAGCAAAAGAAGAAAGAAAAAUACUUUUGGGUUUUCUCAAAAUGACACAAAACAAGAAAACGAAAAUAAACUAGCAUGGAUAAUACAGUGGCAAAGUGUGAACACCGGCUAACAAAGGGAAAGCAUAAGCAUGAACGUAAGGUCGGUGAGAACACGCACUCCCCCAAGCUUAGGCUUUUGGCCUAGCUUGGUCUACUCCCAUGGAUGGUCCUGGCGAAACCCAAAAUCAUAAUGGGUGUUAUACGGGAGUGCUGCAGCCACUGCCUGAAUAGGUGCAUCACGAAGUCGAGCAGCCGUCGCCUCCCUCUCAUACUCCUCUGCCUCUCCUAUUGUUAUGUAGUAUAUUUGUUUUACCUGAAAGUCAAAGAAAGCAGGAGCAGGAAGGGUAAUAUGGAGAACACGCUACCGGUUAAAUAUCAAGCAGUAUAGGAGGGAUCCAUGAUCCAUCUCAAGAAACUGGUAGCGUGUUAGAGCGACACGAUCAAGGUAGGCUGUACGGAGAGGAGGGUCUUCUAAACGGAUGGACACUCCAAGAAAAUUUGCUAAGCGUGUAGCAUAAAUUCCACCAAAGAAAUCCCCCUCAAUGGCAUUAUUAUUCAGCCUCCUUGCUAUUAUAGCUCCCAUAUUGAAGCUCCUCUCACCUUUUACUGCACUCUUAAGGAUACUAAGAUCGGAAGNUAAUAUGGAGAACACGCUACCGGUUAAAUAUCAAGCAGUAUAGGAGGGAUCCAUGAUCCAUCUCAAGAAACUGGUAGCGUGUUAGAGCGACACGAUCAAGGUAGGCUGUACGGAGAGGAGGGUCUUCUAAACGGAUGGACACUCCAAGAAAAUUUGCUAAGCGUGUAGCAUAAAUUCCACCAAAGAAAUCCCCCUCAAUGGCAUUAUUAUUCAGCCUCCUUGCUAUUAUAGCUCCCAUAUUGAAGCUCCUCUCACCUUUUACUGCACUCUUAAGGAUACUAAGAUCGGAAGCGCAUAGGUGACAAUGUGCACCCUUGCCGUUAAUGCACCUACCUAUGAAGAAGGCAAAGUAGUGCAAGGCAGGGAAAUGGAUGCUUCCUAUGGUGGCUUGCGUGAUAUCUCUGGUUUCUCCAACAGUUAUACUGGAGACAAAGUAUCUCACCGAAGACUUAGAAGGAUGAUUAAUACUACCCCCAUUGGGUAUCUUGCAAAUCCUAUUGAAAUCCUCCAAAUCCAUGGCGUAGGAUUUAUCAUACAGAUCAAACAGUAUGGAUGAGUCAUGGCCAACUGAAAAUUUAAAUCUACGCACAAAAGAGGCAGUGAGCAUAGCAUACUAUUCACAUUUAUCUGAGAGGAAUUCUUCUAACCCGGCAUUGCGGACAAGUGUAUCAAAAUCAUACUUGAAACCUGCUUCGAUCAUGAACUCAUCGGAAGGCCAUUCACAUGGUUGUACGGGUGUGUCCCUUAGUUGAUAUGGUUCGGGCUCCCGAAAAGAAAGACGGGGACCCUUCUUACUUGAGGAACCACCAUGAAAAUUCCUCCUGAACAUAAUUUCCUUUUGCUGAAAUUUUUGAAGUUCAAGAGAAAAGUGAAUGAAGACCAACCACACCUUGUAGCAACUACUCCUACUAGUGCCUAGAGACCGUAUCACGCGCUAAAACUACUUGGGACCAGUGAUACGUCUCAAACGUAUCUAUAAUUUUUGAUGGUUUCACGCUGUUAUCUUGUCUUCUUUGGUUGUUUUAUGUACCUUUUAUAUCUUUUUUGGGACUAACUUAUUAAUUCAGUGCCAAGUGCCAGUUCCUAUUUUUUCCGUGUUUUUCACUCUUUUCAGAUCUGAUUUUGGAACGGAGUCCAAACGGAAGAAAAACCCCAAAAUGAUUUUUUCCCGAAAGGAAGAAGAUCAGGGGGGCCUUUGGGCCAAGCCAGGUGGGCUCUAGGGAGCCCAGAAGCACCCACUCUGCCACCAGGGGAGGCGGCGGUGGGCAGGCUUGUGGCCUCCCUGGCCGCCCCCUGACCUAGAUCUUUGGCCUAUAAAUUCCCAAAUAUUCCGCAAAAAAUUAGGGCAGCCUCGAAAAUACUUUUCCGCUGCCGCAAGCUUCCGUUUCCGCGAGAUCUCAUCUGAAGGCCCUUCCUAGCACCCUGCCGGAGGGGACUUUGGAGUUGGAGGGCUUCUUCAUCAUCAUCAUCGCCCCUCCAAUGACUCGUGAGUAGUUCACUUCACACCUACGGGUCCGUAGUUAGUAGCUAGAUGGCUUCUUCUCUCUCUUGGAUCUUCAAUACGAAGUUCUCCAUGAUCUUCAUGGAGAUCUAUCCGAUGUAAUCUUCUUUGGCGGUGUGUUUGUCGAGAUCCGAUGUAUUGUGGAUUUGUGAUUAGAUUAUCUAUGAUAUAUAUUUGAGUCUUUGUUGAUUUCUUAUAUGCAUGAUUUGAUAUCCUUGUAUGUCUCUCCGAGUCUUGGGUUUGUUUGGACAACUAGAUCUAUGAUUCUUGCAAUGGGAGAAGUGCUUGGUUUUGGGUUCUGCCAUGUGGUGACCUUUCCUAGUGACAGUAGGGGCAGCAAUUGCUCGACUUUGCGCGGUUCUAUCAAUUGCUCGACAGUAAUUUGUUCACCCACCGUCUAGUUGCUUUCAUGAGAGAAGCCACUAGUAAACACUACGGCCCCCGGGUCUAUUCACAUCCAUCGUUUACAUCUCCGCUUUUACUUUGCUUUGUUACUUUGUUGCUUUCAUUUCUCACUUGCCAAACAAUCUAUAAGGGAUUGACAACCCCUUCAUACCAUUGGGAGCAAGUUUUUGUGUUUGUGCAGGAUCUUGAGAUACUCCUCCACUGGAUUGAUACCUUGGUUCUCAAACUGAGGGAAAUACUUACCACCGCUACGCUACAUCACACAUUCCGCUUCGAGGGAACACCAACGCAAGGCUCCAAGUCCACGGGGGAAAUCCUUUGCAUACUUGACCAGGAAGUCCCUUAAGGCGUAGCUGCGGCAGAAAGAUCAAGCCAAGUAUUCUCCCGUCGACGUGCCUAUUUCUGGCGCCGUUGGAAGGUCUUUUGUUGCAGUAGCAGAAGUAUUUCUGGCGCCGUUGCGGGGGAGAAGAAAUCAAGAUCUAUCCAAGUAGGUCUCACAAACUCUUCUCUUGCAUUUACUUUUGUUGCCAGGUGCCUCUCGCUUUCCUCUCCCCCACUUCAAAUUUGUCGUUUUCAUUCGCCUUUCGUCUUCGCCGUUUUCUUUUGCCUUUGUCGGUUCUCUUGCUCGCUUGUGUGCCAUGUGCCUUCAAUAUGCUUGCAUCUUUGUUUGUUAAUAUCUUUAAGAGACCCACUUAUGUGGAACAAAUUGCUAGUGAGUAAAGGGAAAUUGACUAUUUCUAUGGAGUUUUUCUUAAGAUGCGUGAAUCUGAAAAUUGUGAGGAAGAAAUUCAUGAAGUGAUUCACGAGGGCUCCUUGGAUGAAAAGCAUGACUGCAAUGGUUUCAAUAUAAAUUCUAUUAGUGACAAUCAUGCUAAGAACAUGCAAAACCCUAAGCUUGGGGAUGCUAGUUUUGCUAUGACCACUACUUAUUGCAAUAAUCAUGAUUGGGGUGAUGAUCUUUCUUAUUAUCUUGAAAAUUUAUUCAAACCUCAUGAUGAAUGUGAUAUUUGCAGCAAUACUAAAAAUGGGAUUGGAGAAGUCAUGACUUUAUUUCAUGAUAUUCCCACUAUUUUUGAAGAGCGUCAACUUUGCAUGCAUGUGGAUCAUGAAAAGAAUAUCCUAUGGGGUAGCUAUAUUGUUGAAUUUGAAUAUGAUCCCACAUGUAAUUGCCAUGAGAGAGGAAAAUAUUUUGGUAGAAACUUUCAUUUUACCAAAUUACCUCUCGUUAUGUUGAGAUUGCUAUUGUCUCUUUCUUCUUCCUUGCAUAUGGCAACUAUUGGUUGUUAUCGUGGGUAUAAGUCUGACAGUAGAAGUACGGGGUACGAAAGUAUAUGGGCAGAGCCUUAGCUAUGGCUAGGAUGUAUGAGUUCAGGCCCCUCUACGGUGGAGGAAAAAGCCCUACGUCUCAGUGCUCUUGGGAGCUUUGUGUCGAGUGUAUUAAGGGAUUACUGCAAGUGCCAACCCCUGUACCAGUGGUGAAGGGCGGCUUAUAUAGAGUGCCCUCCCCUUCAUAAUGGUCCGGUGGACAUGGGUGGAGUAGGAGCGAGUAAAGGCUGGCGUUACUGGUAACGUAAGCCUUAAAUGCUAGUUAUGGUGUAUGAAAACGUAUGACCAUUGCCCUCCUGGGAGGUUACGACGUACAGAGUGGAUUCCAGUCGGUACGUUAGAUAUGCUCCGAGUGGAUCGUCGCCGACUGGAUGAUGGGGGCGUCCUUAGUUCAGUAGGAACUGUCUAAGGGCCCUGUCCUCUAUGAAGGGUAGUCCUUGGGUAGGACCUAUAGGGCAGACCUAUGACCCCAUCAUUAGUCCCCGAAUGGGUCGGGGUUGGAACGAUGAAGUGAUGUCCGGAGUUUGGAGCCGACUGGUAUUUAGGUGAUCUUAGCGUUGUCUGCCUCGAUCCAUUUUCUCUUUGUGGCUAGUGAUCCGAGUGAAUAUGCAAGCGAAAUGAACCGUGAGGGACCGAUUGCUUCCCCGGAAUCUUUCGACGUGACCGGUCAUACUGACAGCGCCGGAUUUUCCGAGAUUCUCAAAUUUCGGUUGUCGCACGCCCAGCGGGGAUGACGACAUCGCCAUUGAGUAGAUUUCGCCUCCUCGAUUACCGCGCCGUGAUCUUCUCCACUAAUCUUGCAGUAGCUGUUUGGGAGGAUAAGAUCUUGGGCCCACAUGUAGGUGACUCAGUCGGAGGCCUAUUAAAGCCUUCCCGGCGGACCUUCUUGUUGCGCUGCUCAUCUUCCUCCCAUCGAUCUCGCCUCCCCGCAACUCCCUGCACACCUUUAGCCACCUCCUCCCCCUCCUCCUGUGCGGAUCCGUCGCCCUCGCCAUGACGAAGGGGCAGACCAGCAAGCUUGAGGCGAAGAAGAGGAAGAAGGGGGCGGCCUCCACUCAGCGGCGGCAGCGGGCGUUGCCGGCGGGCUGGAUCCAGGGGGACUUCCUCCCCUCCACGGUGAGGGAGACCGACGUGCUGGAGCUGGUGGAGCACGGCAUGGUCGUCAAUAAGUCUUGGAGGCUGCCGGAAGGCGAAAUGGAGCCGGCACCGAAGGAGGGGGAGCGCGUUCUGCUGCUCAGCCACGUGGUCAGAGGUUUCUCCCUGCCUCCCCAUCCUUUGUUCCGAGGAAUUAUGAAUUACUUUGGGGCGCAGCUCCAUCACUUUCCGCCGAAUGCGAUAGCUCAUCUUUCCGCAUUCAUCACCCUGUGCGAGUGCUUCAUAGGGUGUCCUCCCCACUGCGGGCUCUUAAAAUAUGUUUUCUCCGCUAGAUCUCAAAUGGUUAAGAAGCUUAGCCAGUCCGAUGAUAAGACACACAUCCUCCAGCUCUGCGGGGGUUUAGGAUUUUAGAAGAAAACGAAAAGUAGUUAUCCCUCCCUUUAGCUAUCUGAGUCGGUUAGGAACUGGCAAUCGUCCUGGUUCUAUUGCCAGGACAUUGCCUGCCCGAAUGCUUCGAGUGGAUUACCACCCUUCAGUUUAGACCGUCCGGGCCCUCCCAGAAAGCUAGCGCUCUCUAAGUGAGAAAAACCCAGAUCCAGCCUUUGAUCGACACGCUGAUAGCCGUCGUCCGGAAGGGAGUCACCGACAUGGACCUGUUGGAGACUUUUCUGGGUCGAUGCAUCCAGCCGCUCCAGGCCCGAGACCACGCAAUGUGGCAUUACACGGGGCCUUCGGAUACCACUCGGUCCCAUCCUUAAGAUGUGAGCGAGGAGACCAUGGGUGCGUGGGUCCACAGCAUCACGGGCACAUGUGAUAACCCCGUGGGAGCUCGGCGGGUGAAGGGCUUCCACGCCCAAAAUCCUCCUCCGAAUGAGGUGAGUACAUGUUGUCGAGUGCUUUUAACCUUCUCAGUUUUAUUGCUUUUCUUGUCUCGCUGACUGAUGUUGCCGACUAUGUUUUGUGCAGGAGUGGACGAACUAGCAUUCUGCAGUCUCAAAUGGGAAUCCGGUCAAGGAAGAAGAAGGAAGCAUGGAGGGUAGCGCGGGUAGUGCCGAGUAUGUCUCUGACAGUAGGGAGACGGAGGAGGAAACAAAAGAGGAGGAGGAGGAGAGUGAAGAGCAGAGCUCGUCACCCUCACCACCAGAACACCGAACGAAGCACUGUCAUGACCCCGUUGUUCCGCCGGCUCCUCCCGUGGCCCCGAGUGCUCGGAGUGUGAACAGAACACGGGGUUCUUCUGUCGAGCCCGUGGAUCAGCCGUCCAAGGUGGCUAAACCCAGCGGGUCUAAACAUCGGAAAGCUUUGCCCCGGAUGAGGAUCGUUGUUCCGGUGGCCUCAGCGUAAGUAUCUUUGCUCUUCCAUCUUCCUUCAGUAUCCGAUUGAACUCUUCUUUUUGGGAAUUCAUGUUUACCCGUCGAAUGGAUUUCACUCAACAGAGCUGCUACCUCCUCCACCUCUCUGCUGCGUCAGGGUGACGAUCCCAUGGACACUGAUAACGCCGCCACGUCCCAGCAAGGUACGUUGUCACGAAUCCAAGAGCUGUAUUACCGUUUCGCGAGUGCUGUCUUUGAUCUUGAUCUUUUUCUGUAUUUUUAUUUUGUUCAGUCGGGCUUCCUUCGGAGGUGAUUCAUCUGGACGACGACGACCAAAGGAGGUCGGAACCAGCUUUGGCACCUGUCCUUGGGGUUAUCCAACCUACUGCCAACCCCGCCAUGAGCGUGCCGCCGACUGAGACGGUGUUCUUCACGGCGGAACCGACUGGAGCAGAGCUCGGGAUACCUAGGGCGCCUUCUGCCACGCCGGGUCCGUCGACUGUUCAAUAUGAUGCCCGGCGCCUCCCGGAAGAUCAAGUAGGAGCCGCCAAGGAUGCCAUGGUACAAGUGGAGCUGAUGGUGGGCGAAGCCAAGGGAGCAUAUGACUCCGUUGCGUCCCUGUACAAGAAGAGCUUGGAGCUUCGGGAUGAUAUCCGAGUAAGUGCGCUAGUAAGUGUUUUGGCAAGAUACUCGGAUACAGUAGGUUAAUUUUCCAGUGGGUUCACUCCGAGUGAACCCAGUGGGUGUAGUCCCCGAGACUUCUGCCGAGUGCUUGCACCGCAGUUGUCUUUAUAUGUAUUUUCCAUAAUCUCUACAGAUCAGAGCUGAUCUGCCCGAAUGGUACCAGUGGGGGCACGCCGAGUGCAACCACUGGGUGUAGUCCCCGAGAGUAGUGUUACUCGGGUCGAGUAAUAGUAAUCUCGUAGUGUUGUUGGUUUGCUAUGGAGCUCAAUGGGACCGACCGGUUCGAGCUUCAUACCAGUGGGUUCACUCUCAGUGAACCCACUGGGUGUAGUCCCCGAGACCACUGUCGAUUGCUUGCAUCGGCAGGGGUCUGAAGAAUCUUGAGCUUUGAUUGUUUUGUCAUAUCUGUCGAGACUUUUCCUUCUUGAAUCUGGCUGAUCCUCCCUUUGUGUCUCUUUGACAGAAGACUUGUGAAAUGGGAUCGGCUUAUAAUGCUCUGAAGGCUGAGAAGACUCAACUUGCUGCCGACUUGGAGGUAGCUGCGAAUGAUCUGGCUGGCAUGAAGAAGGCACUCGCUGAACGAGAAAUAUCUUUGGAGGAAUCUCGGGGGACUAACAAGGCACUACUAGCUGAGUUAGAAAAAAUGAAGAAGGAGAGAUCUGAAUGGGUGGGCCAGCUGAAGUCAAUGAACGCUCGGUGCAAAGCGCAGGAGAACUACGUCGGCGACUGGGCGAAGAAGAUGGUCGCACUGCUUGGUGGUAAGUAGCUUGCCGAGUGCUCUUUGACUUUGGAGUUCACUCCGCGCUUCUUUUCUCCCUGUCUUUUCUUUGCAGAUUUCUGUCACGACGUUGAAGCUGAAACCGCCGAAAUUGAACGGUCGCUUGGGCAACCGAAUGUUCCACUCGGUGAUGAAGCUAACCGGGACAUGUUCCGUCUGAAUUCCCGCCUUAACAAGGUGGGUCCUUUCAUUGGUCGCCUGAGAGAAGUUGUGGGCCGAAUUCACAAAGAGCUGUGGCCUGAAGAUGACUCCCGGAAUGAGAUAGAGGGGUUGACGACUCGACUGGAGGAUGCUCCAAGCAGUGUGCAGGCAUGGAAGAAGUUUGCCGCUCGGUGUGGCGCGGACGUGGCGUUGUCUCUAGUCUGAGUGCAUUGUAAGGAAGCCCGUGAAGACAAGCUGAAGAGGUUGCAGGUCGCCAACACCAAGAAGCUUCGAUUUGAAGACUUCAUGGAGACCUUUCUCGACACGGCCACUCGUAUUGCAGAUGGAAUCGACCUCGACACCUUCGUGGAGCCUGCCAGCUCCGGCGAUGCUUGAUUGACUUUAUGCUGAGCAUGCAUUUACCUCGGUAUGCCGAGUGGAGUUUGUAUUAAACUUUGGCCACUGCUGUUGGCCGGUACAUUCGUGGCUCAGUGUGGAUAAACUUGAUUCACACCGAGCCGACUGAUCGUUGAACUCAAUUUGAAUUCGAACCGGAUCUUUUGCUCUUCUUUCGUUGAGUUUUUUUUACACGAGUUUUGCUCGUGGUUUUUGUUUAGGCGACUCAGCUAAACCUCCGAGUGUAACUUGUGUGCCCACUCAGAGGAAGCUCUUUACUUAGGCAACUCUGGUUCGCAACUAAGUCCUCGAGUGUGACUUUUGGUGCACACUCGGAGUUAGUUUUUACUUAGGCAACUCUGGAUCGCAGCUAAGUCCCCGAGUGUGACUUUUGGUGCACACUCGGAGCAAGUUGUUUACUUAGGCGACUCUGAGUCGCAGCUAAGUCCCCGAGUGUGACUUUUGGUGCACACUCAGAGCGAGUUGUUUACUUAGGCGACUCUAGGUCGCAGCUAAGUCUCCGAGUGUGACUUUUAGUGCACACUCGGAGCGAGUUGUUUACUUAGGCGACUCUGGGUCGUAGCUAAGUCCCCGAGUGUCACUUUUGGUGCACACUCGGAGCGAGUUGUUUACUUAGGCAACUCUGGGUCGCAGCUAAGUCUCCGAGUGUGACUUUUUGUGCACACUCGGAGUGAGUUGUUUACUUAGGCGACUCUGGGUCGCAGCUAAGUCCCCGAGUGUGACUUUUGGUGCACACUCGGAGGGAGUUGUUUACUUGGGCGACUCUAGGUCGCAGCUAAGUCCCCGAGUGUGACUUUUGGUGCACACUCGGAGCAAGUUGUUUACUUAGGUGACUUUGGGUCGCAGCUAAGUCUCCGAAUGUGACUUUUAGUGCACACUCGGAGCGAGUUGUUUACUUAGGCGACUCUGGGUCGCAGCUAAGUCCCCGAGUGUGACUUUUGGUGCACACUCAGAGCGAGUUGUUUACUUAGGCGACUCUGGGUCGCAGCUAAGUCCCCGAAUGUGACUUUUAGUGCACACUCGGAGCGAGUUGUUUACUUAGGCGACUCUGGGUCGCAGCUAAGUCCCCGAGUGUGACUUUUGGUGCACACUCAGAGCGAGUUUUUAACUUAGGCGACUCUGGGUCGCAGCUAAGUCCCCGAGUGUGACUUUUGGUGCACACUCGGAGCAAGUUGUUUACUUAGGUGACUCUGGGUCGCAGCUAAGUCCCUGACUGUGAAUUUUGGUGCACACUCGGAGCAAGUUGUUUACUUAGGCAACUCUGGGUCGCAGCUAAGUCCCCGAGUGUGACUUUUGGUGCACACUCGGAGUUAGUUUUUUAGACCGGAGUCUGCAAACGCAGAAGAAUUUUGAAUCGGCAAGAAAUUCAUCCGCUUUGUAUUACUUCGAUGACAUUUGUUCUUUACAUUGUCUCUGUCGGCGGUUAUGUGUAGAAGUGCUUCAGUAGAUCUCCAUUCCAUGCCCGCGGCUCGUCCGUCUCCCUGUCGAGGUUGUAGAGUCGAUACGCUCCAUUGUUCCGUACCUUAGAAAUGAUGAACGGUCCUUCAUAGGCGGGAGCCAACUUGUGUGGUCUCUGUUGAUCCACUCGGAGCACCAGGUCUCCUGCUUGGAACGUGCGGCUCCUGACGUGCCGCUCAUGAAAUCGCCGCAGAUCUUGUUGAUAAAUUGUUGAACGGAUCAAUGCCAUCUCGCGCUCCUCUUCCAAAAGGUCUACUCCGUCUUGCCUGGCUUGCUCUUCUUCGGCUUCGGAGAAGAGUUCGACUCGUGGAGAGUUGUGAAGCAAGUCACUUGGAAGGACUGCCUCUGCUCCAUAAACGAGGAAAAAUGGGGAUCGUCCUGUCGAUCUAUUCGGGGUUGUUCGGAGGCCCCACAGCACCGAAGGCAGCUCGGUGACCCAUGCGCCGGCGGCAUGCCCAACUUCCCGCAGGAGUCGAGGCUUCAACCCUUAAAGAAUGAGUCCAUUCGCCCGCUCCGCUUGUCCAUUUGUUUGGGGGUGCGCAAAGGAUGCAAAAUACACUCGGAUACCUUGGCCUACGCAAAAACCUUUGAACUCGUCCGAGUUAAAGUUUGGGCCAUUGUCGGUGAUUAUGCUGUGUGGAACCCCGUAUCUGGCAAUGAUGUCUCUGAUAAAUUUGAUGGCCGUAAGGGCAUCAAGCUUCUUGAUUGGCUUGGCUUCAAUCCACUUGGUAAACUUGUCGACUGCUACCAGCAGAUGGGUGAAUCCUCCUUGGCUUGUUCUGAAUGGUCCGACUGUAUCUAAUCCCCACACGGCCAAUGGCCAAGAAAGGGGAAUUGUCUUCAGCGCGGACGUUGGCUUGUGGGACUUGUUUGAAUAGAACUCACAACCUUCGCAAUGGUCGACUAUAUCUUUUGCCAUUUCAUUCGCCUGCAACCAGAAGAAACCAGCUCUGAAUGCUUUGGCAACGAUCGCCCUUGAGGAGGCAUGAUGACCACAGGUUCCUGAGUGAAUUUCUUCCAAAAUUAACCGACCCUCCUCAGGAGAGAUACACCCCUGAAGGACGCCUGAAACACUUUCUCUGUAUAACUGGUCAUCAAUGACGGUGAAGGACUUCGACCUGCGAAUGAUCUGCCUAGCUUGGACCUCAUCUUCCGGUAACUCUUGCCUCAGGAUGUACGCAAUGAGUGGCACAGUCCAUUCGGGAAUGACAGCUAGAAUCUCCAUGACCAGGUCAACCACAGCGGGAAACUCGACUUCGAUCUGAUCUAUUGAGCUCUUCGGUUGCACAAGUUCCUCUAUAAAAGGAUCUUCUUUUACCGAGGGGAGGUGUAAGUGCUCGAGGCAGACAUCACUCGGGACAGGUCUCCGUGUGGAUCCAAGUUUUGCCAAUUCAUCUGCUGCUUGGUUUUUCAGUCGGGGAACAUGGUGAAGUUCCAUACCUUCGAACUUCUUUUCGAGCUUUCUUAUUGUGUUGCAGUAUGCAGUCAUGGUGGGGUUCCUUACAUCCCACUCCUUCAUUACUUGAUUAACCACUAGAUCUGAGUCGCCAUAGACCAUCAGGCGACGGACGCCGAGUGUGAUGGCCAUGCACAACCCGUAAAGGAGAGCUUCGUACUCUGCUUCGUUGUUGGAAAAAUCAAAAUGGAUCUGCAACACAUACUUGAGUUUAUCACCUUUCAGGGAUAUGAGCAGUACGCCGGCGCUGGAGCCAUUCAACAUCUUGGACCCAUCGAAGAACAUGGUCCAAUGAGCCGAGUAGAUGUGAGUCGGUUGCUGUUGCUCUACCCAUUCUGCCAUGAAGUCGGCAAGAGCUUAAGACUUUAUAGCUUUCUUGGCUUCGAACUUGAUGUCGCAGUAUAGCAUAUCCAUUGCUCACUUUGCCACUCGGCCUGAUGCGUCCCGAUUGUGGAGAAUUUCCGACAACGGAGCAUCAGAUAUGACAGAUACCGAGUGGUCUUGGAAAUAAUGAGCCACGUGCUUUGCAGUCAUGUAGAUCCCAUAAAUAAGCUUCUGAUAAUGGGGACACCUCUGCUUGGAAGGAGUCAGGACUUCAGAAACAUAAUAUACUGGCCGCUGAACCUUGUACGCUUUGCCUUCUUCUUCGCGUUCGACUGUCAGAAUAGUGUUGACGACUUCGUUUGUAGCCGCGAUGUACAAAAGAAGGGGUUCUUUACUGAGUGGGGCAGUAAGAACCGGCUGGGUGGAAAGCAGGGCUUUGAGGUCGUCGAAUGUGGUUUGGGCUUCGUUUGUCCACUCGAAGGUAUCCGACUUCUUCAUGAGUCGGUACAGAGGUAACGCCUUCUCGCCGAGUCGAGCGAUAAACCUGCUCAAAGCCGCUAGAAAACCUAUGAGCUUUUGUACGUCAUGUACUCUUACCGACCGCUCCAUUCGAACAAUGGUCCCGAUGUUUUCGGGGUUGACAUCGAUCCCUCGUUCGGAAACAAAGAAACCGAGUAACUUCCCGCUGGGAACGCCAAAUGAACACUUGGCUGGGUUUAGCUUGAUAUUGUACCUACGUAGGUUGGCGAAUGUUUCUGCCAAGUCAGUCAGUAGGUCGGAACCUUUGCGUGACUUGACUACGAUAUCGUCCAUAUAUGCCUCCACAUUUCGACCAAUCUGGUCUAGGAGGCAUUUUUGGAUCAUUCGCAUAAAAGUUGCUCUUGCAUUUUUCAAACCGAAUGGCAUAUUGAUGUAACAGAAGCACCCGAAUGGGGUGAUGAAAGAUGUUUUUAAUUCAUCCGGACCAUAUAGACGGAUCUGAUGGUAGCCCGAAUAGGCUUCAAGGAAGGAUAAGCGCUCGCAACCCGCAGUCGAAUCAACGAUUUGAUCUAUGCGGGGGAGCGGGAAGUGGUCUUUCGGACAGACCUUAUUAAGGUCCUUGAAAUCGAUGCACAUACGAAGAGACUUGUCCUUCUUGGGCACCAUGACAACAUUAGCGAGCCACUCGGAGUGGUGUACCUUGCGAAUGAAGUUGGCUGCCAGAAGUUUAGCUACCUCCUCUCCGAUUGCUUUUCUCUUGUGCGCGGCAGACCGACACAGUCGUUCUCGGACGGGCCGAGCGGCAGGAUCCACAUGCAGUCGGUGCUCAGCCAACUCCCUGGGUACACCUGGCAUGUCAGCAGGCUUCCAUGCAAAAAUGUCCCAGUUCUCAUGAAGGAAUUGGAUGAGCUCGGUUUCCUAUUUUGGAUCAAGGGUGGUGGAGAUGUUUGUUGGGGCGGUGGUGGCAUCCGUCGGGUGGACUCUUACUUUUUUCGUGUCUCCCGCCGACUGGAAUGCGGACUCGGAAGCUGGCUUCUUUGAACGCAUCAGGUCGGCAGGGUCGGCAAUCUUCUUGUACUCAUCCAACUCGAGUACAGCCAUCUGAUGGUCUGCAAUUCUCAACCCCUGCUGCAGACACUCCUCGGCUCGUUGCCGAUUGCGUGUGACAGUAAUCACGCCUUUGGGACCAGGCAUCUUCAGCUUCAAAUAUACGUAACAUGGACGGGCCAUGAAACGUACAUAUGCCGGACGGCCCAGAAUGGCAUGGUAUGCACUCUGGAAGUCUACCACCUCGAAUGUUAACUUCUAUUUGCGGAAGUUCUUGUCAGAGCCGAAGACGACGUCCAACGCAAUCUGGCUGAGAGAUUUUGCCUUUCUUCCUAGGACGACUCCAUGGAAUUGCAUACUGCUUUCGCUAAGUCUGGACAUCACAAUGCCCAUUCCCUUGAGAGUAUCGGUGUACAUGAUAUUCAAGCCGCUGCCGCCGUCCAUGAGGACUUUGCGCAGCCUAACUCCUUCCACCACCGGGUCGACGACCAGAGCUUGCCUCCAUGGGGUGGGUACGUGUGCUGGGUGGUCUGCCUGAUCAAAAGUGAUUGCAGUCUGUGACCACUUGAGGAACGUGGGAGUGGAUGGGGUUGCCAUGUUUACCUCCCUGCUGACCAGCUUCAGUCGACUUUUGCUUUCUACAUCAGCAAAAAUCAUUAAUUUUGCAUGGACUUGAGGGAACGGAUCCUCCUUGUCCUCAUCAUCUUUCUCGGUGUCUUUCUCACUCGGCUGUCCUUCACCGAAUCCUUGGAUCAGGAGGCGACACUACCGAGUGGUAUGUUUCGGCAAUAUGACAUUGCCUUCUUCAUCCAUCUUCGUGUGGAUUGGACACGGCUGAUCUAGGAUGGAAUUUCCUGACUGUUUCUUCUUGGGGGUGUACUGUGGUUUCCCCUUGCCUUUGAACUUAGCGUUUGUAACGACUGCCGCCUCUGCUUGCGGAGUGGAUUGGGCUUUCUAUUUCUGCUUCCGACUGCUGCUCCCAUCUCCGUCGGCGACUGACUUAUGCUUGCCGCUACGUAUGCGGUCCUCCUCUUCGCCAUUUGCAUAGCACGCAGCUAUCUCCAUCAUCUUGCUCAUGGAGAUGUCGCCUGUCCGACCAAACUUCAGGUAUAGAUCUUUGUACCGAACGCCUGCCUUGAAGGCGCAGACUGCUUGGUGUUCUGUAACAUUCUCCACCGUGUGGUAGAGGGUUGUCCAGCGUUGGGUAAAAUCGCGCAGGGGCUCGUUUUGCUUCUGGACACAGUGCUGAAGCUUUGUGAGACCAGCGGGGCAUUUGCACGUACCCUUGAAGGUCCUGAUGAAGACUCGGGACAGAUCUGCCCAACUCGAAAUGGUUGAUGGAGCUAACUGGUUUAGCCAAGCUCGAGCCGAACCGUCGAGCAUCAAUGGGAGAUGUUUCAGGGCGACAUGGUCAUCUCCGCCACCGAUGUGGACCACCACUCUGUAGUCGUCUAACCAAGUUUCUGGUUUGGACUCUCCUGUGAAUUUGCUGAAUCCCGUCGCCAAUCGGAAGUUGGGAGGGAUGUCAGCCGAGCGAAUGGCCCGACUGAAACACUCGGGACCAGAAACAACGGUCCUGCUUCCACUCGGAUGAUCUCUAUCGUGACCACCACGGUGGGCUCGGCUUCUAUCAACCUUCUUUUGAGUGAUAUACCCUCUUGCAUCAGGCCUUUGAUCAUGCGCGUCACCGCCCGAACGACAAUCAUCGUAAUGCGGGGGUCCGUAAGGCCCACUCCGCCGAGGAGUACGCGAACGGCGAUGAUCUUCGGGAUGAGACCGAAUGGAAGGUGGAUUCCGACUCUGGUCCCUGGAAUGAUCGUUCCAGAGGCUGCCCCCUCUGCGACGCUGGUGAGAGCUGGGACUGAAAACCGACCGAUGUGUGUUCGCUUGAACGGAACUGUUGUGGAUCUUGUUGUGCGACUGGGAGACCGCCGAGUUUUGCUGCUGCACCGUAUGUAACAAGGCACGGAUCUGCUCAAUUCCUCUACCAGCCUCUGAAUCAGUCGGCUGGAGAGAAUCAGUGAUCUUGGCGGCUGCAGCCAAGUUGAGGAUGGGUGUGCGGAACACCUCGACGUGGCUCUGGCGAACGCGUCGACUGGAAGAACGAGGGUGCUGACGACGAGCGCCGGAUGAUUCUCCGAUCUCACGCUCGUUCCGACCAGUCCCGGGCGACUUUUGUGGGAAUCGGCCAUGAGCACUUCGGCCGUAGGCCCGUGACCCUGAUACUCGGAAGGUAGUUCAGUCGGAAAUGAGUCCAAGCACUGGGAUGACCGCGGGACCACAACCGAUUCAAGCACCACCACUUGAGAGGACAUGUUUUGUCGCGCUAGGGCGUGUCGCACCCAACGCUGGAGCCCCGAACGACCGGAUAGCUUGUUGCGGUGCGUGACGGGGGCGAAGAUCGAAACCGGGGUCGAUGGCUGGACAAGAAGAACACCGCAGGAACUGGCACGGAAGUGCGUAGCCCCGCGACUCGGAAGCGUCUUGACAUCGAGGGGCGCAUCCUGAUGCCAUGCCGAAUCAUCAGCGAUGAAGGAGAGCGCACCGAAGAGGAUCUCACGACCCAUGCACAGAUCUCCGCCGGAUGACAUGACGAAGAGAUGAAAUCACAAACUCGCCGGAAGUCGCUUAUACGCCAGCCCCACGGUGGGCACCAACUGUCGUGGGUAUAAGUCUGGCAGUAGAAGUACGGGGUAUGAAAGUAUAUGGGCAGAGCCUUAGCUACGGCGAGGAUAUAUGAGUUCAGGCCCCUCUACGGUGGAGGUAAAAGCCCUACGUCUCAGUGCUCUUGGGAGCUUUGUGUCGAGUGUAUUAAGGGAUUACAGCAAGUGCCAACCCUUUUAGCAGUGGUGAAGGGCGGCUUAUAUAGAGUGCGCUGCCCUUCAUAAUGGUCCGGUGGACAGGGGUGGAGUAGUGGAGAGUAAAGGCUAGCGUUACUGGUAACGUAAGCCUUAAAUGCUAGUUAUGGUGUAUGAAAACGUAUGACCGUUGCCCUCCUGGGAGGUUAUGCCGAACAGAGUGGAUUCCAGUCGAUACGUUAGAUAUGCUCCGAGUGGAUCGUCGCCGACUGGAUGAUGGGGGCGUCCUUAGUUUAGUCGGAACUGUCUAAGGUCCUUGUCCUCUAUGAAGGGUAGUCCUUGGGUAGGACCUAUAUGGCAGACCUAUGACCCUACCCUGGGACUAUAACCCCACCAGUUGUCUUGACAAUCUGUUUUCCUAUAAAAUGCCUAUGCAUAGGAAGUAUGUUAGACUUAGAUAUGAUUUUCACAUGCUUUAGGAUGCUCUCGUUGUGCUUCAAUUCUUGUCUUUUGUGAGAGCAUCAUUGAAUGCCUAGCUAAGGGCGUUAAACAAAAACGCUUGUUGGGAGGUAACCCAACGACUCUAUCCUUUUUCUUUCUGUUUUGUGUUUCCCACACUUUCAUAAUUCUGUUAUGAUUGUGUUUUUUUUGUUUCUUUUUGCGUUUGUGCCAAGCAAAACCGUUAUGAUUAGUCUUGGGGAUGAUCGUUUGGCCAUGCUGGAAAAGACAGAAACUUUCUGCUCACGAAAAGAAUUUUCAUUUUUUGUCUGUAAGAGAUUUUGAGUUGAUUCUUUUUGCUGCUGAUUGCUACAGAAGUUCUUCAGACUGUCUUAAGUUUUCAGAAUUUUUGAAGUAACAGAGUUAUACGGAAUAUACAGAUUGCUACAGACUGGUCUGCUGUUAACAGAUUCUGUUUUUGUUGUGUUGGUUGCUUAUUUUGAUGAAACUAUGGAUAGUAUCGGGGGGUAUUAGCCAUGGAAGAUUGAAAGUACAGUAACCCAACAUCAGCACAAGUAGAAUUUAAGUUUGCUACAGUACCUAAGGAAGUGGUGGUUUGCUUUUUCUUGUACUAAUGUUAUCACGAGUUGUUGUUUAUGUUUCGUGUUGUGAAGUUUUCAAGUUUUGGAUGAAGUUCUUAUGGACAAAGAGAUAAAGAGUGGCAAGAUCUCAAGCUUGGGGAUUCCCAAGGCACCCCAAGAGAUUCAAGGAUGCCGUAAAAGCCUAAGCUUGGGGAUGCCCCGGGAAGGCAUCCCCUCUCUCGUCUUCAAUCCAUCGGUAACGUUACUUGGGGCUAUAUUUUUAUUCACCACAUGUUAUGUGUUUUUGCUUGGAGCGUCUUGUAUCGUAGGAGUCUUUUUUUUGUUGUGUCACAAUCAUCCUUGCUGACACCUAGAGAGAGAGACAUGCACACACCGUGAUUUUGUCGAGCUUCACUUAUAUCUUUUGGUAGACAAUUCAGCUCACAUGCGCUUCACUUAUAUCUUUUGAGCUAGAUACUUUUGCUCUAUGUGCUUCACUUAUAUAUUUUAGAGCACAGAGGUGCGUGGCUUGGUAGCUGAUCUAUGCUUUGAAAGUAGUCUCAAAAGGGGUAGUUAUCCAAAGGGAUACGAAAACUUCCACCUUCAUGUGCAUUGAAUAGUUAGAGAAGUUUGAUUCAUCUCAAUUAGUUUUGAGUUCUGGUUAUGGUAAUAUUAAAGUCAUGCUAGUAAGGUGUUGUGGAUCUAGAAAUACUUGUGUUGAAGUUAGUGAUUCCCGUAUCAUGCACGUAUGUGAACCGCUAUGUGAUGAAAUCUAAGCAUGAUUAGUCUAUUGAUUGUCAUCCUUUGCGUGGCGGUCGGGAUCGCGCGAUGGUUUAUACCUACCAGCCCUUCCCCUAGGAGUAUGUGUUGAAUGCUUUGUUUCGAUUACUAAUAAAUUUUUUGCAACAAGUAUAUGAGUUCAACACGACUAAUGUUGAGUCCAUGGUUUAGAUGCACUUUCACCUUCCUUCAUCACUAUCUUCUUAGUGCCGUGCAACUUUCGCCGGUGCACAAAACCCACCAUUAGCCUCCCUCAAAACAGCCACCAUACCUACCUACUAUGGCUUUUUCAAAGUCAUUCCGAGAUAUCUUGCCAUGCAACUACCACCAUGACAUGUGCCACCACGUCUACAUUGCCAUUGCAUGAUCGUAAGAUAGCUAGCAUGAUGGUUCCAUUGAUGUCUAUGCCAUGCUAGAUCAUUGCCACGGUACACUACCGAAGGCAUUCCAUAUAGAGUCAUCGUUACUCUAAGUUUUGAGUUGAAAGUGUGAUGAUCAUCAUUAAUGGAGCAUUGUCCCAUGUGAGGAAAUAAAAGAGGCCAAGGAAGCCCACCAAAAAAAAGAGGCCAAAGAGCCCACCAAAAUAAAAAAAAAUGAGAGAAAAAGAGAGAAGGGACAAUGCUACCACUUUUUCCACACUUGUGCAUAUUGAGCACCAUGAUCUUCAUGAUUGAGAGUCUCUCGUUUUGUCACCACCAUAUAGCUAGUGGGAAUUUUUCAUUAUAUAACUUGGCUUGUAUAUUCCUAUGAUAGGCUUCCUCAAAAUUGCCUUAGGUCUUCGUGAGCAAGCAAGUUGGAUGCACACCCACUAGUUUUCUUUAAGAGCUUUCACAUACUCAUAGCUCUAGUGCAUCAAUUGUAUGGCAAUCCCUACUCAUUCACAUUGAUAUCUAUUGAUGAGCAUCUCCACAGCUCAUUGAUUUGCCUAGUUAAUGUCACUAUCUUCUCCUUUUUGUCUUGCAACCUCCACUACAUUCCACACCAUCUAUAGUGCUAUAACCAUGGCUCACGCUCAUGUAUUGCGUGAGAGUUGAAAAGGUUUGAGAAAGUAAAGGUGUGAAACAAUUACUUGGCCAAUACCGGGGUUGUGCAUGAUUUAACUUCAUUGUGCAAUGAUGAUAGAGCAUAGCCAGACUAUAUGCUUUUGUAGGGAUAACUUUCUUUUGGCCUUGUUAUUUUGAAAGUUCAUGAUUACUUUGCUAGUUUGCUUGAAUUAUUAUUGUUUCCACGUCAGUACCAAACUAUUGUUUUGAAUCUAAUGGAUCUGAACAUUCACAUCACAUGAGAGGAAUUACAAAGGACACCUAUGCUAGGUAGCAUGAAAGCAUCAAAAAUUCAUUCUUAUCACUUCCCUACUCGAGUACGAGCAGGAGUUAAGCUUGGGGAUGCUUGAUACGUCUCAAACGUAUCGAUAAUUUUUUAUGGUUUCACGUUGUUCUGUUUUCUUCUUUGGUUGUUUUAUGUACCGUUUAUAUCUUUUUUGGGACUAACUUAUUAAUUCAGUGCCAAGUGCCAGUUCCUUUUUUUCCCAUGUUUUUGACUCUUUUCAGAUUUGAUUUUGGAACGGAGUCCAAAUGGAAGAAAGACCCCGAAAUGAUUUUUUCCCGAACAGAAGAAGAUCAGGGGGCCUUUGGGCCAAGCCAGGUGGGAUCCAGGGAGCCCACAAGCCCCCACUCCACCACCAGGGGGGGAGGCUGCGAUGGGCAGGCUUCUGGCCUCCCUGGCCGCCCCCUGAUCUAGAUCUUUGGCCUAUAAAUUCGCAAAUAUUCUGCCAAAGAUCAGGGGAGCCUCGAAAAUACUUUUCCGCCUCCGCAAGCUUCCUUUUCCGCGAGAUCUCAUUCGGAGACCCUUCCCGGCACCCUGCCGGAGGGGACUUUGGAGUUGGAGGGCUUCUUCUUCAUCAUCAUCGCCCCUCCAAUGACUCAUGAGUAGUUCACUUCAGACCUACGGGUCCGUAAUUAGUAGCUAGAUGGCUUCUUCUCUCUCUUGGAUCUUCAAUACAAAGUUCUCCAUGAUCUUCAUGGAGAUCUAUCCGAUGUAAUCUUCUUUGGCGGUGUGUUUGUCGACAUCCAAUGAAUUGCGGAUUUGUGAUCAGAUUAUCUAUGAUAUAUAUUUGAGUCUUUGCUGAUUUCUUAUAUGCAUGAUUUGAUAUCCUUGUAAGUCUCUCCGAGUCUUGGGUUUUGUUUGGCCGACUAGAUCUGUGAUUCUUGCAAUGGGAGAAGUGCUUGGUUUUGGGUUCUGCCAUGUGGUGACCUUUCCCUGUGACAGUAGGGACAGCAAGGCACACAUCAAGUAGUUGCCAUCAAGGGUAAAAAGAUGGGGGUUUUAUCAUUGGUUUGAGAUUAUCCCUCUACAUCAUGUCAUCUUGCUUAAGGCGAUACUCUAUUCUUAUGGACUUAAUACACUAGAUGCAUGCUGGAUAGCGGUCAAUGUGUGGAGUAAUAGUAGUAGAUUCAGACAGUAUCGGUCUACUUGUUUUGGACGUGAUGCCUAUAGAAAUAAUCAUUGCAUAGAUAUCGUCACGACUUUGCGCGGUUCUAUCAAUUGCUCGACAGUAAUUUGUUCACCCACCGUCUACUUGCUUUCAUGAGAGAAGCCACUAGUAAACACUACGGCCCCCGGGUCUAUUCACAUCCAUCAUUUACAUCUCCGCUUUUACUUUGCUUUGUUACUUUGUUGCUUUCAGUUAUCACUUGGCAAACAAUCUAUAAGGGAUUGACAACCCCUUCAUACCGUUGGGAGCAAGUUUUUGUGUUUGUGCAGGAUCUUGAGAUACUCCUCCACUGGAUUGAUGCCUUGGUUCUCAAACUGAGGGAAAUACUUACCACCGCUACGCUACAUCACCCUUUCCGCUUCGAGGGAACACCAACGCAAGGCUCAAAGUCUCCCCUUUUACUUUGCUUUGUUACUUUGUUGCUUUCAGUUCUCACCUGGCGAACAAUCUAUAAGGGAUUGACAACCCCUUCAUAGCGUUGGGAGCAAGUUUUUGUGUUUGUGCAGGAUCUUGAGAUAAUCCUCCACCGGAUUGAUACCUUGGUUCUCAAACUAAGGGAAAUACUUACCACCGCUACGCUACAUCACCCUUUCCGCUUCGAGGGAACACAAACGCAAGGCUCCAAGGCCACGGGGGAAAUCCUUUGCAUACUUACCUAGGAAGUCCCUUAAGGCAUAGCCGCAGCAGAAAGAUCAAGCCAAGUAUUCUCCCGUCUACGUGCCUAUUUCUGGCGCCGUUCGAAGGUCUUUUUUUGCAGUAGCAACCAGCUAAAUCAACAUUUCUAGCUCAAGAAUAGGGUCACCAAGGUAGCAAGAAUACGCGAAGGAUAAAACAGUAGAGCAAAAACUAAUUGGAGCAAUGGAGGUGUCACUUACCAAGAAGUAAUUUCCCCAAAACGGUUCGGAUAAUGGUGCUUUGAGCAAGGAGAUCGAAAAUCACAGCCAAAUGAGCAAGAACACGGGUUUGAGCUACGAAACAAUUUUUUCUGGAGGUGAAAGAAGAGGAUGGGAGUUGGAAUGAGUGGAGGGGGUCCCUGUGGGCCGCACAAGCUUGCUAGCCGCCACGAGGGGGGGCGGCAGCUGCAGGGCUUGUGGCCCACUGGUCGGGCCCCCAGGCCAGCUCUCAGGCCCAGUAUUUUUCAAAUAUUCUAGAAAAAAUCAUACUAGAUUUUCAGGACCAUCGGAGAACUUUUAUUUUCGGGGUAUUUUUCUCCAGGACGCUAAAACAGAAAACAGGAAAAUCUAAACUAAAUCUAUCAUUUUUCUUCUAAGCAAUAGAAAAUGAAAGCUCAAAACAGAGUUAUGUGACUCUUUGAUUCAUCCAUUUCAUGGUCAUCGAAAGAAAUCCGUCAAUGGGGUUGAUCAAGUCCUCAUGACAAAACCUUCUCGAAUCGCAAGAGAGAACGGAGAAUUUUCGAAUAACCACUAAGUCACCUCAAUGGGGAUAUGUAUCUCCCCAACAAGCAAAUCAUACUUCAUCUUGACACGAGGAAUAGGGCAUUCAAAGCUCCCAACAAGAAUCGAUGAAGGCUUUUCAAUAGCAUUGAUGCAAUGUACUUGAUAUCGUUUCUUCGGAAAGUGCACUGUGUGCUCAUUACCGUUGACAUGGAAAGUGAAAUUGCCUUUGUUGCAAUCUAUAACAGCCCCUGCAGUGUUUAAAAAGGGUCUUCCGAGGAUGACGGCCAUGGCAUCAUCCUCGGGAAUAUCCAAGAGAACAAAGUCUGUUAAGAUAGUAGUCUUAGCAACCACAACAGGCACAUCCUCGCAAAUGCCGAUAGGGAAAGCAGUUGAUUUGUCGGCCAUUUGCAGAGAAAUUUCAGUGGGUGUCAACUUAUCCAAUUCAAGUCUACGAUAAAGAGAGAGCGGCAUAACACUAACACCGACUCCAAGGUCACAUAAGGCAUUUCUUACGUAGUUUCCUUUAAUAGAACAAGGUAUAGUGGGCACUCCGGGAUCACCAAGUUUCUUAGGAGUUCCACCUUUGAAAGUGUAAUUGGCAAGCAUGGUGGAGAUCUCAAGAUCUGGUAUCUUCCGUUUAUUAGUCACGAUAUCUUUCAUUUACUUGGCAUACAGAGACAUUUUGAGCAUAUCAGUUAACCGCAUCUGCAGAAAGAUGGGUCUUAUCAUCUCAACAAAGCGCUCAAAAUCCUCAUCAUCCUUUUUCUUGGAUGUCUUGGAGGAAAGGGCAUAGAUCUCUGAACCCAUGGAUCCCUUUCUUUACCAUGCUUCCUAGCAGUGAAGUCAUUCUUAUCGUAUCUCUUAGGUUGUGGGUUAUCAGGAUUAACCGUAGGUUCAAUCUCCACAUCCUCAUCAUUGCUAGGUUGUGCAUUAUUAUGAACAUCACUGUCCAUAUUGUCACCAGGUUCAUGUUCAUCACCAGAUUGUGUUUCUGCAUCAGACGCAGAAAUAUCAUUAGAUUCUUCAGGUGUGACAGUAUUUGGUGAACUGGCAUGUAGGUUUCUAUCAUCCUUCUUCUUCUCAUUAGGAUGACUGGGUGUAUCAGCAUUAAUUCCUUGAGAAUCUUGAUCAAUUCUCUUAGGAUGACCUUCAGGAUACAAAGGUUCCUGAGUCAUUUUGCCUCAUGUAGUAAUGACUCUGACAGAGUUGUCUUUUAACUCAUUGAGCAAGUCAUUCUGAUCUUUAAGUACUUGUUCUACCUGAGUAGUAAUCAUAGAUGAAUGUUUACUCAGAAGCUUCAGAUCAUUGACAUUUCUGUCUACACAAGCACUUAAAUGGCUAAGCAUACGAGUACUUUGUUCCAAAUGUCUGCUAACAUAAUCAUUGAAACUCUGUUGUUUGGCAACAAAGUUGUCAAAUUCAUCAAAGCAUAGGCUAGCAGGUUUGUCAAAAGGAAUAUCACUCUCAUCAAACCUACAUAGAGAAUUCACUUCUACUACUUGUAUCGGGUUAUCGAGACCAUGGAUCUCUUAGAUAGGUGGUAGAUUUUUGACAUCUUCAGAUCUAAUGCCUUUCUCUUGCAUAGAUUUAUUGGCUUCUUGCAUAUCUUCGGGACUGAGGAAUAGAAUACCUCUUUUCUUAGGAGUUGGCUUAGGAGGUGGUUCGGGAAUAGUCCAAGCAUUAUCGUUGAUCAAGAUGUUAUUCAGUAGGAUCUCAGCUUGUUCGAUAGUUUGUUCCCUAAAAACACAACCGGCACAACUAUCUAGGUGGUCUCUAGAGGCAUCGGUAAGUCCGUUAUAGAAGAUAUCAAGUAUCUCGUUCUUCUUAAGAGGGUGAUCAGGCAAAACAUUUUGUAGUUGGACGAUCCUCCCCCAAGCUUGUGGGAGACUCUCUUCUUGGAGUUGAGCAAAGUUGUAUAUUUCCUGCAAGGCAGCUUGCUUCUUAUGGGCAGGGAAAUUUUUCUCACAGAAGUAAUAGACCAUAUCCUAGGGACUACUCACACAUCCAGGAGCAAGAGAGGUGAACCAGGCUUUAGUGUCAUCCUUUAAAGAGAAAGGAAACAACUUAAGGAUGUAGUAAUGGCGGAUCUUCUCCUCACUAGUGAAAAGGGUGGCUAUAUCGUGUAGUUUGGUAAGAUGGCCUACGACCGUCUCAGACUCAUAACCGUGGAAAGGAUCAGAUUCGACUAGAGAGAUUAUCUCAGGAUCGACAGAGAAUUCAUAAUCCUUAUCGGUGAUAAAGAUAGGUGAAGUGGCAAACUUCGGGUCGUAUUUCAUCCUAGCUUUCAUUCAUCCUAGCUUUCAGAGAUUUUUCCUUCCACUUGAGAAGUAAUUUCUCAGCGUCAUAGGCAUCCUUACACGCAAGAAAAUCCUCAUCUAUCUCUCCCUCCAUAACAUAACCCUCAGGUAUAUCAGGCAAUUCAUAUCUAGGAGAGCUAGAUCUAGCAGGAGAAAAAGCAGGUUCUAUCUCAAUAGUAUCGGCAUUUUCAGAAGCAUCACGAGCAAUGGCAGUAGCUCUAGCAAUAUGAGCAUCAAGGAACACCCCUAGUGGAACAUCAGGCAAAGUAGCGUCUCUAGCAGUAUCAAGCAUAGCAUCAUGAGGCAUAGCAUCUCUAGCAGUAUCAGGCAUAGCAUCGCUAGCAGUAUGAGGCAUAGCAUCUCUAGCAGUAUCAGGCAUAACAUCUCUAGUAGUAUCACGCAUAGCAGCAUCAUAAGCAUCAUCAAGCACAGGCGACAUAUCAAGAUUUCUAGCAGGAGGUGAUGUCGCAAACUUACUCAUAACUGAAGGUGAAUCAAGUGCAAAGCUAGAUGGCACUUCCUUACCUCCCCUCGUAGUUGAGGGCAAGACUUUGGUUUUCGGAAACUUCAGAUUCUUCAUAGUGAUCAGCAGAUAUAAAUCCCAAGUAACUUAGAGAAUAUAGCAAUCGCAUCCCCGGCAACGGCGCCAGAAAAAUGCUGAUGGCACUCUCUGGCAAUGGCUAGACGAAUGCUAUUCUCGAUUGCUCAACAAUUAGAAAUUGUCUUGCAAUGACCCACCAGCGCGUGGGAUCGAGGUAGUUUUCGAGGGUAGAGUAUUCAACCCAAAUUUGUUGAUUCGCCAAUAGGAAGUUGGAGGAUACUCUCAAGUAUUAGCAGCUGAAUAUGUCAGAUUCAACCACACCUGAAAGAUUAAUAUCUGCAAGCAAAGUAUCAACAACAAAGUAGUAUGAUAGCAAUGAUGUCAGAAACGAUCUGUUGAUGGCACACUAUUCCUAACUAUCGUAUCAAUGGCGCCAGAAGUUGCCCGUUGACGGAAAUUGUCUUUUUCUGUCAACGUCGAGCGAAUCAGAAUUGUAGCAGGUAUCAGCUGUGUAACGAGUAGCAGCAGUGGCAAGGAACAGUAGUAGUGACAGAAAUAGCAAGUAACAGCAGUAGCAAGUAACAGCAGUAGCAAGUAGCAACAGUAUUCAUCAUGCAACAGUUAUAACACGGAGAUAUAUGUGGCUAGCUCCCGUUCGUCAAUGUGAUGUAGGCAUGCAUUCUGUGUGUAGUCAUACGUGCUUAGGGAAAAGAACUUGCACGACAUCUAUUGUCCAUCCCUCCCGUGGUAGCGGGGUCCAAAAGGAAACUACAGGAUAUUAAGGUUCUCCUUUUAAUAAAGAACCGGACCAAAGCAUUAGCACUUGGUGAACACAUGAACUCCUCAAACUAUGGUCAUCACCGGGAGUGGUUCCGGUUAUUGUCACUCCGGGGUUGCCGGGUCAUAACACAUAGUAGGUAACUACAACUUGCAAGAUUGGAUCUAAAACACACAUAUAUUGGUGACAACAUAAUAAUUUCAGAUCUGAAAUCAUGGCACUCAGGCCCUAGUGACAAGCAUUAAGCAUGACAAAGUAGUAGCAACAUCAAUCUCAGAACAUAUUGGAUACUAGGGAUCAAUCCUCGGCAAAACUAACUCGAUUACAUGAUAGAUCUCAUCCUACUCAUCACCGCCCAGCGAGCCUACGAAUAGAUUACUCACGAACAAUGAAGAGCUUCAUGGAAUUGGAGAGGGAAGAAGGUUGAUGAUGACGAUGGUGACGAUUUCCCCUCUCCGGAGCCCAAAACGGACUCCAGAUCUGCCCUCCAGAUGAAGAACAGGAUGUGGCGGCGCCUCCGUAUCGCAAACGCGACGAAAUCUUCUCUCUUGAUUUUUUCUGGGACGAAAGUGAAUUUAUAGAGCUAAGUUUGGGGGCGGCAGAGCCACGUGGGCCCCACAAGCUUGCUAGCCGCCACCUGGNCUACCCGCCACCAGGGGGGUGGCAGCUAUAGGGCUUGUGGCCCACUGGCCCAUCCCCUCUGGUGGAUCUUUGCGCGGGUAUUUUUCAUAUUUUCUAGAAAUAUUCUUCGUAAAUUUUCAGGACGUUCUGAGAACUUUCAUUUCUGCACAAAAACAACACAAAGGCAAUUCUGCUGAAAACAGCGCGAGUCCAGGUUAGUUCCAUUCAAAUCAUGCAAAUUAGAUUCCAAAACAAGGGCAAAAGAGUUUGGAAAAGUAGAUACGAUGGAGACGUAUCAAUGACGACAAGUACUAUCAAGCAAUGGAGAAUAAAUGCUAAUGAUAUAGAGAUGUGAAACCUCUAUGAAUGAAGAACCGAAAAAACUCCAUCCUCAAAAACGACAUAGAAUAUGCAUAUGAACUCCGUUUUCGAUGAACUUGAACUUGUCAUGAAUAUGACCAUAAGCUCAAGAACGCGCAUAGGGAAAAACCAUCCAAGAACCAAGAAAGAUUAUCUUUCCAAUAAUGCAUUGGUUUGAGCUCUCAACAGACGAUAUGAUCAAGCUACUCACUUGAGAGCCCCCCUUGGUAGUACGACAAUCUAUCCUAUAACCCGGUCUCCCAACUAACGCGCUGAGACCGGUAAAAUAGAAAACCUAUUAAGGACAAAUAUUUGCCUUGCGCAUAGUCCACUUGAGCUAAAUGAUGAUGAUGUUGUACUCCUCAAGAUUGACCACCUUCCUUCAUUGUGUUGGCUUGAUGAAGACUAGUUGAUUGCGCCCCAUACUUCACUAUAGGAAAGCAACUCUUCGGCACAUCUUCACCAUAGUGGACGACAAGAUUCAAGCAUGAUCUCGUCUGAUGCUCCACUUGAACUUGCACGCUGCAAUCUUCCAUGGGUUGAAUGAGACUUCCUGUUGACGCGGUCCCAUGGAAACACACCUACCCCACAUAGAACUUUCACAAAGACCAUGGGUUAGUACACAAAGCGUAAUGGACAAUGCUUACCGUACCAUGGGCUCACUUGAUCCCUCUCGGUACAUCUUGUACGCUUUGUGUGUUGAUCAACUUGAUUUACUCUUUGACUUAGUCUUGACCAACGUUGUGUAUUUAUGACCAAUCUUUGGAUAAAACCUUGAAUACCAUAUUGGUCAUCAUAUAAACUCUUUGAAACCAUUAGAUGGACUUCAAGAAGUGCCUAUGAACAAAUCCUUCGAAUAUAACUCAAGGCAAGCAUAUGCUCUAACAAUUCCCUACCAGGCACAUCAUUCAAAAGGAUGGAAGGUGUUCCAUAGGAUAGUAUCUUAUUGAUCCAAGUGAUGGAUCCAAUUUUUACGCACUUUUUAUAGCUCAUUUGUCGCCUAUUAUCUCCAUAUAGCAUGUUCUAUUGAGCAAAUGACAUGUACAUAUGCAUAAUUUCAAUUAUUUAUCAUGUCCAACACAAGGAUUGCAUAAUCGUUAUUCUUUGUUAGUGCUUAUAUGUGUCUUAUUUGUUUUUGUGUGUUUUGUAAGCAAUGUGGAACUCCCAUCCACUUAACACAAUGAAAAGGAUCCAAACGGAGGACAUCUAGGCACCAGACUUAGGCAGUCGGUUUUCAGAUGCUAAAAAUCAAUAUCUGCAUUGUAGGUUCAUGAGCGUUCUUCUCGUGAUUCCAACGAGUAGAGGAACGUUGAAAACAGAGUAUGGAUGUCAAAUUUACAAUUUUACCGAAGAGUCCAAACCAUUUAGUGACCUUUGGGAGGGAAAAAAUACUCGUCCCAGGCCCACACAAGCUCAAAAGUUGCAGGAUUUCAUUAUCGUUUGUUCCUACUACUUUCUUGUCCAUCAAGGGAUGUUUUGGGAAAGGAUUUGGUUCACCGAGAGCACUUAUAUCAAAGUAGAUGCUACAUCAAUGAAAGAGGGUUUGGGAGAGCUCUUAUAAAUAUAUCUCCAACCCUAACCACUCGGGGACACCAUCCAUAUCCACCUAUCCAUGCUCAGCUGUCAUCCCCAUCAAGAGGAACUUGGGGGUUGUGCCAAGCCUACAUCUCCAUUGUUGCAACCUUGGAGGAAGACUAGGAGGGAGUCAUGCUGGAAAAGCGUCAUGGGGGCUGCGGUCAUGGGCCAUAGCUGUCACAUCGUCCUCACCUAGCUACACCCCUUCUCAUUCCCCCAUCACGGUCUCCGUGAUGAAUUGUAACAACUCUUGAACCCCUUUAUAUGUGAUGUUAUUUGAGUAAUUCUUGGCUAUGGGUUGAUCAGCUAGUAAGCAUUUAUUUGAUAUGCGUCGUCUAUUUAUGCCUAUCAUCUUCAUGUUAUUAUUUACCCUUGCGGUAAUUUAGUGAUUGCAGCUGUACCGUCCAUUAGUGUAGUUGGAGACGUUCAACUCCCUAGGUCACACAUGAAGUUGAUAGAUACUUGUCCAUAUCGAGAGACCUCCGGGGUGACAGGCAUCGAUAUCUUGAGGGGAAUAAAAUUAUCCGAAGGAUCACGGUUGUUCAUAGAACUUAUUGCAUUCGGUUCAUGCCUUAUGAUAUUAAUGUCUUUCUUUUGCCCACUCACAGUAUGGGACAGGAAAUAGGAAGAGAGAGUUGUCUGAGUAUGACGAUGUUUGAGAGACAAUGUUAUGUGAGGGACCGCCCACCAUUGAUCAAUUGCGAUAUCGUAUAAUGCAAGGUAUAGACUUAAUUGUAGGUUUUAAUAGUUGAGAUAUAGAGCUUUUUGUCCUACCCACUAAUGUUUAAAACAAGGUAUGGUGUAGCUCAGCUCCAUUGUCACAAAGAGUGGUAAAAAAGUUGAGAUAUAGAGCUUUUCUUUUCGUUCCUACGCACAUAGUUGAAAAAAUCACAUCAAGGCCAAUGGACCAAAGAACAGCCAUUCCCUUCGCCAAAGCGAGGCGCAGAUGCGCUGUUGUCUUCUCUCCCACACAGGAGCUAGCCUCAUCAUGUCCAUGACAACUAGGAAGUCUUACUUGCACGUGCCCCUAAGUACCUGUGUUCUGGAACCACGGUUAUCCCCGAAUCGGUUUGAAGAACCUGACACGAAAUCUCGAUGUGCGUACGCACCCGAGAGGCUCCAUCUAAUCCUUCCUCGUGGACGAACUUCAAGAGGAUCGGAUCCCGAAAGACUAACUCGAAGAAGAAGCAUAACCAUCCAUCCCAGCACCAUCCGUAUGAGAGCUAAAACCCUACCUAUGUACUAGACGGAGCUGAGGCACCAGGAGUCCCCUUCCCGCCGAGGGGAGUCAUAUACAUAGGUUGGUCGACGGAUGUCAAGGGGAUGAAAGCUUUACCUAGUCGCCUUGCGAGAGGGGAAAGAACUUGUUCUACGUGUGGUCGGUUACUAUGCUAGUUGAGUUAAUUAUACCAAGAAAACACAUAUUUCAUUUUGAGAAACAUGCAUGUACACCACCCCUUUCAAUGCGCACACACACACUCUAUGCCUAUGAACAUUUACGAGAGAGUGAGCCAACAGACCUUAUGAUAAAAUAAAAAUACUUUACCCGCACCACUCAAAUGGCGUACUCAGACAAUUUGUAAUCAAAAAAUCUUGGGCUUAAAAUGAAACCAAAAACAAGGAAAGGUGGAAAAAGGUUGUGUGGCAACCACCCUAUAACAUCAAGAACUGAAACUUCCAUCAGACACAAUGCAUCUGAGGGCCACGCAACCUUUGAAAUGGAUAUGGCAGUGGCUGCAACAAGGCCAUUCCCAGGUACAACAAAUAAAGUCUGAGUUCAUCAAAACAAUGCCUUCAACAAGGCCAUUGCCACGUACAAAUAAUAUAGGCCAGACCAUUAGCUUUCACCAUGGAAAUCAAAACUCAUUACUCGAGGAGCAGCAUCAAAUUGCAGUCCUUCAGUGUUGCCGCCCCCGCUUGCCGAGACCGCUGUUGCAAGUCACCAAACACCUGGCACAUAGUCUUCAUCGUAUCCAAUACACCCUUCCAAUAAAGCUUAAGACCUCCAAUCACAGCGUCCAAGACUUCCUCCACCUCUAUUCAUGCCUUAGAAAUCAUAAAUUCGACAUGUCCAUGACACCCGUAAGAAAUCGAACAUUCGCGCCAUGCCCUCUCGAGCUGGGUUGGAUGAUAAUAUUAGCGCGCGCAACCGGAGCCUUUCCAGUCUAGAUAUCCAGGUUCGACAUACGUCAAUCUGUAUAGAUCUCUGAGGGGGAAGACCAGAAUGCGUCAGCAACCCGAUCCAAGAGGUCGACAUUAGGUAGAAAGACAACUUGGCGGAACAAAAGCGCUAUGGCCAAAGCACCAUUUUUAGGCCGAACCACACUCACCCACCUCCAAAGAAAACGAGCCACUCCGCACUAUGCCAAAUGCUCCAGCCACCAUACCGAGCACCACUCCGAGAAACACACCCCUGAACAACCUCCAUUUUACGGACUCAUGGCGCCAGGUCCCGAAUCCGGCUGCUCCCCGGGAGGAACGAGUCACUAGACGGCGUAGCAGCAAGCACCGGCUAUGCAUGCACUCCGGCCUGGUCGGUCCAGAGUGAUCACGAUGUUCAUCCACAUGAUUGCUAUAUCAUUGAGAGGUCAUGGUUGAUCGCAUCAUUUUGCAGGGUGCUUCAUCAUCAUGAAAUGAAUGAAUAUACGCUUCCUUUUUUGUGGGUUAGAUUCCACGAUGAUACAAAAUCUGGACUCACGAUACAUAAUUUAUGGGUUCAGUGGGGACGACAUGAACAGAGCAAAUGGACAACAGUGGGUUCUAAAAUUUUAGCUCAUGGAUGAAAACAAAGUUUUACCUUGCUUGGACACCCAAUUAAGUAGCAUUUCUACUCGCAAAAAAAAUAGCAUUUCCAAUUAAAAAAAAUCCUCCAUGACAUGUAAAUGAUUAGGCGUAGAAAAUAGUACUCCCUCCGUCACGGUUUAGAAGGCACAGUUAGACUUGCGUGCGUUUUCAAAAUAGACAAAGAUUAAGGCACAUUGCAUUUACUCCUAGCAGUUAAUUAGUAUUCCGUUGUACUAUUUCUAUAUGCAUGUGUAGUGUGAAUGCUAUUUUUUAACUCAUUGUAUAGCCAAUCAAUAACCACCUAGGUCCUAGAGAAUUUGCAUGCACGCCUUCUAAACCGUGACGGAGGGAGUACAACACUUUUGUAGUCCAAUGAAUAAUUGUGAAUAAAACAUAUAAAAGGUCAUGAUGACACACAUCACACAUGCAGCAAAUAUAUGUUAAUUAACUGCAUAAAAUGUUAUAAAAUGAAGCACCAAAUUUUACAAGCAAGCAUAAUUGGUUGACAAGUUUGUCUUAUAAGUAAAUAAAAGUGGAUAAAGGAUGUACGAUUAACAUUCGUCCUGCCUGUGCCACUGAACCUAAAUCGCCAAUCAACAAAGGAACUUCUUCGUGCACCUUUGAAGCGUUACCCGUCGGAAUAUGAAGCGAAAAGAAUAAUAGAGUACAUGCAAGGCUGGAAAAAGGAUUUGUGGCAAUCACACAUUGACAUGGACGACUGAAAUUUUCGGCACACACAACGCAUCCAACGGCCAUGCCUCUUACACUAAUCCGGAGAGAUAAGGAAACCAGGCAACCAACAAACGCCAGCCACCCCUUCCACAUCUUGAUUAAAGAUAGGAGCUCACAUGGCUAUAUAUACCGUGCUGAACAGGCAAUGGGGGCCUCAAGUGUAGCCGGCAUCCUCCUCUCUACAGUUAAUACAGUACCAUGGCCCCCGCCGUGAUGGCUUCGUCGGCUACCACCGUCGCACCCUUCCAGGGGCUCAAGUCCACAGCCGGUCUCCCCGUCAGCCGCCGCUCCAGCGCCAGCCUCGGCAGCGUCAGCAAUGGCGGAAGGAUCAGGUGCAUGCAGGUAUGUCGGGGCACAAAACUGAUAUGAGUUUCUUCCACAUUACAAUUACUGCACUUAGCAGUUACUAGCACUAAGUGUUAAGCGUUCCAUAAUUUCCAAUCAUUCAGGUGUGGCCGAUUGAGGGUAUCAAGAAGUUCGAGACCCUGUCUUACUUGCCACCCCUCACCACGGAGGCCCUCCUGAAGCAGGUUGACUACCUGAUCCGCUCCAAGUGGGUGCCCUGCCUCGAGUUCAGCAAGGUUGGCUUCGUCUUCCGUGAGCACAACAGCUCCCCCGGGUACUACGACGGCCGAUACUGGACAAUGUGGAAGCUGCCUAUGUUCGGAUGCACCGACGCCACACAGGUGCUUAACGAGGUGGAGGAGGUCAAGAAGGAGUACCCUGACGCUUAUGUCCGUAUCAUCGGCUUCGACAACCUGCGGCAGGUGCAGUGCGUCAGCUUCAUCGCCUUCAGGCCACCGGGUUGCGAGGAGUCCGGCAAGGCAUAAACUACGAGGUGAAACAAUGGCCUAUGUCGUAUGAAGGUCUUUUGUGAAUUUCACUUUUGUCCACGACUCUGCUUUCCGACCAGAGCAUAACUUUCUUCUUUAUGAUCUGUGUAUGUACGAGCAUAGGUUGUGGAGCAUAUAUGCAUAUGUAAAUUCUAGCACCCCCUACACAUAUCCAACACCUGUGUCAUAUUUAUAAUAUACAACAAGCGGACCAUUGUCUUGCUGUUAAUUAUCGGAAAAGUUUAUUUUAUUUAGCACUGCAAUGGAUGUCUCACAACUAGUGGGUGGAAGAUUCCAGUAUUUGACAUUAAGACCCACUGAUUGGCAACUGCAAUUUUCAGUUUCUUUAUUUAUAUCAAUCUAUACUUAUACUAAUUAGGGACUCUCAAUAAAUUCCCACGUUAAUUAAAAAAUUAGGACCGUUCAUCUAAUGGGACCGAGUUAUAACGGUCUAGAUUAGCCCGAUACACGUUAAUUAGAAAAUUAGGAUCGUUCAUCUAAUGGGACCGAGUUAUAACGGUCUAGAUUAGCUCAAGUAAUUUCCGGAUUAAUCAUAAAUACUCCCAGCCCACGUGACCUAACCCUGACUUCUCCCCACGUACAUCUUUCUCCAAUCUUCGUUUCCUAUAUGCGACCGUGAUAGCAGAUGCCAUGCAUCAUAUCCAGUGUCAUAUCUAUGGUUUAGAUCAAAUAAUCAAUCGUGGCAGUCUAAGCCCUAAAGCAAUCCCAUCUGCAGUCUUACCCCAACAAUGAUCUAAAGCAGUCCAUCAAGUCUGUUCCCAAUCUUCUUUCCUCGAUGACUGUUGAAUCUCAGCAACCCCAAGUCCAAAGCUAUGACGCAAAUCGUGGUGGCUGAGGAGGAGGUUGACCUUCAAUCCACUCAGCUUCUAGACCUUGACCAAACAUCAAUGCAUGUUCGAAGCUACAACGGCGAAGGAGGUUCAUCGAGGGCAGUUUGGAUCAGAUCGUAUAUUGUCACCAUUGUUUGUAAAGCUUCAGCGUGAAGGAACUAUGGCAGGCUGAUGGUGCCGUGGUUUAGCUUCUUUAUACUGCUGGAGUUCGUCCCCUAUGCAGGCAAGUAAUCCAUUAUCUUGAAUUUAGGAUUUAUUCUACAACCGUCUCAAUUAAUCAUAAAUUCCCAAUAAAUUAUAUUAAUCGUAUGACUAAAAAAGGUACUGUAUAUGCCCAUCUAUCACCUAACAGUAUUGUUCAGUAGUUGAUCAUGCACUCUACGGAACGAGGAGAAUCACUCUACGGCCGGUGGUCUGCAAUUCUGCAUCUCCUACAGUAGAAGAUGGUUGAUGGAGGUUGUGUCAGUACGUACGACUGUUUGAAGUUAAUUGGGUAGGUGCAGUCAUUGGUGUGCUGCUAAGUAGAAGAACUGUGCCCUGCAAAAAAAAGGUAGAACCGUGACAGCGUAGCACGAAGCUAUUCAUCUCCUUGACACAAUUCAGUUUCGUUGAAGAUCACACCUACGGACUACUCCCAUCAAUGGGAAAUUAGCUAUGUAUCCUUAAAUUCUUCGCUUAAGAUAAUAUUUCUUCAUAUAAUUUGCAUGUAGUAUCCUAUUCAAGCUGUUGAUAUGUCCACAAUUUUAACCGUGAGUUCUUCAAUUGAUGUUAUAUGUUUAAUAGGAAUAGGUCGUGUAGCUAAUGUUUAAUAUACGUUAAUUCAUGGUCUGAUCCACUUUCCAAUGUCUCAUCUAAUGCUUUUACAUGACAUCUGAUAUAGGGUAAUACACCAAUAUUUUCUCUUACUUCCAGCUGAUGCUUAACUAUGUUAUCCAGUUUCCAAUCUGUAGAUAGAUCGCUAAAUGAGUUCUACUAGGAACCUAUUAGGAUAUUAUAUUAUUUUUAGUUAUUCUCAUACGGGAUAUGCACAGCUUUUACUCAGUUCUAAUUAAACCAGAAGCACCUACUAAAUGAUCUAAACGUAUAUUUGUUCGUGCACAAUGCCCAAUUACUUCUUUUCAGAUAAAAAUACCAAGUUACUUUCGUAUGUUGCGUCAUGCUUCCCAUAAUUAUUGAUACUUCGAAACAACCUAUGCACAAGGCAAUAUAUUUUCCCGUGUAGUAGUCCAACCCAAUUUCAUUCCAACAUGAGAAAACUUGUGGAUACACCAUCUCUGCCCCUCACACGGCCUGAUGGCUGAUUGUGUCCUCAUCUAUGUCCUCCUCUUCCNNNNNNNNNNNNNNNNNNNNNUUCCUCCCCCUCUCCCCUCACUCCCACCUGCCGUAGCAUCACUGUGACAUCUGUAUGCCUCCAAUUUGUCGCAUUUCUGGAGCACGAGAAAACUACAAGAGGCUAACAAGGCUACAUACGACAUAACUAUGGUAGGCUGUUGGCACUGCUGUUCACCUUCUUAAUAUCCUUGGAUGUUGGACUCUACGCCGGCCUCUCCCAUCUUGAGUGUUGGUGGCUGCAUGAUCUGAGCAUCGGCUUGGAUGGCGUCCAAUAAAGACACCAUGCAUUACUGGCAGUGUAGACUCUGACACACACAAGUAUAUGAUCUAAGCUUUUCGUUGGCCCAAAACGCACACAUACUGCAGCCAAGAUUAAUCGACAUCAAUGCCCAAUUACUUCCUUUCAUACAACAAAACAUAUCAACGCCAACAUGUGUGGGAUGAGAAGGCGCUGGGCUGCAUGCCAGUGUGGGCCUAUGCCAGGGGGACAAGACGACACUCUCAGCCUCGGAGAUGCUCCCGAUGCACUGCAAGCACCAUUGCAAAUUCGGAAUACGGUCUUUCUAUUCCCAUCUUCAUUUCCUUGUGUAUAAAUUGCUAACUGCAUGUACAUGACAGAUAGCAACAACAAAUUCUAAAACAAUCCCUCUCAUAUAGGCUAUACCACAUGGGAAAGAUCAUGAAUGUUGCGGUUCAAUUAUAAUCUAUUUGCAAUACCUAGAUUUUGUUUUUAGAUGUUUUGAGAGUAGUGUUCGUAAUUACAGAUGAAAACGUAAUCCUAUUGUUGUUGUGGCCUCUUGAUUUCUCCAUCAUAACAAGAAGAGGAAGUGUACACAUGUUGAAGUCACGUUUAGGCAUCAAUGUGAGUGGUAUGUAAGCAAACAUUGUCUAAUGGCCGACUAUAUGUUUCUUGAAUAAAAAUAAUUAUACAAUAUGAUUACAUAACGCUGCAAGCAGAUCCUAGAAAAAUAUAAAUGAAAUUGCACAAUAAAUUUUUUUGUGACCAUGAUUAUAUGAAUAUUAGUUUAGUCAUAGUAUAUCAUCAACAUAUUUAUUUUUAUGUUAUAUUUUGUAAUGCUGAUAUGUUCACAAAAAUAGUAAUAUUAGUAGUAGAAACUAAUAUUUUUGUACCAUUAUUAGUAGUAUAAUUUAUCACAAAAAUGUGAACCAAUGAUUGUAAAGCUUUUCCCACAACAUAAGCUAUUACUUGAAUGUGAUAAGGUGAGAUAGUAUUAUGACCAAAUGUUACGAGUGCAAGUUAAUUAUUAUAUCACAGAAAUAACUGAAUCAUUUCAUUUCAUUGUCUAACAAAUAAGUAUGCCCUCAAUUUGAAUUUAUUCGCAUAUGAGUAUUAUCUCGAGUUAGACUUCUACGAUACCGAAACAAUACCAUUAGACUCAUUAUUGAAUAUAUUUACACAUCUUAUAAGUUUUGAAAAAUGAACUUAUUAGGAAGUAUAAAAACCAGUCGGCCCACACAACCCACCAGAUGAAUUUAAAUUGACCUGCGAUAAAAUUAAUUACCACUCACCCUAUUAGGGUAGCCCGUGCGAAUGCACGGGUUCACGACUAGUUUAUCUAAUGUAGGUUAGAGCAACACCAACCAGGCCCCCCAAACGGACGCUCGUUUUGUCCGUGUUUUGUCCAUUUUGGUCGGCUUGUUCGUCCUGUUUUCGUUUUGGGUCCGUCGUGCGUCCAAUGCGCCCAUGCUUCUUUCGCGCUAUGCUUCUUUCGUUAGUGUGGUAGGCUUGCAGCCAUUUUUUGAUCUCUUUGUUACAUAUGUUUAAAAUUUAAUCCUAGAUUAACGAAGUUGAGUAAAAAUACAACCAUUUCAUAGUUCACAAACCACAUAAAUAUCUGAUAGUUUACAAGCCAAAUUUACAUUAAAUUGUCUCCAACACAUUUGAAAGAAAAGGUUGCCAACACAUCUAUUGGUUGCCAAUAUGAAUGCACAUAUGCUCGCAGCUGCAUGUGAGUUUCAAUCACGUAUCUGAUGAUGAAAUUGGACGAACUAUGCAAACGUGAUCACUCCUCCAUGCACAGGCACAACAUUGUCACCCUGUUGAAUCCUAGGUUUUCAUUGGAAUUGCCUACCAGGCACACCAUUCAAAAGGAUGGAAGGUGUUGCAUUGGAUAAGAUCUUGAUCCAAGUGAUGGCUCCAAUUUGUACACAAUUUUAGAGCUCAUUUGUCGCCUAAUAGCUCCAUAUAGCAUGUUCUAUUCAGCCAAUUACAUGUCCAUAUGCAUGAUAUCCAUUAUUUGUCCUUUCUGUCACAAGGAUUGCGUAAUCAUAAUUCUUUUUUAGUGCUUACUGUGUUUCUUUGUUUUUGAGUGUUUUGUAGGUAACGUGGAACUCCCAUACACUUAACCCAAUGAAAAGGAUCCAAAGGUAAGGACAUACAGGUACCAGAUUUAGGCAGUCGGUUUUUUAGUUGCUCAAAAUCGAUAUCUGAUAUUGUACGUGCAUCAGCAUUGUUUUCAUGAUUCCAACGAGCAGAAGAACAUUGAAAACAGAGUCUGGAUGUAAAAGUUACAAUUUUACCAAAGAGUCCAAAGCGUUUAACGACCUUUGGCAUGACCCAAAAUGCUCGUAUCAGGCCGUGACAAGCUCGAAAGUGGCCCUUUCCAAAGGAAUUCUUCGAGGCUUUCUUGUUCAGUGCCACAAGAAAGUGGUACUAUCAUUAUUAACUUUGUAUUUGUUGGCGUCAAUGUUAUGGACAUCAAUAUCACUACUAUCUAGAUUCAAAAAGAAUAAACCAUUCACAGUAGGCUCAUGACCAUAAAAGAUGUUACCCAUAUAAAUGGAACAACCAUUAUUCUCUAGUUUAAGUGAAUAACUGUCUCGCAAUAAACAAAAUCUAGAUAUAAUGUUCAUGCUCAAGCGGGCACCAAAUAACAAUUAUUUAGGUUUACAACUAAUCCUGAUGGUAAUCGAAGAGCGAUUGUGUCGACCGCGAUCACAUCAACCUUUGAACCAUUUCUGACGUGCAUCGUCACUUCGUCCUUUGCCAACCUUCGUUUAUUCCGUAGUUCCUGUUCAAGUUACAAAUAUGAGUAACCAAACCGUUAUCAAAUGGCAUUACUACGAGAGCUAGUAUGGUACACAUAAAUAACAUGUACAUCAAGUAUAUCUUUAUUGAUGUUGCCAGGCUUCUUAUUGGCCAGAUACUUGGGUCAAUUCCGCUUAUAGUGACCAGUUCCAUUGCAAUAGAAGCACUCAGUCUCAAGCUUGGACACAACUUUGGGUUUCUUGAGGGGGGGAACUGGCUUGUCGUUAUUCCUGAAGUUUCCCUUCCUGCCCUUGCCUUUCUUCAAACUAGUGGUUUUAUUCACCAUCAACACUUGAUGCUCCUUCUUGAGUUCUACUUCCGCGAUUUUCAGCAUCGCGAGAUUAGCUUCUUCAUCCCUUGCAUAUUAUAGUUCAUCGUGAAGUCUUUGUAGCUAGGUGGCAGUGACUAGAGAACUAUGUCAGGACCGUCUCAGGUGGAAUCUCAACUCCCAACUGAUUCAGGCGGUUGUACCACACACACAUUCUGAGUAUGUGCUCACUGACAGAACUAUUAUCUUUCAUCUUGCAGGUGAAGAAAUUAUUAGAGGUCUCAUACCUCUUGAUCCGGCCAUUUGCUCGAAAUACUAACUUCAACUCCUGGAACAUUUGAUAUGCUCCAUGGCGUUCAAAACGGUUUUGAUGUCCCAAUUCUAAGCUGUACAACAUGGUACACUGAACUAUCGAGUAGUCAUCAGCACGCGCCUGUGAGACGUUCAAAAAAUCUGCAUACGACACUAGAGGGGUGGCGUCUCAAGCGCUGCAUCAAGGACAUAAGCCUUUUGCGAAGCCGUGAGGAUAAUCCUCAGAUUAAAGACCCAGUCUGCAUAGUUAUUUCCAUCAUCUUUCAGCUUAUCUUUCUCUAGGUACACAUUCAAAUUCAGGGGAGCUACUGUGUGAGCCAUUGAUCUACAACGUAAUUUGCAAAGACAUCUAUAGACUAUGUGUCAUGACAAUGAAUUCAAUUAAUCAUAUUACUAAAGAACUCCCACUCAAAUCAACAUCCCUCAGUUGUCUAAGUGUGACAUGAUCCAAAUACACCAACCCAAGUCCGAUCAUCAUGUGAGAUGAGGUGAUUUCAAUGGUGAACAUAUCCAUUUGAUGAUAUGUACUACAUGACUCAUGUUCGACCUUUAGGUCUCCUCUAUUCCGAGGCCAUGUUUGUACAUGCUAGGCUCAUAAAGUUUAACCCAAGUGUUUUCCAUGUGCAAAACUGGCUUACAACACUUGUAUGUGAACGAAGAGUGUAUCACACCUGAUCAUCACGAGGUGCUUCGAAACAACAAACUUUCACAACGGUGAGGGAUCAACUUAUAAUGCUAUCAUUGUCCUAAGGAUAAUAAGAUGCAUAAAAUAUAAACAUCACAUGCAAAUCAUAUAAGUGACAUGAUAUGGCCAUCAUCAUCUUGUGAUUCUGAUCUCCAUAUCCAAAGCACCGGCAUGAUCUCCAUCGUCACCGGCAUGACACCAUGAUCUCCAUCAUCGUGUCGUCAUGUGGUUGUCGUGCUAACUAUUGCUAACUCAUAGUGAUAAAGUAGAGCAAAUGACACAAAUAAAUAAAAGACAACCCUAUGGCUCCUACCGGUUGUCGUACUCAUGGAGAUGGAAGUUGUGAUAACUAUACAAAACAUGAUCAUCUCAUACAUCACAUAUAUCAAAUCAUGUUUUUGGCCAUAUCACAUCACAACAUGCCCUCGACAAACAAGUUACACGUCCUCUACUUUGUUAUUGCAAGUUUUACACGGCUGCUAUGGGAAACUAGCAAAAAUCAUUCUUACAUACGCAAAGCCACAACGGUGAUAUUCAAGUUGCUAUCUAACCUUCUACAAGGACUGCCUGUGUCGAAUCCGAUUCAACUAAUUAAAUUGAGAGAGACAAACACCCGCGAACCACCUUUAUGCAAGCAAGUUACGUGUUAGUUGGUCAAACUAGUCUCUUAUGCGUGGACAGGUACGGUUGGUCCGAACCGCUCCAUCCCAGAAUAUCGCUGAAUCAAAAUAAUACUAAGGAGCUAAGCAAGAUGAACAUCAACACCCACAAACACUUUGUGUUCUACUUGUGCAUGCCAUCUAUACAGAAACCUAGCUCAUGAUGCCAGUGUUGGAGAAUGUUGCAUGGGAAACAAUAGUUUUCCUAUGUACACCCAAGAUCUAUCUAUGGAGAUGUAUAGCUACGAGACGGGGAGUGGAUCUACACACCCUUGCAGAUCACUAAGAGGAAACAUUAAGAAACGCGGUUGAUGUAGUUGUAUGUCUUCACGAUCCAAUCAUGAUUCGUCCUGAUCUAGCGCCGGUCAGACGGCACUUCCGUGUUCAGCACACGUACAGCUCGAUGACGUCUUAGCCCCCCAGAGAGCGAUGGUGGAGUAGUAGAUGAGUUCUCCAGUAGAACGGCGGCGUGGUGACGCACUAGUGGAGAAAGGGGUAUUAGAACCGGUUGGUAAGGGCCUUUGGACCCAGAUACACAUCCGGUGCUACGUAUCCGGGACUAAAGCCCCCCCCCCUUUAGCACCGGUCUCUUACAAACCGGUGCUAAAGGCCUCCACGUGGGCGCCGAAGAGUGCGCGCAGGCGGAGGACCUUUAGAACCGGUUGGUAACACCAACCGGUCCUAAUGCUUUUUUUUCUUUUUUUUCCUNUCCAGUUCCGUAUUUCCGUUUACGUCUUUCCGAUUCCGUGUUUCCGAUUCCGUAUUUUGGUGUUUCCGUGUUCCGUAUUUUCAGGGUUUUCGUUUUCGUGUUUCCAGUUCCGUAUUUCCGUUUACGUCUUUCCGAUUCCGUGUUUCCGAUUCCGUGUGUCCGUGUUUCGUUUUUUACGAACACGGAAUCGGAAACACGUAAUCGGAAACACCGAUUCCGUGUUUGCGGUUAAGUGUUUCCGAUUCCGUGUUUGCGGUUAAAUGUUGAUGCACCAAAUAAAAGUACAUAUAUACAUGUAACACGAAGUACUGGACCGAUUAUCAUUACAUAAUUUGAAGUUCGUUUCCUAUGGCUGUAUACUUGCAUAGAGAAGGGAACUGGCUAUUGGUUCGUAGGAUGGAAAAUUUCUCCGCCUUCAUCUAUGACUUGCGUGAGGAGAAAUCCUGCCAAUUCCUCUACAACUGCCUUGCAACGUUGGAUUGGUCUGAGCAUCGCCCGCUUUCGUUGCAGCUUUAAAAGAAGUAGAUGAAAACAAUUAAGUUAUGAACAAAACUAAACAUAAUUGAUGGCAACAUAAAUAAAGUUGUGAAGAUCCGGUUACGUACCUCUAGAUUUCUGGAAGUACGGGAUUUCUCAUUGAUAAUCCUGUGAAUGUACUCGCAAACGUAGUAUCCACAAUAAUCAGUGCCCUGUGGUUGUUGCGGGACGCCCUAUAUACGAGAACAUAAUUCAGUCAAAUUAAUAAUAAUCAAGAGAAUGGUAAUGGUAUUGAAACCAGGGUACGUAGUACUACUUACUUUGUUAAUCUGAAAGUGGAGCUUGUCUGCCCAUGUACCGGGUUCUUCCUUGAUGAACAUUUGCCAAACCCUGGCCGACAAAGAAAAAUGAAUACAAGAGUUAAUUAUUACUUACUUGAUAUCAGGAAAUGAACGAAAAAGAGGCCGAUGAACGAAAGAGGCCGAUAUAUAUAUACCUUUGAAGCAUCUGACGCGCGCUCUUCCAUGUGUCAGCGUCCCAGGUUAACGGGUCCCAGACUUCAACUUGUCCUUGAUCGAUUCUAAUGAUGAACAAUAUGAAGUGGGACCUGCGCACGUGUACACACGAAGUCAUGCAUACUCAUCAAUUACACUUAACAUCAGGUAAGCAAAAUGGAAUGUGUACAAGACAGUAGCACUCACUUGAAUCCGUAGGGCCAAAUAUUUCUUUUUUGGUACUUUGUCGCUUCAAAAACCUUAGCAAAUCAUCCGGUGUAUCCUUGUUGAACUUUUCUAUUGUCUCUUGAUGAAACGAAUACGGGUCAAUGAACCCAAAGUCCCAGAUUCCUGCCAGCCUGCAUUCACGAAUCUUCAUUCUGCAUAGUAGCAUACAAAAAGAAUAUCUCGUGAGUGAUAAUUAUACGGGCAAUGAACGCGAGCUUAACUAAAUAAUUAAAUUACACAAAUAAAUAACUUACAAACAGUAGCAGCUGACGAUAGCUUUGUCGAGGGCACGUUGGUUGUAUAUCUGGAAAAAAUCAUCGAACCCAACCUCCACACCGUACUCUCCGAAGCAGUGUUGAUCCUGAACUGCCGCCAUGAUACAGUCUCUCUUUUGCCUUGCGGCCUCCAAGUACCAAACAUGUAAAUUCCAUAGUUGGGUUGUUAGAGCACUAGGAUUUUCGACCAGAGGGUGCUCGGGCUUAUAUUUAUAUACCACAUCAACAAUAGCGUAACCUACGUCGCCCAUGCGUGGACCGGACACUGAAGCCUGGUCAGAUAACACCUUGAGCGGGGCAAUUGACUGUGCUUCUUGUUGUUCGAGCUGGGGAACUUGUUUCCCGCAUUUCGUCUGCUCCGCCUGCUUCAUCUGUGCGGUGUGCAUCUUUUCAAUGUACCGUUCAUAGUCUGAAAGGGGCGGCGGUGGCGGCGGUUCAGGAUAAUAUAAGUUGUCGAUGGUGCGCUCAAUUUUCCACUUUGGUACGUUCUUCAGAGUUUCCUUCCAGAUGUCUGGAGGGGGCUUCAAGGGAAACCGUGCGAACCAUGCUUUGUUUUUGGCUUUCACGGCCUCGUCUAGUUCCUCCGGAGUCAUCAGGCCUGGUAACUUUGGGGGAGUCUUGACUUUAUUGGGUUUCCUUUCUCUCUUCUUGGGAGGAGUCCCGUUUCUUCUGAACUGCAGCUUCCGCUUUGCCGUACCCGUAGUGGGCGCAUCCGUCGGCUCACUGGAGUGCACGGGCGAUGGACUCUCGGCCUCGGGCUCCCAAUCUUCGUUGUGGGGUGGACUUGGAGGUGCGUUGGGGGGUGGACUUGGAGGUCGUGCAUUCUCUGUACGAAAGUGAAAAAACUAUUAAAAAUAGGCUUACGUGUGGUGCAACAUUCAGUAAUUGUUGGAGGUGGUGCAUUGGUACCUGGAGGAAUCGGUGGCCUUGGCGCCGCGUUAGGAAACACGAUGUGUUUCUUCUUCCACAAGAUGAUACCAAGCUCCAUUUCUCCCAGUGUCUUCUCGCCUUCACCUCCAGGAAUAUCAAGCUCAAUUGACUGGCAUCCCGACGUAAUUGUUGACAACCCGACACGAGCAUGGGAUGCUGGAAUCUGACCACCAUGGUAGGUUGCUCCAGGUUGAUUCGGUAAAGCAUAGCCUGACGCCACCAUGAAGGAUAUGCACCCCAUUGGCAUAUGUAUCUCACAGUUUGUCUUCUCCGUGACAUCAUCCACGGGGUAGUGAGGCGCCGACGGUUCGACUGUAGGACCGUCUUCUAGCUGCAGCUGCGUGGAACCCACGCUGCUUCUAUGCUGAGAUGGGACGGCAUCUGCUACAGGAUCGUCUUCUAAUUGCUGCUGAUCAGCGUCAGGUGCAGGAUCUUCUUCCUCCUCUUCAGUGUCAGGUACAGGGUGUCCCCCUUUCUUCAAGAGAAACGCCACCUUUUCUUCUAAUGUCGAUAUCCGUUCCAGCACCUUCCUCUUGCUUCUACCACGGCUUCUGUAAGUGCCAAGGUCCGCCGGAAAAACUUGGUUCCACGCGGUAGUGGCUCCAAAGCCUCGUGUUCGUCCCCACUUUUCUGGGUUCCCAAGUGCCUUCGUCAACUCGUCGUUCUCUCUAUCGGGAACAAAAGUUCCUUUUCGAACAGCUUCUAUUGCCUUCUCUAGAUCUGAUACGACUUGUGUUAUUUUUUCCGACCAUGGUCCCUCCGCAACAAUCAUCCCAGUCUUAGCAUCCAACGUUGCCCCAUGUGCGAACAACCAGAACUUGGAACUAUCGGGCCAGUCAUGUGUCUGUGGAAUGAUAUUUCUUUUCAGAAGCGCAUCUUCAUAGCGUCGCCACCUAGGGAGGGCAGUCAUGUAGCCACCUGACCCCAAAAUAUGGUGAUAUUUCUUCUUCUUCGCAUUCUCCGUAUUUGUGGCUGAUCGGGAUGUAAAGACACCCGAUUUCUUGUACGCCUUAAAAUCAGGCCAAGCGUCUCUUAUCUUCACUAGGUGCCCAGUGAAAACUGGAUCUUCGUCCUUAUAUUUCUUCCACAAGUCUUUCUUCCACCUCUGGAAUUGUGCGGCCAUCUUCUUCAAAGCCCACUCCUCGACUUUCUUCUUCUUAUCUUCCGCUACGCUGAAAUUUAGCCAGACCAUGUCGCAAAGCACUCUUUUCAAUCUGUCAUCGACAUAAGUAGCUCCAACGUUGGCGCCGGUCUUCGGCUUAUUCCAUUCUAUUAAGUUGAUCGGGACCAGGUCUCUUACAACAACUCCGCACUGAUUUACAAAUUUGCGAUAAGUUUCUGGGGGUUCCAGUGGUUUGCCAUCAGCAGCAACUUUAUCGAUCGAGUACCUUGCAGUAUCUUUCAACCUUGCGGCCGGGCCUCGUUUCGACUUUGUCUCAGUACUUGCGCUAGCUGUUCUGGAGGGCGCCUAAACGGGAAAAUAAUGAUCCGUUAGUAAGUGCAAUACAAAUUAAUUGUUGCGUCAACAGUGACUUGAGAUAUACAUUGGCAGAGUUUGUUCCGGAGGGCACUUCUGCAUCUACUACAUCUUCUAUAUUCUCAGCUCCGUCACCGGAGUCGUUCAAAAAUUGAUUGCUAAACGCAUGUCCACCGUCGUCAUCAUGAUAUAUGGCCGUUGCAUCUUCAAAAAUCAUCUCGCACAUGUAUCUUUCCUUCUCCGCCUCACCCAUUCCCGUGAGCUGAUCGGCGUGCUGAUCAUGUGGUUCUUGGGGAUCCAUAGCUCAACACCUGCUAGUAACAAGAAUUUAACUUAGCAAAAUUAUUUACGGAAAAGUUUUACGGAACCGGAAAGUUUACGGAAAAGUUUUACGGAGUCGUAAUCGUCGGAAAGUUUUACGGAAUCGUCGGAAAGUUUUACGGAAUCGUCGGAAUCGUCGGAAACUUUCCCCAGCAAAACUAGUGAGAGGUCGGGGGGACAUGACGAAAGGGUCCCUUGGCCAACACAGUUAUAUUGUGUGACACAGAUUUCUUCAUCGCAGUUCUGGCACAAAUGCUCGGUUCCGGGGCGAAACAAAAAUUUCGGGCCUAUUAAUACUAGUAAUAGUAUGUGGUUUGCAUAUGACCAUACCACCAUGUUUCGGCAGUUGAUUCAUCUUUAAGAAAUAGUUUUGGAAACAUUGGAUUCUAAAACGUAAGAAGACGAAAAUAGGAACUACAACAAUAUGGAUAUAUCGUGACUUUAAAAAAAAUCACAAGAGUUUAAAGCUCUUCAAUUUACAAUGAUGUGGGUGAAGAUACAUGCAAUCACAUAAAACAAAUUGUAAGAUCUCUAAACUCAAACCAAAUACCAAGAUCGCAUACCAAAUACCAAGAUCGCGUCGGCGUACGAGAUGUUCCCGUGGGAGAAGAAGAUGAAGUCGCUGCUGCCGGUGCCGGAGUCGACGGCAUGGGGUGGCGAGGAGGCGGCGAGGAGGAGGCGAGGAGGCGGCGAGGCGACGAGGAGGCGACGAGGAGGCGAGGAGGAGGCGAGGAGGCGACGAGGAGGCGAGGAGGCGGCGAGGNNNNNNNNNNNNNNNNNNNNNNNNNNNNNNNNNNNNNNNNNNNNNNNNNNNNNNNNNNNNNNNNNNNNNNNNNNNNNNNNNNNNNNNNNNNNNNNNNNNNNNNNNNNNNNNNNNNNNNNNNNNNNNNNNNNNNNNNNNNNNNNNNNNNNNNNNNNNNNNNNNNNNNNNNNNNNNNNNNNNNNNNNNNNNNNNNNNNNNNNNNNNNNNNNNNNNNNNNNNNNNNNNNNNNNNNNNNNNNNNNNNNNNNNNNNNNNNNNNNNNNNNNNNNNNNNNNNNNNNNNNNNNNNNNNNNNNNNNNNNNNNNNNNNNNNNNNNNNNNNNNNNNNNNNNNNNNNNNNNNNNNNNNNNNNNNNNNNNNNNNNNNNNNNNNNNNNNNNNNNNNNNNNNNNNNNNNNNNNNNNNNNNNNNNNNNNNNNNNNNNNNNNNNNNNNNNNNNNNNNNNNNNNNNNNNNNNNNNNNNNNNNNNNNNNNNNNNNNNNNNNNNNNNNNNNNNNNNNNNNNNNNNNNNNNNNNNNNNNNNNNNNNNNNNNNNNNNNNNNNNNNNNNNNNNNNNNNNNNNNNNNNNNNNNNNNNNNNNNNNNNNNNNNNNNNNNNNNNNNNNNNNNNNNNNNNNNNNNNNNNNNNNNNNNNNNNNNNNNNNNNNNNNNNNNNNNNNNNNNNNNNNNNNNNNNNNNNNNNNNNNNNNNNNNNNNNNNNNNNNNNNNNNNNNNNNNNNNNNNNNNNNNNNNNNNNNNNNNNNNNNNNNNNNNNNNCUUUUACAUUUAUUUACAAAUUGUCUAAAUGUUAUUUUAACACUUAAAAAAUAAAAAUGAUAUUUAUCAAAAUGGUCAAAUUUAGUGGAAACUGGUCAAAUUUUUGAUAUUUAUCAAAAUGGUCAACACAAUUACAUAAAAGGUUUAAUACAUUAUUACACAUCACCAACAACACCCCCUAUCUAUUUUUAUUCUUGCCUUUCUUCUGAUUGCGCCGUAACCAUGGAGUAUCUUCAUCAUUUAACGGGAUGCUUGGAUCAUCUUUGACUUUGAAGGGAGGAAUUUCAUCAAAUUUAUUGUAAUCUUCUGACAUGUCUGUCUUGUCCUCGACUCCCACGAUGUUUCUUUUCCUUGAAAGAACUAUGUGGCGCCUUGGCUCAUCGUCUGAUGUAUUCGGCUUCCUUAUCUUUUCUUUUUCUCGGUCUGCUAGACAUGUCCUUCACAUAGAAAACCUGAGCCACAUCAUUGGCUAGGACGAAUUGAUCAUUGCCGUACCCAAGAUUCUUCUGAUCCACUGUUGUCAUUCCGUACUUCGGGUCUAGCUUCACGCCUGACAGGUUGAACCAUUUGCACCAGAACAAAGGGACCUUAAUGGAAGGUCCGUAGUCAAGUUCCCAUAUCUGCUCUAUGUAACCAUAGUAUGUGACCCUUUGCCCGUUGUCGUCUUUUCCAUCAAACCGGACGCCACUGUUUUGGUUGGUGCUCUUUUUAUCUUGGUCUGCCGUGUAAUAUGUGUUACCAUUUAUCUCGUACCCUUUAAAGGUCAAUACAGUCGAAGAUGGUUGCUUGGCCAACAAGUAUAGCUCAUCUUCAACAAUGUUGUCAUUAAUGAAACGUCUUUGCAACCAACCGCCGAAAGUCUUCGCGUGUUCUUUAGCAAUGAAAUCUUCAGGUUGCUCCGGGUAUUCCGAGCGUAAAAUAUCCUUGUGUUCCUGGAUAUAUGGAGCCGCCAAGCUGGAAUUAACUAGAACUGUGUAGUGUGCUUGAGUGAAAGAUUGCUCGUCCAUACAUGUUGUUGAUUUCUUUCCUAGCGUGCCUUUUCCACGCAGUCUCCCCUCAUGGCGCGACUGAGGAACACCGAUCGGGUUCAGGUCAGGAAUAAAGUCAACACAAAACUCAAUGACCUCCUCUGUUCCAUAGCCCUUGACCAUGCUUCCUUCUGGCCUAGCACGGUUUUUAACAUAAUUCUUCAAGACUCCCGUGAACCUCUCAAAGGGGAACAUAUUGUGUAAGAAUACAGGACCGAGAACGGAAAUCUCUUGGACUAGGUGAACUAUGAGGUGCGUCAUAAUAUUGAAGAAGGUUGGUGGGAACACCAACUCGAAGCUGACAAGACAUUGGACCACGUUCUUCUGUAAACUUGGUAGAGUUGCUGGAUCGAUUGCCUUCUGAGGAAUUGCGUUGAGGAAUGCACAUAGCUUCACAAUGGGUACUCGCACGUUUUCUGGCAGAAGCCCCCUCAAUGCAAUCGGAAGUAACUGGGUCAUGAUCACGUGGCAGUCAUGAGACUUUAGGUUUUGGAACUUUUUCUCUUCCAGGUUUAGUAUUCCUUUUAUGUUCGACGAGUAGCCAGACGGGACCUUGAUACUACUCAGGACUUGGAAAAAGAUCUCCUUCUCUUCCUUGGUAAGAGCGUAGCUGGCAGGACCUUUGAAAUUCUCUGGAUUCAUCAGGUCGUCUCGUUCGUGCAUACGUUGGUGGUGCAGCCAUGCUUUUGGUGUAUCUCUCGACUUCUUCCCAUGCACGCCCAAUAAGUUUAGCAGGUUCACGCAAAUAUUUUUCGUCACGUGCAUCACGUCGAUCGCAGAGCGAACCUCUAGGAAUUUCCAAUAUGGUAGUUCCCAGAAUAUAGAUUUCUUCUUCCACAUGGCUACGUGGUUGUCGGCGUCAUUCGGAACAGAUUGUGCGCCAGGACCCUUACCAAAGAUUACUUUUAUAUCUUUGACCAUGUCAUAUAUAUCAGUACCUUUAGGGAGGGUUGGCUUCCUCCGUGUAUCUGCCUCGCCUUUGAAAUGCUUUCCUUUCUUUCUUACGGGAUGCCUGUCUGGAAGAAAUCGACGAUGCCCUGGGUACACAUUCUUGCAUAUAUGUAUACUUUCAGUCUCGCCUAAACAGUGUGUGCAUGCGCUGUAUCCCUUGUUUGACUGUCCUGAGAUGUUACUAAGAGCGGGCCAAUCAUUGAUGGUUACAAACAACAACCCUCGUAGGUCAAAUUCCUCCUGUUUGUACUCGUCCCACACACGUACACCUUCGUCAGCCCACAACUCUAAAAGUUCAUCAACCAGUGGCCUCGGGUACACAUCAAUGUUGUUGCCGGGUUGCGACGGGCCUGGGAUAAGCACUGGUAUCAUAAUGAACUUACGCUUCAUGCAUAACCAAGGAGGAAGGUUAUAGAUACAUAGAGUCACGGGCCAGGUGCUAUGACUGCUACUCUGCUCCCCAAACGGAUUCAGGCCAUCUGUACUUAGACCAAACCUUAAGUUUCUUGGGUCACGUGCAAAGUCCUCGUACUUAUCGUCGAUGUUUCUCCACGGCGACCCAUCAGCGGGUUGUCUCAGCAUAUCAUCUUCCUUACGGUCUUCUUUGUGCCAUCGCAGCAACUUGACAUGCUCUUUGUUUCGGAACAAACGUUUCAACCGUGGUAUUAUAGGAGCAUGCCACAUCACCUUGGCAGGAACCCUCUUCCUGGGGCGAUCGUCGCCCACAACAUCACGAGGGUCAUCUCGCCUGACCUUAUACCGAAAUGCACCGCAUACCGGGCACGCAUUUAAAUUCUCGUCUUGACCGCGGUAGAGGAUGCAGUCAUUGAUGCAUGCAUGUAUCUUAUGCACUUCCAAUCCUAGAGGGCAGACAACCUUCUUUGCUUCGUACGUACUGCAGGGCAGCACGUUAUCUCUUGGAAGCAUCUUCUUCAUUAUUUUCAGCAGCUUUUCAAAUCCCUUGUCAGAUAUUCCAUUCUCUGCCUUCCAUUGCAGCAAUUCCAGGGUGGUGCCCAACUUUUUCUGGCCAUCUUCGCAAUUUGGGUACAACAAUUUUUUGUGAUCUUCUAACAUGCGCUCCAACUUCAACCUCUCGUUUUCACUUCCGCAGUUUAUCUGUUCUUCACGAAUGACCUGACGAAGAUCAUCAUCAGACUCAUCAACAAUGUCCUCAAGUUCAGGCUCGUCUUCCCCCAUUUCAGUAUCACCGUGUUCACCGAACAUAGGAUAGUUAUCAUUAUCCUCUUCUUCUUCAUUGUCUUCCAUUACAACCCCUCUUUCUCCGUGCUUGGUCCAACAAAAAUAACUGGGCAUGAAGCCUUCUUGCAACAGGUGGGUGUGUAUGGUUCUUGAGUUAGGGAAAUUCCUCUUAUUCUGGCAUUUUUUACAUGGACAAAAAAUAAAUCCAUUCUGCCUGUUUUUCUCAGCCACAUUGAGAAAACUAUGCAUGCCAUUAAGGAAUUCGGGACGACGUCGAUCACUGUACAUCCAUUGCCGGUUCAUCUGCAUUAUAUAAAUUUAUCAAAAACCAUUAUGCUAAAUCAUCAUGACUAAAUUAAUUAAUUAAUACNCAAAGUAGCGUAGUGACCAUACAUAUAUAGUUCUCAUAAAAAUACACACUGAAACCAACCAUAAAAACUCUCUCUAACUAAUGCAUUUAAAAACAACAACAAAUGCGAUCAAAAUCGCAACAAAGGUAACAAUUGACCCGACGGCCUAAUGAUACGAAGCCUCUUUACUAAUUGCAUAUUUUCUAAUCUUUCUAAUCUUCAGGCGCAUUGCGUCCAUCUCGCUCUUGUGACCAUCGACGACACCGGCAAGAACCUUUUCCAAGGUCAUCUUCUCUCUUUCAGUUUUUUCCAACCUUUCUUCAGUUUUUUUCAAUCUUUCUUUCAGGCCAACAUUUUCUUGUUCAACUAAGUGUAACUUCUCAACAAUAGGGUCGAUUGGCAUUUCCGGUUCCACUACCUCCUAGAUAAAAAUAUCUAUGUCAAGUUGGUCGGCGUAAUUAAUUGUCAUAUAAUCAGGAAAUGAAAAUAUGUAGUUAUAAAAGAUAAUAUACCACAUCCGAAUCAUAGACUGGACGAGGGCCAACGGGGACGGAUAUCAAAACCAUGGCGCUAUACAUAUAAAAAAAAUCUUACACAAUAAGAAAAUUAUAUACAAGUAAAUAUGUAAAUCAUACAAAUCAUAAUUUGUUUUGGUAAAUAAAAACACUAGGCUCACCAAGGUUGUGUCGGUGACGGGGCGAUCGACGGCGGUGAGGAAGGGGACAAGGCGCGCGACACUAAAAAAAACCAUAAAUCAUAAUUAAAUUUGAGCUCAAAUUGCAUAUGUAUACAUAACAAAUGAUGAACUCUCUCUAGCUUAGGCAUUUCAUCAAACACCUAGCUAGCACAACAAAAAUGAAAUGAGCAAGAAAACGAGCAAAACUUGCAAUGCCGGAAGAGGGAAUGUUGAUGUUAACCGUAGGACCGAUGGGUGCCAACAAUCUUGACAAAUGGUGGAGAAAAAUGGGGAUGGAUUAGAGCUCCCAAGAGGAAGGAGAGAGCAAAAAUGGAGUUGAGCUCGCGCUGGAAAAAAUGGAGCUGAGCUCGGAGUGGAAUAUAGGGGAGGGCUUUAGGACCGGUUUGUGUUAAAAACCGGUGCUAAAGGGUCUGACAACGGGGCCCCGCAGUUGCUGCAAAAAUGAGAAAAACUUUAGCACCAGUUUGUGAUACAAACCGGUUCUAAAGGGUCUGUCCACUGGGUCCCCGCCCUGCAGCAAACGGUCCAAAACCCUUUAGGACCGGUUUGUGUUACAAACCGGUCCUAAAGGCCUUGCGGCCAUUCGCUGCAGGGAGGGGGCCCAGCGGAUAGACCCUUUAGAACCGGUUUAUAUCCAAUCCGGGUCCAAUGUGGUUGGCUCAAUGCCCUGUUUUCUACUAGUGACGGUGGUGGUGGUACAACCUCAGCGAGGCUUUGCCAAGCGCCGCUACAAACGCGACGGGGGAGAAAAUUGAUCGAGAGAGAGAGGGAGCUCGCCGCCAAAGGCUUGGUGUGUGGAUUCCCCCCUCACUACAAGAAAUAUGCUCAUAUGUGAUGUUUUUUAAAAUGUCGUUGAUGAAUUCGUCAUAAAUCUAUGACGAUUUCAUCCGAGAUCGUCGUAAACCGUUUGAGGGGAUCAAAUCUACAUAUAAAUUACGACGAUGUGAGUCAAAACGUCGUAACCGCAUAAGAUGAGAUCGUCAUAACUUUUACGACGAUUGUAAAAAUGUCGUAACAUGUUCUAACUAUGUUGACAUGGCACUCGUGGGUCCAUUCUAUCCCACCUGAUCCUAGUUUGUGAAGCAACCUACUAUUCUAUCAUUCCGAAAAUUCUCGAAAAAUUCUCAUAAAUACUUUGGACUAUAUAUUUCUCAAAUAUGUGAAAACCCUCCCUUCCAUAGUUCAAAAAUAAUUCAAAAAUAUUCAUUUUCCUAUUUUGUUCAGAAUAGUACUUUGGUUUACGGAAGUGCUAUUUCUAUUUCUUUGAUUACCCUCAUAUUGUUUGGGCACUCUUUCCUAUCCAAAUCAUUGCCUCAUGAAAACUUUCGUAACGAUUUGCCUAGUAAAUCUUUCUCAACAAAUUUCCAAAGUUUGUGUUCAGCUAACAGCUUUGUGAAGGAAGUACUAGAUAGGAAUAUCCUAAUGAUUUGAAUUUUUCCACAUCAUCUAUGUGCCCAAAACGGAGCUCUCCAUAAAAUUUUAGCCACAUCUAACAAUUCAUGUGAGCUCAUCAUCCAAUCUUUGUUUUUGGUAAUAUUUUCAUUUUGUGAAGCAACUAUGUUUUAUAUUGCUUUAUAGUUGAUGAAAAAUUUACCACGGGAUGAUCCUGACCAUAUAACCUCACUGCACCAAAUUUUAGCUCAUUUAGUUCAGCCAGUUUCUCUCAAUAUUUUUCCCAAUAUUCCGUUCAGUAGAGAGCAUUGUGAAGGAAGUACAAUUUUUGUUUAUCCAAAUUUUAUGAACUUUUUACAGUACCUUAAUGUGCCCAAAUUAUCAUCCUCCUCCAAAUUUAAGCUCACUCCAAUUAUCUAUGUGAGCCCAGUUUUAAUUACCAUUUUCUGUCCAGAUUGGCACAUUGUGAAGGAAGUGUCACUUUGGCAUGUCCAAAUGGUAUAAUUUUUAUACAGUGCCUUCAUAUGCCCAAAUUAACAUCAUACACCAAAUUUCAGCUCAAUCCAUUCAUUCAUUUGAUCCUAGCUUCAACAUCCAUAUUUCUGCACAAUGUGUUACUUUGCAAAGCAAGUGCCACCUAGAUUCAUCCAUUUGAGAUAAAAAUUUGCCAAGAGAGUCUCCUUAGUAGAUGAUCAUCCUCAGCCAAAAUUUAGGCCCAUUGUCUAUGUGAAUUACCCGCACCGCUAAUCAAACACUUGGCUGCUAAUUCAUGUUUGUGCUUAGUUCAGUGUCCUCAUGAGAUUAUUCUAUUGUAUUAUUCUUGCUAACACCUAUCGAGGGAUUGUCCAACCCACCAGACAUGACUAUUCCACCUAGAACGCGUGGCAAUGCAACGGUUAGGCGGUGACCAUGCGACUGGCAUGCAAGUUCACGCACCCUGGAGUUGGGGCCCUCGACCACCAUGCAAAUCUCGACGUCAAGGCACCACACCAUGUAUUUCUGAUUAAAUAGAUACUUAUAUACCUACAAAUGAUUUUUGGGAAAAAUAAAGAGCAAACUAUAAUGCAGCUGCAGUUCAAAUUUGACCCGCUUCCAUCUGAAUCGACAUAAAUUUGUCUUUUUCACGAGAGGUGGGUAACAUCUUUUAACACCCAACCAUUUUGUCAAUUGUACAUUAAAUAUGGACUAGUAUUUUAUAAAAAUGAUUUGGUCCAAUUUUAAAACAAAUAUAUGGUAGGUCCUUCACAAAACAACUCAUUUUGAUCACUUGAAAAAUGGAAAAUGAAUUUUUCAUACAAGGAAAAUGAAAACUUCCUUAAUCAACAUUGUUUGCCAUUCCGAUAUGCACCCUUGUGCAUAAUAUUAUAUCAUUUCAACAAACUAUGUCAUGAAUAUGGCUAUAAGAUUGAUCAUUUGGCUUGAAAGUCAUGAAUCUUCACACAUGAUAGCUCAUUUCUAAGAACACUUGUUUAAAAUAAUUGUCGUAUUAUAAGUUUAUUAUUUUUCCUGGUAACUUUGUCACAUAUAAUGACACAAUGCAAUGGUUUUCCAUUUUUUUGAAUUUGUUUUGAAUUUUCCAUGGCCAUUUCAAAACGCGGUCAAAAUAGCGGGUAUGACCGUUCAUACCUAGUGGUUGAAUCUUGGAAAUGUUUUGAUGUUUCUAUGAUUAAAUAGAUACUUGUGUACCUAUAAAUUGUUUUUAGCAAAAAUAUAGAGCAAACUAUAAUGUCGAUGCAGUUUAAAUUUGACCCGCUUUCAGCUGAUUCAACGAAAUUUUUUCUUUUUUAGGAGAGAUCGAUAAAAGCCUUUAACACCCAACCAUUUUGUCAAUUAUACAUUAAAUAUGGCCUAGUAUUUUAGAAAAUUGAUUUGUUCCAAUUUUGAAACAAAUAUAUGGUAGGUCCUUCACAAAAAAGUUCAUUUUGGACACUUGAAAAAUGGAAAAUGAUUUUUACAUACGAGGAAAAUGAAAACUUCCUUAAUCAAUAUUGUUUGUCAUUCCAAUAUGCAUCCUUGUGCAUAAUAUUAUAUCAUUUCAACAAACUAUGUCAUUAAUGUGGCCAUAGGAUUGAUAAUUUGGCUUGAAAGCCAUGGAUCUUCACACAUGAUAGCUCAUUUUUAAGAAAACUUUUUUAAAAUAAUUGUCAUAUUACAAGUUUAUUAUUUUUCCUGGCAACUCUGUCACAUAUAAUGACACAAUGCAAAGGUUUUCCAUUUUUUUAAUUUUUUCAUGGCCAUUUCAAAAUGCGGUCAAAACAGCGGGUAUGACCGUUCCUACCUAGUGGUUGAAUCUUGAAUUUUUUUUAAUGUUUCUCUGAUUAAGUAGAUACUUUUGCAAAAUUUGUAUGGUGCACUUUGGCAAAAUGUUUUUGAUAGAUGCUUCAUAAAAUUCCUCUAUUUUUAGUACUUGAAAAUUAUUUUAAAUCAUUGAUUUUUUGAAGGGAAAUUUGAAGAUUUGCCACAAGUUUGUUUACACUUUGAGGAUUUACCCCUGUUUUUCUUGUUACUAAUAAUUAGCCACACCUUUCUGAGAGUCUUAAUGAUUUGCCCCUUAUGAACGACAUGGAAAUAUAACACAAAAUCAGUGACCAAACUGCCCGAGCCCAAAUUAGCUAGCUUCAUGUUUGACCGUUCCCGUUUCUCUGUUCGUUCGUAUCCUGGCUGCUCGUCAUGGCUCGCAGCAGUGUCUCUCGUUGCUGUGGCUCGUGAACCCGCCUUGUUGUGCUGACCACUCCACUCCAGACCAAGAAGGCCGAGGUCGACGGCCAAAAUAGGUAAGCCACCGUGGUUGAUUCAUGUGCCAGGCGCAAGCAUCCGUCUUCGUCAACCGACGGCGUGCUCACUUAGUCGGGUUGGUGCCUGGUGGUCUUCACGUCGCCGACCCACUAGACCGCCUUGCCAAGUGGACAGACGAUGACGAUCACCCCUGUUCUUGGCUGGGCGUCAACUGUGACACGUGCACGGGCUGCAUGACCUCACUCUCGCUGCUCGCCACGUUGCUCCCUGGCCGCCUCCUCCCCUGCAACAACCUGUUAGGAUCGGCUAUAUCCCCUGCCUCCGCUCUCGUCCUCACAUCUUGACUUGUCUAAACGACAACGAGCGAGCACGCGGAGACGCAUCCGUCUGCUUCUCUUUUGGAAGAGACGAGGAUGACCUUGGGUACCAUGACGAGCUUUUUAGACAUAUUCCAGUGGGUCCCUACCUCCGGGGGCAAAUCAUCACCAAACUGAAAAAGAUAUCGCGAAUAAUCGAUGACAAGGAAAACGAAGGCAAGUCCUCAAAGUGCAAACAAACAUGUGGCAAAUCCUUAAAUUCCCUUUUUUGAACCAAUGAGAAAUCUUUCCACAGAUCGAUGACAUGGCGUCCAUCCAUCCAUCCAUCUACAGAAAAAAAAACCACCCGGAGCCCAAACCCUAGCUCACACCCCCAUCGCACCUUCCUCCCAGAUCCGGCGCCGCCGCACGUUCUCCUCUCCUCCUCCUCCCAGAUCCGGAGCCUCUCCAAGCCGCCCGCGCUCGCCGACGCGGCCGCCUCACCGUGCUCUCUCCGUCCCCACCCACCCGCCUCCCAAUCCCGAUCUCUCUCGCCCCGCUCAUGCAUGAGAGGUCGUCGGGGCCAUCGCUAGUCGCCGCCACGCGCCUCCGCUCCGCCUCCCUGGUCCUGCUGCUCCUGGCGCUGUCCCUGCUCGCCGGGUGGGCACGCUUCUGGGAUACAUGACGACCUCACGGAGGAUAAGAAGAGCCAGCCAACCAAUGAAACGCGAGGAACCUCCUCCACGCGGACCACCCCACCAGAAGCGAUCUGAGCCAUCCAUCACGCGCCCAUCCGACAGUGUAGCAUCUCCCGAAAAACCAAACCCUAACUAUGUGAUCGAGACACCCCACCCCUCACACACAGCCACACACUUCCUCCCUCGUCCCCAUCUCUCUCCCGCACGAACCCCUCUUGCCGCCGCCAUCACCAACGGCGCCCUGAUCCAGGCGACCUCCGGUGAGGAUAGACGGUGCCAAGCACACAACAUGGAUCCCCUUGCUCUGCUCCUCCCCUAUCCCGUGCUUCUUCCCACCCGCGCGCCCGUGCCAAACCCUACCGCGCGUGUGAUCCCGCGUCCGCCCCGAUCUGCGAGAUGUGGCGCGACUGAGCACACACACACAGUGACGCGCAGGGGAAGAGGAGGUUUCCCCCGAUCCGGCGCACGACAGGGAGCCCGCCGCCUGACACGGCGGGGCGAGGGCCCCCUCCGACGCGGGGCGGACCUUCCUGCAUNUGCGGUUCAGGGGCGCGGUGCAGGAAGAACUGCAUGAUGGUGGCACCUUCCACCAUGGUCGCCGAAUUACUGAUUGGGAUCAAGCACUGGUAACCUCUUCACACAACUUUCCCGUAGCAUUUCCAGCACUGAGAGUGCGACCUUUUUUCUGAACAGUACCUUUAGCCGCAUCUUUUCUAAAUACUGUAUACUGGUAGCCGGCGCGAUGUGGGAGACAAUCCACCCCAUCUAAUUCCUUUCCCGUAGUCGGAUGCCCCGUCACAACCCACAAUGCCUUUGUCCUAGCACAAUAACUUAUGGGCAACAAGCGUGCGACAUAGGUGACUGGAAAAUAGAAGGCAUUGCAGGCCAUACCACAAGCAUACGUACGUACACGCUAGCUAAAAAAUGUUUUUGGUGGUAUCUAUCUUCUUACAUUUGCUUAACGUCUACGGGGAAGCUUCUUAGUCUAGUGCAGUAUUUAAUUUGGUGGUGCUAAUGUGGAUUAUGAUAUGACAUCUUCUCCAACUGGGUAUAGGUGGAAAAAAAGCACCUAUGCUUAUCUGAAUGAGCCGGCAGUGACCGCAUCGGUGGAUAUAUUCCAUUUCUUGCAGAACUCUUCAAGGUACAUAUACUGCAAUUCUCUGGAGUCUUAUGCUAUUGUCCAUAACGCCUUCGCCCGGUUCAUCCUUGAUUGGCUCUGAUUCUUCUCGGUCGGCGUCUCGCAGAUGUGGCAGCUCAAGGGCGAGGUUGGCGCCAUCUCCAGGGCCGACGGCUCGGCGCUCUUCGAGAUGGGCAACACCAGGGUCAUCGCCGCCGUUUACGGGCCCCGAGAGGUGCGUCCAUGUCCCUCCUGUAAAAUUCAGUGUAAAGAUGAGCCCAAUGUUAGGCUAACAAGGGCCUGAGUCAAGCCGGUCAUAUGCUGAAAUAGAUUAGGGAUGGUGGUUUAUUUGUUGGCCCAUAACUCAUAUCGAUCGAACUGGUGUGGUGGUUAAUGUAGAAAUAACACCGCGAAAAUAGUUUCCAGCAAUGCUGCAUCGUUGUACUCUCCUCUUUCCUGUUAAUGUUUUCUUUUCAAAAAAUAAAUCCUUUUAAUGUUGUUGUACCCAUCCCCAAACGCCAACUAUGCUAUUUGCACAUCUUGUAGGUUGAGUUCCUCCGUAGAUUAGCGCUUUACAAAUCAGCAUCUCAUACUAGCUAGGAGGCCACUGAUUGCACCUUCUUUUAAAAUGUUUUAAUGUCCAAUGAACUUGCAGGCCUUUGUUAUUUUGUCAUCUGCUAGUUGUUGGUAGGCUGAAUAUGUUGUCCGUGAUGUGUUCUGUUACCUCUGUCGAUCUGUUCAUCAAGCAUAAAUGUUUAUUUUCUGAACUGAUAAGUCCUUGCCAAACACUAAUGAUCUAAUCAUGUUUUGAUUGCAGCGAACAGACGGUCUGCCGUAGCUUGGUCCUUGAAGGCGGGUCUAUGGGACUCUCUCAAAUCUGGGUAAAGUACAUUAUGUACCCUUUUAAAAUUUUGUGUGAUGUUCAUGUUUAAAAAAUAUCUACAUAUUAGAACAUCUAUGUACUAUUGUUAAAGAAACACUAUUUCCAGAGCUUCCCACCUUGAUGAAAAAGGUUAAACCAUUAAACAAAUUCGAGUUUCCCCCAUUAUCUUGGCUAGGACAAAAGUUUUCUUGGAUCAAUUAUUCGGUGUGCGAUUCAUUUCUGUAUGUUACUAAGAUGGACAGGAGAACGAUUCAGAUAUUUGCGAAUCAUAGGCUUUAUUUCGUGCAAAUUGGUUUCAGCCAGCGGUUAGGCAUUGGGCAUUUUGUUUCGCUCACCCUAUCAACUGUGAUUUAGGAUUAUGAUGAUUAUUGAUGUAGCCAACAUAAAAUCCUGCCUGCACAUUUUGAAGCACGACUCCUGUGAUGAUUUAUACGCACUCUGUUUGUGUUUUAUCUUGAAAUUUAAGCUUACUAUACCCUGAGUAUAAGAUGUUACAGUGUUGGUACCUUCACUUAUGUCUCAAUUAGUGGUAGUUUAAUGUCUACUGCACUAAACACCCAGCUAGUCUUUUUUCUACCAGUAUGUUGCAGCCACCAGCAUUCUUGUAGUUGUUGCUGAGUUAAGUUUGGUUCACAUGAUUGCAUUCUACGCUUUGAUAUAUUGUUCCUCAUGGUUGUUACUGUUAUCCAUGGCCUCAUGCUUCAGGAUUGACUCUUAACUGCUUGAGCUCUUUAGUCCUUCCAAAACAAGGUCUUGAUGUCCCUCUUACGGAAAAAUGUUCAUAUCGGUUCCUGCAUGAUGCGUGUAUGUACGUUGGAUGGUCACGUUCUAGUUUACUAGCUAGCUAGUAAGCAUUGUUUGGUUAGUGCUCUCCUGCUUGGUUGGCUAAACAUAUUCGUUUGUUUGAUUUGGCUUCACAGUUACAUAUUUUGAUUUGAACUUAGUCUAUGUUUAUGCCUAGUUUCUCUUAAUUAUCUUAAAUGGUGUGGUACCGUGUCUAUGCGCGCACAACUUCCUCUCACAAAAAAAAACUAAGUGCAUGUCUCUCUCACUUUUGUUCGCAUUUCUUUUAACAUCAUCUUGAGGAUGAAUACAAAUCUUUUUAUUUCUAAUAUUUUUAUAUUUAUUUCGUUUUGAUUGAUUCAUGUGCAGUGUAAUGUUCUUGUAGGAUGACAAGUUGUCGCAUCUCGAGCAUGUCUCAUAGGAGAGUAGAAUGAAGUCCAUUGUAUUGUUGGGAUAGUAGCAGAUGUGCCAUUGUUCUGUUGUGCAAUUUUGUCCGUUCUUGCUAUAUUCUUGUGUAAGGAAAUGUAUUCACGAGAUGAGUUAUUGUGUUAUGUAAACCUGGGAGAUGUAUUAUGUGAUGUUAUAUGAUGGAUGGUUUUAAUUCGACUUGGAGUUUUCUUGAUUUGAAUAUUAAAUAGUGUUGGAUUUAAUAUUGGACAAAUAAUUGGGUUGAAAAGGCCCAACAAAUAGAAAUGAAACCAAGUUCUGAAACAAAAAGUUGCUGAAUUCAAAAAUAAAAAAGGCCAAAACUAAAACUCGACCCAAUGUAUUUGGGAACUAAAAGGGCCAGGGCCCAAAUUAUAGUGAUACAAAAAAAUUCAUAAAAAACUAGAAGUGGUUGUAAAUAGCCCCAAUAAGAAAAAGCCCCAAAAAAAUAAAACCAGCCCAUAUGCUCAAUUGAAAUGGGUUGGGCUGAUUUCAACCAUGACGUUUUGAUUUCAUCGUAAUUUUGCCACGUAGGACUGGGUUAGAUUGGCAACGACGAUUUAGGAUCAUCGUAAAGGUUACGACGAUCCAGAAAUUCUCGUAAAAGUUACGACGAUUUCGAUCAAAACAUCGCUGUUGUUCAUUUCUGACGCUCCGUUUUCGACGCUUGGUUUUUCGUCGUGAGAUCGUCGUAAAUUAAAAACCAUGACGAUGUAGCGACGAAAAAAUAGCGUCGUGUAUUAGCAUAUUCCUUGUAGUGGAUCUCUGAUACGUCUCCAUCGUAUCUACUUUUCCAAACUCUUUUGCCCUUGUUUUGGACUCUAAUUUGCAUGAUUUGAAUGGAACUAACCUGGACUAACGCUGUUUUGAGCAGAAUUGCCUUGGUGUUAUUUUCAUGCAGAAAUCAAAGUUCUCCAAACGUCCUAAAAAUUUACGGGGAGCAGUUUUGGAAAAUAUCAAAAAUAUCUGCGCCAAGUAGGGGGUGGGCCAGUGGGCCACAAGCCCUCGCUCCGCCACCACCCCCCUGGUGGCGGUGGGGAGGCUUGUGGGGCCCACACGGCUCUGCCGCCCCCAAUUCCAGCUCUAUAAGAUCCCUUUCGUCCCAGAAAAUAAAAGAGAAGUUGUCGUCUCGUUUUCGAUACGGAGGCGCCAUCACCACCUGUUCUUCAUCUGGAGGGCAGAUCUGGAGUCCGUCUUGGGCUCCGGAGAGGGGAAAUCGUCGCCAUCGUCAUCAUCAACCUUCUUCCCACUCCAAUUCCAUGAAGCUCUUCGUCGUUCAUGAGUAGACUAUUCAUAGGCUCGCUGGGCGGUGAUGAGUAGGAUGAGAUCUAUCAUGUAAUCGAGUUAGUUUUGAUCGGGAUUGAUCCCUAGUAUCCACUAUGUUCUGAGAUUGAUGUUGCUACUACUUUGCCAUGCUUAAUGCUUGUCACUAGGGCCCGAGUGCCAUGAUUUCAUAUAUGAAAUUAUUAUGUUGUCACCAAUAUAUGUGCGUUUUAGAUCUGAUCUUGCAAGUUGUAGUUACCUACUAUGUGUUAUGAUCCGGCAACCCCGGAGUGACAAUAACCGGAACUACUCCUGGUGAUGACCAUAGUUUGAGGAGUUCAUGUGUUCACCAAGUGCUAAUGGGUUGGUCCAGUUCUUUAUUAAAAGGAGAACCUUAGUAUCCCGUAGUUUCCUUUUGGACCCUGCUGCCGCGGGAGGGAUGGACAAUAGAUGUCAUGCAAGUUCUUUUCCCUAAGCACGUAUGACGACACACGGAAUGCAUGCCUACAUCACAUUGACGAACGGGAGCUAGCUACAUAUCUCUCCGUGUUAUAGCUGUUGCAUGAUGAAUAUCAUCCAAACAAAUCACCGACCCAUUGCCUAUGAGUUUGUCCUACUGCUGCUACUACUGUUGCUACUACUACUUGUACUACUGUUGCUACUGCUGUUACUUGUCUUGCUCUGCUAUUGCUACUAUUGUUGCUACUGCUGUUACUUGUCUUGCUCUGCUGCUGCUACUACUAUUGCUACUGAUAUUACUUGUCUUGCUGUGCUACUACUGUUGCUACUACUGUCGCUUGCUACUGUUGCUACUUGCUACUGCUGUCACUACUGAUUUUACUUGCCGCUGCUAUUGCUCGUUACUUUGCCGUUACUCGCUACUUUGCUGUUACUACUUUGCUUGCAGAUACUAAUCUUUCAGGUGUGGUUGAAUUUGACAUAUUCAGCUGCUAAUACUUGAGAGUAUUCUCUCACCUCUCGUCGUGCGAACCAACAAAUUUGUGUUGAAUACUCUACCCUCGAAAACUGCUGCGAACCCACACGCAGGUGGGCCGUCAACAACAUUCUUCUAGUUUCAUUGCUGGGGAGUGCUAGUAGCAUUCUUCUGGUGCCGUUGCAGGGGAAGGCUUGUUGUCAUCAGCAUUCGUCUAGCCAUCGCCAGAGAUUGCAAUCAGCAUUUUUCUGGCGGCGUUGCCAGGGGGGUAUUGCUAUAUUCUCUAAGUUACUUGGGAUUUAUAUCUGUUGAUAACUAUGAAGAAUCUGAAGGAUCCGAAGACCAAAGUUUUGCCCUCAACUACGAGGGGAGGUAAGGAAUUGCCAUCUAGCUCUGCACUUGAUUCACCUUCAGUUAUGAGUAAGUUUGCGACAUCACCUCCUGCUAGAAAUCUUGAUAUGUCGCCUGUGAUUGAUGAUGCUUGUGAUACUACUGCUAGAGAUGCUAUGCUUGAUACUAUGCCUGAUGAUAUGCCUGAUACUGCUAGAGAUGCCAUGCUUGAUACUAUGCCUGAUGAUACUAUGCUAGAGAUACUACUUUGCCUGAUACUAUGCUAGAGAUGCUAUGCUUGAUACUAUGCUAGAGAUGCUAUGCUUGAUACUAUGCUAGAGAUACUACUUUGCCUGAUGUUCCACUAGGGGUAUUCCUUGAUGCUCAUAUUGCUAGAGUUACUGCCGAUGCCCGUGAUGCUUCUGAAACUGCCGAUACUAUUGAGAUAGAACCUGCUUUUGCUCCUGAUAGAUCUAGCCCUCCUAGAUAUGAAUUGCCUGAUAUACCUGAGGGGUACGUUAUGGAGGGAGAGAUAGCUGAGGAUUUUCUUGCGUGUAAGGAUGCGUAUGACGCUGAGAAAUUACUUCUCAAGUGGAAGGAAAAAUCUCGGGAAGCUAGGAAGAAAAAUGACCCAAAGUUUGCCACUUCGCCUAUCUUUGUCACCGAUAAGGAUUAUGAAUUCUCUGUCGACCCUGAGAUAAUCUCUCUGGUCGAAUCUGAUCCUUUUCACGGUUAUGAGUCUGAGACUGUCAUAGCCCAUCUUGCAAAACUAUCCGAAAUAGCCAACCUUUUCACUAAUGAGGAGAAGAUCCGCCACUACUAUAUCCUUAAGUUAUUUCAUUUCUCUCUAAAGGAUGACGCUAAAGCCUGGUUCACCUCUCAUGCUCCUGGAUGUGUGCGUAGUCCCCAGGAGAUGGUCUAUUACUUCUGUGAGAAAUAUUUCCCUGCCCAUAAGAAGCAAGCUGCCUUGCAGGAAAUAUACAACUUUGCUCAACUCCAAGAAGAGAGUCUUCCACAAGCUUGGGGGAGGCUCGUCCAACUACAAAAUGCUUUGCCUGAUCGCCCUCUUAAGAAGAACGAGAUACUUGAUAUCCUCUAUAAUGGACUUACCGAUGCCUCUAGAGACCACCUAGAUAAUUGUGCCGAUUGUGUUUGUAGGGAACAAACUAUAGAACAAGCUGAGACCCUACUAAAUAACCUCUUGAUCAAUGAUAAUGCUUGGACUAUUCCCGAACCACCUCCGACGCCAACUCCUAAGAAAAGAGGUAUUCUAUUCCUCAGUCCCGAAGAUAUGCAAGAAGCCAAGAAAUCUAUGCAAGAGAAAGGCAUUAGAUCUGAAGAUGUCAAAAAUCUACCACCUAUUGAAGAGAUCCAUGGUCUCGAUAACCUAUAGGUAGUGAGCCUUUGAUGAGAGUGAUAUUCCUGCGUAGGUUUGAUGAGAGUGAUAUUCCUUUUGAUAAACCUGCUAGCCUAUGCUUUGAUGAAUUUGACAACUUUGUUGCCAAACAACAGAGUUUCAAUGCUUAUGUUAGCAGACAUUUGGAACAAAGUACUCGUAUGCUUAGCCAUUUAAGUGCUUGUGUAGACAGAAAUGUCAAUGAUCUGAAGCUUCUGAGUAAACAUGCCUCUAUGAUUACUACUCAAGUAGAACAAGUACUCAAAGCUCAGAAUGACCUGCUCGAUGAAUUAAAUGACAACUCUGUCAGAGUCAUUACUAGAGGAGGCAAAAUGACUCAGGAACCUUUGUAUCCUGAAGGUCAUCUUAAGAGAAUUGAUCAAGAUUCUCAAGGAAUCAAUGCUGAUACACCUAGUCAUCCUAAGGAGAAGAAGAAGGAUGAUAGAAACCUACACGCCAGUUCACCAAAUACCGUCACACCUGAAGAACCUAAUGAUAUUUAUGCGUCUGAUGCAGAAACACAAUCUGGUGAUGAACAUGAACCUGGUGACAAUAUGGACAGCGAUGUUCAUAAUAAUGCUCAACCUAGCAAUGAUGAGGAUGUGGAGAUUGAACCUACGGUUAAUCCUAAUAACCCACAACCUAAGAAAUACGAUAAGAAUGACUUCAAUGCUAGGAAGCAUGGUAAAGAAAGAGAGCCAUGGGUUCAGAGACCUAUGUCAUUUCCUCCUAAGCCAUCCAAGAAAAAGGAUGAUGAGGAUUUUGAGCGCUUCGUUGAGAUGAUAAGACCCGUAUUUCUGCAGAUGCGGUUAACUGAUAUACUCGUCUCUGUAUGCCAAGUACAUGAAAGAUAUCGUGACUAAUAAACGGAAGAUACCAGAUCUUGAGAUCUCCACCAUGCUUGCCAAUUACACUUUUAAAGGUGGAACUCCUAAGAAACUUUGUGAUCCCGGAGUGCCCACUACACCUUGCUCCAUUAAAGGAAACUACGUAAGAACUGCCUUAUGUGACCUUGGAGCCGGUGUUAGUGUUAUGCCGCUCUCUUUUUAUCAUAGACUUGAGUUGGAUAAGUUGACACCCACUGAAAUUUCUCUGCAAAUGGCCGACAAAUCAACUGCUUUCCCUAUCGGCGUUUGCGAGGAUGUGCCUGUUGUGGUUGCUAAUACCACUAUCUUAACAAACUUUGUUAUCUUGGAUAUUCCCAAGGACAAUGACAUGGCUAUCAUCCUCGGAAGACCCUUUUUAAACACUACAGGGACUGUUAUAGAUUGCAACAAGGGCAAUGUCACUUUCCACGUCAACGGUAAUGAGCACACCGUGCACUUUCCGAAGAAACGAUAUCCAGUACAUUGCAUCAAUGCUAUCGAAAAGACUUCAUCGAUUCUCAUUGGGAGCUUUGAAUGCCCUAUUCCUCGUGUCAAGAUGAAGUAUGAUUUGCUUGUUGGGGAGAUACAUAUACCCAUUGAGGUGACUUAGUGGCUAUUCAAAAAUUCUCCGUUCUCUCUUGCGAUUCCAGAAGGUUCUAUCAUAAGGACUUGAUCAAUCCCAUUGACGGAUUUCUUUCGAUGACCAUGAAACGGAUGAAUCAAGGAGUCACAUACCUCUGUUUUAAGUUUUCCUUUUCUUUUGCUUAAAAGAAAAAUGAUAGAAUUAGUUUAGUUUUUCCUGUUUUUCGUUUUAGCGGCCCAGAGAAAAAUACCUCGAAAAUAAAAAUUCUCCGAUGGUCCUGAAAAUUUAGUAUGAUUUUUUCUAGAAUUUUUGAAAAUUUCUGGGCCUGAGAGCUGGCCUGGGGUCCUGACCAGUGGGCCACAAGCCCUUCCACCCCCACCUACCCCCCUGGUGGCGGGGUGCAAGCUUGUGGGGCCCACACGCACCCCCUCCACUCAUUCCAGCUCCCAGCCUCUUCUUCCACCCCAAGAAAAAAUUGUUUCGCAGCUCAAACUCGUGUUCUUCCUCAUUUGGCUGUGAUUUUCGAUCUCCUUGCUUAAAGCACCAUUCUCCGAACCGCUUUGGGGAAAUUACUCCUUGGUAAGUGACUCCUCCAUUUGUCCAAUUAGUUUUUGCUCUAGUGCUUUAUCCUUCGCGUAUUCUUCCUACCUUGGUGACCCUGUUCUUGAGCUAGAAAUGUUGAUUUUAGUUGGUCCCAUGUAGUUUUAGCGCGUGAUAUGGUCUCUAGGCACUAGUAGGAGUAGUUGCUACAAGUUGGGUUAAUCUUCAUUCACUUUUCUUUCAAAGUCUCUAAAAAUUUCAGAAUUUUUCAGAGCUAGAAAAAGGAAAAGAUGAGGAGGUUCUUGAGAGGCUCUUCAAGCCGUAACCCCAAGGAGGAUGAGAAGAAUCACCCCAAGUACGUAGUCCCUCAGGUCACAGAAGUUCGAGCGUGCGAGUGGCCAAGUGAUGAAUUUUUGCGCGUCGUCGGACUUUAUGAAGACUUUUAUUACUUGGUGGAGAACACAGGUCUUACUGCGUUUGUUGAAGAUAAGUGCCCACAAUACCUCCUCCUCACCAAUAUUUUCGUUCAAAGCUUCAACUUUUAUCCGAGGAAGAAUCCUCCCAUGGUUGAGUUCAUGAUAUACGAUGUCCCGAGUGCAUGACGCUGCAGGAUUUUUGCAAUGUAUGCAAAUUACCUUAUGUUGGGGAUAUCCAUGAUCCUCGUCCACGGGACUUGGAGGAUUUCAUUGGUUCUAUUGCUCUUGGAGAGGAGAGAGGAGUGUCUCGCGCUAGAAUUGCUAGCAUACAUUUUCCUGUGCUUCGGUACUUCUCACUAUUUGUGGGAAAAUGUUUGAUUGGCCGUGGGGAGGCUGGAUCACAUAGUUCUCCAGACCUUGUGGUUCUGCGCGAAGGCCUUUAUAACGAUAAGACUUAUAGCUUGGGCGCUAUAGUAGCUCAACGGUUGAACCUGAACCGUUCUAAAGGAGUCGUCUAUGGAGGUAUCUAUGCUACCCGUCUUGCCAGACACUUUGAGAUACCCAUUAGACUGGGAGAGGAAGGAGAGAUGCUUCUCCCUGAGAGGUAUCUGGAUUAUGACAGCAUGGUUCGCCAUGAUUUUCUGGAUAGAGAUGCUAGUAGAUGGAUGAUUUUCAACCUGGUGUUUAGUCAAGGUACUCGAGAGACUAUUACUUAGCCUGCUCCUUCUUUGUUCGAUCUUCAUGCAGGGAGGUACACUAUUAUGCCCGCGGACAUCUACGCAUAUUGGGGCUUGGCCCAACCACAGGCGCCCCUGCCCGAGCCGCCAGUGGAGUACCAGACGCCAGUUUAUCAGUGGGAGCCAGAGGAGCUCACACAGCAGUGGCAUCCACAGUCUUCUCCGGAGUAUCCUGGAGCUGGUUAUUUCCCACCUUGGGAGUAGACCAAGCUAGGCCAAAAUCCUAAGCUUGGGGGAGUACGUGUUCUCACCGACUUUACAUUCAUGGUUAUGCUUUCACUUUGUUAGCUGAUGUUUACACUUUUCCACUGUAUUAUCCAUGCUAGUUUCUUUUUGUUUUCUUGUUUUCUUGUUUUGUGUCCUUUUGAGAAAACCCAAAAAGAUUUUUCUCUCUUCUUUUGCUUGUUGGGAGCUUUCCCGUGUAAAUAGUUUUCUUUUUCUUUGUGUCAAGGUAGAAUAUAUUGGUUACAAUGUUUAUUUGUUCAUGCAUGCUUACCUGUUUAGCUUUCAAAGAGCCAUAUUAUUUUGUCAUCUCCUUUGUGUUUGCCUGCAGAUUCAGCUUAGUCCAAUGCGCUUAUUAUCGUUCUCAUCGUUCGAUCGUGCAAAUGAAAGGCAACAAUGAUGAUAUAUGAUGAAGUGACUGAGACUGAAAAGCUGGUAUGAACUCUAUCUAUUUUGUUUUUGUAAAUAUGACUAGCUUAUCGACCUAGAUUCAACUUUGUUGUGAGAGAACCAUGUUUGCAAUGACAACUUAGAGAUCAUAGUUUCUGAUGCCAUGCUUAUUUAGCUGAGAGCUUAUAAUGGUUUGUCUUGAAUGCCAACAUAGAUUUUGAGAUGACUAUGAUGUAGUAUGAUAGGAUGGUAUUCUCCUUUGAAUGUUUCAAGUGGCUUGACUUGGCGCAUGUUCAUGCAUGUAGUUGAAACAUAAUCAACAUAGCCUCUAUGAUGUUCGUGUUCAUGGUGAUUUAUAUCCUGUUCAUGCUUGCAUUCAAUGUUAGUCAAACUCAUUGCAUCUUGAUAACUGUUGCCUUUUGCUACCCAUCACUUGUACCAAGCGGAAUACUGCUUAUGCAUCCACUUACAUAAAACCAAAAGUUUUUCCAUGAGAGUCCACCAUACCUACCUAUUUGCGGUAUCUACCUGCCGUUCCAAGUAAAUUUGCAUGUGUCAUUCUCUAAACCUUCAAGAAAUAAUUUGUUUUGCAUGCCCAAACUGCUCAUGUGGUGAGAGAGGUCUAUUGGUAUCUUCCAUGCUAGGAGUGUUAUCCUCGACAUGUGUUUAUUCACAGUCAUUCACGAGAAAUGGGCCGGUAAUUGGAAUGCCCAGUUCCACGCUUAAAUCGAAAACAUAACUGUAAAACAAGACUCCCCCCGGAUUGAUGUUAGUAUGGACGGUACCCGAGGAUUCGGCUAGCCGUGGAGUGUGAUUGAUUGGUGGUGGGGGAGUUAAAACUUUACUUUUCUGUUUGGGAACCGCCUAUAGCAUGAGUAGCAUGGAAGAUAUUGAGAACUCUUGGUCAUUGCGCUGACAAUGAAAGCAUGCCACCCAAAAUUAUUAUCUCUGUUUUCAAAGCUUCAGCUCUGGCACCUCUGCAAAUCAAUGCUUCCCUCUGCAAAGGGUCUGUCUAUUUAUUUUCCCGUCGAGUCAUCCUCAUCUUAUAUAAGCACCAAUUAGAGAGCACCUCUGUCAUUUUUAUGCUUUGCUUUUGAUUGAUAUUGAGUAUGACUAUGACUGGAUCUUCGUUGCUAUGAGUUACAAUGUUUAGUCAGCCCUUGAUCUUUGAAAGUGCUCUGCAUUUAUGUUUUGCGGUCUCAGAAAGAGCUAGCGAGAUACCACCUAUUCAUAUUGCUUCAUGCUCGUUUUGAUUGAAGUGUUGGUAUUUGUAACUCAUUAUUAUUUGCUCGUUAGCUCAUUAUGCCAUUGAUAUUAGUUUACCGUGAGACCUUUGUGUCAUUUGCUUAUGUGGUUAACUUGUGAUCUUGCUGUAAUUCUGGUUAUGAGUUAGACAUAGUUGCAACAACAAGAUCAAACAGAGUUUGUCAAAGUUUUUCUUUCUCUCUCAGUUUGUCAACUGAGGUGCUUGAGGACAAGCAAGGUUUUAAGCUUGGGGGAGUUGAUACGUCUCCAUCAUAUCUACUUUUCCAAACUCUUUUGCCCUUGUUUUGGACUCUAAUUUGCAUGAUUUGAAUGGAACUAACCUGGACUAACGUUGUUUUCAGCAGAAUUGCCUUGGUGUUAUUUUUGUGCAGAAACCAAAGUUCUCCAAACGUCCUGAAAAUUUACGGGGAGCAGUUUUGGAAAAUAUCAAAAAUAUCUGCGUGAAGUUCCACCUCAGGCGGUGGGCCAGUGGGCCACAAGCCCUGGCUCCACCACCACUCCUCCUGGUGGCGGUGGGCAGGCUUGUGGGGCCCACGCGGCUCUGUUGCCCCCAACUCCAGCUCUAAGAUCCCUUUCGUCCCAGAAAAAAAAAGAGAAGUUUUCGUCGCGUUUUCGAUACGGAGGCGCCGCCACCACCUGUUCUUCAUUUGGAAGGAAGAUCUGGAGUCCGUCUUGGGCUCCGGAGAGGGGAAAUCGUCGCCAUCGUCAUCAUCAACCUUCUUCCCUCUCCAAUUCCAUGAAGCUCUUCGUCGUUCGUGAGUAAUCUAUUCGUAGGCUCGCUGGGCGAUGAUGAGUAGGAUGAGAUCUAUCAUGUAAUCGAGUUAGUUUUGAUGGGGAUUGAUCCCUAGUAUCCACUAUGUUCUGAGAUUGAUGUUGCUACUACUUUGCCAUGCUUAAUGCUUGUCACUAGGGCCCGAGUGCCAUGAUUUCAGAUCUGAAAUUGUUAUAUUGUCACCAAUAUAUGUGUGUUUUAGAUCCGAUCUUGCAAGUUGUAGUUACCUACUAUGUGUUAUGAUCCAGCAACCCUGGAGUGACAAUAACCGGAACCACUCCCAGUGAUGACCAUAGUUUGAGGAGUUCAUGUGUUCACCAAGUGCUAAUGCGUUGGUCCGGUUCUUUAUUAAAAGGAGAACCUUAAUAUCCCAUAGUUUCCUUUUGGACCCCGUUGCCACGGGAGGGAUGGACAAUAGAUGACAUGCAUGUUCUUUUCCCUAAGCACGUAUGACGACACACAGAAUGCAUGCCUACAUCACAUUGACGAACGGGAGCUAGCUACAUAUCUCUCUGUGUUAUAGCUGUUGCAUGAUGAAUAUCAUCCAAACAAAUCACCGACUCAUUGCCUACGAGUUUGUCCUACUGCUGCUACUACUGUUGCUACUACUGCUGCUACUACUGUUGCUACUGCUGUUACUUGUUUUGCUCUGCUGCUGCUACUACUGUUGCUACUGAUGUUACAUGUCUUGCUCUGCUGCUGCUACUACUGUUGCUACUGCUGUUACUUGUCUUGCUUUGCUGCUACUGUUGCUACUACUGUCGCUUGCUACUGUUGCUACUUGCUACUGCUGUCGCUACUGCUUUUCCUUGCCGCUGCUAUUGCUCGUUACUUUGCCGUUACUCGCUACUUUGUUGUUACUACUUUGCUUGCAGAUACUAAUCUUUCAGGUGUGGUUGAAUUUGACAUAUUCAGCUGCUAAUACUUGAGAGUAUUCUCUCACCUCUCCUCGUGCGAACCAACAAAUUUGGGUUGAAUACUCUACCCUCGAAAACUGCUGCGAACCCACGCGCUGGUGGGCCGUCAACAAUAUUCUUCUAGUUUCAUUGCUGGGGAGUGCUAGUAGCAUUCUUCUGUUGCCGUUGCAGGGGAAGGUUUGUUGUCAUCAGCAUUCGUCUAGCCAUCGCCAGAGAUUGCAAUCACUCUCCCCUCAUAUAUAUAUGGGGAAGAGAGGAGGGGGCCGGCCCUAGGGUUUCCUCUAGGGGUGGGGGUUGCGGCCUAGGAGGUGGCUUGCCACCCAAGCAAGGGUGGCCCCACCCCUAGGGCUUGCCCUUCUGUUGGGGAUAUUAUCUGUUGGGUAACCCGCCCUAGUUGGGCCGGGUCACCCAUGCUGGCGACUCAUCUCCAAGUGGUUCCGGCCUUGGCCCAGCGAGGUCGGGAGUCGUAUGACGGUUCAGGACCUUCGGGGAAGUCCAUUGUAGGGAAGAUCUCCAUGUCUUGGAAAGAUGGCGACUUAGAGAUCGGAAGAAUCACAAUUUAUGUAAAGGAAAGGACUCUUGUAAACCCUAAGGACUCGACCUGUAUAUAAAGGCGAGUCCAAGGGAAGGAGAAGGGAGGUUAGAAAUCAUCGAGUGCUAGGUCAGGCGAGUUACACCCCCUUGUAAUCGAAACACCAUCAAUACAAACACCAAGCAGGACGUAGGCCUUUACCUCCUCACGAGGGGCCGAACCUGGGUAAAUCUCUAUCUCGCACCCGCAUAACCCCUUUGAGUCACCACCAAGAUGCGAUGGCUCCAACACUAAGUCCUUUCACGAGGACAUCUGCCGUGACAAAACCAUGACAGUUGGCGCCUACCAUGGGUCCUGCGCACGGUGGAGUUGAAUUCUCAAAGGGAGCCCUACCAGGGUCUGGGAGCUACGCAGUGGGGAUCAUGACUCGGAGCCACCGCGGGAAGUACUACAUCAAUAACUUGCUAUGGGGGCCCGAGGCCGAUUCGAUCGAAUCCGGCUACAGAAUCCCCUUCGGCAAGAUCAACGUCUUCGUCGGCAUGGUUGGAUCGCCUAUGCCUGAGCCGGACAUCUCCUCCGACAUCGUCGAGCCGGCCAGGUACGUCUUUGUUGGGUUCACGCAGGGAUCUAAGGAACCAGAACAAUCGGCGACCCAGUAGACCAUGCCGGUCAACACAGAUGACGAAUCAUCCAUGGGCGAUUCAGAUUCAAUUCUAUCUCUACAUGGGGGCUGCCUUGGGGGCUUGUCACUAGCCAUGGACCCUGAGGUUCUUGACCGGACCCGCCGUCAGAUCGACGUUUACAUGGCAGGGGCGACUCAGCCCUCGCCAAACCCGGCACGCGGAGAUGGGGCUGGCGAAACGUCUAGAAGCCCGGCCAUGAUCUUGGUGGAGUAAGCGGCGGAGAUAACGAGGCUCACGGCGACCCCCAUAACGUCAGAAAACCAGGACGCGAUAAACACGAAGCUAACAAAACUAAGAGAUGGGGUGGCAAAGGCUCAGCGGGACGCUGAGGUGGAAGCCGCCGGGAUCGAGACCCGGCAGGCUCAAAUUACCGCCGAGGUAGCUCGCUUGAAUGCCGAAACCUGGCGGCUCAAAAGGCAUCAGCGUGCACCAGACGCCGUCCAUCAGCGGAGGCAUCAGGGUCAUUUACCCCCUGAUCUCAACCCAACCCGCCUGUUCGACACUCCACGAACACCCGGGGCAGGAGACGCCCCGGGGGCAGGGACGGGCCAGCCACCAAACCCGCUGUUUCAGCCAGCUGUGAUCGCGUCCCCCGAUUCCAGACACCUCGAGGUCACUUUUCCAACCCGAUGGAAAACGUCCUUGACGCAACUCGCCAUUUAGAAUCCCUUCCGAUUCAUGGCAACACUCCAGCUGAGAUAGAAGCAAGGAACGCCAUUGAGAUGUUGAAGAUGGCGGUGGUUCAAAACGCCCAGUUUUCACACAACCUAGAUCGGCUGCACUCCACUCCCUAGACAAGCCGCACCAGGAGUCGACCAGAGGACCAGCCCGCCAUAACCAGCGGACCGCGACCCUUUCCCCAGGUCAACUCGCCUGAUCGCCGAGACACGCCAGGUCGGGAUCACCCGAACACCCAAGUUUCCCCAGCGCCUCUUGUUGGAAGCGGCAGACAAGUGGGGGUGCCAUGCUUGGCCCCCACCCUUCACAACGAGUGAAUGCCCAAGGAUUUUAAAGGACCAAGAAAGGUGCCUAACUACACUCCGAACCUUGAGCCGUCGUCAUGGGUCAAGAGUUACGAAAUCGCCAUGGACAUGCUCGAUGUAAGCGAAGCAGUCUGCGCCAGAUACUUCACAAUGAUGCUCGAAGGGACGACACAUACUUGGUUAAAGCACUUGCCCCCCAAAUCCAUCCAGUCUUGGGCCGAAUUAAAAGAGCGUUUCGUCAAAAAUUUCCGAGGGACCUGCAAGCGCCCGAUGACAAUAGUCGAUUUACAACACUGGGUUCAACGCCCGGACGAGUCGGCCCACCGCUGGACGCGGCGGGUCGCGGAAAUCAUUCAUUCGUCGGAUGGUAUCACGGCGGCUCAGGCUGUGCUAAUCCUGGAGCAGAACUGCCACUAUGAGCCCUUGGUGCAGAAGUUGGGACGACUCAAGCGAAAGGUGCAAGAUAUGGGGGAGCUAAUGGACACCCUCACUAGGUACGCUGAGGCGACGACACCAAAGAUCCAGGAGAAGAUGGUGGUAAAGCCAACUCGCCAAGGAAAGGCGAGUCAUCCAAAAAUCAUACCCGGUUCGAGGGACGCGCCCGCCAUAAUCAUGGAGCUUAUGGAAAAAUAAGCAGCAGGAAGUGUCUUCGGACUUAGUUGCCAACACCAACGCCAACAAUGGCAACCAGCGCCAGAAGAAGAAUAGGGGUUACAGUGGCAAAAAGCCGCGCAACUAUAAUGAGUUACUCAAGGGCCCCUGCCCGCACCACGCCAUGGCAGACGGACCGGCGACUCAUUCCUGGGAGGACUGUUACGUGAUGCGGGAGUUUCGGGCGGAGGCGAUCAAAAAAGGGCAAGGCGGCGACCCGGACCAACGGCAGGAACAGUUUGGCUCACCUAAUCAAUGCCAGAACCCCUUCGGCGGCUUCUCCGAACCCAGGGCUCAGGGCGGCUCGCAGCCAAACAAUGGCCAGUAUCCGGUGCAUCACCAACGACGGUAUAACCAGCCGGGAGCCUUUCAACAACCACCCCCACAGGGGGUUCUGCAGGGGCAGGAUGACAAUGGCGGUUUCCGCAACAACCCCAAGCAGUUAAGCAAUGGGCAUUACCAUGUUUUCACCACCAAUGCCUGCAAGCGCGAUAAAAAGGUGAGUCACCGAGCGUACAGUGUAUCUGAGCCAGCACUCCCUAGAUAUCUCCACUGGUCGGAGUAGACCAUAUCAUGGAGCAGGGAGGAUCACCCGCCAAAAGUUGAGAAUCCCGACGACUUAGCGUUGGUCGUGGCCCCUCAAGUUGGAGGAUAUACCUUAUCGAAGGUACUGAUGGAUGGUGGUAGCAGCAUCAACAUAUUAUACUUCGACACCUUUCGAAGGAUGAACCUGUUGGAGAAAGAUUUGAUGCCCUCAACCACGGUAUUCCAUAGGAUUGUCCUAGGUAAAUCGGCAUAUCCCAUAGGCCGUGUUAGGCUCACAGUUGCGUUUGGAGCAGCGUCUAACUACAGGAGUGAGUCGCUUAUAUUUGAGGUGGUCAAGUUAAAAAGCCCCUAUCAUGCGCUCUUUGGGAGGCCGGCUUACGCCCGGUUCAUGCUCGCCCCUGCUAUGUUUACCUUAAACUCAAGAUGCCUAGUCCUAAAGGACCCAUCACGGUUGAUGGUGAUAGGAGGAUUGCAAGAGAGUGUGAAGAAGGGGAUACGGCUUACGCAGAAGUCGCCUGUGUUGCGGAAGAGCUUAAAUAUCACCAGGCCAAUGUUGAUCCGGCUGACAUGUCACCUCUAAAGAAGCCAACGACAGACGCUGAGCCGCCCCUCAAGUUCAAACCAACAGACGACACUAAGACAGUGGAUUUCGUCCCUGGUGACUCAACCAAGCAGUUCACUAUCGGGGCGGGUCUUGACCCCAAAUAGGAAAGCGCGCUCAUCGAAUUCAUCCAUGAGAAUCGGGACAUCUUCGGAUGGAAACCUUCUGACAUGCCUGGUGUGCCGAGAGAAUUCGCUGAGCACCAUCUUAAUGUUGACCCAAAAGCAAAACCGAUUCAGCAAUAUCUUCGCAGGUUCAAUGAGGAACGACGCAAGGCAAUCGGGGAAGAAGUUGCCCGUCUCUUGGCCACCGGAUUCAUCGUAGAGGUCUUCCACCCCAAGUGGUUGGAUAACCCGGUUCUGGUGCUCAAGAAGAACUGUACCUUCCGCAUGUGCAUUGAUUACACAGAUCUUAAUAGAGCUUAUCCAAAGGAUCCUUUCGCCCUUCCCCACAUCGAUCAAAUUAUUGAUUCGGUGGCGGGAUGCGAAUGUUUGUGCUUCCUGGACGCUUAUUACCGAUAUCACCAAAUCAAGAUGGUCGUGGAAGAUCAGGAGAAAACAGCUUUUAUAACCCCCUUCGAUGCUUUCUACUAUGUGUCCAUGCCAUUUGGACUCAAGAGUGCAGGGGCGACUUACCAGCGCUGCAUCCACAAUUGCCUCUGUGGCCAAAUCGGACGCAACGUUCAUGCUUACGUUGACGACAUUGUGGUUAAAACUCACAGGAAGGAAACACUACUGGGAGACCUAAAGGAUAAUCUGCGGGUAUACCAAUUGAAGCUUAAUCCCACCAAGUGUGUCUUUGCUGUUCCUGCAGGAAAAUUGUUGGGCUUCCUGGUAUCUGAGCGCGGCAUCAAAGCUAACCCGGACAAAAUCGAGGCGGUUACUUCCCUUGGGAAACCAGCGAAUGUUAAUCAAGUUCAACGAAUGGCGGGCCGUAUUUCGGCCUUAAGUCGCUUCAUAAUCCGUCUGGGUGAAAAGGCUAUUCCCCUUUAUCAAUUGCUUAAAAAAUCUGACCAUUUUGUUUGGACACACGACGCCAAUGAAGCUUUGGAAGCCUUAAAACAGCAGCUGGUCAACCCGCCGGUUUUGGCCGCCCGACUGAGAAAGAGCCUAUGCUUCUGUAUAUUGCGGCAAACUCCAAAGCGGUGAGUGUGGCAGUGGUCGUCGAAAGGAAGGAAGAAGGGAAGGAAUACCCAGUGCAACUCCCGGUGUAUUUCAUUAGCGAGGUGCUAACUCUCUCCAAGCAGCGAUACCCACACUGGCAGAAGUUAGUUUAUGGGGUCUUUAUGGCAAGCCGAAAGCUCAAACAUUAUUUCCAAGAGCAUCCCAUCACGAUGGUUAGCUCCGCUCCCCUCGGGGACAUCAUCCAUAAUUGGGAAGCGACAGGGCGAAUCGCCAAGUGGGCAAUCGAACUCGGGCCGCACCACGUGCGAUACACCCCUCGCACGGCUAUCAAAUCUCAGGCCUUGGUUGAUUUAAUCAACGAUUGGACCGAGUUACAGAUCCCGGAGGAUAGGCCUGACCUUACAUACUGGAAUAUUUAUUUUGACAGGUCUAGACAGUUGGAAGGCUCAGGGGCUGGUGUGGUGCUGAUAUCGCCUCAAGGAGACAAAUUCUGCUAUGUCCUCCGACUCAUGUUUCCAUGUACCAACAACGCUGCGGAAUACGAAGCUUUACUUCAUGGCUUGCGACUCGCCAAGGAGAUGAACCUUACGCGGGUCAGAUGUUUUGACGAUUCUGAUUUGGUGGCUCAGCAAGUUUCAGGUACUUGGGAUUCUCGGGACCCCCUGAUGGAGGCUUACAGGAGGGCUGUGUCUGAUGUGGCGGGUCACUUCCAUUAUUAUCAGGUCGAUCAUAUCGACCGGCGCCUUAACGAAGCAGCUGAUGGCCUUUCACGUCUCGGUUCGCAGCGCAAGCCGGUUCCCCCCAAUGUCUUUCUGGAUACUCUGCAUAAUCCUUCCGUAAGGUUACCCUCGGAGGAGGAGUUGACAAUACCAGACCCUGAGUCUCAGUUCGUGGCAGCUCUCCAUGUUACGCCGGAUUGGGUUCUUCCGUAUCUGGCCUAUCACGCCCGAGGCGAGUUACCUUUGGAUGAAGUAUUGGCUCGUCAAAUCGUUCGGCGAAGCAAAUCCAUGGUGAUCAUCAAUGGCGAAUUAUAUAAACGAAGCACUUCCGGGGUUUUCCAAAGAUGUGUCUCCUCUGAAGAAGGAUGUGUAAUUCUAAACGACAUUCAUUCCGGAGAUUGUGGACAUCACGCCGGGUCAUGUUCCUUGGUUUCAAAGGCGUUUCGUCAUGGUUUCUUCUGGUUGACGGCCCAUGCAGAUGCAGAAGAGAUUGUUCGUCGAUGUGACGGAUGCCAGCGUUAUGAACGACAGGACAAUGUGCCGGCUCAAGAGUUAAGGAUGAUACCUAUCACUUGGCCUAUUGCGGUCUAGGGGUUAGACAUGGUUGGCCCCUUUAAGAUGUCGUCCAACAAAAAAACUCAUCUGCUGGUGGCGGUUGAUAAGUUUACCAAGUGGGUCGAGGCAGAACCUGUUGGAUCCUGCGACGCGGAGACAGCGGUCAAAUUUUUGAAAAAGUUAAUCUUCUAGUUCGGAUAUCCACACAGCAUUAUUACUGACAAUGGCACUAAUAUGUCUCAAGGAGCGAUGCGGGAUUUUUGUCAUCGUGAGCAUAUCCGCCUUGAUGUUUCUGCAGUAGCUCAUCCGCAAUCUAAUGGGCAGGCCGAGCGGGCGAAUCAGGAAGUGUUGCGAGGAAUCAAACCCCGACUCAUGAUUCCCCUGGAACACACCCCGGGGUGUUGGGUUGAGGAGUUGCCUUCAGUACUAUGGAGCAUCCGGACCACCCCGAACCGUUCUACGGGUUUUACUCCUUUCUUUCUGGUAUAUGGAGCAGAAGCCGUUCUUCCCACUGACAUUAGGCAUGACUCGCCCAGAGUUGCCUCUUAUGUGUAAUAGGACAACGAGUUGGCGCGUCAAGAUUCUUUGGACGCUUUGGAGGAAGCACGCGAUUUGGCUGCAGCCCGUUCGGCGAUUUAUCAGCAGGACUUGCAGCGUUAUCACAGCCGCCGGGUCAAGAGCCGAAUCUUUCAGGAGGGCGACUUACUCCUUCGAUUGAUACAAGAUCGUACUGACAUGCAUAAGUUAUCACCACCAUGGGAAGGACCGUUCGUCGUCAGCAAAAGCCUUCGCAACGGGUCCUACUAUCUGGUGGAUCUAUGGCCUGAUCGGCCAACCACGGAGGCUGAGUCAACUCGCCCUGGAACAUAGCCCACUUGCGGCCUUAUUACACUUGAGCUAAUUAGCUCUGCCUUUUUUCAUUUCUUAUGAAGCAAUAAAGUUGAUGCCUCCAGGCUUGGGGGCUUUCCUGCUAAUUCAUCUUAUUGGAAGUAUGGAUCUUUAUUUUACUCUUCAAAAAGUCGCCCAAGCAUGGAUGCUAUCUAUACCAAAGGGCUUAAGUCGCCAUGAUGCGCUUAUUACAAAACUGGGUAUCGAUAAGCCAAAGAGGAUCGAAGUCGCUACAAGCGCGCGAUUCAAACAUAGGCGUUUUAUAUGAUUCUGUGGAUUAGGCCGGCUUACUUGAGGGCAGUUUGUUCUCAAGUCGUUUUGUGGUAAUAGCGUAUACGCUUCUACAAUCCUAUGACGGUCUUUCCCUUAAUCAUAGGUCACUUGGGGGCUUCCUCUCACUGAGAUCAGCCUUACUACCCAUUUGGCUUGCGAAAAAUUACCGCAUUACAAAUGGUUAUACUGGACUGUGUGCUUGGCCGAAUCGCCAUAUGGACCCAUGAACUCUUGGCGAGUUAAUCCGCUUAUGGACCCUGAAUAUGCCUUGGUUAAAACAUGUCUGGUACCGGCUAGCGCCUCACAUGGAAAAUAGAGAAACCACUGGUUCACUGAACCCGCUUCACUGAAGCUUGACUCGCGCCUGAUCAGCCGGUCUAAAUACUUGAGCUUUUUAUACAAAAGUCUACCUCGGGUAGCACUUGAGUUCAUUUAACUCAUCCUAUCCUAUCACGACCUGAUGAGCCGACGAAAUUGCAAUUUUUUACCUUCCUAGCACUGCCACAAGGUCUUUCUGACUUUUUUCUGACUCGCCACAAAUAUCUUGGGUCGGUUAUUAUUUAUUAUCAUCCAUUACUCACUGAGAUGAUUUGAUAUAUGUUUUUAAGCCUAACAGGUUGAUGAUCAAAAUCAUUCUAGCCAUGGCGGGUCAAGCAUCAUAAAAAUGUCUUGAGGGCGAGUCAAGCAUUCUAAGGCGCCUUAAGUGUGACAUAAGGGUUUUCAAGACAUCACAGAAGCAGUUUGAUCUCUAAAAAACUUAUUACAUGGCUCAUAUGGCCAAAUCUAUGAAGGAUUAUUCUACUGAUUUCCUCGGGUCAGCCUGCUGCGAGCUCUGGCCGACUUCAAUUUGCAAGUCGCCCAGUACCCAGUUACACUUGGAUAAUGCGGCGAACUCAUCUUCAUCGUUCAGCACUGAUGAAAGAUCCACCUCCAACUCAAAAGGAUUCUUGGGUCGACGCGGAGUUAAGCUGGUCGUUACAAAGGUUGGCGGGUUAAAUUUCUUGUUCUUGUUGUCAUAGGCGGCCUGGUAUUUUGAUAAAUCCAGGCUUGCGGCAAGCUGAGUCGCUGCCAAACGGGAUUCUUUGACAACACGCUGGUAAUCUUCUUUAGCAAAUUCUGACCCGUCAUCCUUGAGCUGGGGAAAGCCUGCCGCUACUUCUUCAGGGUUUAUUUCUGGAGCAUACGCCAGACACCGACUCAGCGUAGUGAGUGCUCCUUUCCGGGCAGCAGACCGAGUUAGCUCACCAAUUUGAGGAGGAAGAGUAGAUAAGCAGCCAAGCAUCUUCUUUAUUGAUGUUAUGGGUUCCUUGGCACCCAUCACUGCUUUCACGGUCAGCACACUUCCGGUAUACAGCUUCUCCGUCAACGUGUAAAUCGCCUUCAGCAUUAGGACGCAAUCGUUCUGAAGAUUGACGGCUCUUGGACCUGCAUAAGGAGUAAUGAUGGUCAGCGAUUUCUACAAGUUAUUUAUUUACGAAGUGCAAGGUUAGGGUUUCGUUUUAACCAAAGACGGCUUGGGCCAUGUUGGAGAUAUGUCGCUUUAAGGCGGCUAGCUCUUGUUGCAUAGUAUCCAACUUUGCUUCAGCUUUUUCUGCUCGCUUUAUCAGGGCAUCUUGAUCAGCUUGAGGAUUUUUUAUGUCGGCUUUUAGCUUCUCCUUCUCAGACAAGAUCAGUUGACACUUCUCUUCUGAUUUUGCCCGGGCAUCCUGCUGAUCGGUUAAAUUUUUCUUCAAGUCGCCAAAUGCUGAUUCAGCUUGGGUAAGUAAUUCCUGUUGAAAUAUAUAGUCAAGGGGCGAGUCUUAGAAUUAUUGCAAGCAACAUCCCUGACACUUGGGGGCUAAUGUAUAAUUUUUUAGACAAAUUAUACAGUAUCAAGACCCGACUCAUCUUUUUACAAAUGACUCAGCCCUUGGGGGUUACAGGUCGAAUGUUUUCUUCAAUUAUCAAGACCCGGCUCAUAUUUUUACAGAUGACCCGGCCCUUGGGGGUUACAGGUCGAAAGAUUUUCUUCAAAAUUAUCAAGACCCGGCUCAUCCUUUUACAGAUGACCCGACCCUUGGGGUUACAGGUCGACAGAUUCAUUUUACUAUUAAGACCCGGCUCAUCUUUUUACUGAUGACCCGGCCCUUGGGGGUUAAUAAGGACAAUACAGUAUGCAAUAAGACGUUCCUCAUGUUUGUUCUUCAGCAUAAGAAACAGACUUUUUUCCAUCUCAUAACUCGCCUCCAGGCGACUUGCAAAGCCCGAGCAAAGUUCUCUGAAUUCAAGAUUUUCAUAGUGGGAGAGCUUAGCCUUGGAAAGUUCAUACUCAAUAGCAGGUUGAGCUGAUGAUGAUACAUGCUUCGACAAAACUGUUGUGGCCGGCUUAGAAAAGCGAGUGCCGGUGAUAACCACAUCGUCUGGGUCUUCUGCUGUUUUCAAUGGACUUGGCGGAUUAGGCGUUUCCAUGGUUUCCUUGGGCGAGCUUGGGAGAUCCACUUGAUCCUCGGGUUUAUCUUGGGCCGGGUUAUCCUGGAUCGGCGCCGAUUUUUCAACAGGCUCUGAAGCUGUAAUGGGAGUUGACCCGCAAGUUUUCCUUUUCUUCGCAUGUGCCCUAAAAGGAAAAGUGGGUGCACUUAAAGAAACAGACAUUACCAUCAUCAGAACAAGGUAGGUGUUAUAAAAGACUUACCCUGGGACGCGGAUCAUCGGUGGAAGUGCUGACAUCACUGAGUCGCCGGAUGAAGGAGGAGAACUCUGCAAAAAUAACACUUCAAGAUGUGAGCGAGUUAUUAACGCGAUCCAAAAGGAAAUGAAGAGGUGCUAUUAAAAGAUACCUCAUUGUGCCUUUUCUUGGUUUUUGUUGGUAACCCGGACACCAAAUUUCUAGAAUGACUCCGAGUUUUCCAAUUUGAAGCAUGUUGCGCUUUCUUCAAAAGGAAAUUUGGAUCCAAACAAGCAUUUGGGUGUGAGAAGGGAACUUCCCAACAAAUUCGCCUGGCCGGCUUAGGUGGAGGAGAAGAUGAGUCGGAGGAAACAGAAAUUACCUCUACGGAGUCUUCCUGGCUUUCAUUGUCCUCAUUCUACACAAGAGAUACAGAGGCGUAAACACAAAACUAUCAACAAUGAAUGGCGAGUUAAAGAGGAUGGAUUUUUACCUCUGAAAGUACGUUGCCCACUUGGGAUUCAUCGACUUCAGAUGGCUCAGUGACGGCGGUUUGGCCUUGCCCUUGGACUUCUUCUUUGGAGGCGGCUUGGCUUGCUUCAAGGCCAUCUUUUUUGGCCUCCUGGACCAGAAUUUGUCACCUUUCUGAAAUGGCAUUUUUUAUUAUAGGAGGUCAUAGCUCAAGUAAGACGGAAGGAAUAAAGCAAAAGUGGGUUAAGUUAUUUACCUUUGGUGCCGGGUUGAUCUUGCAGAACGGCUUAAGACCUAUUUGGCCGCACUUGGCCAUGAGUUCGCCGGUCAAUUUCUUGAUGAUGGUUACAAUAUCAUUUUCUGUCAGUGCUGUGUGGAAGUAGCACUGGGAGUGAUCCAGGGUACCAUCAAAAUCACACAUUAAUCCGUCCCAGCGACUUAAGGGAAGGAUACGCCAUUCGACCCAGCAGCAGAUUAAGUCAACCCCAGUAAGGCCAUUGUUUGUCAGAGAUCUUAACUCGGACAGUACUGGGAUAAAAUCUGACUCCUCUUCUUCGGUGAGCUUGUCUGGGAGUUUUAAAUUUGUUGGAAGGCAAUCCUCCCUAUAGCCAAGAAGCUUGUUCUCGCCCUCAGGCGAAGUCUCCUGGCAGUAAAACCAAGACUCAGUCCAGCCUUUGGGAUGGCUUGGCAUGGCGAGUGACGGGAAUGAACUAUCCCUACGGUGUUGAACAUUGACACCUCCAAGCUCCAAGCUAGGGCCAUUGGAAAAUUCUGUCUAGCGAUUCAAAUGGAAGAAGUACCAGAAUAAAGGAACUGAGGGUUCCAUCCGCAAGUAGGCCUCACAGAACACGUGGAACUGGCAUAAAUUGCUUAUCGAGUUGGGCCCUAAGUCCUGGAGGCGGACAUUCAUAAAGGUCAUGGCAUCCCUGAGGAAUUUUGAUUUGGGCGGCUUAAAACACCGUUCAAGGUGUUCAACAAAAACAACUAUCUCCCCUUCCUUUGAGUUGGGGAUUUCCUCUCCUAACCCAGAACGCCAACUGAUAACCUCUUGAGGGUCCAGAAUCCCCGUUUUCACACAGUUGUUAAGGAGAGUAUCAUCAACCUUGGUCGGGAGCCAAUCACAUUUGAAAAUGGUGCCCAGGCUACAAAGGGACAAAUUUACGGGUAAAUUAACACGCCAAGCAUCUACUAAAUGGUGAAACAGAUUCAUUUGACUCGCCAAACAGUUUGCGUGAUAACUGAGGGAGUUUUUUGACUCGCCGAUAAAGGUCCGGGUCAGGAUACCAGGGCGACUUAUGUAAUUCUUACUACUUAAAGGAAAGAUGGUUCAAAGCUUCAGUAGUGUCCGCCAAAAUUGUGAAGUAUGAAUCCAUAAACAGGUUUCAUGCGACGAGCAGUAAGACAGAAAUGAAUGCGAAAAGGUCUGGGUAAAACGGCCUAUGACCAAGAUGAAAACAGUACAGUUGAUCUGGUGAAAACCUUUCUAAGUCUGCAAAUCAAGGCUAAGCAACAAAGGGUAUGGAAAAUGUUGAUGUACUCACUAUCGUCACCACCAACUAGCCAGGAAUUACAAAGCUAUUCGAGAUGUUUUAAAGAAAUAGUGGACAUGAACCUCGAGAAGCUUAGAUCUGCCUUCAAUGGCGGGAGGCUGACCUGGUAAAUGCAGCUGGAGGCGUCCGAAGAAAGAUUCGCGGUGAGCGUCGCACGUUCGGCAACUCCCGGACGGCGGCGAAGAUCUCGGACGAUGACGAAGAUCUCGGACGGCGACGAGGUUCUCGAAACGGCGGCGAGGCUCUCGGGCGACGACGAAGUGCUCGGACAACGGCUGAGCUUUCGGGCGGCGACGAAGUGCUCGGGUGGCGACGAAGCUCUCGGGUGGCGACGAGGCUCUCGGUGCGACGGCGAGGAAGAAGAGGGUGACAAGAUGGGUAGGUGGAAAUGUGCCCUGUCCCCUCCUCCCUCCUAGUUAUCAGGUCAGGCGCUGGGAUCGAGGCGCCACGAGUGGGAACUGCCAAAAAAGAUAAAGAUUCGCCAUGAUGGCGCCCCAAAAUUUUCGGGAUAGCAAUACCGAAGGAUCCGUUGGAGAUUACGUCAUCAUCUCUUCCGAGGUUAAAGGGAUAAGAAGGCGCCAACAAGAAGUGGUUCGGCGACUUGAGUUUUUCCGCAACAGAUGGCGGUUUAAGUGCAUGGUUCGUAAAAGGAUUGAGAUGAAUCGCCCCUAACUGGGUGAGAAUAUUGGCGUGAAAAAAUUCAAGUCAAUCUGGGGCCUAAUGUUGGGGAUAUUAUCUGUUGGGUAACCCGCCCUAGUUGGGCCGGGUCACCCAAGCUGGCGACUCAUCUCCAAGUGGUUCCAGCCUUGGCCCAGCAGGGCCGGGAGUCGUAUGACAGUUCAGGACCUUCAGGGAAGUCCAUUGUAGGGAAGAUCUCCAAGUCUUGGAAAGAUGGGGACUUAGAGAUCAGAAGAAUCACGAUUUAUGUAAAGAAAAGGACUCUUGUAAACCCUAAGGACUUGACCUGUAUAUGAAGGCGAGUCCCAGGGAAGGAGAGGGGAGGUUAGAAAUCAUCGAGUGCUAGGUCAGGCGAGUUACGCCCCCUUGUAAUCGAAACACCAUCAAUACAAACACCAAACAGGACGUAGGCCUUUACCUCCUAACGAGGGGCCGAACCUGGGUAAAUCUCUGCCUCGCUCCCGCAUAACCCCUUUGAGUUGCCACCAAGAUGCGAUGGCUCCAACACUAAGUACUUUCACGAGGACAUCUGCCGUGACAAAACAACGACACCUUCCACCAGCCCAGUCGCAUGGGCUUAGGUGGGGAGGGGCGCCCAGCCCACCAGGCGCUGGUAUGCACUCUUCUCAGCCCAUGUGGCCCCUCCGGGGCAGGUCGGACCCUUUCAACACUCCUGGUACUCUGAGGUAAUGCCCGAACUUUCCGGUGACCAAAAUGGAACUUCCUGUAUAUGAAUAUUUACCUCCUACCAUUUUGAAGAUCCUCGUCAUGUACGGGAUCUUAUCUUGGACUCUGAAAAACAUUUGGUUAUCAACAUACAUAAGUCAACAAUACUAUAUCGUCAUCGAAGAUUAAGCAUGCGGACCCUACGGGUUUGAGAACUAUGUAGACAUGAUCGAGACACCUCUACAGUUAGUAACCAAUAGAGGGACUUUGAUGCCCGUAUUAGUUCCUACAUAUUCCAUGAAUAACUUUAUCGUUCAAACCACGAUGCCAAGGAUUCAAUCCAUCCCGUAUGGAGUUCCCUUUGUCGAGCGGAAUGUUACUUGCCCGAGAAUCGAUCGUCGAAACCUUCAUACCUAGUUAAAUCUUGUUACCGAGAAGUCUCUUUACUCGUUCCGUAAUACAAGAUUCCAUGCCUAAUUCCUUAGUAACAUCCCAGAGAUACCUCUAUGUCAUACGGAGUGAAAAAUCCCGGUCUUGAUCCAUGCUAACCCAACAAAGACGCUUGGAGAUACCUCUGGAGGAUCGUUAUAAUCACCCAGUUACGAAUUGAUGUUUAAUAGGCACAAGGCAUUCCUCCGGUUUUAUGGAGUUGCAUGAUCUCAUUGUAUUAGGAAUAGGUACUUGAUGAUACGAUCAAAUGAUAUGCUUACGCUUGGGUCUUGUCCAUCAUAACAUUCUCCUAAUGAUGUGAUCUCGUUAUCAAAUGCCAACUCAUGUCUAUGGUUAGGAAAUCUUAAUCAUCUUUGAUCAAUGAGCUAGUGUAGUAGAGGCGUACUAGUGACACAGUGUUGUCUAUGCAUCCACACAUGUAUCUGAGUUUCAAAUAAAUACAGUUAUAACAUGGAUAAUAAAUGAUUAUCAUGAACAAGGGAAUAUGAUAAUAACUACUUUACAAUUGCCUGUAGAGCAUGUUUUCAAGAGUCUCCCACUUGCACUAGAGUCAAUAAUGUUGGAAAUAUGCCCUAGAGGCAAAAACAAAUUAGUUAUUACCAUAUUUCCUUGUUUAUGAUAAUCAUUUAUUAUCCAUGCUAUAAUUGUAUUGAUUGGAAACUCAAAUACAUGUGUGGGUACAUAGACAAUAAAGUGUCCCUAGUAUGCCUCUGUUGGACUAGCUCGUUGAUCAAAGAUAGUUAAGGUUUCCUAGCCAUACACAUGAGUUGUCAUUUCAUAAAGGGAUCGCAUCAUUAGGAGAAUGAUAUGAUGGACAAGACCCAAACCUUAAGAAUAGUGUUCGAUCGUAUCCAGAUUACUGCUAUUCACUACAGGAAUCACCUUCUUUGCCGUCCGUCAUAACAGACGGCAAAGAGGACCCCACCGACGGCAAAUCUCUUUGUCGUCAGCUUACUGUCGGCAAAGAUUCUGCGUCAGCUUACGACGGCAUUGUACCUUCUUUGUUGUAGGCCUUCCCUAAGCGGACGACAAAGCUCUUUGCCGUCAGUAUCUGGCAUCGAGUAGUCGGCAAAGAAUUUGAGAUGGCAGCCGACAGGAGACGCCUCCGUUAUGGCUAACGGAGGCUUUGCCGUCUACUUGCCCCUAGUCUUUGCCGUCUGCUUCCCCCUAGUCUUUGCUAUCUGCUUCCCCCAUAACAGCCCAACAGUUUUUCUUCUCUUUGCCAUCAGCCUCCCCGGGCAGCAGACGGCAAAGAAGCUACAUAGCAGCUGCCCUCGAGGGUGCAUAGCCUGGUGCCAUGUGGCACCUUUGCCGUCGGCCAGCUGAUGGCAAAGCUCUUUGCCAUCAGCUGGCAGACAGCAAAGAGUCCAUAUAGUUUCUAUUUUGUUUGGUUUUAUUAUUUCAUAAUAUAUAUAUAUAGUAGUGGCGCACCGAGACUGUGGUGCGCCAUUAGUANCUGUUCAUCCAUAGAUACAUAUACAUAUAGUUCGACAUUGUUCAUCAACUCAAAUUAAAACUAGAACUAAUAAGGCACUCCAUGAAUGCCAGCUUCCAUGCAUGUAGUACAUCCAAUCUGCAGAAAUGUGAAUAAGAAAGUCAGAAGAAGAACAACAUAUGAUAUUUUAGAGGAAAACAAGCUAAGAAUAUAAUAUUCAUUAGCUAACCAAGGUUCUAAUGCCAUUUUGAGCUUAUUAUGUCAUUUUGGAGCUAAAUGGGCUAAUUAUAUAUGUCAUUGUUGGGGAAAAUAAGGUAAGGAGAAUAAGAAAGAGGNNNNNNNNNNNNNNNNNNNNNNNNNNNNNNNNNNNNNNNNNNNNNNNNNNNNNNNNNNNNNNNNNNNNNNNNNNNNNNNNNNNNNNNNNNNNNNNNNNNNNNNNNNNNNNNNNNNNNNNNNNNNNNNNNNNNNNNNNNNNNNNNNNNNNNNNNNNNNNNNNNNNNNNNNNNNNNNNNNNNNNNNNNNNNNNNNNNNNNNNNNNNNNNNNNNNNNNNNNNNNNNNNNNNNNNNNNNNNNNNNNNNNNNNNNNNNNNNNNNNNNNNNNNNNNNNNNNNNNNNNNNNNNNNNNNNNNNNNNNNNNNNNNNNNNNNNNNNNNNNNNNNNNNNNNNNNNNNNNNNNNNNNNNNNNNNNNNNNNNNNNNNNNNNNNNNNNNNNNNNNNNNNNNNNNNNNNNNNNNNNNNNNNNNNNNNNNNNNNNNNNNNNNNNNNNNNNNNNNNNNNNNNNNNNNNNNNNNNNNNNNNNNNNNNNNNNNNNNNNNNNNNNNNNNNNNNNNNNNNNNNNNNNNNNNNNNNNNNNNNNNNNNNNNNNNNNNNNNNNNNNNNNNNNNNNNNNNNNNNNNNNNNNNNNNNNNNNNNNNNNNNNNNNNNNNNNNNNNNNNNNNNNNNNNNNNNNNNNNNNNNNNNNNNNNNNNNNNNNNNNNNNNNNNNNNNNNNNNNNNNNNNNNNNNNNNNNNNNNNNNNNNNNNNNNNNNNNNNNNNNNNNNNNNNNNNNNNNNNNNNNNNNNNNNNNNNNNNNNNNNNNNNNNNNNNNNNNNNNNNNNNNNNNNNNNNNNNNNNNNNNNNNNNNNNNNNNNNNNNNNNNNNNNNNNNNNNNNNNNNNNNNNNNNNNNNNNNNNNNNNNNNNNNNNNNNNNNNNNNNNNNNNNNNNNNNNNNNNNNNNNNNNNNNNNNNNNNNNNNNNNNNNNNNNNNNNNNNNNNNNNNNNNNNNNNNNNNNNNNNNNNNNNNNNNNNNNNNNNNNNNNNNNNNNNNNNNNNNNNNNNNNNNNNNNNNNNNNNNNNNNNNNNNNNNNNNNNNNNNNNNNNNNNNNNNNNNNNNNNNNNNNNNNNNNNNNNNNNNNNNNNNNNNNNNNNNNNNNNNNNNNNNNNNNNNNNNNNNNNNNNNNNNNNNNNNNNNNNNNNNNNNNNNNNNNNNNNNNNNNNNNNNNNNNNNNNNNNNNNNNNNNNNNNNNNNNNNNNNNNNNNNNNNNNNNNNNNNNNNNNNNNNNNNNNNNNNNNNNNNNNNNNNNNNNNNNNNNNNNNNNNNNNNNNNNNNNNNNNNNNNNNNNNNNNNNNNNNNNNNNNNNNNNNNNNNNNNNNNNNNNNNNNNNNNNNNNNNNNNNNNNNNNNNNNNNNNNNNNNNNNNNNNNNNNNNNNNNNNNNNNNNNNNNNNNNNNNNNNNNNNNNNNNNNNNNNNNNNNNNNNNNNNNNNNNNNNNNNNNNNNNNNNNNNNNNNNNNNNNNNNNNNNNNNNNNNNNNNNNNNNNNNNNNNNNNNNNNNNNNNNNNNNNNNNNNNNNNNNNNNNNNNNNNNNNNNNNNNNNNNNNNNNNNNNNNNNNNNNNNNNNNNNNNNNNNNNNNNNNNNNNNNNNNNNNNNNNNNNNNNNNNNNNNNNNNNNNNNNNNNNNNNNNNNNNNNNNNNNNNNNNNNNNNNNNNNNNNNNNNNNNNNNNNNNNNNNNNNNNNNNNNNNNNNNNNNNNNNNNNNNNNNNNNNNNNNNNNNNNNNNNNNNNNNNNNNNNNNNNNNNNNNNNNNNNNNNNNNNNNNNNNNNNNNNNNNNNNNNNNNNNNNNNNNNNNNNNNNNNNNNNNNNNNNNNNNNNNNNNNNNNNNNNNNNNNNNNNNNNNNNNNNNNNNNNNNNNNNNNNNNNNNNNNNNNNNNNNNNNNNNNNNNNNNNNNNNNNNNNNNNNNNNNNNNNNNNNNNNNNNNNNNNNNNNNNNNNNNNNNNNNNNNNNNNNNNNNNNNNNNNNNNNNNNNNNNNNNNNNNNNNNNNNNNNNNNNNNNNNNNNNNNNNNNNNNNNNNNNNNNNNNNNNNNNNNNNNNNNNNGGGCCAGGGGUGUUGGGGCGGCGGGCCAACGCCGGGGGUGUUGGGGCUGUAGGGUGUCGACGAGGGCGGUGGGGCAGCGACAGCGGGGCUGUGGGGCACCAGGGCGGCGGCGGGAUGGUGUUGGCGGCGGUGGGCGUCGAGGAGAGGAGUGGAAGAGAGUGGAGCGGCUACACCGAGGGUGAGAAAGAGAGGGGCAGGGUGGGGGCAAAGAGCCGUUACGGAGUUAGCUCUUUGUCGUCUGCCGGUGGAUGGCAAAGAGUCUAGACUCUUUGUCGUCUGCCUCCGGCCUCUUUUCGUCCGCUUGCACACGAAAAAGAAGGGACUCCAGUUUGACCUAACGUCCUCGCGGUCAGGUUGGCAUGUCCGUCUGCUUUGUCGUCUGCUUUAUGGAUCUUUGCCAUCCGUGGCUGACGGCAAAGAUGUGACUGAUGGCAAAGACCAUCUAUGCCAUCAGUCAUUUCUUUGCCGUCCGCUUUGUGGCAGCUGACAGCAAAGACACUCUUUGUCGUCCGUUCGCUGAUGGCAAAGAUUUGGCAGAUGGCAAAAAACUGAAUUCCAGUGGUGAUUGCUUUUUUACAUGUCAAUGUAUCUGUUCCUAGGACCAUGAGAUCCUGCAACUCACUAACACCGGAGGAAAGCCUUGUGUGUAUCCUACGUCGCAAUGUAACUCGGUGACUAUAAAGAUGAUCUACUUUUAUCUUCGAGGGUGUGUGUGGAGUUGGCAUGGAUCAAGACUGGGAUUUGUCACUCCAUGUGACGGAGAUGUAUAUCGGGGCUCACUUGAUAAUACAACAUCAAAAUAAGAUUUCAAGAAAUGUGUAUAAGGAGUUAGUUACAUGAUCUUGUAUUACGGAACGAGUAAAGAGACUUGCCGGUAAUGAGAUUGAACUAGGUAUGGAGAUACCGACGAUCGAAUCUCGAGCAAGUAACAUACCGAUGGACAAAGGAAACUACAUACGGGAUUAGCUAAAUCCUUGACAUCGUUGGUUCAACCAAUAAAUAUAUUCAUAGAAUAUGUAGGAACCAAUAUGGGCAUCCACAUCACACUAUUUGUUAUUGACCGUAAAGGUGUCUCGGUCACGUCUGCUUAGUUCUCGAACCCCGAAGGUCUGCCCACUUAACAUCAAGUGACGAUAUAGACAUAGUUGAGUUAUAGUGUUCGUCACCCAAGGUUGUUUGGACUCCCGGAUGAGAUUCCAGACAUCACGAGGAGCUUUGUAAUGGUAUGGAGGUAAAGAUUUAUAUAUAGGAAAGUGGUAUUCGGGUUCCGGAAGGGUGUUUUUGGUAUUGUACAAGGAGUGCCGAAAGGGUUUCGGGGGUCCACCGGGAGGGGCCCGCCCACCCCUGGGGGCACAUGGGAUUAAUAGGUCGUGCCCCAACACCUGGUGGGCUCUGAAGAUGACCCCUAUAGGGCCCAUGCACCCAAUGUGGAGGAGGAGUACUCGCUAGGGUGUACACUACCUUGUUGGAGGUGGACUCUUCCCCUCUUUGGUCGGCUAGCCCUCCUUGGAGGAGCACUACUAGGAAAAGGCUUGCUAAUGGCGCACCAUUUUUUGCUACUAAUGGCGCACUAUAGGUGCGCCACUAGCAUCACGCCAUUAGAUUUUUUUUACUAAUGGCGCACUACAAGUGCGCCAUUAGUAUCUGGUAUACUAAUGGCGCACCAGGUAGUGCGCCCUUAGUAUUGCUCACGGUGCGCCAUUAGUAUCUGGUAUACUAAUGGCGCACCAGGUAUUGUGCCAUUAGUAUAUAUCCUGGUGCGUCAUUAGUAUAGAUCCCGGUGCGCCAUUAGUAUAUAUCCUGGUGCGCCAUUAGUAUAGCUUAUGGUGCGCCAUUAGUAUGCCUCCCAGGGCCAUAUUUACCCAUAUGCUCUGACUUACUAAUGGCGCACUAGUGUGCUGAGUGAUGCGCCACUAGUAUGAAUAUUAGGUAUUUAUUUAAUUUUUUGUGAUAUUUGCACAUAUUACAAAAUAUAUUAUUGCACAGAAUAUAGAUAGCCCAACAUAUAAACAACAGAUUUAUCAAAUACAAUAGAAGAUUAGUCUCCGAAUACAAUUCAUCAUAUUAGUCUCCGAAUAGAAUUCAUCAUAUUAGUCUCCGAAUAGAAUUCAUCAAUAAUGCUAGAACAGGGUACUAUACAAACACUCUUAUAUUUCUUCCAUAGCGAGAGACAAAUGAGACAACAAACAACGAGCGAGCAGGCCAGAGACAAUUUGGCAUGAUAUGCAACCUGAGAGCGACAAAAACAAAGCAUGGAUUCCAGUGGUGAACUAUGAGAUGCAGCUCGUCAGGAAGGGCCGAAGGGCUCGGAGAUGCUUUUGCUCCUGCUACCGCAAGCUUCCGGUCCUCUAUGGGAGGCUGAGGCACCGCACCAAGGGCCAACAAUAAGACGCAUGUGGAGCCCAUGACAACCUUCAUGGGUACAUACAAGAAACUGAGUUACAUCAGUUUUAAGCCAACAACACAACAAGCAAAUAAUUGAGAGCUUACAGUAGGCAAGUAAGGUGUACACAAAAGGAACUGAAGUUGUGUUGAUAAAAUAACUUAAGACGCCCAAACAUAUGGAAAAGCAUUGAUAACUAACAACUCCUGUGCAUUCUUGUACAUUUGAUAGUUAACUUAAAAUAAUUUAUCAUUGCCGGAAAAGACACAAAUAAUCUCUAUGAAGAAAAGUGCACAUUGCCGGCGUAGGUAAAUAAAUCAUGCAUCCUCUCUUGGAGGAGACCCACUAAACAAGGAGCUCGAACAUGAAACAAAUGCCAAUAGAAAUGUAAGGUAGCCAACAAUUACGAACAUAGCAUGUUGGCUGCUAUGUUGCCGCAACAAAUAUUUGGAAGGUUGUUGCUGCUGCGAAAUGCUAGAAUUAAGAGCUUGACCUGCAGGUGGCUCAAACUAUUGAUGUAUUUGUGGAUGCAGUGUCUUCCUUUGUGAAUUCAAGAUGGCGAUAAUCUGUCUCUCGUACUGGGGAACUCUGUCCCUCAUGGAGGGCUGGAUAGCACUCUUGCUAAUUUGCAGCAUUUGCAAUAUAUGGUCCAACAUUAUUUUAAAGCUCUUGAUCCUAUCGUACUUGUCAGAUGGCAUACUACAAGAAAAGCUACAUGUAGAGGUCUGGUUAGAGGCAUCUCCAUGAGCUGUCUUUACCUUCAGAUAUUUAUAAAAAUUGUUACCGCAUACAAUCUAGCCUCAAAAUAAGAUAGCAAAAAAUGCUACAUAUCAGACAUACCUAAUAACAAGCUUUGUAUGUGUGUGCGUGUGAGAGAGUGUGUAUUUUGAAACAAAGAGAACUUUCAUGCCCGUAGUGCAUACCUGCCAUUUAAUGCUUUUACAACCGGUGAGAAGCUCUUUUGUCGGAUGAACUCUCCCGUGUUUGAACCAACUUGCUGCCACCAAUAGAUAUAGUAGUCUGCAGCUUACCAAUCUGCGAAAUAAAGAUGAUAUUUAUCCUCAGGACCACUGGAAGAACACAGAUACAUGCAGUUUAAUGAUGCACUCAAGCUAUGGGAGUAAAGCAACACAUACGUAUGUGUUUUAUCCUAGGGGUUAACAAAAAAGGACGCAUGAAGCAUGUGUUCCUGAAACUAUAAGAGCCUUGGCAAUACGCAUACAGUAAAUAUUGAACUCUUCAGCUAUCCAGUCUAAAAGGCCACUACAAAAUGAACCGUGUAUAACAGCUACUAAGUUCUGCAUCAGGACUAAGCAAACAGGAGCCUAAUGGCCUUAGAAUACCACACAAAGAGGAGCAGUUACAGAGGUGUGCACUUAGCAGAUAUACGAAAAAACAUUCUUAAAAUACAAAUUUGCACAUUUAUGUGCAAUAUCCCCAUGGAACAGAGUUGGUACUAAGCAAACUAGCAACCAAUAACUUGAAAACCUGCCCUGGACGGUCUUACUCCCUCGAAUAACCCCCAUGCCACAAGCAUGGUAGACAUGCAGUGUUUAAAUUGGGUAGAAUUUUUUCUCAUAAGCAUACUUAAAUCCCACACAUAAAUACCUACGCAUAUAUUAUAUGCCCCCAUACAACAUAACCAAAACAGCCGUGGUUCAAACCCACGUGCCCAAAGCAAGGGGAAGAAGAGAAGGUGAGAGAUCUCACCUCUAAUGUCUGUAGCGGUCGGUGAUGGUGGUGAGCUAGACGAAGACAACGAGACUGAGCCGAACCUACACGACCUGAACAACACAAAUAGUUGAGUGACGCUAUUGACAUUUAAAAUAUCGCUCCCACUAAUAACAGUAUAGCCUCAACGCAUGCAAGUUGUAAAGAUUUAACCUUUCAUCAAUAAAUGAACUAAGCAAUGAACAGCAGUGUGGAGUUACAAUUCAUUCUACUUCAUGAGAAGCAAACAAAUCCCCCAAAAUGACAAGUUAUAAUCACGCAACUGUAAUUAAGCAUCAGAUUAUUGACAAUGGAAUUAGGAUAUUAAGCAGCAAGUUGAUUUUUUUCUCUAGUGAAGAAUGAGAAAUCUGCUCCUAAACAAAAUACCAUGCCAAGUAAUUUACUUCACAGAUUAUUGCCAUGUCAGGGAGCUUAUGUUGCAGGCUGAGGUCGUCGUCGCAUGCCGCCGCCUUGGGCUCGAAGUUGCUCAAUGACUCCUCCAUGCUGCAGUCGACCGCCGCCUUGACUUAGGCCCUGACCAUCCACCGAAGCACACAGCAGAGGGCAGGAAAUCAUGAGCAAUACAACAUAUAAAAGCAUGAAUGGCACAAAAACAGAAUGAGGAUCUAUUAUAUCAAGUAAUCCAAGCAACCAAAUAUUCCACCAUGGAAAAAAUAAAGGGACGAUGCUAGUGAUGUUGCUAGACUUGGGGUUGGGCAUGAAUAAAUGACAUGCCAUAAAAAAACAACAAGAGCAAAGUGAGUGCACAAGCUAUGAAGUGGCUACAGUGAAGAUGACCCAGAGUGCGUGUUGUUUUCAGUAGAGUUGGACCCGUUAUUAAAAGGAAAAAUGAGAUAAAUAAGAAACCCCGUGACCGGAACCUUAAAUAGACCAGGCUAUGGUUAACAACAUCAACAGAGAGGGAAACAAACCUGAAUCCGGCUAGCAGAGACGUCACCGGAUGUUUGCCUGCUCCUCCACCUGCUCUGGCUCAUUCUCCUCUGACCUGCACACGCCCACGCAUCAGAGGAAGAAGAAGAAAAGGUAAGGAGGGAUACAUACCGAGGCUCUUGAGGGGAUCCUGCGGAUCUGACCUACAACGCCAUGCGUGGUGCUGUGUGGCUAGGGUUUCGGGCGGCGGCAGGGGUGGAAAGAGGAGGACUCCUCCUUUGCUGGUGCUUCGUAGUGGAGAGGGAAGGAGAUCUAGCUGAGCCGGCGGCGGUCCUCUGCUGGUCGCCGCAGCCCGAGCACGAUGGCUCCUCCACAGCGACCGGAGAGGGGGCGAGCAGCUGCUUGUUGGGGAGGAAGAACGCGGGCGCGGGAGGCACCGUUGUCAUCGCCGAAAGUAAUGACGAGGGAGGCGGCGCGGCGGCCGUUGGGUUGAGAUCGACUACGAGGAAGAGGAAGGGGGCGGCGCGGCGGCCUCCUUGGAAUAGAGAGGGGCACGAGGUGGGGGCGAGGCAGCGCACGGUGUGCUCGAUUUGGAGGCGGGGCGGCGCGCGCUCGAUUUGGGGGCCAAAACAGAGCGCCCGCGCUGCUCGGUUUGGAGGUGAAAACACAGCGUGCGCACGUGAUUUUGAAGAUCCCGUACGCUGCGUGCGGGCGAAAACAGAGCGCCCGUGCCGCGCGUAUUUUUUUGUAUCUCCCUAUUAUUUUAUUUUAUUGUACAUAUAAUAAGUAUCUUGUAAGAAGACUGCCAGAAUGUAGUGUAUCUGCACACUUAUUGUUUAAAAUUAUGGUUUCAAUUACAGAAAAGGAAUUUGUUGGAACACAGACCAAAAAGAAUAAGAGAUGGGCAACAUGAAGUGCAAAAGUAAAAGGGCAAUCUUGUUUCAGCUUCUAACUACCUAGAUGAGGGCAAUCUCAACCAUGUUGUUCUAGGGGGGCACUGUAUAUGAAUUUUAGGAAGUUCUAUGAAGAAAAGACACAAAAAAUGUCCGUGCAUUGUAUAUUCAAAGUACGCAUGCGAAAUAGUUGGAUGGUUGUGAGUGAUGAUGAUCAAACUCGUAAUCUGAAUUGUGUCGUUUUGUCUAAUCACACAAUUGUGCUAUGCGGCUGUGCCAUUUGUUUAGCGAGAAGAGUUGGACAACAAGGGACAUCGGGACAAGGGUGCCUUUGAAUUCUGAGUUCUACCAAUUUAUAAAUUCAUUUCUCCAUUUCUCCUUGCAUUAUCCCCCCCCUCAUUUUGAAGGUUUGUCCUCACUUUCUACUUUUUUUCCUGAUCACGCAAAAAUGUGAUAUGGCUUGCACGGACGACGGUCAAGGCCCUGCGCUCCCCGCCCCGCCAACCACCACCACACAUCGCCAAGCGGGACCCUCGCCGGUCAACUGGAGACGUGGGGGAGGGAGGGCGGAAAGAGCGAGAGAAAUCCAGGGCGUGGACGAGCGGGAUCUCUCCGGGGCGUGGACGAGCGAGGCGGGAUCUCGGUUGGAUUUAGGAGAGGAGAGGCGAGGGUAGAGGUAGAGAGCAGUGCGGGUUAGCAAUGGCGCACCCCCGAGCGGUGCGCCAUUAGAUUUUUUUUUGAUAGCAAUGGCGCAUCCCCAUGCAGUGCGCCAUUAGUAAUCUUAUUUUUAUAUAGCAAUGGCGCAUCCCAGAGAGGUGCGGCAUCAGUAAUCUUUUUUUUGGAUACCAAUGGCACACCCCAGAGAGGUGCACCAUUAGUAAUAUAUUUUUUGGAUAGCAAUGGCGCUCGGAGGGAGGGAGGGGGUGGGUGGUGCGCUCGACCGAUUCCGUUCGGGGGAACCGAGCGAGGAGACAGGGGAGGGUGAGGGGGGUCGGCGGCGGCGGUGGAGCGGGGGAGGGUGCUGGGGGUCAUCGGCGGCGGUGGAGCGGGGGAGGGUGCGGGGGAGGGUGCUCGUGGUGCGCCAUUAGUAGUUCUGUAAAAAAAAUAGUAAUGGCGCACCACCUACGAAUGCGCCAUUAGUGACCCUGGUUACUAAUGGCGCACCUCCUCUUGUGCGCCAUUAGUAGUUCUGUAAAAAGAACUUAGUAGUGGCGCACCACCAACAGAUGCGCCAUUAGUAACACUGGUUACUAAUGGCGCACUAGCUUUGGUGCGCCAUUAGUAGUUUGCAAAAAAAAACCAAUUUUUUUUAUAGUAGUGGCGCACUACUAACAGAUGCGCCAUUACUAACCAGGUUACUAAUGGCGCACCACGUGCUGGUGCGCCAUUAGUAGCCACCACACUAAUGGCACACCUCACAUGGUGCACCAUUACUAUAUAGUAGUGGCGCACUGCUUGUGUGGUGCGCCAUUAGUAUCUAUAUCAUCUAUAUCCCUUUUCCUAGUAGUGGAGGGGCCAAGUCUGCGCUCUAUCUACCCCUCCUCCUAUAUAUAGAGAGGGAGAUAGAGGGCAGUACCACCCCAAGGCAUUUCUCCUCCGAAAAGCAUCUGCGGCAACGCUUGGCGAAGCCCUCUUGAGAUCGCACCACCACUGCCGCCACCAUGCCGUUGUGCUACCCGAGAACUCAUCUACAAGUUCAGCCAUGCUUGCUGAAUCGAGAUCAUGAAGACGUCAUCGUGUUGUACGUGUGCUGAACGCAGAGGUGCCGUCUGUUCGGCACUUGAUCGGAACGAUCGUGACUUGAUCGCGAAGACGUUCGACUACAUCAAGCACGUUUCACAACGCUUUCACUUAGCGAACUACAUGGGUAUGUAGAUGCACCCCUCUCGUAGAUGCUGAUGUCCAUAGAUUGAUCUUGGUGAGCAUAGGAAUUUUUUUGUUUCCCUGCAAUGUUCCCCAAUAGUGGCAUCAUGAGCAAGGUCUAUGCGUAGAUAACAUGCACGAAUAGAACACAAAAGAGUUUGUGGGCAUUGAUAUUCAGAUUGCUUACUUCCUUAGUCUUACUUUGAUUCGGCAACAGUGUGGGAUAAAGAGGCUCAGACCAACCUUACUCGUCCAUGUACAAGAGACCGGUUCCUUCGAGUGACAUGCAACUUGUUGCGUAAACAUGGCUGGCGGGUGUCUAUCUCUCCCACUUUAGUUGAACCGGAUUCGACAGAGGCGGUCCUUGGNGUUUCACAACGCUUUCACUUAGCGAACUACAUGGGUAUGUAGAUGCACCCCUCUCGUAGAUGCUGAUGUCCAUAGAUUGAUCUUGGUGAGCAUAGGAAUUUUUUUGUUUCCCUGCAAUGUUCCCCAAUAGUGGCAUCAUGAGCAAGGUCUAUGCGUAGAUAACAUGCACGAAUAGAACACAAAAGAGUUUGUGGGCAUUGAUAUUCAGAUUGCUUACUUCCUUAGUCUUACUUUGAUUCGGCAACAGUGUGGGAUAAAGAGGCUCAGACCAACCUUACUCGUCCAUGUACAAGAGACCGGUUCCUUCGAGUGACAUGCAACUUGUUGCGUAAACAUGGCUGGCGGGUGUCUAUCUCUCCCACUUUAGUUGAACCGGAUUCGACAGAGGCGGUCCUUGGAGAAGGUUAAAUAGAAACUUGAAUAUCACUGUUGUGGCUUUGCGUAGGUAACAACGGUUCUUGCUAGUGACCCACAGCAGCCACGUAAAACAUGCAACAACAAGUAUAGGACGUCUAACUUGCUUUUGCAGGGCAUGUUGUGAUAUGAUAUGGCUAAUGACAUGAUGAUAUAUAUGUGAUGUAUGAUAUGAUCAUGUUUUCUAUAAAAUUACCAUGACUUGCAUGUCGAUGAGUACGGUAACCGCAGGAGCCAUAGGGUUGUCUUUAAUCAUUUGUGCAUUUUUUCUUUACUUGGUCGCUAUGAGUUAGCAAUAGUGGUAGAAGCAUAGUUGGUGCAACAGCCCCGAUGGCGACACGAUCAUGAUUAUCAUGAUGAUGAGGAUCAUGGUGUCAUGCGGGUGAUGAUGGAGAUCAUGCCGGUGCUUUGGAGAUGGAGGUCAAAAGCACAAGAUGAUGACGACCAAACCAUGUCAUCAUUACGAUUUACAUGUGAUGUUAAUCCUUUUAUGCAUAUAAUUUUGCUUAGGAUGACAAUAGCAUUAUAAGAUGACCCCUCACUAAAAUUUCAAUAUAAAAUUGUGUUCUCCCCAAGUGUGCACCAUUACGAAGGAUCUUCGUUACGAAGCAACACGUGAUGAUCGAGUGUGAUAGACUCUACGUUCGCAUACAACGGGUGUAAGCCAAUUUUGCAUGUGCACAACACUUGGGUUAAACUUCAUGGUCCUAACAUGUACAGACAUGGCCUCGGAAUACAGGAGACCGAAAGGUCAAACAUGAUCAUAUAAUAGAUAUGAUAAAGUUCACCAUUGAAACCACCUCAUCUCACGUGAUGAUUGGACUUGAGUUGGUGAAUUUGGAUCAUAUCACACUCAAACAACCUAAGGGAUGUCAAUUUGAGUGGGAGUUAUUAAGUAAUAUGAUUAAUUGAACCCAUUAUCAUGAACAUAGUCUAAGUUGUCUUUGCAAAUUAUGUUGUAGAUCAAUGGCUCGCGCAGUAGUUCCCCUCAUAGAGAAACCUAAGCUAAAAUAUGAUGGAAGCAACUAUGCGGAUUGGGUAUCUGAGGAUUAUCCUUACGGCUUCGCAAAAGGCUUAUGUCCUUGAUGCAUAGCUUGAGGGAACACCCCCUAGUGUCAGCAGAUGUUGUGAACUGUAACGCCCAACAUGCGAUUCUAUCCUUGUUUUGGCACGAGGGCCUCAACAAGGAUAGAAGCACAUAUCUUUGUUUCGCAAGAAUGAAUAUCGUUACAAGUACAUGUACUAAAAACAUAAGUAUAAGGAAUUGGCUUACACUCGCCAUAAGCUACAUCAAUAUCACAUUAAUACAACAAUACACAAUCAUCUUGCAAAAGAGGAGGGUCCAAUUACGGACGAAAACAAACGAUAAAAGAACGACGUCCAUCCUUGUUAUCCCAGGAUGUCGACCUGGAACCCAUCCUAGAUCGGUGAUGAAGAAGAAGAAACUCCAAAUAGCACAAUCAGCGCGGUCACGUCGUAAUAUCACCUUACAUGUACCUACAACUGGUGUUGUAGUAAUCUGUGAGCCACAGGGACUCAGCAAUCUCAUUUCCGAAGGUAUCAAGACUAGCAAAGCUUAACGGGUGAGUUAUGGUUAAGUGGUGAGGCUGCAACAAGCGACUAAGCAUUUAUUUGAGGUGGCUAGCUUAUGAGUACAUGUGGCGAGUGUAAGCCAACUCUUUAUACUCAUCUUUUCGGUACAUGUACUUGUAACGAUAUCCAUUCUUACGAAAUGACGAGAUGCGUUUCUAUCCCUGUCCAGGCCCUCGCGCCAAAAUAAGGAUAUGACCGCAUCUUGGGUGUUACAAGUUGGUAUCAGAGCAGUACGGACCUAGGAGCCCCCUUGAUUGAUCGAACAUGGCCGAGUCGAGUCUGGUGAAAAAUUGCUUUGAGUCUUGUUAUAUACCGGAGAGUAGGAUUCUUUUUUCUCCUCUUCUAUGCUCUCGUGAGGAAUCUUGACGUAAUAAUUUAAUUCUACUCCUCUUCUCACUCAAAAAAAUUAGGAUCACGUGGAUAUUUUUGGAAUCUAUAUGAUGUCGAUGUGACGGAAUUCUGACUUGGUGCCUCCUGCUGUGUUGAUUUUAUUCCGGGGAGUUGAGCUCCAGGGGAUUCUUGAGCACAUCGUUAUCAUUUAGAUUUCUUAGGAUGGAGGAUGUUCGAAAUUGCUUCAAUACUAGUAGUGGUGAGAUAACCCCGGCAUCCCCAAUACUGGUGCAGAGAGUUCAGGGGUACUGCCAUACUUAGUAUCAUGGUGUUUUUGAGGAUCUGAGAUAGAUGAGUUUCCGAGAUCUCUGGUUAUGUGUUGAUGGAUGUGAGACACUAGACGGGUAGUGUUAUUGCUAGGAGUUGAGUGAUGGAUUUUCUCCUUGAAUCCGUGGACCCGAUUCCAUGACGAUAAUAUUUCAGGAGUUCUUAGGUUGGAAUUCAAGUAGUUACUUAUAGGACAAUCUUCAAACAAAUGCAUGAUGUGAGGUUGGGGUUCGAAAUCUAGUGGAUUCAUUUGUUCACGGUCAUCUUACAGUGGUUCUAGUUGUGUCUUAAAGAGUACUUGUAGCUUCCUACGACUCGGGGACGCUUCGUAUGUCGUUUGCACUCCCUUGUACAUGAUGGCUACUCUAGGAUUCACGAAAAUAUCAGAUGAAAUCUGUGUCAUGAAUUUGUUCCGGCUUGUUUUGGUAAGCCUCAACCUUUGUUUUUUUGGAGUAUGGUAAUUCGAGUUGCUUCGAUUUUAAGUGGUGAAUUCAAAUCUUUCCAAGAGGUCUUCUCAUAUUUUUAGGGGAAUGCAAAAUAUUUUGCUCAAUCAAGUUGUGUUUUCAAUUCUUGCCAGCCGGAGUCAGCGUGACAAUUCUUUUUCAUCCGGUGUGCUUCUCUUCAAUUGAAUUCAACCAUCUCCAAUAUUUUGGAAGAUCAAUCUCUCAUUUCCUGCCCACCCGCCCUUUUCUUUAUUAUUCAAUUCUCAUCCAAGUGUCUUCUUUUCAGUGUUUCUUCUGCUAUCUUUUCUUUUAUUUUGUUCCCGGUGAUUCUUUGUGAAGAUUCUCGGGAGUUUUGAGCUCAUCAUUUCUUCAUUUUGUUUUCUCCCCGGUGGAGUCAAUUCAAGAUUUUGGUGUCAUCAUAUCCUUUUCACCCUUUAAAUUAUUUCCCAUGUUUGUAAUUCAUAUCAAGUCUUUCUUGUUUUUCAUCUCCCUCUAUUCUAUCCAGAGUGUUCAAGAUAUCUGAGAAGUUUCUUGUUUUCAAUUCUUUCAAUCAUUUUGAGGGUCUCACCUCAUCAAGUUUUCAUUCAUACCGGUGCAAUAUCUCCCUUCCUAAGCAAUCCUUUCAAAGGUGUUUUCUUUUAGUGGGCCCAUAACCCACAAGUUCUUCCCAGGAUCUUACGUGACUCUUCUAAUCUUUUUCUUGAGAUCUCUAAUUCUUCUCAAUUAUGGCGUAUAAGUAUGAAUUUCAUCAGUCAUAUUCCUUCUCCAAGAUUGCUUCAAAAUUAAUUCUCAUCAUUGGUCCAUUCUCUUGAAGAUUCAUCAUUUCAACUUUGUGUUAUCAUCUUGAAUUGUUCUCGAUCAUGAGAAAUUACUUCCAUAUCUAUUCGGUGCAUUUCAGUGUUGUGUUCAUUUCUCGAUCCUCCGAAGGCCAUCAUUUCCGAAGAUUUCUUCGUUCUCAACUUUCAUCUUUCAUCCUCAAAUUCUUCUCAAUGGUUGUCUCUUCAUUCGUCUCUCAAUUAUUCCAGUGCCUCAUUCAAGUUUUCUGUUAGGCGGCUGAGGAUCUCUUCAUUCUCUAGGUGUUCUUCAAGAUUCUUGUGGUAGUACCUCAAGUAUUCUAUCUCUUGCAUUUCAAAGAGCAAUGCUUCCUCCAUUAUCCUUUUUGGUGGUGUUAUAGCAUUCUUGCUAGUGGAGGAGCCUCGAAGGAAGUUUUUUAAAGAAUGAGAUAUGUAAACCCACUAAUCCUUUGAUCAUGAGAUUAUUUUUAACCCAUGGUUUCUUCAUUGAGCUAUAAUAGAUUAGUAGAUGAGUUCUCAGGUAGCACGACGACAUGGUGACGGUGGUGGUGGUGCAAUUCAGCAGGGCUUUGCCAAGGCCUGACGCAGACGCGACGGGGGAGAAAACUGAUCUAGAGGGAGGGAGGUGCCGCCAAAGGCUUGGUGUGUGGCUGCCCUCCCUCUCCUCUCAUGUAUAUAAGGGGAAGGGAGGAGGAACUCGUCCCUAGGGUUUGCCCAAGGGGUGGGGGCGGUGGACUAGGAGGUUGGUUGCCACUCAAGCAAGGGUGGCGCCACCCCUAGGGCUUGCCCUUCCAACAACCUAGCCGGAUGGGCCUAGGUGGGCGGGGUGCCCAGCCCACAAGGGGCUUGUGCGCACCCUUCUCAACCCAUCUGGCCCCUCUGGGGUAGGUGGGCCGCUUCCGAUGGACCCGAGAACCAUUCCGACACUCCUUGUACUCUCCCGGCAAUGCCCGAAUUCUUUUCGGUGACCAAAACCGAAUUUCCUAUAUAUAGGUCAUUACCUCCGAAACAUUCCAAAGAUCCUCGUCAUGUCUGAGAUCACAUCCGGGACCACGAAUAACAUUCGGCUACCAACAUACAUAACUCAACAAUACUAUAUCGUCAUCGAACGUUAAGCGUGCGGACCCUAUGGGUUCGGGAACUAUGCACACAUGACCGAGACACCUCUACGGUCAAUAACCAAUAGCAGGACCUGGAUGCCCAUAUUUGUUCAUACAUAUUCCACGAAGAUCUUUAUGAGUCAAACCACGAUGCCAAGGAUUCAAUCAAUCAUGUAUGCAAUUCCCUUUUUCCAGCGGUAUGUUACUUGCCCGUUAUUUGAUCACUGGUAUCUCUAUACCUAGAUCAAUCUUGCUACUCGCAAGUCUCUUUACUCAUUCCGUAAUACACGAUCACAUGACUAACUCCUUAAUCACAUUACUUGCAAGCUUCAUGUGAUGUUGUACUACCAUGAGGGCCGAGAGAUACCUCUCCGUCAUAGGAAGUGAAAAAUCCCAGUCUUGAUCCAUGCCAACCCAACAGACACCCUCGGUGAUACCUGUAGAGCAUCUUUAUGAUCAUCCAGUUAUGAAGAGAUGUUUGAUAUAUACAAGGCAUUCCUAUGGUGUCAGGGAGUUGCAUGAUCUCAUGGUCUUAGGAAAUGAUACUUGACAUGUAGAAAGCAGUAGCAAUAAACUUAAUGAUAUGAUCAGAUGCUAUGCUUACAGUUGGUUCUUGUCCAUCACAUCAUUGUCCUAAUGGUGUGAUCCUGUUAUCAGAUAACAACUCAUGUCUAUGGUUGGGAAAUCUUAAUCAUCUUUGAUCAACGAUCCAGUCUAUUAGAGGUUUACUAUGGACACGGUGUUGUGUAUGUAUCCACACAUGUAUCUGAGUGUCCAAUCAAUACAAUUAUAGCAUGGAUAAUAAAUGAUUAUCAUGAAGAAGGAAGUAUGAUAAUAAUCACUUUAUUAUUGUCUCUAGAACAUAUUACAACAUAUCCUUCUAUCCAUGUGCGGCUGUCAUCCUCAUGAAGAAGCACUUGGGGGUUGUGCCAAGCCUACAUAGCCUUGGAGGAAGACCGGGUGGGAUCCAUGCCGGAACAACAUCGUCGGGGGACGCGUUCAUGCGUCGUCGCUGCCACAACGUCCCCAUCACAUUCUCUGUGAUGGGUUGUAACAACUCUUGAACCCCUUUAUAUGUGAUGUUAUUUGAGUAAUUCUUGGCUAUGGGUCGGUUCGCUAGUAAGCAUUUAUUUGAUAUGCGUUGUCUAUUUAUGUCUUCCAUAUUCAUGAUAUUAUUUACCCUUGCGGUAAUUUUGCGAUUGGAGUCCUAUGACCCAUUAGUGUAGUUGGAGACAUUCAACUCCCUAGAUCACACAUGAAGUUGAUAGAUAGUUGUGCAUAUCGAGAAAACUCCGGGUGAUAGGCAUCGAUAUCUUAAGGGGAACAUAAUUACCGAGGGAUCAUGGUUGUCCAUAGAACUUAUUGCCUUCGGUCCACGUCUUAUUAUAUUAAUGUGUUUUCCAUUGUCCACUCGCGGUAUGGGAUGGAAAAUAGGAAGAUUGAGUUGUCUCAAUACGAUGAUGCUUGAGAGACAAUGUUAUGUGAAGGACCGCCCACCAUUGAUCAAUUGCCUUAUCGUAUAAUGCAAGGUACAUAAUUAAUUGUAGGUUUUAACAUUUGAGAUAUAUAUAAUUUUUGUCCUACCCAUUAAUGUUUAAAACAAGGUAUGGAGUAUCUCAACUCGAUUAUCACACAGAGUUGUCAUAAAGUUGAGAUAUAGAGCUUUUCUUUUCGUUCCUGCACACAUAGUUGAAAAACUCACAUCAAGGUCAAUGGACUACAAAAUGACUAUUGCCUCUGCCAAACGAGUCCUUGAUGCGCCGUUAUCUUUUAUCCCACAAAGGAGCUAGCCUGAUCAUGUCCAUGACAACCAGGAAGUCUUCAUGCACGUGCCCCUAAGUACCCGUGGACAUCGUCAUUGAAUCCCUGAAUUGGUUUGAAGAACCUGACACCAAAUAACGAUGUGCGUACGCACGCGAUAAAUCCUAACCUCGCUACCUGAGGCGCUGCAAGGAAUAUACGUUUGAGGUCCAUCUAAUCAUUCCUCGAGGUCGAACUUUGAGAGAAUCGGAUCCCGAAAGACUCACUCGAAGAAGAAUCGUAACCAUCCAUCUGAUACGUCUCCAACGUAUCCAUAAUUUUUGAUUGUUUCAUGCUAUUAUCAUGUCAAACUUUAGAAGUUUUGCAUGCCUUUUAUAUAUUUUUUGGACUAACUUAUUAACUCAGUGCCAAGUGCCAGUUCCUGUUUUUUCCAUGUUGUUGACCCCUUUUAGAGGAGGAUUUUGAACGGAGUCCAAACGGAAUAAAACUUCCAAAAAGAUUUUUUCCAGAACGGAAAAAGAUCGGGAGACUUGAGAACCAAGGCAGGGGGUCCUCUGGGACCCCACAAGCCCUCAUGGCGCGGCCAAGGGGGCCCGCGCCGUGCAGACUUGUGGGCUCCCUGGGCCACCUCUGCCCUAGGUUUUGCGCCUAUAUAUCCCCAGAAAUUCCACAAAGAAUCAGGAGAUCAUCGAAAGUACUUUUCCGCCGCCGCAAGCUUCUGUCUCCGCAAGAUCCCAUCUGGGGCACGUUCUGGUGCCCUGCCGGAGGGGGGAUUGGGACACGGAGGGAUUCUUCAUCAACACCAGGACCUCUCCGAUGAUGCGUGAGUAGUUCACCAUAGACCUACGGGUCCAUAGCUAGUAACUAGAUGGCUUCUUCUCUCUCUUGGAUCUUCAAUACAAAGUUCUCCAUGAUCUUCAUGGAGAUUUAUCCGAUGUAAUCUUCUUUUGCGGUGUGUUUGUCGAGAUCUGAUGAAUUGUGGAUUUAUGUUCAGAUUGUCUAUGAAUCUUAUUUGAGUUUCUUCUGAUCUCUCUUAUGCAUGAUUUCAUAUCCUUGUAAUUCUCUUCGAGUUGUGGGUUUUGUCUAGCCAACUAGAUCUAUAAUUCUUGCAAUGGGAGAAGUGCUUGGUUUUGGGUUCAUACCGUGCGGUGACCUCACCCAGUGACUGAAGGGGUAGCGAGGCACGUAUCGUGUUGUUGCCAUCAAGGGUAAAAAGAUGGGGGUUUCUUCAUUGGUUUGAGAUUAUCUCUCUACAUCAUGUCAUCUUGCUUAAGGCGUUACUCUGUUCGCCAUGAACUCAAUACACUAGAUGCAUGCUGGAUAGCGGUCGAUGUGUGGAGUAAUAGUAGUAGAAUUAAAGGAGGAUCUGCCGUCGUCGUGAUGGUUCGACCACCUCUCCCCAGCCUAUCGAUACCUCCUUCCUCGCAGGCAGGCACAUCCUCCCGCUCCCGCUUCCUCCCACUGAUUUUCUCUAAUUAUACCCUGCAGAAAACCAGCAAGGAACCGACCGGUUCAUUGUGAGAAACCAGCCCAUGUUUUUGCUAAAAAAAGGAAAAACAGAACCCCCUCCCACGUCCCACGAGUGACACGUACCGCCCACCUCCAGCCCCUCGCUCGGUCGCUCCCGAUCCCCCAUCUCUUUCCUCUCCCCGUUCAUCGAAGCCGAUGCGCCGCCCUGCCCCAUGCGUCACCUGGCCGGCCUCGAUCUUGACUCGUCGCCGCUCCCCCUAGAGUAGAAGCACUCUGAGGUCGACGGCGUUUCUCUGCUUUGUCCUUGGAACGCAGGUGCCUCAAGGACGAUCCAUGCAUGGUUUCAUCGGGGAGCCCGGCAACGGCGUCACCGACAAGGCACCGAGGUUACGCAGCAGUAAGGCCCAUCCCUGGGUUGAGCUCACCCCCGUCACCGCCGGUGGCGCCGCUUGCCCACGCCCCCGCCGGUGCCGCCGCUUGCCCACGCCCCCGGAUGGAGAAGCUCGUCGCAACUGGAGGUCGUUCCAACAUCCAUGUGCUCUGUACUCUUAGGUUGUAAUUCUGAUGUUGUUUGUAACUAACAAAAAUAUGCUCUCUUCUAUGCACAUAAAAGUAGCCCAGGAUGCAUCGAGCUGCCAGACCUGAACACAGUUUGGCGCAUCAAAACUGAGGGGUAAUACAAUCUUUUUCAUAUGCCUUCUUUCCCAAAACCGAAGCAUCAAGUUUUCUAUCUGCUGCUAUUUUCCUCUUCUUCGUAAGCAAAUGCUGGCUUUUCUAUCCUUUUUCUUAUCUCUCGAGUUCGGUAAGAGAUGAAUCAUGAAGGAACAAAGAGAGUUCCUUCUGCCUGGAGUAUGAGAAAAAGGAGAGAACACAUGAAUCCACUUGUUUCACUAUACAUUAUGAGUUUAAAUUGGUCCGUUUACAUGUUGCAGUUGACCAAGUAGAAUGACAACAUAGGGAGAGGUCUGGAUGUACUCUAAUAAUAUGUGCUCCUAGGAGGGUCUGGUUGUAGCUGGCUGCUUUUUCUCAAUGCCCAGGUUCCACAUCGUACGCUUACCACUUAUUUGUUCUAAUGGAGUAGAUUGAAUAUAUUUGUGUUUCUACCUAAACUAAUAGAAUAGUGUAUUAGAUCCGGGCUACACAUCUUUGGUGCGUAGUGGGGGUGAGCUAUUGUAUUUCCUGAGGACUGAACGGUUCUCAAUUGUUAAGCUGGAAUCCUGCUUUGGAUUAUAUUAAAUCUUUACUACCUCGUGUGCUUCUUUUGUUAUAUUAUUUUUUCAUCUACCUUGUGUGCGUAGUGCUCUUACUGACAUGAGUUGGAACUUUUGUUAUCAUCUGCUCUACAGGAUAUACUGGACAAUCUAGAAUUUGCAAAGGGGGGUGCAGAAUCAACAUGAGGUUCUGUUAGAGCUGCAAUGGGGCGUCCUGAACCAUUCCCAGUCAAAUAUGUUGCAAUUGGAAAUGAAGAUUGUGGGAAAGAAAAUUACCAUGGUAAAUCUUCAACUGAAAUCCAUUCCACACUCAAGUCUUUUUUGUGGUAAUCUGCACACUUAAAGCCCUGCGCACAGUAUUAACAUAUACAAUUGAGGAGCAGGAAGCAUAGCUGGGCCAUGAUAUAUAUGUGUUAAAAUAAGUAACAUAUGCAAUCAAACAAAAACAAUAUGUGAUUUCGUGCUUGCUCGCCGAGAGUCACAUUUGUUCAUAUGAAAAAUCACAAGAUUAUAUUAGCGUGCAACAUGCAUCAUGUACAUAAUUUGAAUUUGUCUGACCUACUCAUAUAAGCUGACAAUCUCAUUUUAUAAUCAUCCAUUCAAUUUUCUGUCACACAUUUCUAAGUAUACGGAGGAGGGGGAUAUCAAGUCAAAAGUUUUUGAUGAGGCCAUGUUUCUCAUUCUAGGAUUUUUCAGGCCGAGCAGUGCUUAUAUAUAUCAUAUAGAAAUCCCUUAAACUUAAGAGAAUAUGUACUCAUCAUCAGAGUGGUCUGAUCGCGCGAAGAAAACUUUACAUCCAUCUGAUAAUGGGGAGAUUACUGUCCAGUGUCUUAUGGUACAUAGCAAUGAUCGCCUUUCUAAGGUCCCAAGGUUUAGAUUCAGUGAAUAUGAUUCAUUCUAGCGCUGACCAAAUAGUGAUAUUGUGGAUUAAUGUUCUCCUAUUUUAAGAGCAUUAUGUACCCGAGAUAAACCGAUAUGCCCGCAACUGCUAAGAAAACACGAAAGUGGUUAUGUGCCCCUUAAUUAUUUUGGUUGAUUUUGCAUGUAAAGUGUUUCUAUCUUAUCAUAACUCCCUAUUAUAGUGUAUAAAUUUUACUUGAACUAUAGAGAACCCAACUAUUUUCUACUGAUAUAAUAUGUCUUUAGAUACAUGACAUUCUCUAAUUCUAUUGAACAGGUAAAUGCCUUAAGUUCUGCAAUGCUAUAAAACAGGCAUAUCUAGACAUCCUGAUGAUUUCAAAUUGUGAUGGUUCAUCUACACCACUUGACCAUCCUGCUGAUUUGUAUGAUUUCCAUGUACGCUACUUGCUACCAGAUCUAUUUGCCUUCCUUGUUGUAUAGAUCCUAUAAUCUUAUCUCAUGUUUUGUCACCGAGGUCGAGUAAACUCAAGUUUUUUUCUGAGAUCUUGAGGAUGCUUCUUCUUUUUAGGUAUAUACCUCUCGUAGUGGGUCCAAGGUCGUAUGGUUCCUUAUCAUUUCAUAUACGAUUAAAACUGUAAGAAUAUUAGAUCGAUGUAUUUUUUCGGGACCAUGCAAGAAAAGUGCAUUUGAUCAUUAUAGAAGAAAUAAUAGUAUCUAAUCUCAUAUUACAAAAUCUCAAAAGAAAAUAACGACCUCAUCACAGAGAAGUAAAAUCAAGCUGCCCCAUCACAGAGAAGUGCUUGAACGCAAUAUGCUCCUCCUCCGUCAUUUGAAGGAUAUAUGAAAACUUUCAUGAGAAUUGACAUGAAGGUCAAACAUUUUGUAGUAGAUAUACCUCCUCUAUAGAUCUUUUUUUUCUUCAGGUUUGGGAGUAGUCUAUGCCUUCAGCGAGAGUAUAUUUUCUAGAAAAUAAGAAUUAAUUAUUUCAUUUUUAUACUCACCAGAGUUCAUGUUUCCCACUUUUUCAGUUGUGAGACGAACUUUUUCAUUUUCCCUUCAUAUAGCGAUAGGAGGUAUUGCUUAAGUCUCCUUUGAACUAUAUCAUAAAAAGAGAUUGACACAAAGUAAACAAACGUAUGUUUUCGAAGCUAAUAUUUCCUACUAUUUUGUUGUUUGUUUUUCCGGCAUCCCCCUUGAAACAAUGCUAUGGAUACUUCUUUUGGUGUUGAGUCGACUUCAGUUUCAGUAUCUACUCACCGGAAAAUUGAUAUCACUGUUUUAUGAAGAAAGAAUGAUAUCAAUAAGAGUACAAGGUUAGAGACAAAGACAAAGAUAGACAUUCUUAAGAACAUGUAUUGUAUGUUAGGAAGACAACAUGUUUGCAAACAUUGGGUAAAAAGAUUAGAAAGACAUCUAGAUAUAUAUUUUCUACUCCAUGGCAACGCAGGGGUGUUUACCUACUGUAUUUAGCUCAUCCCUGGGUAUUUAGAAAGACAUCUAGAUAACUGAGCUGGACUCUAAGGUCAAUCAGCUCCAAGAUGAGUUGAAGAAGACAAAGGAACGGCUGAGCGGAUCUGAGUCAUGAAGGCGCCAAGCACAGCAGGAGGAUGAUGAAGCAAAGAAGCAGGGGCAGGAUGCAUCAUCGAAGCUGGAGGAGUCGCAGUGCCAGCUUGUUGAGCUCUCAGCAGCAAAGGAAUCCCAUCUCCAGGAGCGGCGCAAGAUCCAACAGGAGCGUGAUCGCACCUGGUAGGCCGAGCUUGAGGCAUUGCAGAAAUAGCACUCCGCGGAUGCUCCUGCACUUAGCUCGGUGUUGUCCAAGAUCCUGAGGCUGAAGUUGCAGUGGGAGGUGACAGUUCACCAUAUUCGUUUGAUACAGCCAGUGCCCAGCAACGUGAGCAUGCAGAAUCUAAGCUUGAAGCGCUGGAGCAGGAGACGGAGCUCAGGCUUGCAACGAUUGAAGGCCUGAAGGUAAAUGUCAAUGAAAGUGACAAGGCUGCAGCUAAUGCAAAUGCCAUGGCACCUGAGACCAAGCUACAGCUUGAGACCGCAAAGGCCACCAUUGACUCACUCCUAUGUGAGGGUGUCUGGUUGUAGGAAUGCCUGAGGUCAAAGGACAUAGAGCUCAGUAAGUCUAAUCUGAAGGAGGCUCAGGCUGCAGGUGAUGAAAUUCGGAAUGAGGCAUAGGCAGGCAAUGCCAAUCGUGGCUUUGGCAGUCCAUUGACUGAAGUUUUGAAAAGAGCCCUCAUCCCACCAGUGACAUGAAUGGAAGAUGUCGAAGUCCUGACCUAGAGAUUGAGCCCUUGGCCCUUGCGGAUGGCGCUUGAGGUGGCUAAGAUGAGGUACCAGGAGGAGCAAACUGGGAUGGCCUUCGAGACAAAGACAGUCUAUGAGAUGCUGGAGUGUGUCAAGUCUGAGUGCAUGCGCCAAGUGUGUGAUAUCGAGCUCAAGCUGAAGAGCAAGACUAAUGAGCUCAUGGCAGCGUAGGCAGCCCUAACAGGCAAGGCGCAAGAGGACCUUCACAGGUCACACGGGCUGAGCGAAAUGCAGCCGGAGCUGGAGGCGAAGCUGAUGAAGUCGAUCACCGACAUCGCAGAGCUCAAGGCGAAUCUGAUGGACAAGGAAAACACGUUGCAGAGCCUGUCGGAGGAGAACGAGACCCUCAAGUCGGAGGCUGGAAGGAAGGAGGCCGGCGUGCAGCAGCUGGAGCAGGACGUGCGGAUGCGGCUCGGGUACGUGACAGAGGAGGCCAACAAGAGGAACCGGCGCGCAGCCUGGGCCUUGGAGCAGGUGGACGCGGCCCAGGCAGCGAGCGCUGAGGCGGACGCGGAGCUGCGCUGGUUGCGUGUGCGGUCCGACCAGUGGCGCAAGGCCGCGGAGGCCACCGCCGCCCUUACUGGCGGCGGCAACAAUGGUGGCCUGAUGGUGGAGAGGACCGAGUCGCUGGACACGGAGUACAAUGGGUCGAUAGGCGGAAAGCUAAUGGGGUAUGUACUAACAAAUAAGUAUUUUCGGGCGGAGGGAGUCUGUACUAACAAAUAAGUUCAUGAAAAUGUUAAUCCGGACUGAAACUAUUGCACCUUAAUUGGCAUGUAGGUCAAACCUGGCUUGUCUUGUGUAUGAAGGUUUUCUUACCUUGUUUGAUUGUUGGAGUCCUAUCUUAUGUACGAGUACUGAAUGGCCUUGCCUAGAGUCUGAGAGAUAGUCAAACUCUGAAUUUCCCUCUUGGUGGUAUCUUUUGUUUUCGUCCAGUACUAAUGAUAUGAAAUUUGUGAGAGCUGUAAAACAUCACGUUAGGUGUCCUUCCUUGUUCAAAGUUAAUUGUCAUUUUGAUAAUACUUUAGAAGAAUAAUGCAUGAUUUCUUCAACUGAGGCAUGAGUAAUCAGACGCUACAAACAUGGACAUUACAGUUGCAAAGUUUUUAUAUACUAACUUAAUUUAUAGACACUCCUUUCAGAUAGCUGCCCCUGUCAAUGGUCCAUUAUAUUUACAUUAUGGCUGAUUUGUGUUCUUAUGUGGAUCAUGCGACGUUGUGAAAAUGAGGUUUAAUGUUGUAUUUUUUUAAUAGGAGUUGCCAUGACAAAUGAAGAUGAUAUGUGUCACAAGUGCACACUUGAAGUUUGCCAUCAUGUUCUAACUUCUAUGCCCGGUGGCUGUGGAGGAACAAGUGUGUCGUGACAGGGUGGUGUUGGCAAUUGAGGUAUGAACCUAGAAAUUAAUCUUGGAGAUUGAUUGCCUCAUAAUGCUAGAUUGUGCUUGGAGGGUUGAAAUCGUGGUGGUUGCUGAAAAGGAAUUAUAAAAGGAAACGACAUGCAUCUGACGUUUGACACGUUUCUAAAAUAGUAUCCUUUCUUUAUGCGCAUGUAGCAUGAUAACAAUUAUGAACUACCAGGUGACUACCCCAUUCAAUUUGGCCUAGGACCUCUAGAUAUGGUCAUCAAUUGGUCAGUAGAAUUUAUAUUAGUAUAACACUAGGGUAGAAGCUCUUUUCCUAUUUUUCAUGCAUGGAGAUAGAGAAGACCAUGAUAUGAUGCACAAGAUUUUGACUAUUUUAAAGAAUAUUUUCUCAUUCUAACAUGUAAAUUGCAUUCACGCAGUUGCUUUGCGUUUGAACUAGCUCGCGGGCUUUUGUUAUAUGUGCUGACCACAUGAAGUUCCAAGUUUUUUCCCACUCGAGGGGAAUAUUGGGCGCUCUCACUACAGAUUUCUUACAGAAUGGGUAUGUUCGGGACUGAACAAAGAUUCAAGCUAAGACAACUAUUAUGUUAUUUUAGUUGGGUUCAUUUAGCUUUUAAAAACUAUUCCUUUAAAUAUAUGUCACAUUNUGCCACCGAUAGAUCAUUUAUACCAGAUAUUUUGUUUACAAAUGACGUGUUUAUUUUUAAUUGUUUACUCCUUUUUUAUAAGACAUGAAAGGGGGAACAGGAUUAUGUAAUAUAAGGAUAUGUAUACUAAUUUUUUUUUAUGGAAGAUAACAAGGAAAUUUAUGACUUAUAAAAUUAUAUUUUUUAUGUUUUAUUAUGUCACAAUUUGAGUUUUAGACUUUUUGAUAGUUUUGACUAAGUAUAUAAUAAUCUAUACGUGUACUAGAAAUUAUAAAUGGUGGUCCGAGUGAGGUAUCAUUUUUUCUAAAUCUAGGCAACCAAAUUUGUUCAAUAUCAACUGCUUGAUUUCUUUAUAUCCUCUUCUUUCGCCCACUAUUGAAACAUACAUUGGUCGAGAUAACUUAGGGAAGAGGGAGUUGUUGAACCAUGUCUGUAGGCCGACAGCGACGACGAGCGUGGUGAUUGUGAUGGGGUGCAACGAGGACAUCCGCGCGUGCCAAUAGCUGCUUCACGUCCCACGAGUUCUUUUGUACCUAAGCGUACACAGACCAUGUGACGGAGAGAGGUCGGAUUUAGACGACUGGAGAUGCCGAUCGAGGUAGGUCGGGUGAGGCGCAAGAGAGUGGUAUACCAUGUCGUUAUGCCCUCGAUGGACUGUGCCAUGGAGAACGCGAGAACCCGCAUUCCCGGUGAGCCGAAUCGCCCACUCCCGCGGUGGCAGCACGGGGCAUGGCGUCGUAGUGGGGAUCACAAGGCAAGAUGAGAUGGACAUGAUCUCGGUCCUGUCGAUGCAGGCGAGGGCAACGGUUGGGUCGAGGGACUCCCAAUCUCGUCGAUGCGACAGAGGCCAUCGUCCAUGAGUAGCCUGGGCUUGAGCGCGAGGAGGCUGGCGAGCAUGAUAAAUGGCCGCUUGCGUGUACGUCACGGCGGGGAGGACCAAGGGGAGCUCUAGGAGUGGACGGCGGCCAGGAACACGAGGGAGAGCGGCUGCUUUGGGGUGGACAGCUGUCGCGAUUUUUUCAAGAGAUAGAUCGGAUUGGGAGGAGCGAGGGUGCGUGGUCAUUGCUUUUUGCAUGCCAAGAUGAUGUGCGGGUAGCCAGAUCGUGAGGGUGGAGGUCGACUGAACCAUCCCGUUUGUUCGCUGGGCUUUUUCUACGUGGAUCGAAUGAGGCGUGGGUAGCUAUCGCGUAGGAAGGGAGGUGAGGAUUGAUACAAAGGGUGAGCGGUAACCCAACGAGGUUAAACCAUCACGACGACUGCACAUCCCUCUUUUGGAAUUCCUUCUUUCUAUGUCUGCUGAAAAAUUAUUACCCUCGGUUCUUUACAUUAUUCGGUCUUGAACCAUUUUUGUAUGGUGCGUGUUUUGGCCGAAGUGAAGUUACGUUUUAAUGAAAUAUUUCUUUAACAUGAGCAAUGGUCCUUGCUUUUUAUGGCCUGUUGAUCUCUGUGCUCAUGAUACAAAUGUAAAUGAUUCUUUUGAUUGACAUAGGCCUAUUAAUCACAAACCAAACUGCAAACUCCAUUCAUGUACAAAUAUUACUUUCAUGAUUCAUAAAUCAUUUUUGUAAACUAUUAGUUUAUCAUGGUCAAAAAAUAGGGUGUAUCGUCAUGAUUUCGGUGUACUGUUUUAAAAUUGUCGCAAAAUGCAAGAGCUAGGGGGACAAGUACUCACACUCUCAGCUUCUCUACAAAUGUAAGUCUGUUGGAAAGACAAAGACAUGUGAUAUUAAGUUGGAAAGACAAAGACAUGCGGGUUUUUCAUGUGUACUUUCCAUUUAUGGCAUGAAUAACAUUAUGAAUAACUAUGUAUUGUACACAUGAGUCAAGCUUUUCGUAAUAUGCUUUUCUCUCACAUGAAGAGAAAACUUGUGAAAGUGCGUUAUAUCGACUAGAGGGGGGUGUAUAGGAGAUUUUUAGAAUUUCAUCAUUGAGGAAAUUCCUUUUGAGGAAAUUCCUCACUGAUGACUAACUUACAGCGGAAACAGUAAAGGAUCAGAAGUGCAAAGUUUCACAACAGCAGUUUUUUAGAGUGAAGAAUGUGAAAACAGAUUGCACUGUGAGCAGGCAUGCACAAUACAGAUGAGGAUUAAUUGACGUGAAGAAUUUGGGGUUGAGGAAAUUCAGAGAAAUUCUUCAGCAAAUUCUUCAAACAGUCUCACUGAAAGUCAUCAACACAUAACACGAGGAAAGUAAGGAGUUGAGGAAUUAGAACCCGUUUCUCAGUGAAGACAGUCGUUGAUGACCCAGUUCCAACUGCUGUGACAGUCGUACAUCUGUUUGGAGCGGCUUGGUAUUGAAACCAAAGGACACACAGUCCCGGGACACACAGUCUCUACCGUAUUCUCCUUGAGCUAAGGACAGACAGUCCUCGCCCAACAAUCGUGGUAAGUCUUCAGGGCAGACUUCCAAACCCUCACAGACUUGGUCACCCGGCGAUCCACAAUUGACUGCUGGAAAGCUCUAGACCAUGACGCCUAACCGUCUGGAGGAUGCACAGUCCUCAAAGGUAAAAGGCUUCAGUCCCACACAGGAACAACUUCUUCAGUGAUGCUCAAUCACCAGGUUUGGUUUGUGGUUUCGGUGUAUGGGGUAUUUCCUCACUGAUGAAUUACUCUUUAAGAAUCUGAGGAAUUGGGUUGCUCUUAUGACAAGUGUCAGUUUCUAACGGAGCAGCCAACCAGCUAGUGGUUGUGGGGGGUGGCUAUCUAUAGCCUGGGAGCAUCCCGACAUGAUCUGACACUAAUGCCCUUAAAUAAUAUGACCGUUGGAGUGGAUAAGACCAAUGACUUGGCGUGGCUAUCGGAACGGUCGGAACCCUCAACUGGGAGAGUCCUCAUGUCAUUCGUAUUCCUCACUUGAGGCUUUUUGGUAGGAUUAGGCUUGAGAUGAGCAUCAUGAGGAAAUUCAUUCCAAAGUGUAACUUGGACCCCCUUUAACAGUACGAUGUUCCUAUUACUCAAAUGCGAAGAAAAUAAAACAGAAAGUGUAAAUCUUCAUGCUUCAAAUUCUUUAGAGUGAUUUUCUUCAGGACACACCGGACUUCUCAAUAUCAGUAUCUUCAUGAGGAAUAUCAAUUUCAUCGCAGAUUCUUCGCGAUUCAUUUCUUCAGCUUCAGACCAAUUUCUUCAACUGAAGACAUACAUUUUUAGGGGUCGAUAUUCUUCAAAUAUAUCAAACUCCUCAAUGACUUAUAGAUCAUGUGUACACUCACAAACACAUUAGAUACUUAACCUAUAAGUCUUCAAACCACCAAAAUCACUAAGGGGCACUAGAUGCACUUACAAUCUCCCCCUUUUUGGUGGUUGAUGACAAUUAGGUUAAGUGUUCAACAGGGAUCAAAAAUAUGAAGUGUAAAUACUCAUUUGCGGAAUUUGAAAUCAAGAUUCAGAGAGACUCCCCCUGAAGAUGUGCAUAUCUUGAGGAUUUUGCUUUUCACAGCAAAUGCACAUUGAUGAUUUAUAUCAUGGAGAUCUCCCCCUGAGUCUUGUAAAUCAUGCAUACAUAUAACAUAUCAUAUGAAGAAAAUGAAAAUGCAUGAUGACAGAUGGUAUCUGACGAAUUCCAGCAUGCAUGCAUUAAAACUUGAGGAAUAAGCAUGCGAAGAAAAACGUUCAAAAGCGUCAGAGUACCAUCGGGCUUAAGUUACAACUCAUUACAUAAAAACCUCAGAAGAGCCAAGAGUUUGUAACUUAAACAUAGUUCAUAAGCCCCAAAAAUAUCCCGCUUGAAGACUAACUCUCAAGUUUCUCCCCCUUUGUCAUCAAGUGACAAAAAGGGACAAACUGAGGACUAACGUCCGUGAAGAUUUCACUUUGUGGCAGUUGAGGAAGAGCAGUGAUGCUCCUUGGGAGUAGUCUUCUUCCUUGGACCGGUAGCAGUGUCGAGCUGUUCUUCAUCAGUUUCAGCAGUGCGGAAUGAAGAAAAGGAGUUGUCUUCAAGGUCUGGCACUGGAAUAGGUCUGAACUUCUUCUUGGGAGGCCACGACCAUUCAAAGUCUCGCUCAAAGUCCAUUUCUUCAAGCUCAGUCUGAGUCUUCAGAUGUGCAAGUGUAGCCUAUGUGCGAUAAAAAACCUCAUGCAGAUAGUGAUGGUUGAGCUUCACAGAGUUCUGUGUUUCAGUGAGGGUUUUCACAAUGGCGCCAAACUAGCGUUUGACCCAUUUGUGAUUGCGAUCCACCUUCUGGUGAAGACUAAGGAGGAGCUCUCUUGUAUUCAUCACGCGAGGAGGAACGGGGCUUGCCGGACAAGUCUCAGUAUCAUCCCAUGAAGAAUAAGCUUCUGGCUCUCUGAACUGGCCAUCAAGGGGCCUACUGCCUUCUUCAAUCACAGAUUUGCCUUUUCCUUCAAUGGACUCGAAAGUCUUCUUGUUGACCCAGAUAGGAGGCAUAUAACCAACAUGGUUUUGGAGAUCAGCGUGGAAGUUGAUGCCUGUCCUUGUCCUGAUGAAUCUCAUGAUCCAUGGGGCAUAUAUCUUGUGAUCAAAAGGACACAUAGCAUUGUCUGCCAAAGUCCUCAAGAAGAAAUUAUGGAUGUUGAUAGGAAUACCAUGGAUAAUGUUGAAGAGGAUAUUCUUCAUGAGGCCUACGACAUCUUCUUCAUCAUCAUGGCCUUUGAUCGGCGCGAGCACACUGCAGAGGAUUCUGUAAACAGAUCUGGGUGUGUACUUGAGAUCAUGGACGAGGAAGGUUGUUCUCGAAGGUUUUCCUUCAGCCAAAGGUUUCAUGAGGACUUCCAUCAUCCCAUUGGGUAGCUCACGCUCACCAUAAAGCUUCACAGCCUCAUCUGAGGGAAUUGGUAUAGGCAGUUCUCAGAGGAGUUCAGUAGCAGGAGCGUUGUAGUGAGUGUUUUGUGACAUCCAAUCAAACACCCAAGUGUUAAUGUCUUUAGGGUUGCCAGAUAUGUGAAGAGUGGCAUAGAACUAAAGAAUUAGCUCACUGUUCCAGUCAGAGAUGUCGGAGCACAUUGGGAGUAAACCAGCAUCAUGUAAUACACUGAGGACUGGCUCCAGGCACGGUAUUGCGUCAAGUUCAACAUGAGGAUUAUGCCUGUGCUGGAAUAUCUUGUUUCGUCCACAUAGCAUAGAGGCAUAGUAAUUCAUCUGAGUCCUAGUCCAAAACUUCAGAUGCCUCAUUUGAGGCUUGUCAUAGGGGUUCUCUCCAAUGAAGUACAUGCGUUCUUCAAAGAAAUUUUCCUUUUGAAACUUAGGACGCUUGGAGAAUGGCUGACGCUGAACUAGCUUAAGGUUUUGCUGAGGAACAGGAGGGGAGACAACAAUGGCAGUCUCUGGGUUGAGGACAACGAAUGCAUUGUCUUAGUCUGGUGCAUUUUCUUCAGCAUUUUCCUCAGGGUGAGGAAUUUCAGCAGCUGGUACUUCAGGCUGAGGAGAUGGUGCUGGCUGGGCAUCAGGAUGAGGGGCUUGCUCUGGCUGUGCAUCAGGCUGAGGAAUAGCUUCUUCUUGCUCAGUUGGAGGAGUUGGGUCAGCCUGUUCCUCAUCUUGAGGAUUUUGCUCAGAGCGUUGAACUUCAUCAGCAUGAGGAUUUUCAGUUUGUUCUUCCUCAGCUGGCUUGGUGGCAGAUGCAAUUUCAUCAGCUGGUGCAGCUGAUGCUUGAACAAUGUCUUUCUGAGGAAUGAAAGGCUGAGGACUGUCGUCUAUAUGAAUCUCCUUGUCAGUGUGUUCCUGAGAGGCGGUAUCCUUCAUUUCCUCAUCCACCCUUUUCGCUGGAUCAUCAAUGAUGUCCAUUUCAUAGGAAGGAGCGACAUUCAGGGGCACAUGGUCCAGAGGAGCAGUUUCUUCAAGUGCUUUGAGGCGCUUGGCCUCUGUUUCUUGUUCUGCUGAGGAGGCCUUUCUCUUUUUGGCUUCCUUCUCCGCAACCCUGGUUUUCUUCACGUUGAUGCAGACGGAGUCAUCUUCUUCACCGUUGAAGCUUUUGGUGAAGGGGUUCUCUUGACAGAUUCUUCAGCUGGUAUUGAGGAACCAGCUGGAUCAGAGUCAUCAGCUUGCUUUAGUGAAGCAGCUGGGUCAGGGGCAGUCUCAUCAGCUGCAGCAAAUUCAUCAGUAGGAGUUUCCAUGAUGAUUUCUUCAAUAGCCGGUUCAUCCACACGGCGUUCUUGGUGUACUUCCUUAGCUUGAGGAGUUUCCUCGUCAUGAGGAGAUUCAUCUGCUGGCUCCUCAAUUAGGGGCUGAGAAGUUGGUGAUGGGGGUGCAACCUUCUUAUUGUAAUCAUCAACAACACUAGUGGCCAGCUUGAUGAAAUUGCUUUUGAGACUCUUACGAUCUGACAGCUUGUAGUACUUGUCAGUCAAUUUCUUCAGCUCUGCUUGUGUUGAUACCAGUGCAUCAGGAGUCAAUUUGUGGAGAUUAUGCUUGAGGAAUUUCUCCUUUUUAAGCUUUGCAACUUUGGCCUGCUUGGCCUGCUGUUCUUUCCACUUGGCUUCAUUUAUGAAAGUGGUCACCAUGUGGCUGAUGCCAGGGGGAAGUUUCAAAUCAUCAAGCGGAGUGUUUGGGUCCUCAUACCAUAUGUUGAUGUAGUCAAGGAGGACCUUGGGGUCCAUUGCCAGAGGAAUGGCACUGCCUGAUGCUUGAUCUACUCUUUCCUGCUUGUUCCUGAUGAUGGCUUGAAGUGUUUGAUCAUCAAAUUCAUCACUGCCCUCUGAUGCAGACGGGACGGUGAUAAUUUUGCUGGGGCUUGGCAGAGUUGCACGUUCAACAGAUACCUGAGUCUUCGCAGAAGAUGUUGAAGACUUUGUCUCCGAGCUGGUUGCAGCUGGGAGUGAGGAGCUGGAGCUGGCGGUCAUAGGCUUCAUGACUUGCUUCUGUACUGGUUUCUCUUGAGGCUUUGGUGGUGGUGCUGAGGAUUUUGGAGCUGAGGAGAUUGGUACUAAGGGCUUUGGCGCUCAUGGUUCUGGUGUUGAAGGUUCUGGUGCUGAGGGUUUUGUGACUGAAGCCUGAGCAGACUUCUCUUGAGGCUUUGGAGCCUUUGGUUUUGAUGGUACAGACUGCAUUUAAGGAAUUUCUGAGCCAGAGGUCUCAGCGGUAGAGGAAGUAGCAGCAGCUGAGGAUUCAUUGAAUUUCCUCAAUGCAGUUUCUGCCUGCUUCUUGAGCUUAGCCAGAUGCUUUUCCUUCUCAUCUGGAUAGUCAUCAAUGGUCAUCAGGCUUGAGGGAUGUGCUACUUGAUGAUCCUCAAGUGGGGACCGUCUGCCAGGGGGCUUCAAAGCGAAUUUCUUCGCAUACUUGGGAGUCACAAACCUGUAUUCCUUCCAUUCCUUCGCCCAUCGGCGUUCUAUCUUCUGCAGCCGUAUCUUUCUCUUUGCCAUUGUCUCAUUUUCAUCAGGCGUGCAAUACUCCAAGUAGAUAUCCUCAGGGAUAUCCACAGAUGUGUUUUGCUCAAGUUUCUUUCCUCCCUUCUGUUUUCUAUCAUCCUCCAUUUUUUCAGCUGAGGAUUUUGCUGAUGAGAUUGAACUCUUGAGGAUUCUGAUGAGACUUGAAGAUUUUCUUCAAGAAACGCUGCAAAUAAGUUAAUGUGAUGAGAACCAAGAGAUUCAUCAGCUGACAUGUGUGUACCUGUGAACAGAGUAUAGCUGCGAGGAAUUUGGAGAGGUCAUAUGCGUUCUCAAAUUUGAAGAAAAUGAAAAAGUUUGACAGUUUCACGAAUAUAACCAGUGGUUGAGGAAUUUGCCUAAGCAUACUGUUCUUGGGUUCCAGAGUUGUACAGAUCCUAAAAUUCGCACAAUUGAGGAAUCUCGUGAAAAUCUUAGAUGCUUAGCAUAAUUCAUCAAUGAUGUGGUGAUAGGAAGUGUUUGAGGAAUCAAGUGCUUAUCGAUUCUUGAGGUAAAACAGAUUUCACAUAGAAGAUGUAAAAUUUUAGAUCUAACUUGCGGUAAAAAUGGGAUUUAUUUACCCUGGAAGGUGCGCACGAAGAACACAGAAAGGUGUGUGUGGAGAAGCUCUUCGGUCGCGUGACCAAUGCACCCUAACCCGGCGACAAAUGACGUCUACGGCGGCGGCGGACAAAGAUGGUCUGACUCCGGCGUGAUUCUGGCGACGGAGAAGUUGAGGUAGUGAACCUCACCGGCGACGAGACUACGUACCAGCGAUGGCGCUAGGGUUCGGUGGUGUUUGCUGUGACAGAAGAACGAUGGAGCGAAGAAGAGUAUGCCGACACUACGGGAAUCAGGUAAUUUGCCGUCUGUUAAGAUCUUUGCCGUCAGCUUUUCUUCGUGGAUGACGGCAAAGAGCACUUUUGCCGUCAGUUGCCGUCAGCUGCUGACGGCAAAGAAUGACUGCCGGCGUAAACAUAUUUUGCCGUCUAUAAUAAAAAUUGCAGACGGCAAAAUUAUUUUGCCGUCUAUAAAAAUAAGCGGAUGAUGACAAAGAUAUAAUUUGCCGCCUGUAAUAGAAAGUGAUGACGGCAAAGAAGAAGCACAGCACACGGAUCGAUCACGCGGAUCGAUGAUGUGGCAAGAUCUGAGACUCACGAACCUACCCCAUCCCACCACGCACGAACGUGGGUGAAAAAAUAUUUUGCCGUCUGUAAAAAUAACUGGAUGACGACAAAGACGUAUUUUGCCGUCUGUAAACUAGAUGACGGCAAAAUUAUUUUGCCAUCUUUGAAAGUAACUAGAUGACGACAAAAUAAGAAGCAAUUUGCCGACUGUAAUAGAAACUCAUGACGGCAAAGAAGAAGCACAACACAUGGAUUGAUCACACGGAUCAAUGACGUGGAAAGAUCUGAGACACACGAGCCCACCCCAUCACACCACGCACGGACGUGGGUGAAAAAAUAUUUUGUCGUCUGUAAAAAAACCGGAUGACGGCAACGACUUAAUUUGUCGUCUUGAAAAAUAACCGGAUGACGGCAAAGAGAAAGCACACCACGCGGAUCGAUCCCAUGGAUCGAUGACGUGGCGGCCCAUCCCACCGUCGCUGCCUCUCCCACCCAGGAUCCACCGCAUCCACUCAACUCGGCUGGCCCACCACUCACCUCCACCCGACCUUAUCCUCUCACCACCUCUCUUCUCUCUCGUACCCAGACUCCUCCCCCGUCGCGACCACCACCUCUCUUCUCUGUCGUACCCAGACUCCUCCCCCGUCGCGACCACCACUCUCGGCCCCGACUCCUCUCUCGUCCCGACCACCACCCCCUCCUCCAAUGCACCACCGGCCACCCUCCCGAUCAGGUCGCCGGCGGCAAAGCCCCUACCCUCCAGCGCCCACCACCACUCAGCCCUUCCUCCGAUGCCCAACCACCCCCUCUCUCCGGCGUCUCACCGCCCACCCCUACCUCCCGCGCCCCAGCACCCAUCCUCUGGAUCAGGUCGCCGGCGGCAACGCCCCCACCCCCCGCGCCCACCACCACCCACCCUCUGGAUUAGGUCGCCGGCGGCGAGGCCCCCACCCCCCGCGGCCACCACGUCAGAUCCAGCGACCCUGCAGCUCCCCGACGCCACCGCAGUUGGCCUCAGCAGCUCCCCGACGCCACCGGAUCUGGCGACCUCAGCAGCUCCCCGACGCCACCGCAGCUCGCCUCUCACGCGACCCCGCCUCCUUCCAGUGCCUCCACCAGGUCGGCCUCCGGGUGGCCAGCCCCGGAUCCGGUGAGAUCCGUGAGGCGCGGCUGCGGGAGUUAGAUGGGGUGCCCGAGGAGCUACUCUUCGCCUGCUGGCCCUGCACACGCCGCCUGGUGGCCCCACACCCGCCGCCUGGUGGCCUUGUUCGAGAUGUGCCGCGUCCAUGCAGUGGAGAAGAAGCCAAGGGACCUGAUUGCUUUUUAUCUUUAGUUCCAGGGUGCUUUAUGUAAUACGCGAGGACUGCUUUAGGAGUUGUUCUUAUGUCAGGGUUCUUUGUGUAAAUUUAUAUCCACUUGUUGGCUGAUGUAGUUAUGCCCUUUUCUGCCAUUUUGGUUCAUUGAGUGACGAUGGACUAUGUAUGUUUUAUAAAAUCCGCUCGUAAUAGAUUCUAUCUAUGCCUUUGACCAGAUUUGCAGCUGAUUGUUAUUUAUAUUUUUUUUAAAAGAAAAUUCCGUUGCCGUUUGGUAUUGAUAACAACUGACGGCAAACCCGUAAUCUUUGCCGUCUUGCAUUCCGGUCGGAUGACGGCAAAGAGUUAACGUCGUCCGGGUGGUUCUGUUAGGUUUUUUGCCAUCUGCCUCAUAAUAGAUGACGGCAAACCGUUUUCACUAACGGCAAAUUUUUUGCCGUCUGCCCGAAAAAAUGCUGACGGCAAAAUUACCCUUUGCGGGCACAUGGUCUGACGACAUUUUUUGCCGUCAUGGGCUGACGGCAAAAAUUUUGCCGUCUGUAAUUCUCUCUUUGCCGUCUUUAGCGUCCUGAAGGCAAAAUGCCUGAUUCCUGUAGUGCGAGGGGGAUAAGGACAUAUUUAUAGCCAAAAGUUACUGUUGGCGCGAAAAGUUUGGACCAAACAGCCCGUGCCUCUACGUCUCCGCAGGACACGUGUAGCUCCCGAACAGUGCGGUGGAGAUAGUGGAGAUCGUGGUUAUCCAAUCGUGGGAAGUGGGGUUCAGUUACUGUGUAUUAAAGAAACAAUUUUUUAAGAUUUGAGGAUUUUCGUUACAAAAUCAUCAGCUGACAAGGGCGCAGUGAGGAUUUUGAACAAAGUUUCAAGUAGAACGCAUAUGAAGAAUUGAAUAGACUGGAUGAGUAUAGCAUAGAGGGAAAGUAGGGUCCGAUCACAUUCACUUAGCAGAAAUGUCAACUUGAAGAAUUAGCUAUAAGUGAAUGUUGUUGAGGACUUGAAAUCACAUUCUAUCUAGUCAAAUGAAAGUCAUCAAGUGUUUUUUGAAGAUUUUGUGAUAAAUCGUCACAAUGAAGAACAGUUGUUUUGAAGAAAAACACAUUUUGAGGAAAUAGAACAUUUGAAGAAAAUCAACUUGUGGAAUUUCACAUUGGGCGGUGGCGUGACCCACCAUAUAAGAAUGUUGAUUACAGACGCCGCGUACAAUUGUCGUAGGGCCCUGAGAAUCAAUUUCUUCAUUGAUUUCUUCACACUCAGAGUGACAUUCUUCAUUAGUUGAAGAAAAUCGAUUCAUCAUGUGUUGCACAUCUAAGUCAUCAGUUUUGCAUAAGUGUUAGGAUGUGUGCAUGUUUUCACAAAACAUUUGAGGAUUCUAAGAUAUUUAGCUCACACCGCAACUUGCAAAACCUUUUCUCAUCCAAGGGCUUAGUGAAGAUAUCUGCCAGUUGAUCAUCAGUCUUCACAUGGUCGAUGAGGAUAUUGCCCUUGAGGACAUGGUCCCGAAGAAAAUGAUGAUGAAUCUGGAUGUGCUUGGUCUUCGAGUGUUGUACUGGGUUGUAUGAAAUCUUGAUAGCACUCUCAUUGUCGCAGUAGAGAGGCACAUUCUUCAUGUUGAUGCCAUAGUCCUUGAGGGUUUACUUCAUCCAUAGUAAUUGAGCACAGCAAGAACCAGCAGCAAUGUACUCAGCUUCGACAGUGGAGAGUGAUACGCAGUUCUGCUUCUUUGAGGACCAGCAAACUAGUGAUCUUCCGAGGAAAUGGCAUGUGCCAGAAGUUGACUUGCGAUCCACAUGGUCACCAGCAUAGUCAGAAUCAGAAUACCCUACCAGAUGAAGAUUUGAGCCCUUGGGAUACCAUAAUCCUAGUGUUGGUGUGUGAGCUAAGUAUCGAAGAAUAUGUUUCACAACCUUAUGGUGUGGUUCCUUUGGUUUUGCUUGAAAACGUGCACACAUGCAAACACUAAGCAUUAUAUCUGGCCUAGAUGCACAUAGAUACAAUAGAGAUCCAAUCAUAGAACGAUAUACCCGCUGAUCGAAAUCUUUACAAUUUUCAUCAGUGCCGAGGUGGCCAUUGGUAGGCAUUGGAGUCUUGGCACCUUUGCAUUCAUGCAUGUUGAAUUUCCUUAGAACAUCCUUGAGGUAUUUCUCCUGUGAUAUGAAGAUUCCAUUGCUUUGUUGACGAAUUUGAAGACCUAAGAAGAAUUUUAGCUCCCCCAUCAUGGACAUCUGAUAUUCUUCACUUAUCAUGUAGGCAAAUUCAUCACUGUAUAUAUCGUUUCUCAGUACAUCCAAAUAUGAUACCAUCAACAUAUAUUUGACACACAAAUAGCUCAUUAUCAUAGGAUUUAUUGAAAAGAGUUGGAUCGAGUGAACCAGGUUUGAAGCCUUCUUUCAUGAGGAAUUCCUUCAAUGUAUCAUACCAUGCUCGAGGGGCUUGCUUGAGACCAUAAAGAGCCCUUUUCAGUCUGAAGACUUUGUCUGGAUUCUUUGGAUCCUCAAAACCUGGGGCCUGAGCAACAUAUACUUCUUCCUCAAGCUUACCAUUGAGGAAUGCACUUUUCACAUCCAUUUGAUAUAAGAUGAUGUUAUGAUGAUUAGCAUAAGCAAGUAGUAUUCAAAUAGCUUCAAGUCUAGCAACAGGUGCAAAAGUUUCAUCAAAAUCUAUUCCUUCAACCUCGGUGUAGCCUUGGGCUACAAGUCGUGCCUUGUUCCUGACCACUUGACCGUCCUCAUCUUGCUUGUUUCGGAAAAUCCACUUGGUGCCGAUGAUGUUGUGCUUGCGAGGAUCUGGUCGUUUGAUGAGCUCCCAUACGUCAUUCAGCUUGAAUUGAAGAAGUUCGUCUUGCAUAGCUUGGAUCCACUCCGGUUCCAGAAAAGCCUCAACAACUUUUGAGGGUUCUGUGAUGGAUACAAAGGAAAAAUGCCCACAAAAGUUAACUAAGUGUGAAGCUUUUGAGAGGACCUGGCGCGUUGAUGUCGUUGAGGAUUUUGUCAAGUUCUACUUCAUUUGCAAUCCUCAGAUGAGCUUGUUGAGGAUUUUGUCUGGGCUGAGGAAGUGGUUCUGGUGCAAUUUCCUCAGGAGCAUCUUCUUGAUUUUCAUCCGUGAUGGGAAUCGUUUCUUCACCAAUUUCCUCAGUGGGGACAAUGUCUUCAGUAGGCUUGAGCUUUCACUACAAGAAAUAAGGUCAAUUAUGACUCCCUAUAUUGGUCACUGAUUCGUCAUUGUCGUUGUUUAUUGACCUUUUUUGACCAAAUUUACAACGUCAACAGUUGGCCGUCAAGAAUGAACAAACAUGACCUUUCUAAAAUUUUGGUCGCAGGCCUCUAUCGACCAAAAUUUUGGUUUGAUCAUUACUCAUUUGUGUGAGCCACGUAGGAUCUGACGUGGCCAAGCUGACGUGGCAUUGCUAGUGACCAAAUAAAACCAUCAUAAAUUUCAGAUCCCUGUCCACCAAUCCAGCUACAUGGGCCUGACCCAAUACAUAUUUUACUAUUAAAAAUGUCUGAUUUGUUUGGGUUGAAGAAAAAAAAUUUGCCAGAAGCACGCAUAUCUCAAGAUAGGCCCAUUAAAAUAAGUACAACAGAAUAAAAGAUUGCAAAUAAAAUGUAUAUUUUAUUUCAGUAGCAUAUCACAUCAAAUACAAUACAUCAUCCACCGACUUCACGCAUUAAGGUUCAACGCCUAAUAAGGGCACAUCAAAAUAACUUACAUGUGCACAACAGAAUACUUCUCCAAGUGCAAGUAAACAGAAAAAGUUUCCAACAAAUUCACAAUCGAACAUAAAGAGAGUUCCACAAAGAUUGGAUGAGAACCACAAGUUUCUUCUCAUCCUCUUCCUCUGCACAAUAUGCUCUUGCCAUUCCCGUCUGCAAGAAAAAAAUGAUGGUAAGGCUGCAUAUACUUUGUAUACUUCGGACUAGAGUAUAUAGAUUCUAGUAUAUAUGUUGCAAAAUAGUUAUUACUGUUGUACGUGUGUAUAUAUAUCGAUGGUGUGACGCUACUUGUUUUCACUAUAGUAUAGCUACGUGGACACAUGUAGUAUAUGUUCGUAUACCUGAUACUAUAUUGACAACAAACCGAACCGACUACCGGACACAAAAUACUGGCAUACAUGGACAUAGUAAAUGGACUAUAAAAAAGAGAUUCAGAUAACAGCAAAUUGUGAAAAAGUAUCUUUAAUAGUGCCGUAAAUAAACUUAAAACAGCGAUCAACAGUAGCACGUAAACUAGAAGACAAAGAGAGAAAAGGGAAAAAAUAACCUACUUACAUGGAUAGAGAAAAUGGACUUCAAACAACAAGUAAAUGAGAAAACGUCAAAUAUUAUUGGAAAAUAAACUUGCUAAUGUGAUGAAUAAUAGCUGGAAUUAAAAUAGAAAACCCCUACAUACAUAGACACAAAGAGUUGAGGGGAAACUAGAUGACAGACUAAAACCAAGAGAGAAUAGGGAAUUGCAUUAUGUACACACAGAGACGGAAAAUAUCGGAACACAAAGAAAAAAUACACCUACCUAGAAUAAAGAAAGGAAAGGACUGAAGACUGUAAAACAUAUACAUGUACACUUUGUAUACUACUGUAAGCCUAUGUAUUACUUGUUGUUUCUAAAAAGGAAUGGACUGAAGACUGUAAAGGAACAUAUUUUUUUUCUUUCUAAAAGGACAUAAAUUAACGUGGAAAAUAGGGUAUGGAUCAUCUUCAGCAAAGUCACUAGGCAAAAAUUGCCUCCAGAAUCAUCAAUGUCAAAAGAACAUUGUAUGCGAAUAUUCGGCUACGCAUGAACCAGUCAACAAAAACAGAGUCACAUUGCAAAUUCAACUACAGUAAAAAGCUUACUUGCCUGAACAUACGGGAACACAAUUACAGGGAGGGUCUCAAGAAAGCAUCCAACUUGUCAUGCAACACAUUUGCAUCUCCCAGCCGUUCUUGUUACUCCAAUUCCUCCCCUGCAACCCGUGGCCACUGGACACACUCGAACCAGAGGUGUUCGAUGUUCCAUCCAGCCUAUGCACGGCAGUAAUUAGUAAGGCGAAAGGUAUGACUUAAAACCUAAUCCUCACGUAGCAAAAUAAAAUGGUAAAAAUAUGAACUUCAGGAAACCAACAAAGCAAGCAGGCAAAAAUUAUUGCAGCUAGCUCAUACAUCUUCCUUUUUCUAACCACACAUAAACCAAACCAAUGUAUCAUGUUGUGGGGGAACGCGCUGGCGGCGGCUGAUCCUCAUGAUAAACUUUGAAGGUAUCAUGUUUUUCUGACCUGAGAAGCCCUUCAGGAUCACAUGGGGCCUGGCAUCAUGAGGGGGCAUCACGAGGGAGUGGCCCAUUUUGUGGUGAAUCAAUGCAGCAUUACUGUCACAAGAGAGAGGAGUUAAUCAAUGCAGCAUUUUGUGGUGAAUCAAUGCAGCAUUACUGUCACAACAAAGGUGACGAAUGAGCAUUAUGCAAGCUCUUGAUUUUAUUAGAACCUGGGAUCGUGCAUAAACCGGUCGACCGUAGAGAUCCUGGAUGCCUAAGAUUUUGCGGUCAAUCAUGCCAACUGCAUUGCAGCCUGGCCAGAGUCACCUCGUACACCGCAUUUGAUCUGAUGUAAGUUACGAUUUUGAAGCUCAUCAGUUCUACUGUCAUCUAUAAUAUUGCUAGAUAUAUUCUUAGCGUGAAAAAUAAAUGUGAAAGUGGAACUUACAGUGAACGUUUUCUUUGUGGAACCAGGACCUGAUAUCUGAUACUCCCAGUUGGGAACGUAGGUACCAUACAAGAGGGCCAUGUAGGCGAUUGUGAUGAGCAAGCCUGCGAGUCUAGAAGAACAAUACCGAAUGGUAAUUUCAGAAACACAACUUGCUCAUACUAAGUCCUUUAAAUAUGUCAUCUGGAUCAGUGAUUUUUAUUUNNNNNNNNNNNNNNNNNNNNNNNNNNNNNNNNNNNNNNNNNNNNNNNNNNNNNNNNNNNNNNNNNNNNNNNNNNNNNNNNNNNNNNNNNNNNNNNNNNNNNNNNNNNNNNNNNNNNNNNNNNNNNNNNNNNNNNNNNNNNNNNNNNNNNNNNNNNNNNNNNNNNNNNNNNNNNNNNNNNNNNNNNNNNNNNNNNNNNNNUAUUUGGUUCUUAAAGGUUUGAACUCACAGUUGAUAUCUGUAUCUCUUGAUCAAAUCAAGUCCAAAAUCUACAUCAUCUUCUCCCUUGAGCCAAAUCUGACACAGUGCUCUGACAAGAUAAGCUAUUGUGAUUCUCUGCAACCAAGUAGGCACCACAAAUCAUAAGUCAUCCCACAUUUAGUUGAACUAUUGAUGCAGAAUAAUGUAUUGCAUAUGCCGCUUACCUGCAGUAUACCCAUCAAACGUAUUUGUGCAAUAUCAACCCCAAAAGUAAGGCUACGAACUCCUUGAAAAAAUCCACCUGUGCAACACAGCAGAACAAGAAACUAAACAUGAAACAUUAUGUCGAAUCGAAUGUACCGUCAUCCUGUUCAGGAACAAUCCUAAUUAAUACCUUGUAGAACAAAACCAACACAGAAUAGCUUCAGUGCACGAAGUGUUGCCUUUCGAGUCGCAUCCAAUUUGUCUGGCACUCUCUGCAUGCAUCACGAGAUGACGCAGUUAGGUGUAAGCAAUAGCAAGUCAUGAAUGUCACACCAGUGUUAGCUCGACAGAACGAAAGUAAAUGUCAUGGUCGUGUUGUUGUCAGUGUGUACCUUGUACGCUAGAGCUAGAGCGACCCCAACAAUGAAAAGGAAAAAAGGCAUGACGAAAUGAGCUAUGGUUACACCUUCCCAAGGGGAGUGGUUCAUCGCCGGGAGAAAUGAUCCAGUGUCGUCCGCGAUGAACAUAAGCUGCAGCAAUGAAAACAACGGUUAACUUUUAUUUCACCCAUUUUGUUAACACAGAUGGAAGAACAACAGAUUAGAAGGGCGCAGAAUGAUUUAUGUAAAGUAUAUAGAGUUGUACUGUGUAUUCCAUGGAGGAACAAGCUUUGUUCUACCAUUUCCUAGGGGACUAGUUAGAAGUUUCCACCGUCUAAGCCAAUCAUCUGCAAAUAUACUGGAGACCUUUCUAUAUUAAACAACCAUCCCACUUGUUACAUACCUGAUGGCACGAGGGUGAGAGCCGUAGCGAGCACCACCUUCACACGGCUUGAACCUGCACAUCGGGGCGCUCACGCCACCAUGGAUGUGGAUCUGAACCGGCUGCUCGAUCUUGGUCAAGGAGAGGUGAGGAGGCCACCGGUGGUGGGGAUAAGGCGAGGGGGAGAAGGGGUGGGGCACACGUUGUGGGGGAAGGCGGCGGCGGCGGCGGCUGAGGCUGUGGGGGAUGGCGCCGGUGAGUGAUGGCGGCGGCAGCAGGCGAGGGAGAGGGAGAUCGAGAGAGGGGAAUAGGGGAACGGGGGGCUAGGGAUGGUGCGUCGACGUGGGCAUUACGAGCAAGCCUAUCACAUGGGAGGCCACGGAUCCAUCCCUAGAAACAGAUCUGGCCAUCCACUCCUACUACAUCCAACGCUCCAAAAUCCUCCCCUCAUAGAACACACCUUUAUCACUUUUUUCUUCUUCCUUUUUUCGAUCGGUAGCACUUAAUGACCAAUUUGUGCAAUAGUAUCAUGACCUAAUGGACGUAAAAGGUCAUAACAUUAUGGGCUUUGGACCCUCUUAGACUUGCCAUGACUAAUUUCAGAAUUUUGGUCAUGGAUCAAUGACCAAUUAAACCACCGUCAUUUUUUGGGGUCAUAAUUGAGCAUUUUUCUUGUAGUGUUUAUUGCUUCCUCAAGAGACAACUUAUCUGGAUCAGAAGGCAAUUUCUCUCUUUGCGAGCCAUUAGUUUCAUCGAACCGCACAUCUACAGUCUCAACAACUCUGUUCUGAUAGUUCUUGAAGACUCUGUAAGUGUGCGAGUCCUUUCCAUAACCGAGCAUAAAACCUUCAUGUGCCUUAGGUGCAAAUUUUGAGCGAUGGUGAGGAUCUCUAAUCCAGCAUUUUGCACCGAAGACUUUGAAAUAACUUACAUUGGGUUUCUUGUCAGUGAGGAGUUCAUAUCAGGUUUUCUUGAGGAAUUUGUGAAGAUAUACCCUGUUGAUGAUAUGGCAUGCAGUGUUGAUUGCUUCAGGCCAAAAGCGACGAGGAGUCUGAUAUUCUUCAAGCAUAGUUCUUGCCAUUUCAACCAGAGUCCUGUUCUUCCUUUCGACGACACCAUUCUGCUGAGGAGUAUAAGGAGCAGAUAAUUCGUGAGUAAUAACAAGUUCAUCAAGAUAAUCAUCAAGACCUGUGUUUUUGAACUCGGUUCCAUUAUCACUCUUGAUAUGUUUGAUCUUGAUGCCAAAGUUCAUCGAGGCCCUUGAGGAAAUUCGUUUGAAGAUUUCCUGCACUUCAGUUUUAUACACUAUGAUAUGCACCCAAGUAUAUCUGGAAUAAUCAUCAACUAUGACGAAGCUAUAUAAAGAUGCUGCAUUGGUUAGUGUGGCAUAGUGAGUAGGUCCAAAUAGAUCCAUGUGAAGCAACUCGAAUGGACGUGUAGUGGUCAUGAUAGUCUUCGAGGGAUGCUUGGAUCUGGUCAUUUUCCCAGAUUCACAAGCACCGCAGAGAUGAUCCUUGAGGAAUUUGAUCGAUUCGAUGCCGAUGACAUGCUUCUUCUUCGCGAGCGUGUGCAAAUUCCUCAUGCCUGCAUGACCUAGUCUUCGGUGCCACAACCAUCCUUCUGAGGUUUUUGCUAAUAAGCAAGUGGCUGGUUGAGGACCUGUAGAGAAAUCAACAAUGUACAAAUCCCCUCUUCUUACACCUUCGAAGACUUUGGAUCUGUCAGAUUCCAUGAUGACUACACAUCUAUAUGUACCAAAGAUAACAAUCAUAUGAAGAUCACAAAGCAUCGAGACUGACAUGAGGUUAAAACCAAGGGAUUCAACAAGCAUCACUUUGUCCAUAUGCCUAUCCUUGGAAAUAGCCACUUUGCCAAGUCCCAAUACCUUGCCUUUACCUUUGUCAGCAUAUGUGAUUUGGUUCAGAGGUGAUGGAGUUAGUGGCAUAUUCAUCAGUAACCUUUUAUCACCAGUCAUGUGAUGUGUGCAGCCACUAUCAAGAACCCACUCAGUAUUCUUGGGUUUGUCAUCCUGCAGAUGAAUUAGUACAGCUUACCAUCUCAUAUGCUUCAGAUUUGAAGAAUAUGAUACUAAUUUCAUCAGACCAGUAAUUUCAUCACAACAGAAAUGUAAGGACGUAUGAAAUAUUUCUAUUUCAUCAAUCAUUAGCUUGCGUCCUAUCAAGCAUUUCUUCAGGUCUCCAGCAAAUUCUUCAGAUGAUGAUUUUCAUCUAGAGACCUGACCUGCAGAAGUGAUUAGUUCGAUUUCUUCACCACCCACAUCUAAAGGGGUGGCAAAGCAUUCAUUAUCCUGCGAGCACCAUAUGAGAAUGGUGGCAUUGAGGCCAAUGCACUUCUCUUAAUAGUAGGGUGAUUAAAGUACUCAUAUGAAUAUGCAGAGAACUGGUUAGAGGAUUUAUGAACAUAAUGAUUUGAGGAGUAACGCUCAUAUUCAUAUUCCUUGUAGUUUCCCUGCAUGUUAGACGCAUUAGCACGGGUACGAGCAUAGUUUUGACCAGUUGAGGAUUUUGAUCCUCUUGAAGACUUUGGUCCUCCUGAGGAAUUUGAUCUGGGGUUCAGAUUCUUCUGUGGUGGUGUCAUGAGGACAUUCACCUGAAGAUUUUCAAGACAGCUUUUGGGAACCCAGAUUUUCCUCAAGGGGGGGCCAUUCCUGCAGUUAGUUCCAACAUAUCGAGCAAAUACUUCACCAGAUUGAUUUUUGAACAAUUUAUAGUUGGAGUAAAAUGACUCAUCUGAGGAAUAGGAUAAUUCACAUGAAAAGCUAGUUAAAUUAGAUGGAUCAAAAGGAGGCCCAGUAGCAGCAACCCAUGAGGUUUUGGGAUACUGCUCACGUUUCCAAUAAGAUCCAUCAGCAUAUAAUUUCCUCUCAAAGGCAAUUCCUUCUUUCCUCGGGUUCCUGUUCAAGAUAUGCUUUUUGAGCACAUCACAAAGGGUUUGAUGUCCUUUGAGGCUUUUGUAUAUGCCUGUCACGUACAAUUCCUUCAACCCUGCAUUUUCAUCAGUAACAUUUGUGUUUUAGUCAAGUGGGGAGAUAGACACAACAGGUGCAGUUGAAGAAUUUGUAGCAAUAGCAGCAUUUGAUGAUUCUGGUGAGGAAUUAGCAGUUUCGCGUUCAAUGCAUUUAAUACAUGGAGGAAUGAAUUCAACUUGACCAGCGUUGAUCUGUUGAGCUAGUAAUGAAUCAUUUUUCAUACGAAGAUCAUCAUGAGACAUCCUCAGCUUCUCAAGGUCAAGCUUCCUUUGAAGAAAUUCAUAGCAAAGCUUCUCAUGAUCAGUGAGGAGUCUAUCAUAACGAUCCUGAAGAUUAUCAAAUCUAGACUGAAGACUUUUCACAUCUUCAGUGAGGAUUUGGGUAAGGUUCAUUUCAUCAUUCAACAGAUCAUCACUUUUAUCUAGAAGUUUCUGAAGCUUUUCCAGGGCAGUUUGUUGUUUAGUGGCAAUGAUAGCAAGUUUACUGUAACUGGGUUUCUUAUAAUCAUCAGGUUCACAGUCACUUGAAUCAGAGGAGGAGGCAUUAUUUGGUACCUUUGAACCUUUUGCCAUGAAUCAAUAGGUUGGAGCGAAGUCAUUAGCAUAGUCAUCAGUAUGGAUGGUGCAAUCAUUUUCUUCAAGAUUGAAGAUUGACUUGCUGACGAAAGUGGUUGCCAGUGCAAGACUAGCCUGUCCGGAUUCCGAGUCUUCAUUAGAACCCUCUUCUUCAUCACAUUCCUCUCAUUCUGCCUCAGAGUCCAUUUCCUUGCCAAUAAGUGCCCAAGCCUUUCUGAAACUAGUCUUCUUGUGCGAUGAGCGCUUUGAAGAUGAGGAUUUUGAAGAUUUCUUCUUCUUCUUCGAGUCAUCAAAACUGUCAUCCUUGUAUUUCUUCUUCUUUGAUUCCUUUCCCCAACGGGGACAAUCAGAAAUGUAAUGACCCGAUUUCUUGCACUUGUGGCAGGUUCGUUUCUUGUAGUCCUCAGAUGAAGAUUCUGAUUUCCUCAUGUCUCUUCUUGCAGAUUUACCGAACUGGCCACGUCGUGUAAAUCUUUGGAAUUUCCUCACGAGCAUUGCAAGCUCCUAUCCAAAUUCUUCAGGGUCACCAAUGUUGUCAUCUGUGUCUUCGUCUUCAGAUGAGGAAAUUGCUCUAGCCUUCAGUGCACGUGGUCUGGAAUAGCUGGGUCCAUAUAGAUCUCUCUUUUCUUCUAGCUGGAAUUCAUGAGUAUUUAGCCUUUCAAGUAUAUCAGCUGGAUCAAGCAUCUUGUAGUCUGGUCUUUCUUGAAUCAUCAGAACUAAAGUAUCAAAUGAAGAAUCCAAAGAUCUCAGCAGUUUCUUCACAACUUCGUGAUCGGUGAUGUCUCGAGCUCCGAGUGCUUGCAGUUCAUUUGAUAUGUCAGUGAGGCGAUCAAAGGUGUCUUGUCAUCUUUAUUUGUCAUGUCUCUUGAAGCGAUUGAAGAGAUUGCGAAGAAUAUCAACACGAGAGUCACGCUGGGUUGAUACUCCUUCAUUUACCUUGCACAGUCUCUCCCAUAUCAGUGUUGCAGAGCCCAAAGCACUUACUCUUCCAAACUGGCCUGGGCUCAAAUGGCCACAGAUGAUGUUCUUCGCUUGAGAAUCGAGUUGCUUGAAUUUCUUCACAUCAGCAACAAAGACACUGGCAGAGAUGAUGGGGACGCCAUGUUCCACAAUAUACCAGAGAUUAUUAUCAAUAGCUUGUAGAUGCAUUUGCAUUUUGUUCUUCCAGAAGGGAAAGGUCUUUCCUUUGUAGGUAGGACAUGCUGCACUCACCUUAAACAUGUCUGCAGUCGACAUAACUAAAACUCCAGGUGGUUAAACCAAAAUCACAUAGAACAUGGGAGUACCUUGCUCUGAUACCAAUUGAAAGUGCGUUAUAUCGACUAGAGGGGUGGUGAAUAGGAGAUUUUUAGAAUUUCAUCACUGAGGAAAUUCCUUUUGAGGAAAUUCCUCACUGAUGACUAACUUACAGCGGAACAGUAAAGGAUCAAAAGUGCAAAGUUUCACAACAACAAUUUUUCAGAGUGAAGAAUGUGAAAACAGAUUGCACUGUGAGCAGGCACACAGAAUAUAGAUGAGGAUUAACUGACGUGAGGAAUUUGGGGUUGAGGAAAUUCAGAGAAAGUCUUCAGCAAAUUCUUCAAACAGUCUCAGUGAAAGACAACAACACAUAAUACGAGGAAAGUAAGGAGUUGAGGAAUUAGAACCCGUUUCUCACUGAAGACAGUCGUUGAUGACCCAAUUCCAACUGCUGUGACAGUCGUACAUCUGGUUUGGAGCGGCUUGGUAUUGAAACCAAAGGACACACACUCCCUACCGUAUUCUCCUUGAGCUAAGGACACACAGUCCUCACCCAACACUCGUGGUAAGUCUUCAGGGCAGACUUCCAAACCCUCACAGACUUGGUCACCCGGCGAUCCAUAAUUGACUGCUGGAAAGCUCUAGACCAUGACGCCUAACCGUCUGGAGGAUGCACAGUCCUCAAAGGUAAAAGGCUUUAGUCCCACACAGGAACAACUUCUUGAGUGAUGCUCAAUCACUAGGUUUGGUUUGUGGUUCUGUAUGGGGUAUUUCCUCACUGAUGAAUUACUCUUGAAGACUCUGAGGAAUUGGGUUGCUCUUAUGAAAAGUGUCAGUUUCUAAUGGAGCAGCCAACCAGCUAGUGGUUGUGGGGGUGGCUAUUUAUAGCCUGGGAGCAUCCCGACAUGAUUUGACACUAAUGCUCUUAAAUAAUAUGACCGUUGGAGUGGAUAAGACCAAUGACUUGGCGUGGCUAUCGAAACGGUCGGAACCCUCAACUGUGAGAGUCCUUAUGUCACUCGUAUUCCUCACUUGAGGCUUUUUGGUAGGAUUAGGCUUGGUUGAGCAUCAUGAGGAAAUUCAUUCCAAAGUGUAACUUCGACCCCCUUUAACAGUACGGUGUUCCUAUUACUCAAAUGCGAAGAAAAUAAAACAGAAAGUGUAAAUCUUCAUGCUUCAAAUUCUUCACGGUGAUUUUCUUCAGAACACACCGGACUUCUCAAUAUCAGUAUCUUCAUGAGGAAUAUCAAUUUCAUCGCAGAUUCUUCGCGAUUCAUUUCUUUAGCUUCAGACCAAUUUCUUCAACUGAAGACAUACAUUUUUAGGGGUCGAUAUUCUUCAAAUAUCUCAAACUCCUCAAUGACUUAUAGAUCCUGUGUACACUCACAAACACAUUAGAUACUUAACCUAUAAGUCUUCAAACCACCAAAAUCACUAAGGGGCACUAGAUGCACUUACAACUUGCAUGAUUUUUCUAAAUAGCACAAAAAAUACUAAUAAAAUACUUCAAAAAUGUUCAACAGAGCAGUGUUAACAGGAAACUAGAAUUAUGAGAUUCUCAAUUACCACAAUUAUUUUCUAAUUAUAUUUUGUUAUCUCGUGGCAAUGCACGGGCACUCAACUAGUAAUAGUAGAUGCAGAAAGUAUCGGUCUACUUGUCUCGGACGUGAUGCCUAUAUGUAUGAUCAUUGCCUUAGAUAUCGUGAUGACUUUGCGAGGUUCUAUCAAUUGCUUGACAGUAAUUUGUUCACCCACCAUAAUACUUGCUAUUUUGAGAGAAGCCUCUAGUGAACACUAUGGCCCCCAGGGUCUACUCCACACCAUAUUUUCAGCCUUACACUUUUUACUUCGUUGCACAUUCCACCUUCAGAUCUCACAUUGCAAACAAUCUUGAAGGGAUUGACAACCCCUUUAUAGCGUUCGGUGCAAGCUCUUUUGUGUUUGUGCAGGUACUCUGGACUUGACGAGAUUCUCCUACUGGAUUGAUACCUUGGUUCUCAAUCUGAGGGAAAUACUUACUGCUCAUGUGCUGCAUCACCCUUUCCUCUUCAAGAGAAGAACCAACGGAAGCCCAAGAGACGACAGAAGGAUCUCUGGCACCACUACUAGGGAAGAACUUUUUUUGCCGUAGCAGAAGAAUUUCUCGCACCAUUGCCAGGGAGGAUCAAGUCAAGAACUCAUCCAAGUAAGUGUUGCAAACUCGUCUCUUGCAUUUACCUUUUUUGCCUCUCGUUUUCCUCUCCCACACUUCUGAAAAACAAAAAUUUACAAAAAUAUUUGCCUUUUUCGUUCGCCCUCUUCUUUCGCUUGCUUUCUGUUUGUUUGUGUUGCCAUGUGCCUUCAAUAUGCUUGCAUCGUCACUUGCUGAAAAUCUAUUGAUAUGGAUCCUCACCCACUUGCUAAUCUCUUUAAGAGAUCCACUUAUGUGGAACCAAUUGCUAGUGAGUUGAGUGCACUUGACUUUCUCUAUGGAAUUUUGCUUGAGAUGUGUGAAUCUGAAAGUCGUGAUGAAGAAAUUUAUGAAGUGAUUCACGAGGGCUGCUUGAAUGAAAAGCAUGAUUGCAAUGGUUUCACUAUAAAUCCUAUUAGUGUCAAUCAUGCUAAAAAUAUGCAAAACCCAAAGCUUGGGGAUGCUAGUUUUGCUAUGUCAACUACUUGUUGCAAUGAUCAUGAUUGGGGUAAUGAUUUUUCUUAUGAUCUUGAAAAUUUGUUUAAACCUCAUGAUGAAUAUGAUAUUUGCAAUAUUAUUGAAAGUGGGUUUGGAGAAGUCAUGACAUUAGUUGAUGAUAAUCCCACUAUUUUUGAAGAGCGUCAACUUUGCAUGCAUGUGGAUCAUGAAAAGAAUAUCCUUUGUGAUAGUUAUAUUGUUCAAUUUGAUUUUGGUCCCACAUGUAAUUUAUAUGAGAGAGGAAAAUAUUGUGGUAGAAACUUUCAUGUUACCCAAUUACCUCUUGUUAUGUGGAGAUUGCUAUUGUCUCUUUCUUCUUCCUUGCAUAUGGUGACUAUUGGUUGUCUUGACAAUCUGUUUUCCUAUAAAAUGCCUAUGCAUAGAAAGUAUGUUAGACUUAGAUGUGAUUUUCACAUGCUUUAUGAUGCUCUCGGUGUGCUUCAAUUCUUGUCUUUUGUGUGAGCGUCAUUGAACUAUCAAUGCCUAGCUAAGGGCGUUAAACAAUAGUGCUUGUUGGGAGGCAACCCAACGAAUCUAUCUUUUUCUUUCUGUUUUGUUGCGUCCACACUUUCAUAACUCUGUUGUGAUUGUGUUUUUUGUGUUUAUUUUUGUGUUUGAGCCAAGCAAAACCUUUAUGACUACUCUUGGUAAUGGUUGUUUGAUCCUGUUGGAAAAAGACAAAAACUUUUCGCUCACCAGAUGAUAUUUCAUUUUUAUUCAGAGAGAGCUUUUGAGUUGAUUCGUUUUGCUUCUCGUUGAUAUGCCUUUUUCCCAGGCAGCCGUAAUUUUUAAGAUUUUUUGAGGUACCAGAAGUAUACGAAGUAUACAGAUUGCUACAGACUAGUCUGUUUUUGAAAGAUUCUGUUUUUGUUGAGUUGGUUGCUUGUUUUGAUGAAACUAUGGUUAGUAUCGGGGGGUACUAGCCAUGGAAAAGUGAGAAUGGAGUAGCCCAACACCAAUAUAGAUAGAAUUCAAGUUUGCUACAGUACCAAAAGAAGUGGUAAUUUGUUUUCUUCUUAAGUUUUGUGUUGUGAAGUUUUCAAGUUUUGGGUGAUGUUCUCAUGGACAAAGAUAUAAGGAGUGGAAAUAGCUCAAGCUUGGGGAUACCCAAGGCAUCCCAAGCCAAAUUCAUGGACACCAAAAAGCCUAAUCUUGGGGAUGCCCCAGGAAGGCAUCCCCUCUUUCGUCUUCAAUCCAUCGGUAACAUUACUUGGAGAUAUAUUUUUAUUCACCACAUGAUAUGUGUUUUGCUUGGAGCGUCUUGUAUCUUAGUAGUCUUUUCUUUUGUUGUGUCACAAUCAUCCUUGGUGCACACCUUUUUGAGAGAGAGAUACAUGCACUCAUCGUGAUUUUGCUAGAAUGCUCAUAGUGCUUCACUUAUAUCUUUUGAGCUAGAUACUUUUGAUCUAUGUGCUUCACUUAUACUUUUUAGAGCACGGCAGUGCAUGACUUGGUAGUUGGCUUAUGCUAUGAAAGUAGUCCCAAAUGUGAUAGGUACCCAAAGAGGAUACAAAAACCUCCAUCUUCAUGUGCAUUGAGUAGAAAGAGAAGUCUUGAUUCCUCUCAAUUAGUUUUGAGACGUGGAUUCGGUAAUAUUAAGAGUUAUGUUAGUAGGGUGUUGUGAAUCUAGAAAUACUUGUGUUGAAGUUAGUGAUUCCCGUAGCAUGCCCGUAUGGUGAACCGCUAUGUUAGGAAGUUGGACCAUAAUUGAUCUAUUGGUUGUCAUCCUUUGUGUUGAGGUCGGGAUCGCGCGAUGGUUAACACUUACCAACCCUUCCCCUCGGAGUAUGCGUUUAGCACUUUGUUUCGAUUACUAAUAAAAAUUUCGCAACAACUAUGUGAGUUCUUCAUGACUAAUGUGAGUCCAUGGUAUAGAUGCACUUUCACCUUCCACCAUUGCUAGCCUCUCUAGUGCUGUGCAACUUUUGCCGGUACACAAACUCACCAUAUGCCUUCCUCAAAACAGCCACCAUACCUACAUACUAUGGCAUUUUCAUAGCCAUUCCGAGAUAUAUUGCCUUGCAACUCCCACCGUUCCGUCUGAUGACUUGUGCCGUCACUCUCAUAUUGCCAUUGCAUGAUCGUAAGAUAGCUAGCGAGAUGUUUCAACGUCAUACGCCAUGCUAGAUCGUAGCGCAUCUCGGUACACUACCGGAGGCAUUUCCUAUAGAGUCAUUAUCAUUCUAAGCUUCGAGCUGUGAGUAAAUAAAUGUGUGAUGAUCAUCAUUAUUAGAGCAUUGUCCCAUGUGAGGAAAUUAAAAAAAAGAGGCCAAAGAGCCCAAANNNNNNNNNNNNNNNNNNNNNNNNNNNNNNNNNNNNNNNNNNNNNNNNNNNNNNNNNNNNNNNNNNNNNNNNNNNNNNNNNNNNNNNNNNNNNNNNNNNNNNNNNNNNNNNNNNNNNNNNNNNNNNNNNNNNNNNNNNNNNNNNNNNNNNNNNNNNNNNNNNNNNNNNNNNNNNNNNNNNNNNNNNNNNNNNNNNNNNNNNNNNNNNNNNNNNNNNNNNNNNNNNNNNNNNNNNNNNNNNNNNNNNNNNNNNNNNNNNNNNNNNNNNNNNNNNNNNNNNNNNNNNNNNNNNNNNNNNNNNNNNNNNNNNNNNNNNNNNNNNNNNNNNNNNNNAAAAUAAAAUAAAAAAAGAGGCCUAAGAGCCCAAAUAAAAAAAAGAGAAAAAGAGAGACGGGACAAUGCUACUAUCUUUUUCCACACUUGUGCUUCAUAAUAGCACCAUGUUCUUCAUGAUUGAGAGCUUCUUGCUUUGUCACUACCAUAUGCUAGUGGGAAUCUUCAUUAUAUAACUUGGCUUGUAUAUUCCAAUGAUGGGCUUCCUCAAAAUUUCCCUAGGUCUUCAUGAGCAAGCAAGUUGGAUGCGCGCCUACUAGUUUUCCUUUUGAGCUUUCACAUACUUAUAGCUCUAGUGCAUCUCUUGUAUAGCAAUCCCUACUCAUUCACAUUGAUAUCUAUUAGUGGGCAUCUCCAUAGCCUUUUGAUAUGCCGAGUCAAUGUGAUCAUCUCCUCCUUUUUGUCUCACAACCACCACCACACUCUAUUCCACCUAUAGUGCUAUAUCCAUGGCUCGCGCUCCUGUAUUGCGUGAUAGUUAUAAAAAGUUUGAGAAAGUAAGAGUUCGAAAACAAUUACUUGGCCAAUACUGGGGUUGUGCAUGAUUUACAUUAGUUGUGUGAGGAUGAUGGAGCAUAGCCAGACUAUAUGAUUUUGUAGGGAUAACUUUCUUUGGCCUUGUUAUUUUGAAAGUUCAUGAUUACAUUGCUAGUUUGCUUGAAGUAUUAUUGUUUUCAUGUCAGUAGAAAACAAUUGUUUUGAAUCUUAUAGAUCUGAACAUUCAUGUCACGUGAAAGAAGUUGCAAAGGACAACUAUGCUAGGUAGCAUUCCACAUCAAAAAUUCAUUAUUUAUCCCUUCCCUACUCGAGGACGAGCAGGAGUUAAUCUUGGGGACGCUUGAUACGUCUCCAACGUAUCCAUAAUUUUUGAUGGUUUCAUGCUAUUAUCUUGUCAAACUUUGGAAGUUUUGCAUGCCUUUUAUAUAUUUUUUGGGACUAACUUAUUAACUCAGUGCCAAGUGCCAGCUCCUGUUUUCUCCAUGUUUUUGACCCCUUUCAGAGGAGGAUUUUGAACAGAGUCCAAACGGAAUAAAACUUCUGAAAAUAUUUUUCCAGAACGGAAGAAGAUCAGGAGACUUGAGAACCAAGGCAGGGGGUCCUCAGGGACCCCAAAACCCUCAUGGCGCGGCCAGGGGGGCGAGUCGUGCAGGCUUGUGGGCUCCGUGGGCCACCUCUACCCUAGGUUUUGCGCCGAUAUAUCCCCAAAAAUUCCACAAAAAAUCAGGAGAUCAUCGAAAGUACUUUUCCACCGCCGCAAGCUUCUGUCUCUGCAAGAUCCCAUCUAGGGCACGUUCUGGUGCCCUGCCGGAGGGGGGGUUCGGACACAGAGGGCUUCUUCAUCAACACCAUGACCUCUCCGAUGAUGCAUGAGUAGUUCAUCAUAGACAUACGGGUCCAUAGCUAGUAACUAGAUGGCUUCUUCUCUCUCUUGGAUCUUCAAUACAAAGUUCUCCAUGAUCUUCAUGGAGAUCUAUCCGAUGUAAUCUUCUUUUGCGGUGUGUUUGUCGAGAUCCGAUGAAUUGUGGAGUUAUGAUCAUAUUAUCUAUGAAUCUUAUUUGAGUUUCUUCUGAUCUCUCUUAUGCAUGAUUUCAUAUCCUUGUAAUUCUCUUCGAGUUGUGGGUUUUGUCUAGCCAACUAGAUCUAUAAUUCUUGCAAUGGGAGAAGUGCUUGGUUUUGGGUUCAUACCGUGCGGUGACCUCACCCAGUGACUGAAGGGGUAGCGAGGCACAUAUCGUGUUGAUGCCAUCAAGGGUAAAAAGAUGGGGUUUUCAUCAUUGGUUUGAGAUUAUCCCUCUACACCAUGCCAUCUUGCUUAAGGCGUUACUCUGUUCGUCAUGAACUCAAUACACUAGAUGCAUGCUGGAUAGCGGCCGAUGUGNGAGACGAUAGAAGGAUCCCUGGCACCACUGCCAGGGAAGAACUUUUGUUGCCGUAGCACCAUCCCAGUGCCAUCUUGUGAAGGCAAAAACCCUCCCUAUGUACUAGACAGAGCUGAGGCAUCGGGAAUCCCAUUCCCGUCGAGGGGAGUCAUAUACACAGGCUCGCCGACGGAUAUCGAGGGGAUGAAAGAUUUCCCUAGUGGCCUUGCGAGAGGGGAAAGAACUUCGUCUACGUGUGGAUGGUUACUAUGAUAGUUCAAUUAAUUAUACCAAAAAACACAUAAUUUAUUUUGAGAAACCUUACAAAUGCAGACAUUCACAUACAUGCAUGUACACCAUCCCUUUCGAUGUACACACUCACACUCUACGUCUAUGAACAUUUUGAAGAGAGUGAGCCAGCAGACCUUAUGAUAAAAUGAAAAAUAUUUUUCCCGCACCACUCAAAUGGCAUCCUUAGACAAUUAGUAAUCAAGAAACCUUGUGCUUAAAAUGAAACCAAAAAUAAGGAAAGCUGGAAAAAGGUUGUGUGGCAACCACCCUAUGACAGGAAGGACUGAAACUUCGAGCAGACACAAUGCAUCCGACGGCCACAACCUUUGAAAUAGAUAUGGCAGUGGCUGCAACAAGGCCAUUACCAUGUACAACAAAUAAAGUGUGAGUUUACCAAAACAAUGCCUUCAACAAACCCAUUGCCAGGUAUAACCGAUAAAGGCCUGACCAUUAGUUUUCACCCUCGGAAUCAAAACUCGGUACUCGUGGACCACCACAAAAGGUGAAGUCCUCCAGUGUUGCCACCCCCGCUUGCUGAGACCGCUGUUGCAAGUCACCAAACACCUCCCACAUAGUCUUCAUCGCAUCCAAUAGACCCUUCCAUCAAAGCUUAAGACCUCCAAUCACAACGGCUAUGACUUUCUCCACCUCUAUUCAAGCCUUAGAAAUCAUAACAUAGACAUGUCCCAUGACACCCGUAAGAAAUCGAAGCUUCGCGCCACGCGCUCUCGGCGUUGUGUUUGAUAAUAAUAUUAGCGCGUGCAACAGGAGCCUUUCUGGUCUAGAUAUCUAGGGACGACAAACGUCAUUCUGUAUAGAUCUCUGAGGGGGAAGACCGGAAUGCGUCAGCGAUCAGAUCCAAGAGGUCGACAUUCGGUAGAAAGACAACUAGGCGGAACAACAGUGCACCAUUGUUAGGCCGAACCACACUCACCCGCGUCCAAAGAAAAACGAGCCACUCCGCAUGAGACCAAACGCUUCAGCCACCGUACCGAGCAUCACUCCGCAUGAGGCCAAACACCCCUGAACAACCUCCACCUUAGGCACCCAUGGCGCCAGGUCUCGAAUCCGCUCCCGGUGAGGAACGAGUCAUCGUACGACGUAGCAUCAAGCAGAGACUAUGCAUGCACUCUGGUCUAUUCGAUCCGUAGUGAUCACGAUGUUCAUCUACGUGAUUGCCAUACCACUAAGAGGUCAUGGUUGAUCGCAUCAUUUUGCAGGGUGCUUCAUCAUCAUGAAAUGAAUGAAUACGCAUCUUCCUUUUUGGGAGAAUAGCUCCCAUGCGACGUUUUUGAUGUGUGUUAUCUCUCAUGCGACGUCAUUGGUUGUAAUGGCUCUUAUGCGACAUCUCCCAGUGCAGAAAUAGCUGUCGUGCGACACUGCUGCCUAAUCGAAAGCCACAUGUUUAAAACUCGAAUCAGGUGAGCCCCUACGUAACAAAGCGGGACCCACAGCAUGGGAUCCAGUAACUUAUCCAGCUCAGCAUUGGUACAAGAGCAAUACCGCGACCUUCUCAUCCUCGCCGCGCUCCCCGACCGUUGUUGUUCUUAUUUUCCGGCGACGACGGGCAUCAACGUUGUUCGGGGCCGCGACCUAGCAAUGUCGAGCUCCGCUUCAGCCUCCCACCGCUCAUGGUCGCGCUACGGCAAAGUGCCCAUGACAAGGUGCCCUGCAUGUCCACGGACCGCACCCCUAAAGCGGCUAGUCACAACGACCGACAAGAAUGGCAACCUUGGGCGGGAAUUCGUGAAAUGCGAGAGCAAACAAGAGCAGGGAAAGGUGAUAUUUUACUUCUCAAUGUGCCAAUUUCGGUUUUUGUCCCCCAAUUUCAUAUUUUUCAUCGGAUUUGGGAUUUAGGGUUCAUCUUUGCGAUUUCAGAAAUUGAAGCAAUGCGCCCAUUUUGAGUGGCUAGAUGAGUACAUAGAGCGGAUUCAACUUGAGGGUGCUUCACAGGAGCUCGAUUUACCGUUGGAGGCGGAGAAGUUUGGAUCUGGGGCCCCUGGAUCUGGCAAUUCCAUUCGUGCUACUGUGGGGGAUGCAGCAGGGAUGGCAGAGCUGAAGAAGCUCAAUAAGAAGAUGAAGAAACUAAUCGAAUUGAAGAAGCAGGGCAAUUUGAUGGCCGGAAUUUUUUAUGUUUGUGUAAUUUCUCUCGCAUUUGUUUAUGUGAUGAUAAUUAGUCGUUAGUGAAUAGAUCGGGUAUCAUCUGUAAUCGUAAUGAUAUGGAUGUUUGAAUAAAACUAUUGCGAUGUACGAAUUCGGCAUGUUUUCUCGUCUUCUCCACUCUGUUUCGGCCCCGUUUUUACAGUUCUGCAGUUCGUCGUCAGUUUCAGUUUCGGUGGUAGAGGGAAAAAAGGAAAAAAAAAGGUUCGUCGACAAUUCCCCGAAAAGGCCCGGCCCAUGUAGAAGGUAGGCAGGGCCGAAUAGAACAUAUUCAGGUCCAUUGACAAAAAAGGUGUAGCUAGUGCAAAAAAAAGUGCACACGGUCAUUGACAUCGAUAUAUGCAGGUCCAUUGAUAAAUAAGUUGUAUCUAGUGCAAAAAAAAGUGCACAGGGCCGAAUAGGAAACCAUCGCUUAUUAUAGUACUCCCUCCGUCACAGUUUACAGGGUGCGCUUCAACAAUCUCGCAUGCACUGGUGGAGACCCGGCGAACAGAACUGCAUGCACUUAUUCCAUCCCCCGCAUACAUAUCUGCAUGGAGAGAAAAUUGUGGGCUUUAUCCCCCCCCCCCCCCCCCGCAUGCAGUUAUUCCACCCCCCGCAUACACAUCUACAUGGAGUUAAACCAAACACGUCUAAAAUCUCUACGUGCCUAGGUUGCAGUGCACCUUCUAAUAAGACUAAUGCACUAAAACGGAGGGAGUAUCAUUUGACCGCACACAAGAAUAAUAUGACUAAUGCAUAUAAUAUGACUUGCAUGUCAUAUACUCCCUCCGUUUCUUUUUAGUCCGCAUACAAGAAUGUGCACCGAAACGGAGGGAGUAUCAUUUGACCGCAUACAAGAAUAAUAUGACUAAUGCAUAUAAUAUGACUUGCAUGUCAUAUACCCCCUCCUUUUCUUUUUAGUCCGCAUAUAAUAUGACUAAUGCAUAUAAUAUGACUUGCAUGUCAAAGUCAAAGUUAGCCUCGAAAAGCGCAUUUGGGGAGUAGGUUGUUAUGGUGUUUUCAAAGUUUGUGCAAUGGUGUUUUCGAGCAGUUCUCUGUCGUUUCUAUCGGGAGACAUUAAUAUAUUGCAUAAUGCAUAAAACAUUGAUAUGUUCCGAGUAGGUUGUUAGGGUUUAGGGUUUAGGUUUAUGUGAAAAAUGUUCUUCCCUCCUCACUCAUGGUUCUCCGGCAAAGAUAGUGACAAUCCAAACAGCCCCUAAUAUAGUGCAUAAUGCAUAAAACAUAAAACAUAAAACUAGAUAGAAAUAUUACGAUAAAACAUAAAACAUAAAAUAUAAGGGGCAUCAGGUACCCUAGUAGCAUACAACAUAUAAAAAUACUAGAUAAAAUAUAAAAAGACGGUCACACACGCCCCAACUACUAGAUAAAAAUAUAAAAACACUCCUCGGCCAGCAGAAGACUCCUCGGCCAGCAGAAGUCUCCUUGGCCCCUCCUUCGUCGGCGCCCCUCACUCGCUGUUCUCCGGGGGUGGCAUCUGGUAGGGGAGGGCGUGCAUGUCGUUGGGCUCGGGGAAGAUGUGGUGGAAGUUGGUGAAGAUGUUGUAGGUGGUGAACGCGAUGAACUCGCAUCCACACCAAAACACCUGGCCGAGGAGGUGGUACGUGUCGUAGCGGUUGGGGAAGGUGACGUAGAGGCCGAUGACGAAGCCGUUGGGGUUCCCAUCGACCUGCUCGUGGAGGUGGAACAUGGGCGGAGUGCCCGGAGGGAGGUUGCGGUAGCCGGCGUGGAGGAAGAAGCUAGCCAACUCUCUAGGGCCCCUCCACCUUGAGAUGGCCCAGAUCCUCUGGCCAUUCUCGACCACUUCGCCGGGCGGGAACUAUCUCUCCGGCACGGUGCGAGGGCGACGGUAGGUCCGGCCGUUGAAUUGCAUCGUGGCUCGAGUGCGGGUUGGAUUUCGCUCGGAAAGAAGAAGAGGAGGAGGCUUGAGAGGUGAGUGUGAGAGGGAUGAGGAUAUGGUGCCCUUUUAUAGCCCCGUUGCAGCCGUAGUCAAUGUACACGAUUGAUCAUUUUCUCUCCUCCGCGUGGUGGAAUAAUUAAUGGGCGUGCAAAAAAAGGCAGAGCAUCCAAAAAGGCACGGGCGGCACAGGCGAGAUGCUUCGUUUUUAAUUGCCGUGAAAACUGUGUCACCAACGCGUCCGUCCCGUGUUCUGAGGUUCGUGCAUGCAAUUGUUAAAAACAGCUUAGAUGCGAUGUACCGCUGCGCCCGUGCCGCCCGUUUUAAUGCGUUGCUGCAUGGCGGCUAGACUGUGUUCAUUUGGCAGAAUAGCUAGGUUGCGACACCGUUGCAUGGCAUGCAGGGUGGCCCAUCUCGCUGCGACGCACACCAGGCUCUGCCGGGCCGAUCCGCUCGGCCCAACGGUCACUGAGAUGCUCCCCCGCUCAACGUUAUCCGCUCGGCCCAACGGUCACUGAGAUACUCCCCCACACCCGUGGCCUAUCCGACGGCCGCAGUUUGGCAUUAGGGUUAGAUCGACGGUGGACAUUUCGCGUUAGGGUUAGAUGGGAUUUGGAGGCAGUCAACGGGGUUUUGAAAGGUUUGACCGAACAUUCAAAUAUGUGUAACUAAUUCAAAAAAAAUCUAAAAAAUGAAAAACCAGCGCAUAUAGUCUUGUUAUGUUACGUAGUUAUGAUAUAAAAUGAUAAACUUGAUGUAAUGAUCUUUGCAUAAAAAAACCUUCACAAAUUGGACUAUCGCGACUGAGGUUGCAUAGAGUUCAAAAGAGUGAGAAGAGGGUUUUAGGUUUUGAAAAUUCAAAAAAACAGAAACCCUCACCUUUUAGCUUCAUUUUGGAGUGACUAAGCACGAUGUGAAGUUAUUUUUGCAUUUUGAAAUUUUUAAACUUGUUGGUGACUUUGUAUUAAAGGGUGUUUUUCAAAGAUAAAUUAAUAAUAUGAAUACUUAUUCAAAAAAAGGUGAGACUUCGUAUUGAUCAUAUAUAGGUAUAAUAUAAGCGAAGACAAUCUUUUUGGGUGAUUUUGAGAAGGUGUUAGGGUUAGAUGGGGUUUGCAGGAAGUCAACAUGGUUUUGAAAGGUUUGACUGAACAUUCAACUAUGUGUAACUAAUUCAAAAAAAAAUCUAAAAAAUGAAAAACCAGCGCAUUUAGUCUUGUUAUGUUACAUAGUUAUGAUAUAAAAUGAUAAACUUGAUUUAAUGAUCUUUGCAUGAAAAAACUUUCACAAAUUGGACUAUCUCGACUCAGGUUGCAUAGAGUUCAAAAGAGUGAGAAGAGGGUUUCAGGUUUUGAAAAUUAAAAAUAUCACAAAACCUCACCUUAGCUUCAUUUUGGAGUGACUAAGGAGGAUCUCAAGUUAUUUUUUCAUUUUAAAUUUUUAAACUUUUUUUGUUGCUGACUUUGUAUUAAAGGGUGUUUUUUCAAAAAUAAAUUAAUAAUAUGAAUACUUAUUCAAAAAAAGGUGAUACUUCGUAUUGAUCCUAUAUAGGUAUAAUAUAAGCUAAGAAAAUCUUUUUGGGUGAUUUUGAGAAGGUUAAAAAAAGCGUGCUUAGAAAUGGGGUCGUUUUCCCUUACUUUGGAGCCUGUUUGGACAACAUUUUCAGUGACUAUGAGUUGGACUUCGCAAAAAGGGUUGGAUUUAUGAACUAAAGUGCAUAGUAGUAUAUAAAAAAUUGAAACAUCACAAAACAAACAAAUGAACUCCAAAAAUAUUGGAGAUAGGUUCAAAUUUGAAUGUCGGUUCAAAUUUGAAUUUUAUUUUCAUGUCAAAUCAACAAAAUAGCACAGAAGUUUUACAUCAAAGAACAUAAGUUUUCACAUCAAAUGACAACAAAUUUAAGUUUUCAAAUCAAAUCACAUCACAUUUGAAUAAUUUCGACUCUAUUUCUUUUGCUUCUUUCUACCACUCGAUUUCUUCUCCUUUUUUCCACUGUUUGGUUCCACGGCGCACAGUUUGUUGAUGCUGAUACAUUUGGUAUUCUUGCCAACAACUCCACUAGGCCCCCUCAACUUUUGCACCUGACCAUGUCCCACUUCUUCAGUUUGCACUUCUGCAGAUUGAGUAGAUGGCACACAUUGUUCAACUUAUUCAGUUUGCAACUCAACAAUUGGCAGCACAACCUCCAAACAUGGCAACACAGCUGUCAAAGCAGAUUUAGUAACAGUUUCAGUUUGCAACUCAACACUUGGCAGCACAAUCUCCAAACAUGGCACAACAUCCACGCAUGUCAGCACAACAGUUGCUUCAUCUGCAACAGUUUCAGAUUGUCCUAGCGCCUGCAAAAAAGAUUCAGUAACAGUUUCAGUUAGCUCAUGUUCAGCAGUAACAGUUUCAGUUUGCUCAUGUUCAGCAGUAACAGUUUCAGUUAGCUCAUGUUCAACAGUAACAGUUUCAGCAGUAAUAGUUCUCUUCCUUCUAAAGCCAUUGAGUCUUGCUUUUUUCACUGGCCAGCAUUGUUCAACAACAAGAGGUGGGCCUUUUUCUGCACGCUUCCUCCUAAGAUAUAAAGCAUUUCACUUGGUUAGAUCCUAGAACAAGUAGCAAAAUCAAAACUUGCAAAAACAGUAACAUAAAAAUACUUUGGCCUCUGAGGAGUGUAGAUGCAUUUGGAUGAACCAAUUCAGUGCCCAAGUACCUCACACAACUUGCACCUAUUUUUGUUACCUUGUUGAGCCCUUUUGGGAUUUUCAUUCUUUUCCUUUUCCCCUUCCUACUACAACCACCUUUCUCAAACCAAUCUUUGAAUCUGCUCUGUUUUGGCCUCCCAACCUUUCUUCUAGUGACAGGGGACACAAGGUAAAUUCUAUUUCCACCUCAGGCCACUGAGAUUGGUCAGUCAGUGCAGGAAUCUGACUUGGAUAUGCAGCUUUGGAUUUUUGUACUGAAUAAUACUCAUGCAAAUAGGGGUGCAUAUUUAACCUGGGUUUAGAUGCCAAAAAAAGUAUUGCAUGCUCACAUGGUUUUCCAGUGUGUUGCCACUCUUGGCAAGUGCACUCAUGCAACUCAGUAUUUACCACGUGCCUCUUGUCACUCUUUGUAUCUCUAACUUCUGCACCCCACAAGGAAGAUUUCUCAAUAGAUAGAUGUGAAAGAUUUCUACUCUUGUUGACCACCUGUUGUACCACUGCUGGAAGCUUGUCCCCUUCCAAAAUAUUAGCAAUUUUUCCUCUCAACUCCCACAAAUGCAUGAUCAUGAUCCUUAUUUGGCCCACCAUGUCAUGCACAGGCAAGUCUUUCAAAUCCUUCACUUUGUGGUUAAAACUUUCUGCCAAGUUGUUAUUGAUAUGAUCACAUUUUAUGGCAGUAUUAAAACCUGAUCUGUACCACAACAGAGAAUGGUGGUUGUUCAACCAUGAAGCAAAUUCAUUAUCACUACAUGAUGUCAAUAUCUUACCAAGGUGAUAGGAAUGUGUCUCUCCGGUGUACGAUCUUGCUGCCGGCCACAUGCGCCCAAAUCCAUCUACGCAAGGCUUCAAACACAUAAAAAACUUGCUGAAAAAACCUUGCCAUCCUCUGUUACCUCUGUAUCCAUCUCCACCACGCUUCUAGGUGACCUCUUCUCCACCUCUGCUUUAAAACUAUACAACAUCCUAAAUGUAUUUUCCCAGUCACCAUACAAUGAUUUCAUGGCCCUUUGUUUUGCUUUCCACACUAUGGUAUAUUGCAGUUGGAUGGGGUAUAGCUUCUCCAAGUCAACUUUAAGCCUCUUUGUAGUACUGUUUGGAGUCUUGGCUAAAAUAGGAGUAAUCUUCUCUGUAAUCCAAAGUUGUGAUGUCAUCUUUGAAACUCUCUGUGAAGUGGUCAUACAUGUAUGCUCGUGUGGUAUUUGAUUUACCGUUACUCUACUUCCAUCAGGUUGUAGUCUGGCAGAUAUGUACCAUUUGCAAGCAUUGCCACCACCAUCAUAACCUUUGCACCGAGCAUAAAAUUUCUUUCGAUCAGUCCACAUAUUCUUGGCCUCGAACUCUUUUUUCACUGCAUAGGUCCUGAAAGACAUCCUAAACUCAACCAUGCUUGGCCACAACUUUCCCACCUCAAUAACUGGGUUCUCUUUGUCAGACAAACAAACCAGCUCAUUAUCAUUUGUAUCAUCCACAUCAUCUGCAGCCAUUCUCAUCAGCUCUUGUUCAUCCUUAUUUGCAUUUCUAGGCCCGUGUUACCACCAGCAGGCAAAGAAUUGUCAUCCUUCUCCUUAUCUUUGUCAUCAACUUGAAUGCCAAACAUUUCAACCAUAUCAAUGUCAGAUAUUGGUGCAAUUACCAAAUCUGUUUUUUCAUUGGACUCUACUACAUUCCAGUCAACAACAAUCUUCCUAGCACCAUGGGUUCCCUCCUCUCCAUCUGCAUCAAUCCCUGUAUCAUCAUCUAGUACAGUCGGUUCAGUCAACAAUGCCAACAUACUAUUCUUUUGUGAAACCCACACAUCAUCUUCCAACUGUGCAGCCAUCUUUGAUGGCACAUAACCAACUCUGGAAUUAGUUUGCAGAUCAAUUAGCUCUGCAUAAAAUGUUACUUGUUUGCAUGCCCACCGUUCUUGCUGAUCAAUUUCAGCAACCAUGGAUUCUCCAUCUUCAAUUCUAACAUAUUCACCAUAAUAGUUGUCGAAACGUUGCAGAGAUAUCUCUUGUUCUGGACCCCAAACAAUACUCUCCCCAAUUCUCUCCACCAAAUUUCCCACGGCCUUCUCCUUCAUGCCCUCUAAGUCCUGGGGAUCAACAUCUGCACUUCGACAUCCAACCUCACGGAGGUAUCUCUAUAAAUGUCUUGGACACUGCCAUCACUAAGCUUGGUUUUACAGGAAAAAAUGCACUAUAAUUGCGAAUGUGGUGGUAGAACCAGAACCUCCCCUGUUUUGUCAAUGGCGGGCAGCGGCAGUGUAAGACGGUCACUAUCAAAUCGAGUUUGAUAACAGCUAAAAGAGAAAAGAGGGAGGGGCGGCAUUACCGAUUUGAAGCACUGUCUCCUCGCUCCAUCUAAUUCAGCCCACGCGCUCCUAUCCAAUCGAGAUUCUAAAUCGCCAAGAAAUAGAGCAUGAGGCCACAGAUCUAUCCAAAAAUCUGGGGAUUGGGACUAGGGUUUCGAAAAUACUCACUCGCAAUAGAUCUGCCGCUGCCGAGACAGGCGCUCCACCACCGCGAAGAAGAAACUGCUACCUCUGCCGGAGAAGAUGCACACGGCGGCGCUGCUCGCCCAGUCGUGCACGAUCGAGUCGAGUAUGGUCAGACAGUCACCGAUCGAGUAGUGGACGGUUGACUCUUGACGACGUGGCCGUAGGUGGACCCCACCAGUCAAAGCACAUUCCUAACCAAAUCUCAGCCUAACUAACAGCCAGCCAGCCCCGUAAACGGGUUGAGUUGCUUAAGCUAUUUCUGCGCUGGAAGAUGUCGCAUGAGAGCCAUUACAACCAACGACGUCGCAUGAGAGAUAAUUCAACUCAACGACGUCGGAUGGGAGCUAAUGGCCCCUUCCUUUUUUGUGGGCUAGAUUCAACGAUGAUACAAAAUCAUGAUGGACUCACCAUACGUAAUUUAUGAGUUCACUCGGGACGACAUGGACAGAGCAAAAUGGACAACAGAGGAUUCUAAAACUUUAGCUAUGGAUUAAAACAAAGUCUUACCUUGCUUGGACACCCAAUUAAGUAGCAUUUCUACUCACAAAAAAAAAAGCAUUUCCAACACUUUUGUAGUCCAAUGAAUAAUUGUGAAUAAAACAUAUAAAAGGUCAUGAUGACACACAUCACACAUGCAGCAAAUAUAUGUUAAUUACCUGCAUGAAAUGUUAUAAAAUGAAGCACCAAAGUUUACAAGCAAGCAUAAUUGGUUGACAAGUUUGUAUUAUAUAAAAGUGGAUAAAGGAUGUACGAUUAACAUUCGUCGUGCCUGUGCCACUGAACCUAAAUCGCCCAUCAACAAAGGAACUUCUUCGUGCACCUUUGAAGCGUUACCCGUCGGAAUAUGAAGCGAAAAGAAUAAUAGAGUACAUGCAAGGCUGGAAAAGGAUUUGUGGCAAUCCCACAUUGACACGGACGACUGAAAUUUUCGGCACACACAACGCAUCCAACGGCCAUGCCUCUUACACUAAUCCGGGGAGAUAAGGAAACCAGGCAACCAACAAACGCCAGCCACCCCUUCCACAUCUUGAUUAAAGAUAGGAGCUCACAUGGCUAUAUAUACCGUGGUGAACAGGCAAUGGGGGCCUCAAGUGUAGCCGGCAUCCUCCUCUCUACAGUUAAUACAGUACCAUGGCCCCCGCCGUGAUGGCUUCGUCGGCUACCACCGUCGCACCCUUCCAGGGGCUCAAGUCCACAGCUGGUCUCCCUGUCAGCCGCCGCUCCAGCGCCAGCCUCGGCAGCGUCAGCAAUGGCGGAAGGAUCAGGUGCAUGCAGGUAUGUCGGGGCACAAAACUGAUAUGAGUUUCUUCCACAUUACAAUUACUGCACUUAGCAGUUACUAGCACUAAGUGUUAAGCGUUCCAUAAUUUCCAAUCAUUCAGGUGUGGCCGAUUGAGGGUAUCAAGAAGUUCGAGACCCUGUCUUACUUGCCACCCCUCACCACGGAGGCCCUCCUGAAGCAGGUUGACUACCUGAUCCGCUCCAAGUGGGUGCCCUGCCUCGAGUUCAGCAAGGUUGGCUUCGUCUUCCGUGAGCACAACAGCUCCCCCGGGUACUACGACGGCCGAUACUGGACAAUGUGGAAGCUGCCUAUGUUUGGGUGCACCGACGCUACACAGGUGCUUAACGAGGUGGAGGAGGUCAAGAAGGAGUACCCUGACGCUUACGUACGUAUCAUCGGCUUCGACAACCUGCGGCAGGUGCAGUGCGUCAGCUUCAUCGCCUUCAGGCCACCGGGUUGCGAGGAGUCCGGCAAGGCAUAAACUACGAGGUGAAAGAAUGGCCUAUGUCGUAUGAAGGUCNGCAAGGCUGGAAAAAGGAUUUGUGGCAAUCACACAUUGACAUGGACGACUGAAAUUUUCGGCACACACAACGCAUCCAACGGCCAUGCCUCUUACACUAAUCCGGAGAGAUAAGGAAACCAGGCAACCAACAAACGCCAGCCACCCCUUCCACAUCUUGAUUAAAGAUAGGAGCUCACAUGGCUAUAUAUACCGUGCUGAACAGGCAAUGGGGGCCUCAAGUGUAGCCGGCAUCCUCCUCUCUACAGUUAAUACAGUACCAUGGCCCCCGCCGUGAUGGCUUCGUCGGCUACCACCGUCGCACCCUUCCAGGGGCUCAAGUCCACAGCUGGUCUCCCUGUCAGCCGCCGCUCCAGCGCCAGCCUCGGCAGCGUCAGCAAUGGCGGAAGGAUCAGGUGCAUGCAGGUAUGUCGGGGCACAAAACUGAUAUGAGUUUCUUCCACAUUACAAUUACUGCACUUAGCAGUUACUAGCACUAAGUGUUAAGCGUUCCAUAAUUUCCAAUCAUUCAGGUGUGGCCGAUUGAGGGUAUCAAGAAGUUCGAGACCCUGUCUUACUUGCCACCCCUCACCACGGAGGCCCUCCUGAAGCAGGUUGACUACCUGAUCCGCUCCAAGUGGGUGCCCUGCCUCGAGUUCAGCAAGGUUGGCUUCGUCUUCCGUGAGCACAACAGCUCCCCCGGGUACUACGACGGCCGAUACUGGACAAUGUGGAAGCUGCCUAUGUUCGGGUGCACCGACGCUACACAGGUGCUUAACGAGGUGGAGGAGGUCAAGAAGGAGUACCCUGACGCUUACGUACGUAUCAUCGGCUUCGACAACCUGCGGCAGGUGCAGUGCGUCAGCUUCAUCGCCUUCAGGCCACCGGGUUGCGAGGAGUCCGGCAAGGCAUAAACUACGAGGUGAAAGAAUGGCCUAUGUCGUAUGAAGGUCUUUUGUGAACUUCACUUUUGUCCACGACUCUGCUUUCCGACCAGAGCAUAAUUUUCUUCUCUAUGAUCUGUGUAUGUACGAGCAUAGGUUGUGGAGCAUAUAUGCAUAUGUAAAUUCUAGCACCGCCUACACAUAUACAACACCUGUGUCAUAUUUAUAAUAUAUACAACAAGCGGACCAUUGUCUUGCUGUUAAUUAUCGGAAAAGUUUAUUUUAUUUAGCACUGCAAUGGAUGUCUCACAGCUAGUGGGUGGAAGAUUUCAGUAUUUGACAUUAAGACCCACUGAUUGACAAUUGCAAUUUUCAGUUUCUUUACUUAUAUCAAUAACAAAAUAAUUGUGGUAUCUUUUCCAUGUCACUACCAUCAUUUUCAUCGGUUUUUGCUAGUAGAAUAGGAUGACACAUAUUCUUAGUAGAGACACUUACUAAAGAACGUGUGAUGGUCUGGAUAAUAAGCAUCUAACUGACUAGAUAUAGCAACAACAUUCGAACCAUAUUAUGGAUCUAUUGGAAUAAAUCUCGAACAUGCAUUGCAUGAGCUCCUUGAGAAGGAUUGUAAUCAUGCUAGUGAAAAUCAAGAAAAAAAACUCGGAUUUCUGUAAGUACUAUGGAGCAACAGCUCCACCGUCCUUUAUUCCAUGAAAACAAAAGCAGGCAAGAAAUAUUUACAAAGGGAACAAAGGAAAAAGAAAAAAACACUUACCUACUUACCUAUUUAUCUAAUGGAGGUUAGAGCAACCUCAACCGGACGAUCCAAAUGAAUGUGUGUUUUGCCCACGUUCUGACCGUUUGGGACGGCAUGUCCGCCCUGUUUUUCUUUUGGGUCGGCCGUGUGCCCAAGCGCCGACCAUCUUUCGUUAGCACGACAGGCUUGCAGGCAUUUUUUGAUCGCUUUGUCAUGUAUGUAUACAAUUUGAUCCUAUAUUAACAAAGUUAUGUAAAAAUACAAAACGUUUCAUAGUUCAGACACCACAUAAAUAUCUCAUACACUAGUAGAGAAAUGAGCUAUAGUCCCGGUUGAACACGACCUUGGACUAAAAGUCCCACCACGUGGCAGCAAGUGCGCUGGGGGUGGGGACCUUUAGUCCCGGUUGGUGACACCAACGAGGACUAAAAGGCAGCCAUGCGCUAGCACUGCUAAGCCCUGUGGUUUAUGUUUUUUNNNNNNNNNACACAUAUUGAUAUAAAACAUCAGUACAAAUUUUGGAAGAACGACAUCCAACAUCAAUACAAAUUAGAUGGAUGCAAGAGACCAAGUUGAAUUAGAGGAAAACACGAUGUUGCGAAUCGCAACAUGGUGUUUUCCUCUAAUUCAAUUUGGUCUAUUGCGUCCGUCUAAGGAAGGAUCGUCGUGCCGCUGAGAUGGUUGGCCGGUAGCUCGCUGGAUCUCAAAUUCCUCUAGUUUCGCUAAUCUUGCAGUGAGCUUCUGCAUUUCGGUUGCUUACUCUUUUUCUUUCUCUGUCGGCUUCUAUAACCAUCGCUUCGGGAAACCCAUGCACCGACGGAACAGAGCAUGAUUUGCCUCGUGUUCGUCUAGGGUGUUCGGGAUUCCCGAGGGCCUUUGUCAGCUCGUCCUUCUCUCUAUGGGGAAUGAUAGUUCCUUCCCGCGCUGCCUUGAAUGCAUCCUCAAGCUUGGUAAUGGGUAUUGCAAGUAAUUCGUUCGUCCAAACACACUUCCUUGAUUCUGGGUCCAAAGUUCCCCAAACCCCGAAGAACCAAGUCCUUGACCGAUCUGGCCAGUGCAAUGUCACUAGUUGGAACCCUUCAGCAAGCAGGUCUUGCUCAACAUUGUCCCACAACGGCCGGGCUUUGCUGUCGCCACCUGACCCCGUGGUAUGGUGAUACUUCUUCAAUGCAUCAUUUUUCUUGUUUGUCUCUGACCUUUGCUUACACUUGUUCGAUUUCUUGUAGGCCACAAAUGCGGUCCAGUGAUCUCUGAUCUUCUUGUAUUGACUGACGAACUCUAGAGUUUCGUCUUUCUCGAAAAACUUUGUGUUCAAAUGUUUCCUCCAGUUUUUCAAUAGUUCUGGCAUCUUCUUAAGAGCAAACGCCUUGACCUUUCUCUCUAUAACUUUGUUAUUCGGAUCCUCCCCAGGCGGUAGGCUGAAAUUUGUCAUCAGCGAGGUCCAAAGAUCAUCUUUCAGUCUAUCAUGGACAUACGAAACUUCAGGGUCCUUCUUCUUAUUCCAUUUUGUGGAUUGUGAUUGGGACGCUGUCCCUAACAAGAACUCCGCACUGAUGUACAAAUGUGUUCUUCGUCCACGUGGGAGCAAUCGGUUGGCCAUUUUCCGCGACUUCUGUGAUCGUGAACCUUUCAUCGUCGCACAACCUUUUCUUCGGGCCUCGUCUCGUUACGGAAGUUUGGCUCGAUCCAGAGGGAUAAAAGAAGAAAGAAGCGUUCAUAUAUGUACAUACCAAAACAAUUAAUGCAUCAAGUCAGCACAUGCUUAAUUAAUAUAUAUGAAUAUAUAUAGAUAUACCAUGGCGUACUUUGCAAUAGUUAAGGAUCCCUCCUCUGUUCGGUCACCGGAGCCGUCACCAUGAUCUCCUUCCUCCGACAUUCAGUCACCAGAGCCGUCAUGACCUACUUCCUCCUCCAUUGUUGGAUCACCGGAGCCAUCAUCCUGUCCUUCUUGACCAUCGGUGUCGUUGAGAAACGACAAGGGAUCACCUCCGUCACAGAUUAUAUCCGCCAACAUCUCUUCUUGUUCCAAGUCUCUUUCCAUAGUUUCUGCAAAUAUUACAACAUGGCAAUAUACAAACAUGCAUGAGAGAUGGAUUAGUGGAAAAGAUGGACUUAAUAUCACAAGAAGGAAUCAUAUGCAUAUGAGCAAUAGAUUAGUGGCGAACAUCGUCGAGGACUCCUCCCCCUCAAGUCUGAUGAGUCGUCCUAUAUAUCUUUCGAGUGAGGAUACUUUGCGGACCGCCUCUCUCAUGCACGUCCGAUGUCCCCCCUCAUGUCGAAGUUAUCGGGGUUAUACUUUCAGGAGAGUACACUAUAUAUUAUUAUACAUAACAACUACGAGUAGAGGCGGGAGGGGGUAGAUCGACAAUGACGCUCUUUCUUCUAGGGUUUGGGUGACCUCGAUAGUUGGUCGGGCGAGCGGACCGCCUCUUUGUUAUGUAUGUGAGACGUCCCCCCUCAUGUUGUCAUUCUAGUAUUGUUUCACUAUUUUAGUAAAAAAGAGAUUUGUAAAUUUUUAUUCAUACUUCAUGCUGAAUGGAUUUGUUCUAGUUCUUCUCAUUUCUUGUUGGGCUUUCGCACCUGCUUUUUUCCUAUUAAGAAUAUAUCAACUAUAGGAAUGGGAGCGUCACAUUUACCUUUAAAAAAAUAGCUUCACAUUUUCAUUUCAAAAAAGGACUUGUUAUCAUGUCUCUGGUGCAUAGACUUAUAGACAAAAUGAAUACAAGAUUUAUAUUAAGAAUACAAGACUUUCUAUUAAGAAUACACAACAUUAAUUCUUUGGAAGGCAGUGAAGAAACCUCUAUUUUCCCUCCAGUGCGAAGGGCUUAUUUCGUACAUAUGGUUUAUAUGUUGCAGGGAACAGUUCCAUCAUGGUGACGGUGUAAUUUCGAUCAACCUUACAAAAUGGAAAUAGCCAGUACAGUGGAUGAUAAUUUAGCCUUGAUUACUAAAGGGUACCGAGCUAUGAGUUACAAGUAGGCAUGCAGUGAGCCCUCUUUGAUCUCCUUAAUUAUUUUUUGCUUUUUCACGUGUUUAUGUCGCUGCAGUGGAGAGCACGACUGUAAAAUAUCUUAUGUGUAUACCCAAGCAUGGAUCAGACAACUUAACCUAUCCAUCACAGAUCACUGCGACUAUGGCAUGUGGAUGGCCAAGAUUUAUACACAAGAUGAAUAUAAGAUGAAUACACAAGAUGAACUAGAGGAUAAUGCUUUCCUCUCAAUUCUUUACAUUAGCUCGGAAUAAAAAUAUCACAAAUGAAAAUUUUGUAAUAAUUUCUUUAGGUUUCAGAAUUUGCAAAUUUCUCUAACUUUGAUAACGAAAUAUGCCUGAAGCAGUACCAUGUGAAUAUUAUGAGCAUAAUCAUCCUCAAGCACAAAAAGAAUGCCGCACAAUAUUGUAACCGAAAGAAAACGGCGGAGUCAACCAGCAAAGUGGCGGCGCGAGCGGCAUUGGGGACGGGGUCAGCGUCGGCAUCGGGGUGGGGCAGCAGCNGUGGCGGUGCCGGUGACGACAUCAGGGUCGGCGAAGAGGAGGGGAUCGGGGCGACGCUCACAACAACGAGGCAUCGGCGACGGUGUCGGGGAAGGGCUCGGCAACGGCGUGCGUCGGGGAAGGGCUCAGCGACGGCGCAUGUCAGGGAAGGACUCGGCGACGUCGUUGGUCGGGGAAGGGCUCGGCGAUGGCGAGCUCCGACAGCCUCACAUCGUCGUGGUGUUGUGUUUGACGUGGGGGAGAGAUUGAAACUGAGACCGAAACUGCCAAGUCCUGCCUUAUAUACACACACCUUUAGUCCCGGUUGGUGGCUUCGACCGAGACUAAUUAAAGGCCCCCCUUUAGUCACGGUUCAAGCCACCAACCGAGACUAAAGCUGAAUUUCAAAGGCCCAAGUGCGCGAAACCGCGAGUCCUUUGGUCCCGGUUGGUGGCUCGGACCGGGACUAAAGGGGGUCCUUUAGUCCUAGUCGAAACCACCAACCGGGACUAAAAGGCUGCUCCUGGAACUAGCGCAGGGUGGUGGAAGUUUAGUUCCACCUCGCCAAGCGAAGGGCGCUUGCAGUGGUUUAUAAGCCCUCCUACGGCUUACCUCUCCAGCUCCUCUCUAUUGCAAGCAGUACAUGCCUAACACUUUCUGUGCCCUGUUGGGCCUAAUUACCCCGUGGGCCUGCAUCCUGGCCCAAGUAUAGUUGGGUUCCUAGUCGUAUGUAGGCCAUGGUGGCCUAUUAGGAGGGCAUUUUCUUUAUUUUUUGCAAAAUUAUAUUUUGAUCAUAACCUGAGGUUUACAAAAGCUUUUUAGUUGAUUCUUUUUGUUAUUGAAGAAUAUUAUAGUUUUGUUUUAGUUGAUCACAACAAAAUAUUUUAAUUGAUUCUUUUUAGUUGAUUCCUUUUGCUAUUAGAGUUUUAUAAAAGCUUUUUAGUUUGCUAUUAAAGUUUCUAACAAAAAAUACUUUAUGAAAAUUCCUUGAGUUUGUGGUAGCAACCAACUAAAUACUUAGAGUNNNNNNNNNNNNNNNNNNNNNNNNNNNNNNNNNNNNNNNNNNNNNNNNNNNNNNNNNNNNNNNNNNNNNNNNNNNNNNNNNNNNNNNNNNNNNNNNNNNNUUGGGCUUGCGUUGGUUCUUCCCUUGAAGAGGAAAGGGUGAUGCAGCACAGGAGCAGUAAGUAUUUCCCUCAGUUUGAGAACCAUGGUAUCAAUCCAGUAGGAGAAUCUCGUCAAGUCGAGAGUACCUGCACAAACACAAAAGAGCUUGCACCCAACGCUAUAAAGGGGUUGUCAAUCCCUUCAAGAUUGUUUGCAAAGUGAGUUCUGAAGGCGGAAAGUGCAACGAAGUAAAAAGUGUAAGGCUGAAAAUAUGUUGUGGAGUAGACCCUGGAGGCCAUAGUGUUCACUAGAGGCUUCUCUCAAAAAAGCAAGUAUUACGGUGGGUGAACAAAUUACUGUCGAGCAAUUGAUAGAACCGCGCUAAGUCAUGACGAUAUGUAAGGCAAUGAUCAUACAUAUAGGCAUCACGUCCGAGACAAGUAGACCGAUACUUUCUACAUCUACUACUAUUACUCCACACAUCGGCCGCUAUCCAGCAUGCAUCUAGUGUAUUGAGUUCAUGACGAACAGAGUAACGCCUUAAGCAAGAUGGCAUGGUGUAGAGGGAUAAUCUCAAACCAAUGAUGAAAACCCCAUCUUUUUACCCUUGAUGGCAUCAACACGAUAUGUGCCUCGCUACCCCUUCAGUCACUGGGUGAGGUCACCGCACGGUAUGAACCCAAAACCAAGCACUUCUCCCAUUGCAAGAAUUAUAGANNNNNNNNNNNNNNNNNNNNNNNNNNNNNNNNNNNNNNNNNNNNNNNNNNNNNNNNNNNNNNNNNNNNNNNNNNNNNNNNNNNNNNNNNNNNNNNNNNNNCUAUGAUCUCUAAGUUGUCAUUGCAAACAUGGUUCUCUCACAACAAAGUUGAAUCUAGGUCGAUAAGCUAGUCAUAUUUACAAAAACAAAAUAGAUAGAGUUCAUACCAGCUUUUCAGUCUCAGUCACUUCAUCAUAUAUCAUCAUUGUUGCCUUUCAUUUGCACGAUCGAACGAUGAGAACGAUAAUAAGCGCAUUGGACUAAGCUGAAUCUGCAGGCAAACACAAAGGAGAUGACAAAAUAAUAUGGCUCUUUGAAAGCUAAACAGGUAAGCAUGCAUGAACAAAUAAACAUUGUAACCAAUAUAUUCUACCUUGACACAAAGAAAAAGAAAACUAUUUACACGGGAAAGCUCCCAACAAGCAAAAGAAGAGAGAAAAAUCUUUUUGGGUUUUCUCAAAAGGACACAAAACAAGAAAACAAGAAAACAAAAAGAAACUAGCAUGGAUAAUACAGUGGAAAAGUGUAAACAUCAGCUAACAAAGUGAAAGCAUAACCAUGAAUGUAAAGUCGGUGAGAACACGUACUCCCCCAAGCUUAGGAUUUUGGCCUAGCUUGGUCUACUCCCAAGGUGGGAAAUAACCAGCUCCAGGAUACUCCGGAGAAGACUGUGGAUGCCACUGCUGUGUGAGCUCCUCUGGCUCCCACUGAUAAACUGGCGUCUGGUACUCCACUGGCGGCUCGGGCAGGGGCGCCUGUGGUUGGGCCAAGCCCCAAUAUGCGUAGAUGUCCGCGGGCAUAAUAGUGUACCUCCCUGCAUGAAGAUCGAACAAAGAAGGAGCAGGCUAAGUAAUAGUCUCUCGAGUACCUUGACUAAACACCAGGUUGAAAAUCAUCCAUCUACUAGCAUCUCUAUCCAGAAAAUCAUGGCGAACCAUGCUGUCAUAAUCCAGAUACCUCUCAGGGAGAAGCAUCUCUCCUUCCUCUCCCAGUCUAAUGGGUAUCUCAAAGUGUCUGGCAAGACGGGUAGCAUAGAUACCUCCAUAGACGACUCCUUUAGAACGGUUCAGGUUCAACCGUUGAGCUACUAUAGCGCCCAAGCUAUAAGUCUUAUCGUUAUAAAGGCCUUCGCGCAGAACCACAAGGUCUGGAGAACUAUGUGAUCCAGCCUCCCCACGGCCAAUCAAACAUUUUCCCACAAAUAGUGAGAAGUACCGAAGCACAGGAAAAUGUAUGCUAGCAAUUCUAGCGCGAGACACUCCUCUCUCCUCUCCAAGAGCAAUAGAACCAAUGAAAUCCUCCAAGUCCCGUGGACGAGGAUCAUGGAUAUCCCCAACAUAAGGUAAUUUGCAUACAUUGCAAAAAUCCUGCAGCGUCAUGCACUCGGGACAUCGUAUAUCAUGAACUCAACCAUGGGAGGAUUCUUCCUCGGAUAAAAGUUGAAGCUUUGAACGAAAAUAUUGGUGAGGAGGAGGUAUUGUGGGCACUUAUCUUCAACAAACGCAGUAAGACCUGUGUUCUCCACCAAGUAAUAAAAGUCUUCAUAAAGUCCGACGACGCGCAAAAAUUCAUCACUUGGCCACUCGCACGCUCGAACUUCUGUGACCUGAGGGACUACGUACUUGGGGUGAUUCUUCUCAUCCUCCUUGGGGUUACGGCUUGAAGAGCCUCUCAAGAACCUCCUCAUCUUUUCCUUUUUCUAGCUCUGAAAAAUUCUGAAAUUUUUAGAGACUUUGAAAGAAAAGUGAAUGAAGAUUAACCCAACUUGUAGCAACUACUCCUACUAGUGCCUAGAGACCAUAUCACGCGCUAAAACUACAUGGGACCAACUAAAAUCAACAUUUCUAGCUCAAGAACAGGGUCACCAAGGUAGGAAGAAUACGCGAAGGAUAAAGCACUAGAGCAAAAACUAAUUGGACAAAUGGAGGAGUCACUUACCAAGGAGUAAUUUCCCCAAAGCGGUUCGGAGAAUGGUGCUUUAAGCAAGGAGAUCGAAAAUCACAGCCAAAUGAGGAAGAACACGAGUUUGAGCUGCGAAACAAUUUUUUCUUGGGGUGGAAGAAGAGGCUGGGAGCUGGAAUGAGUGGAGGGGGUGCGUGUGGGCCCCACAAGCUUGCACCCCGCCACCAGGGGGGUAGGUGGGGGUGGAAGGGCUUGUGGCCCACUGGUCAGGACCCCAGGCCAGCUCUCAGGCCCAGAAAUUUUCAAAAAUUCUAGAAAAAAUCAUACUAAAUUUUCAGGACCAUCGGAGAAUUUUUAUUUUCGAGGUAUUUUUCUCUGGGCCGCUAAAACGAAAAACAGGAAAAACUAAACUAAUUCUAUCAUUUUUCUUUUAAGCAAAAGAAAAGGAAAACUUAAAACAGAGGUAUGUGACUCCUUGAUUCAUCCGUUUCAUGGUCAUCGAAAGAAAUCCGUCAAUGGGAUUGAUCAAGUCCUUAUGAUAGAACCUUCUGGAAUCGCAAGAGAGAACGGAGAAUUUUUGAAUAGCCACUAAGUCACCUCAAUGGGUAUAUGUAUCUCCCCAACAAGCAAAUCAUACUUCAUCUUGACACGAGGAAUAGGGCAUUCAAAGCUCCCAAUGAGAAUCGAUGAAGUCUUUUCGAUAGCAUUGAUGCAAUGUACUGGAUAUCGUUUCUUCGGAAAGUGCACGGUGUGCUCAUUACCGUUGACGUGGAAAGUGACAUUGCCCUUGUUGCAAUCUAUAACAGUCCCUGUAGUGUUUAAAAAGGGUCUUCCGAGGAUGAUAGCCAUGUCAUUGUCCUUGGGAAUAUCCAAGAUAACAAAGUUUGUUAAGAUAGUGGUAUUAGCAACCACAACAGGCACAUCCUCGCAAACGCCGAUAGGGAAAGCAGUUGAUUUGUCGGCCAUUUGCAGAGAAAUUUCNNNNNNNNNNCUCAAGUCUAUGAUAAAAAGAGAGCGGCAUAACACUAACACCGGCUCCAAGGUCACAUAAGGCAGUUCUUACGUAGUUUCCUUUAAUGGAGCAAGGUGUAGUGGGCACUCCGGGAUCACAAAGUUUCUUAGGAGUUCCACCUUUAAAAGUGUAAUUGGCAAGCAUGGUGGAGAUCUCAAGAUCUGGUAUCUUCCGUUUAUUAGUCACGAUAUCUUUCAUGUACUUGGCAUACAGAGACGAGUAUAUCAGUUAACCGCAUCUGCAGAAAUACGGGUCUUAUCAUCUCAACGAAGCGCUCAAAAUCCUCAUCAUCCUUUUUCUUGGAUGGCUUAGGAGGAAAUGACAUAGGUCUCUGAACCCAUGGCUCUCUUUCUUUACCAUGCUUCCUAGCAUUGAAGUCAUUCUUAUCGUAUUUCUUAGGUUGUGGGUUAUUAGGAUUAACCGUAGGUUCAAUCUCCACAUCCUCAUCAUUGCUAGGUUGAGCAUUAUUAUGAACAUCGCUGUCCAUAUUGUCACCAGGUUCAUGUUCAUCACCAGAUUGUGUUUCUGCAUCAGACGCAUAAAUAUCAUUAGGUUCUUCAGGUGUGACGGUAUUUGGUGAACUGGCGUGUAGGUUUCUAUCAUCCUUCUUCUUCUCCUUAGGAUGACUAGGUGUAUCAGCAUUGAUUCCUUGAGAAUCUUGAUCAAUUCUCUUAAGAUGACCUUCAGGAUACAAAGGUUCCUGAGUCAUUUUGCCUCCUCUAGUAAUGACUCUGACAGAGUUGUCAUUUAAUUCAUCGAGCAGGUCAUUCUGAGCUUUGAGUACUUGUUCUACUUGAGUAGUAAUCAUAGAGGCAUGUUUACUCAGAAGCUUCAGAUCAUUGACAUUUCUGUCUACACAAGCACUUAAAUGGCUAAGCAUACGAGUACUUUGUUCCAAAUGUCUGCUAACAUAAGCAUUGAAACUCUGUUGUUUGGCAACAAAGUUGUCAAAUUCAUCAAAGCAUAGGCUAGCAGGUUUNNNNNNNNNNNNNNNNNNNNNNNNNNNNNNNNNNNNNNNNNNNNNNNNNNNNNNNNNNNNNNNNNNNNNNNNNNNNNNNNNNNNNNNNNNNNNNNNNNNNUUAUUUCAUAAUAUAUAUAUAUAUAUAUAUAUAUAUAUAUAUAUUUCACAACACAUAUAUGAUAUAUAUUUCACAACACAUAUAUAUAGUUCACCACACAUAUAUGAUAUACAUACAAAGUUCACCAAUGUACAUCCCAUAUAUCGAAAGAACCAACAUACAAAGUUUUACACUGUUCAUCCAUAGAUACAUAUACAUAUAGUUCGACAUUGUUCAUCAACUCAAAUUAAAACUAGAACUAAUAAGGCACUCCAUGAAUGCCAGCUUCCAUGCAUGUAGUACAUCCAAUCUGCAGAAAUGUGAAUAAGAAAGUCAGAAGAAGAACAACAUAUGAUAUUUUAGAGGAAAACAAGCUAAGAAUAUAAUAUUCAUUAGCUAACCAAGGUUCUAAUGCCAUUUUGAGCUUAUUAUGUCAUUUUGGAGCUAAAUGGGCUAAUUAUAUAUGUCAUUGUUGGGGAAAAUAAGGUAAGGAGAAUAAGAAAGAGGAGAAGAAAGAGGAGGAGGAGGAGAACAAAGAGGAGGAGGAGGAGAAGAAGAAGAAAUCAAGAAGAAGGAGAAGAAGAAGGAGGAGAACGAGGAGAAGGUCUUCUCCUCCUUCUCCUUCUUCUCCUCCUCCUCCUUCUCCUUCUUCUUGUCUUCUUCUUCUUCUUCUUCUUCCUUCUUUUCAUUUUUCCUAUUUCUUCUCCUCUUCUCCUCUUUUUGGAGCUAAAUUAUCUAAUUAUGUCUUUUUGGAGCUAUAUGGGCUAAUUAUGUCAUUUUAGAGGAAAACAAUCUAAUAAUAUAAUAUUCAUGAGCUAACCAAUGUUUUUAUGCCAUUUUGAGCUUAUUAUGUCAUUUUGGAGGAUAAUUAGCUAAGUUAUGAGCUAACCAAGGUUAUUACGAUGUUUUUACCCUAAUUAAGCUAAUUAUGUCAUUUUGGAGGAUAAUUAGCUAAGUAUGUCUUAAUUCGGGAAAAUAAGCUACGCAGAAGAAGAAAGAGAAGAAGCAAGAAGAGAAGAAGAAGGAGGAGAAGGAGAAGGAGGAGGAGGAGAAUGAGAAGGAGGAGGAGGAGAAGAAGAAGAGAAGAAGAAGGAGAAUAAGAAGGAGAACAAGGAGGAGAGAAGAAGGAGAAGAAGGAGGGAGAACAAGAAGGAAGAGAGAAGAAGGAGAAGAAGGAAGGAUCCUUCUCCUUCUUCUUCUCUUCUUCUUCUUCUUCCUUCUUUUCAUUUUUCCUAUUUCUUCUCCUCUUCUCCUCUUCUUCUUAUUCUUCUCCUCCUCCUCCUCCUCUUCUCCUCUUCUCCUCUUCUUCCUCCUCUUCUUCUUCUUCUUCCUCUUAUUUCUAUUUCUAUAUUUCUUUAUCCACUUCUUCUACUUAUUCUUCUUUUCUUAUUUUUUCUCUCUUCUUAUUUUUUCUUCUUCUCUUCUUCUCUUCUUCUUCUCUUCUUCUCCUCUUCUCCUUUUGUUGGAGCUAAAUUAUAUAAUAAUGUCUUUUUGGAGCUAUAUGGGCUAAUUAUGUCAUUUUAGAGGAAAACAAGGUAAGAAUAUAAUAUUCAUGAGCUAACCAAGGUUUUUAUGCCAUUUUAAGCUUAUUAUAUCAUUUUUGGAGGAUAAUUACCUAAGUUGUGAGCUAACCAAGGUUCUUAGGAUGUUUUUACCCUAACUAAGCUAAUUAUGUUAGUUUGGAGGAUAAUUAGCUAAGUAUGUCUUUGUUGGGGAAAAUAAGCUACGUAGAAGAAGAAAGAGAAGAAGCAAGAAGAGAAGAAGAAGGAGAAGGAUGAGAAGGAGAAGGAGGAGGAGGAGAAUUAGAAGGAGGAGGAGGAGGAGAAGAAGAGAAGAAUAAGGAGAAGAAGAAGGAGAAGAAGGAGGUGAGAAGAAGCAGAAGAAGAAGGAGAAGAAGGAGGGAGAAGAAUAAGGAUGAGAGAAGAAGGAGAAGAAGGAGGGCUCCUUCUCCUCCUCCUCGUUCUCAUGCUUCUUCUCUUCUUCUUCUCUUCUCCUUCUCUUCUUCCUUCUUCUUCCUUCUUUUCAUUUUUCCUCUUUCUUCUCCUCCUCUUCUUCUUCUUCUUCUUCUUCUCCUCCUCCUCCUCCUCCUCCUCUUCUCCUCUUCUUCCUCCGCUUCUUCUUCUUCUUCCUCUUAUUUCUAGUUCUAUUUUUCUUUAUCCUCUUCUUCUACUUAUUCUUCUUUUCUUCUUUUUUCUCUUCUUCUCCUUAUUUUCUUCUUCUUAUCUUCUUCUCUUAUUCUUUUCUACUUCUCCUUCUUAUUUCUUUUCUUCGCCUCUUCUUCUUCUCCUUCUUAUUUUUUUUCUUCUCCUCUUCUUCUUCUUCUUCUUCUUCUUCUUCUUCUCCUUCUUAUUUUUUUCUCUUCUUCUUCUUCUUCUUCUUCUACUUCUUCUCCUCCUCCUCCUCCUCCUCCUCCUCCACUUCUUCUCCUCCUCCUCUUCUUCUUCUUCUUCUUCCUCUUCUUUCUAUUAAUCUAACUAACUACAACAACUACAACAACAACAACUACUACAACAACUACAAUAACAAGAACAACUACUAUAGCAACAAUAAAAAAAUCAUCUUUUUAGUUAUAAUCGAAUUCCAAAAAUCUAAAUAACAAAUAUUUAAUUUUCCUGUGGGGUGGGGUGUGGGGGCUCACCGGCAGGGUCGGCUAUGGCGUUGUGUAUGGCGGGGCCAGGGGUGUUGGGGCGGCGGGCCAACGCCGGGGGUGUUGGGGCUGUAGGGUGUCGACGAGGGCGGUGGGGCAGCGACANNNNNNNNNNNNNNNNNNNNNNNNNNNNNNNNNNNNNNNNNNNNNNNNNNNNNNNNNNNNNNNNNNNNNNNNNNNNNNNNNNNNNNNNNNNNNNNNNNNNGAAUAUUUGUGUUCAUCCUGAAGAUGAUGUUAAAAGAAAUGCGAACAAAAGUGAGAGAGACAUGCACUUAGUUUUUUUUGUGAGAGGAAGUUGUGCGCGCAUAGACACGAUACCACACCAUUCAAGAUAAUUAACAGAAACUAGGCAUAAACAUAGACUAAGUUCAAAUCAAAAUAUGUAACUGUGAAGCCAAAUCAAACAAACGAAUAUGUUUAGCCAACCAAGCAGGAGAGCACUAACCAAACAAUGCUUACUAGCUAGCUAGUAAACUAGAACGUGACCAUCCAACGUACAUACACGCAUCAUGCAGGAACCGAUAUGAACAUUUUUCCGUAAGAGGGACAUCAAGACCUUGUUUUGGAAGGACUAAAGAGCUCAAGCAGUUAAGAGUCAAUCCUGAAGCAUGAGGCCAUGGAUAACAGUAACAACCAUGAGGAACAAUAUAUCAAAGCGUAGAAUGCAAUCAUGUGAACCAAACUUAACUCAGCAACAACUACAAGAAUGCUGGUGGCUGCAACAUACUGGUAGAAAAAAGACUAGCUGGGUGUUUAGUGCAGUAGACAUUAAACUACCACUAAUUGAGACAUAAGUGAAGGUACCAACACUGUAACAUCUUAUACUCAGGGUAUAGUAAGCUUAAAUUUCAAGAUAAAACACAAACAGAGUGCGUAUAAAUCAUCACAGGAGUCGUGCUUCAAAAUGUGCAGGCAGGAUUUUAUGUUGGCUACAUCAAUAAUCAUCAUAAUCCUAAAUCACAGUUGAUAGGGUGAGCGAAACAAAAUGCCCAAUGCCUAACCGCUGGCUGAAACCAAUUUGCACGAAAUAAAGCCUAUGAUUCGCAAAUAUCUGAAUCGUUCUCCUGUCCAUCUUAGUAACAUACAGAAAUGAAUCGCACACCGAAUAAUUGAUCCAAGAAAACUUUUGUCCUAGCCAAGAUAAUNNNNNNNNNNAAUAUCUCAAUCGUUCUCCUGUCCAUCUUAGUAACAUACAGAGAUGAAUCUCACACCGAAUAAUUGAUCCAAGAAAACUUUUGUCCUAGCCAAGAUAAUGGGGGAAACUCGAAUUUGUUUAAUGGUUUAACCUUUUUCAUCAAGGUGGGAAGCUCUGGAAAUAGUGUUUCUUUAACAAUAGUACAUAGAUGUUCUAAUAUGUAGANNNNNNNNNNNNNNNNNNNNNNNNNNNNNNNNNNNNNNNNNNNNNNNNNNNNNNNNNNNNNNNNNNNNNNNNNNNNNNNNNNNNNNNNNNNNNNNNNNNNGGAGUUGAUACGUCUCCAUCGUAUCUACUUUCCCAAACUCUUUUGCCCUUGUUUUUGGACUCUAAUUUGCAUGAUUUGAAUGGAACUAACCCGGACUGACGCUGUUUUCAGCAGAAUUGCCAUGGUGUUGUUUUUGUGCAGAAAUGAAAGUUCUCGGAACAUCCUAAAAAUUUACAAAGAAUAUUUCUGGAAAAUUUGAGAAAUACCUGCGCAAAGAUCCACCGGAGGGGACGGGCCAGUGGGCCACAAGCCCUAACGCCGCGGCCUCCCCCCUGGCCGCGGCAACCAAGCUUGUGGGGCCCACGUGGCUCUACCGCCCCCAACUCGAGCGCUAUUAUUCCCUUUCGUCCCGAAAAAAAUCAAGAGAGAAGAUUUCAUCGCGUUUGCAACACAGAGGCGCCGCCACAUCCUGUUCUUCAUCUGGUGGGCAGAUCUGGAGUCCAUUUUGGGCUCCGGAUCAAGGAGAUCGUCGCCAUCGUCAUCAUCAACCUUCUUCCCUCUCCAAUUCCAUCUAGCUCUUCAUCAUUCCUGAGUAAUCUAUUCGUAGGCUCGCUGGGCGGUGAUGAGUAGGAUGAGAUCUAUCAUGUAAUCGACUUAGUUUUGACGGGGAUUGAUCCCUAGUAUCCACUAUGUUCUGAGAUUGAUGUUGCUACUACUUUGCCAUGCUUAAUGCUUGUCACUAGGGCCCGAGUGCCAUGAUUUCAGAUCUGAAAUUAUUAUGUUGUCACCAAUAUAUAUGUGUUCUAGAUCCGAUCUUGCAAGUUGUAGUUAGCUAGUAUUUGUUAUGAUCCGGCAACCCCGGAGUGACAAUAACCGGAACCACUCCCGGUGAUGACCAAAGGUUGAGGAAUACAUGUGUUCACCAAGUGCUAAUGCGUUGGUCCGGUUCUUUAUUAAAAGAAGAACCUUAAUAUCCCGUAGUAUCCAUUUGGACACCGCUGCCACGGGAGGGAUGGACAAUAGAUGUCAUGCAAGUUCUUUUCCCUAAGCACNNNNNNNNNNAUAAUGCAUGCCUACAUCACAUUGACGAACGGGAGCUAGCCACAUAUCUCUCCGUGUUAUAACUGUUGCAUGAUGAAUGUCAUCCAACAAAUCACCGAUCCAUUGCCUACGAGUUUGUCCCACUGCUGUUGUUACUUGUUUUGCUCUGCUGCUGUUACUACUGUUGCUCCUACUAUUACUUGCUGCUAGUGUUACUUGCUUUGUCCUGCUGCUGCUGCCACUACUUUUGCUACUACUGUUACUUGCUACUGUUGUUACUUGCUACUGUUGCUACUUGCCACUGCUUCACUACUGCUGUUCCUUGCCACUGCUGCUACUCGUUACACUGCUACUACCUGCUACAAUAAUUUUUCUAGCACCGUUGCCGGGAAAGAAUAUUUCCCAUCCACGGGCAACUUACUGGCGCCAUUGAAACAACAGUUAGGAAUAGUCUGCCGUCAACAGAUCGUUUCUGGCACCGUUGUUAUCAUACUACUUUGCUACUGAUACUUUGCUUGCACACACUAAUCUUUCAGGUGUGGUUGAAUCUGACACAUUCAGCAUCUUAUACUUGAGAAUAUUCUUUCACUUCCCAUCGUGCGAACCAACAAAUUUGGGUUGACUACUCUACCCUCGAAAACUGCUGCGAUCCCACGCGCUGGUGGGCUAUUGCAAGACAAUUUCUAAUUGUUGAGCAACUGGAAGCAGCUCUUUUCUGGCUCCGUUGCCGUGGAGGCAUCAAGUCAGGAAUAGUUGCACAUCAACAGUCCCUCACACUCAAAUCCCUCCACAACAAUAGAAGCUAUGGAAGGAAAUGAGAGGAAUAAUGAAGGAUCUCACAAAGAACUCCAAGAUCUAGAUCCAAGGGGUUCCCCUCACAAAGAGGAGAAAGUGAUUGGUGGAAAUGUACAUCUAGAUCUCCUCUCUCUUUUCCAUCAAGAACUAGCAAGAAUCAUUCGAAAGAUUGAGAGUUAGCAAGCUUAAAGAAGGACACAAUGGAGGAAGAAAAUGAGCUCAAGAGUGAGGGACCAUUGGGGAAGAAGGACUCCUCAAUUAGACAUCCCAAAAUCCAACAUGCCCACAAGUCGUGCUCAAGCGGUACUACCGCUUGGGGGAAUUGGUACUAUCGCUUAUCACGGUCAAAACAGCCCAACGAGAUAGAAAAACACGAGUGGUAGUUCUGCCAAAGAGGUAGUACCGCUCGGGGGAGAGGUAGUACCUCUUAAGAGGUACUACUGCUCCGUGCCUGGGGUAAAGGUAGUACCACUUGAGAGGUACUACCUUUCUGUACUACCCCUCUACUAUCGUUGAAGAAGAUUGGACACCAGAAUCAGAAAAUAAGCGGAAGUAGAAGUGGUAAUGGUCAGCAGAAGUACCUCUUAAGAGGUACUACCGCUUGAGAGGUACUACCGCUUAAAGCAGUACUUAAGACCAACGAAAACUGAAACCUGCAUAACUGUCGGAUAGAGACUCCAAAAUGAGCAAGCUCAAGCUUGUUGGAUAGAUUACUGAUGGCACUCUCUGGCUAUGGCUAGACGAAUGCUAUUCUCGAUUGCUCAACAAUUAGAAAUUGUCUUGCAAUCACUACAAGGAAUAUGCUAAUACACGACGCUAUUUUUUCGUCGCUACAUCGUCAUGGUUUUUAAUUUACGACGAUCUCACGACGAAAACCAAGCGUCGAAAACGGAGCGUCACAAAUGAACAGCAACGACGUUUUGAUUAAAAUCGUCGUAACUUUUACGACGAUUCCUGGAUUGUCGUAAACUUUACGACGAUCCUAAAUCGUCGUUGGCAAUCAAACUCAGUCCUACGUGGCAGUCCUACGUGGCAAAAUUACGACGAAAUCAAAACAUCAUGGUUGAAAUCAGCCCAACCCAUUUCAAUUGAUCACAUGGGCUGGUUUUAAUUAUUUGGGUUUUUUCUUAUUGGGCUUGUUUUUGGGCCUUAGCCUAUUUGCAGCCACUUCUAGUAUUUUUUCAAUUUUUUUUAUAUCAUCAUAAUUUGGGCCAUGGCCUUUUAGAUCCCAAAUAAAUUUGGUCCAGUUUCAGUUUUGGCCCUUUUUCAUUUUUGAAUUCAGCAACUUUUUGUUCCAUAAUUUGGAUUCAUUUCUAUUUGCUGGGCCUUUUCAACCCAAUUAUUUGUCCAGUAUUAAAUCCAACACUAUUUCAUAUUGAAAUCAAGAAAACUUCAAGUCGAAUUAAAAUCAUCCAUGAUAUAACAUCACAAAAUACAUAUCCCAAGUUUACAUAUCACAAUAAACCAUCUCAUGAAAACAUUUCCUUACACAUGAAUAUAGCAAGAACGAACAAAAUUACACAAUAGAACAAUCGCACAUCUUUUACUGUCCCAACAGUACAGUGGACUUCAUUCCGCUCUCCUAUGAGGCAUGCUCGAGAUGCCACAACUUGUCAAUCUAUAAGAACAUUACACUUCACAUGAAUCAAUCAAAAGGAAACAAAUAUAAAAAAUAUUAGAAAUAAAAAGAUUUAUUUUCAUCCUAAAGAUGAUGUUAAAAAUCCUGAGAUAUAAAUUCUCGAGUAUAAUUAGUCCAACCUAAACAGGUCAGAGAAACUGAAAAUUAAACUUCAAACUAUCUAAGAUUGUUCCAGGAAAUUCUGGACAAAGGAAAUGCAGACAAGCAAACUUAAUAUCUUUAUGGUAUUUUCGCUUUACUAGAGGAAUUUAAGCACCGACACAAGUAGGAGUCAAUGACACAACAAUUAGCAGACAUGUAAGAUAAUACAAAACAAGCUACUCCACGUUACUGUGAUAACCAAGUGCAAACCAGGGUGUAAGAAUAUUAGCCCAAAAAAUCCUUUGGGCAACAUACAUCACUAAAUUACGCUAUCAAUAAGUGCACCAGAGACUCUAAUUUAUUACCUUCAGAAGUUUUAGAUCGAAUCAAAUGAAAACAUGAAAAGGGACUACCAAAGAGCAUUAUUGAUUUAGAUAGAGCUUUGAUGCUGAGUUGAUUUCUCGUGUCAACUGGGGUAAUUCUUUAGCCAGAUUGGAGAAAGGAAACCUGACUAGCACUCAAAAUAUUAACCAGAAGACAAUAGUAAAACAUAAAAGAUGGAUCAGAUUUCCGGCUUUUAAUCCUGAUGGGAUUACAUUUGCGCAUUGUAUACUCAUAGUCGAUAAUUUGGGGACAGUAUCCUCGGGUCCAUAUAACCCAAGGAAAAAAGCAAUUGGUCAUCACAGUAAGUGCAGAAACGUGGUAUGGAUAUGAUAUCAUCACUUCUCACAACAAACAAAAAAUGGUGUAGGAGUUUCUAUUUAUUUAAGACAAGACAACUAUACAGCAUCCAUGACAGAAUGUGUUGCUUACUAGACAUUCAGAAUAAGUAGAGAUACAAAAACAUGACUUCAGAUGCCGAAUAUGCACAGUUUAAUAAUAUACAGUAUCAUGAGACACCUAACAAGUGUUGAUCAUCACUGAUGAAUCAACCACAGAAACCAGCUGCAGAAAGAACAAUAUAGUUGAUAUGUGUAAACGGGGUAUAGUAACAGGAAGCUCCUUCUAUGAGAGCAGCCAGUGUCACAAAAACAUGUUUCCUUCUUGAUGUCUGCCAAUCUAACGAGAAACAAGGCCAUGAAAGCAGACCAAGCAUCAGAUACCUCAUGGCAUCCCAAAUACCACUAUCCAAACAAAAUUUAGUUCAGUGCUAAGAUAUGUAUGGACAAGUUGAAUGCAAAAACCAUCUCAAAGAAUGGUUCGUGCUAGAAUCUUAACCCAAAGUAUCUCUAGGCAACGUACAGCGCUGAAUUACACUACCAAGAAGCGGACCUCAGUACUCAACCUUAAAGCUGAUAAAAAUUUAGCAGAGUAUACCAAAAGAUGAAGGGGAACACUCAGCGUUUCAAAAAAGAAGGCAGCAUCAAAUACUAUAGUAAUUAUUAUUGGACAUGAUAUAGUAAGGUACUUUCACUGGUUAUUGACUGUUUUCAGUUUUCACUAAGCAUAAGUGCAUAAUAUGGAAACAAUAUAAGAGAAACCAUACACCCUCGGAUAUUAAGCUAUUCCAAGUAUGUGAGGUAUACAACUUAUAGGAGCUUACAUGACAUUCGAACCGAUAGUCCCAACGCCCAGAGCAAUGUUCUUCGAGGAAUCUAGGUGUUCUUGUUUAUUCUCUGUAAUAUCUGAUCUCGAUAACCUUUUCUUCUUCCCUCUACUGAUUAAAAAUAGAAGUAAUUAAUCCCAGUCCAAUGUGUUGAGGGAAGAAAAACAUAGCGUGUCAAAAAAGAAGGCAGCAUCAAGUACUAUAGUAAUUACUAUUGGAGAUGAUAUAGUAAGAUACUCUCACUGGUUAUUGACUGUUUUCAGUUUUCACUAGGCAUAAGUGCAUAAUAUAGAAACAAUAUAAGAGAAAACAAAAGUAGUUAGUCCUAAUAAAAUUAUUUCACAUAUUUGUGGCAUGUUCACUCUCAGUUCUUAGGAAGGGAAAAUGCAACCUAGAAUCCUAAAUUCGUUGCAUAUUUUGCCUAUGAUGAAACUAAGAAAAACUAACUUGACAAUACAUGCUAUGGACUGUAGUCUACAGAAUAAAUGACAUACAAGAUUAAAUAAUAUGAUUCUAUUUUGCAGAAGCAGCUGUUUUUUCAUACAUCCCAUGGCAUUUCUGUCGUAAUCACUAGCAACUUCAAAUAGAGUUAAGCAAAAAAUAUCAACAUUCUUUAUUGAUUUCGAUUACAUGCAAAUAAGUAAAAAUGCCCUACUCUACCAAUAAGACAUAAGUAAAGAGCUGACAACACUAGACUGUACAACUACACAAACACAUGAGGUGCUUCUAAGACAAAAAAUAAACCUGAAUUUAGUGUGAGGACUAGCCAAUCCAGAAAGUAAAAAACGCAUUACUGAACAGUCACAGUUUCCAAAACACUAGCCAAUCCAGAAAGUAAAAAACACAUUAGCAAAACUGCAGGACAACAGAAAGGAAGAGUUAAUUUGUGUAGGUGACUGAACAAUACUAUUCAUCUGGACAACAGAAAACUGAUCACCAAAUCCUUUUCAGACAACUAAUUCAUCAAAAGGAACAUGACAUAUCAGGUACUAGUUCACAUAGGACACUGAAUUUGGUAAACUGAAAUAUACCCAACAAAAUACCGAGCACAAACAACAUGUUUUAAUAAUCAUAUUCAGUUAGGGGAAGCAAGUUGGCAGACAUUUCUACAUUAGAAUGUCCACGACUAACAAAACAUUCAUGGUAACACAAAAGGCACAAUCCGGCGAAGUGUUGUAAAUUCCCUUGUAUCCGAGUGGCACAAAUCUGCCUAUUUAUGAAGUAAAUCUAGGCCGGAAUUCCUAGAAUCUCGAACCCCCGAAGUCGCUGAAUAACCAAUUUAUUAGCAGAUCCAAUGGGCUAAACUUGUGAAGUACUAGUAACAUCUAUCUAAACGCUGUCCCAGGUAACAACAGAUCCGGAAAAUCUCUAGUUGGGACGUGUCCCGCUUACUUGAGGUAGUCAUCCUUGAAGAGGUCUUCCCUGUCAUCUUCCUCCUCGUCGCGGAUAACGGUGGCGCUGUCGUCCUCGGGGAGCACAUUAAGGUCGACCUCUGCCUCGCCAUCGUUGUCCGAGUAGGAGGAUGGGUCGGUGGCGCCGUGGCUGGUGGUGGUGUUGGGCGGCAGCCAGUCGGUGUUGAAACCCAGCGAGCCGGGGGUCGACGGCGCGUUCUUCUCCGAGUCGUCCUGGGAAAAUCAAAUCAACCGACGGAAACGUCAGAUCCGGAGGCGGGAAGCAAUUCAACAAGUUAAACCAUCUAUUAAAAAAAUGAAAACCACGCGAAUUUAACAUGUAAAGAUCUAGCUCGAAGAACAAUAAUAUAUAGGUCAUAUGAAUGAUGGUUCAAAUGCAUUCAACACUUCAAAUUACUACUACUACAACUGUCCGCAAAAUUAUAGAAACUUGGCAUAUACCGCAAGCAUUUCUCUUGCACUCAGUCAGGGGAUCGACUUCCAGGUUCCAGCUAGUAGGAGAUUUUCAGUAGAUAAUUUCGAGGCCACUAUCUAAGAAAUUUCAUUAAGUGAUUUCUCUUGUUACUAAACCUACUACACUAUAGCUAGCUCACUAAGAAUUCGUACAAGCAAUCUUGUUACUAAACCUACUACACUAUAUGUCUUGUCAUUCCUGUCCUAGUUUUCAGUGUCAGGAGACUUUUACUAACUUAUGAACAGCAACUGCCACUAUUGACUUCGCCAAAUCAAUAAUUACAAUCACAAGAUCGACCAGGAAACACAGAUUUCAUGCAAAAGACACGGAAUUCAGCAACUAAAAUCCUCCAUGAACAAAGAUAUAGCAGUUGAAACAGUCCAAAUCAUUCAUGCAGUUCCUCACAAGAAAUCAAAUCAUAUGGAGGAUGGAUGGAGAGGCCUCCAUGCAUGCAUGUACGCUUCUUCUUCUUGGUCGCAGCGGGCGGGGAGGAGGUUCCCGCAAUCACGAGCUGUAGAUCGCCCUCGUAUUCACCAAUCUCCGGCGGGCUUCCGGCUAGUUACGGUGGCUUCCCGUGGUAUGGCAGCCAGAACUCCUCUCCCACAACCUCUGUUGUGCUGCUCACGGAAGGGAAGGGGUUUGGUUGGUGGUGGUGUUGGGCGGCAGCCAGUCGGUGCUGAAACCCGGCGAGCCGGGGGUCGACGGCGCAUUGUUCUCCGAGUCGUCCUAGGAAAAGCAAAUCAACCGAUGGAAACGUCAGAUCCGAAGGCGAUUGCUGAGCGUGGCGGCGGCGGCGAGAGGAGGGAGAUGGGGGAGAUGGUCGCUUACCAUCCGCGGGCCCCGAGAAGGCUCUUGUGGAGGGGGCGUGUGGUGGCGAGAUGAGGCUAGGGUUUCAGCAGGAAGGGGGGAAUGGUGGGGAGAGACGGUGUUUCGGUGGGAAGGGGGGAAUGGCUAGGGUUUCCGACGGCGGCGCGGUUCGGUGGCUGGGGCGAGAGGGGAGACGGCGGUGCGGAGUGGGGCAGGGCAACGGGCGACGGAGAUGGGGGAGAAGGGGCGCCGUGGGAGAGAGAGCGAGGGGGCGAUGGGGACACGGGACGAGGGGGCUUUCCCCUCGUCGAUGGGGUGGCGGCGUGGGGUGGAGUGGGAGUGAGGUUGUGGGUCCAUUUAGGGUUAGAUGGAGGUUAGGUGGGCUGGCUUGGGUCGGGCGAUUUGGGCCAAGGGGGUUUUCUUUCCGCCUUUUUAUUAUUUGUUUCUGUUUUUAUUUCAUUUUUUAACAGCUUUAGUUUUAUUUUAUUUUAGUGCAAUGAAAUCUCUUAAAAUUAAUAAUUCUUAAAGGAAAAUUCUCCUAGGUAAUAUCGGACACAUCCGAACAUUUUUAUUUUGACAUUCAAAAACUUUUAUUGCUUUAUUUUAUUUUUAAAUUCAUUUUCAAACUGUUUGAACUAAUGCAAGAUCAACAAUAGAAAUCACGGUGACGUGGCAACAUUAGUGUGGAAUCACUGUAGCUUAAUUACAUAGGUUACUGUAGCAACAAUUGAGGAUAUCACGUCGACCUCCACCGAGCCCUCCAUCGACUGUGGACGGCUCAGAUUGGAUAUAGUGGGGUAAUCCAUGAGAAUAGUUAUCAUUGGUUGGAAACAUCUACAAUUUAAAAUACUAGUUUCUAAGUGGUAAAAAUAUUGAGGGAAACUGGCGGAACUAAAUGAGCUAAAAUUUGGUGGAGUGAGGUUAUAUGGUCAGUUUCAUCCCGUGGUAAAAUUUCAUCAACUAUAAAUCAAUAUAAAAUGUACUUGCUUCACAAAAUUAAAAUAUUAGCACAAACAAAGAUUGAAUGAUGAGCUCACAUGGAUUGCUAGAUGGGGCUAAAAUUUUGUUGAGAACUAUGUUUUCGGCACAUAGAAGAUGUGGAAAAAAUUCAACUCAUCAGGAUAUUCCUAUCUAGUACUUCCUUCACAAAGCUAUUAGCUGAACACAAAUUUUGGAAAAUUUGUGAGAAAGAUUUACUAGGCAAAUCGUUACGAAAGUUUUCAUGAGGCAAUGAUUUGGAUAGGAAAGAGUGCGCAAAAAAUAUAAGGGUAAUCAAAGAAAUAGAAAUAGCACUUCCUUCACAAAAUGCUAUUUUGAACAGAGUAGGAAAAUGAAUAUUGCAGAAUUAUUUUUAAACUAUGGAAGGAAGGAUUUUUCACAUAUUUAAGGAAUAUAUGAUCCAAAGUAUUUAUGAGAAUUUUUUGAGAAUUUUUGGAAUGAUAGAAUAGUAGGUUGCUUCACAAACUAGGAUGAGGUGGGAUAGAAUGGACCCACGAGUGACAUGAUAGAAUAGUAGGAUGAGGUGACAUAGUUAGAACAUGUUACGACAUUUUUAUAAUCGUCGUAAAAGUUAUGACGAUCUCAUCUUAUGCGGUUACGACGUUUUUGACUCACAUCGUCAUAAUUUAUAUGUAGAUUUGAUCCCCUCAAACGGUUUACGAUGAUCUCGGAUGAAAUCGUCAUAGAAUUAUGACGAAUUCAUCAACGACAUCUAAAAAAACGUCAUGUAUGAGUAUAUUUCUUGUGGUGAAUGACCCACCAGCGCGUGGGAUCGAGGCGGUUUUCGAGGGUAGAGUAUUCAACCCAAAUUUGGUGAUUCGCCAAUAGGAAGUGAGAGGAUACUCUCAAGUAUUAGCAGCUGAAUGUGUCAGAUUCAACCACACCUGAAAGAUUAAUAUCUACAAGCAAAGUAACAACAACAAAGUAGUAUGAUAGCAACGGUGUCAGAAACAAUCUGUUGACGGCAGACUAUUCCUAACUGUCGUAUCAAUGGCGCCAGAAGUUGCCCGUUGACGGAAAUUGACUUUUCCCGUCAACGUCGAGCGAAUCAGAAUUGUAGCAGGUAGCAGCAGUGUAAUGAGUAGAAGAAGUGGCAAGGAACAGAAGUAGUGACAGCAGUAGCAAGUAGCAACAGUAGCAAGUAACAAUAGUAGCAAGUAGCAAAAGUAGCAAGUAACAGCAGAGCAAGUAACAGCAGCAGAGCAAAACAAGUAACAGCAGCAGUGGGACAAACUCAUAGGCAAUGGGUCGGUGAUUUGUUUGGAUGAUAUUCANNNNNNNNNNGAGUUAUAACAUGGAGAGAUAUGUGGCUAACUCCUGUUCGUCAAUGUGAUGUAGGCAUGCAUUCCGUGUGUCGUCAUACGUGCUUAGGGAAAAGAACUUGCAUGACAUGUAUUGUCCAUCCCUCCCGUGGCAGCGGGGUCCAAAAGGAAACUACGGGAUAUUAAGGUUCUCCUUUUAAUAAAGAACCGGACCAACGCAUUAGCACUUGGUGAACACAUGAACUCCUCAAACUAUGGUCAUCACUGGGAGUGGUUCCGGUUAUUGUCACUCCAGGGUUGCUGGAUCAUAACACAUAGUAGGUAACUACAACUUGCAAGAUCGGAUCUAAAACACACAUAUAUUGGUGACAAUAUAACAAUUUCAGAUCUGAAAUCAUGGCACUCGGGCCCUAGUGACAAGCAUUAAGCAUGGCAAAGUAGUAGCAACAUCAAUCUCAGAACAUAGUGGAUACUAGGGAUCAAUCCCCAUCAAAACUAACUCGAUUACAUGAUAGAUCUCAUCCUACUCAUCAUCGCCCAGCGAGCCUACGAAUAGAUUACUCACGAACGACGAAGAGCUUCAUGGAAUUGGAGAGGGAAGAAGGUUGAUGAUGACGAUGGCGACGAUUUCCCCUCUCCGGAGCCCAAGACGGACUCCAGAUCUUCCUUCCAAAUGAAGAACAGGUGGUGGCGGCGCCUCCGUAUCGAAAACGCGACGAAAACUUCUCUUUUUUUUUCUGGGACGAAAGGGAUCUUAGAGCUGGAGUUGGGGGCAACAGAGCCGCGUGGGCCCCACAAGCCUGCCCACCGCCACCAGGAGGAGUGGUGGUGGAGCCAGGGCUUGUGGCCCACUGGCCCACCGCCUGAGGUGGAACUUCACGCAGAUAUUUUUGAUAUUUUCCAAAACUGCUCCCCGUAAAUUUUCAGGACGUUUGGAGAACUUUGGUUUCUGCACAAAAAUAACACCAAGGCAAUUCUGCUGAAAACAACGUUAGUCCAGGUUAGUUCCAUUCAAAUCAUGCAAAUUAGAGUCCAAAACAAGGGCAAAAGAGUUUGGAAAAGUAGAUAUGAUGGAGACGUAUCAACUCCCCCAAGCUUAAAACCUUGCUUGUCCUCAAGCACCUCAGUUGACAAACUGAGAGAGAAAGAAAAACUUUGACAAACUCUGUUUGAUCUUGUUGUUGCAACUAUGUCUAACUCAUAACCAGAAUUACAGCAAGAUCACAAGUUAACCACAUAAGCAAAUGACACAAAGGUCUCACGGUAAACUAAUAUCAAUGGCAUAAUGAGCUAACGAGCAAAUAAUAAUGAGUUACAAAUACCAACACUUCAAUCAAAACGAGCAUGAAGCAAUAUGAAUAGGUGGUAUCUCGCUAGCUCUUUCUGAGACCGCAAAACAUAAAUGCAGAGCACUUUCAAAGAUCAAGGGCUGACUAAACAUUGUAACUCAUAGCAACGAAGAUCCAGUCAUAGUCAUACUCAAUAUCAAUCAAAAGCAAAGCAUAAAAAUGACAGAGGUGCUCUCUAAUUGGUGCUUAUAUAAGAUGAGGAUGACUCGACGGGAAAAUAAAUAGACAGACCCUUUGCAGAGGGAAGCAUUGAUUUGCAGAGGUGCCAGAGCUGAAGCUUUGAAAACAGAGAUAAUAAUUUUGGGUGGCAUGCUUUCAUUGUCAGCGCAAUGACCAAGAGUUCUCAAUAUCUUCCAUGCUACUCAUGCUAUAGGCGGUUCCCAAACAGAAAAGUAAAGUUUUAACUCCCCCACCACCAAUCAAUCACACUCCACGGCUAGCUGAAUCCUCGGGUACCGUCCAUACUAACAUCAAUCCGGGGGGAGUCUUGUUUUACAGUUAUGUUUUCGAUUUAAGCGUGGAACUGGGCAUUCCAAUUACCGGCCCAUUUCUCGUGAAUGACUGUGAAUAAACACAUGUCGAGGAUAACACUCCUAGCAUGGAAGAUACCAAUAGACCUCUCUCACCACAUGAGCAGUUUGGGCAUGCAAAACAAAUUAUUUCUUGAAGGUUUAGAGAAUGACACAUGCAAAUUUACUUGGAACGGCAGGUAGAUACCGCAAAUAGGUAGGUAUGGUGGACUCUCAUGGAAAAACUUUUGGGUUUAUGGAUGUGGAUGCACAAGCAGUAUUCCACUUAGUACAAGUGAAGGCUAGCAAAAGACUGGGAAGCGACCAACUAGAGAGCGACAACAGUCAUCAACAUGCAAUGAGUUUGACUAACAUUGAAUGCAAGCAUGAACACGAUAUAAAUCACCAUGAACACGAACGUCAUAGAGGCUAUGUUGAUUUUGUUUCAACUACAUGCAUGAACAUGCGCCAAGUCAAGCCACUUGAAUCNNNNNNNNNNUUUUAUGUAAGUGGAUGCAUAAGCAGUAUUCCGCUUGGUACAAGUGAUGGGUAGCAAAAGGCAACAGUUAUCAAGAUGCAAUGAGUUUGACUAACAUUGAAUGCAAGCAUGAACAGGAUAUAAAUCACCAUGAACACGAACAUCAUAGAGGCUAUGUUGAUUAUGUUUCAACUACAUGCAUGAACAUGCGCCAAGUCAAGCCACUUGAAACAUUCAAAGGAGAAUACCAUCCUAUCAUACUACAUCAUAGUCAUCUCAAAAUCUAUGUUGGCAUUCAAGACAAACCAUUAUAAGCUCUCAGCUAAAUAAGCAUGGCAUCAGAAACUAUGAUCUCUAAGUUGUCAUUGCAAACAUGGUUCUCUCACAACAAAGCUAAAUCAGGCAUGACAAGCUAGUCAUAUUUACAAAAACAAAAUAGAUAGAGUUCAUACCAGCUNNNNNNNNNNCAGUCUCAGUCACUUCAUCAUAUAUCAUCAUUAUUGUCUUUCACUUGCACGAUCGAACGAAGUGAACAAUAAUAAGAGUUCUCGUGCAUUGGACUAAGCUGAAUCUGCAGGCAAACACAAAGGAGAAGACAAAGUAAUAUGGCUCUUUGAAAGCUAAACAGGUAUGCAUGCAAGAACCACUAAACAUUGUAACCAAUAUCUUCUACCUUGACACAAAGAAAAAGAAAACUAUUUACACGAGAAAGCUCCCAGCAAGCAAAAGAAGAAAGAAAAAUACUUUUGGGUUUUCUCAAAAUGACACAAAACAAGAAAACGAAAAUAAACUAGCAUGGAUAAUACAGUGGCAAAGUGUGAACACCGGCUAACAAAGGGAAAGCAUAAGCAUGAACGUAAGGUCGGUGAGAACACGCACUCCCCCAAGCUUAGGCUUUUGGCCUAGCUUGGUCUACUCCCAUGGAUGGUCCUGGCGAAACCCAAAAUCAUAAUGGGUGUUAUACGGGAGUGCUGCAGCCACUGCCUGAAUAGGUGCAUCACGAAGUCGAGCAGCCGUCGCCUCCCUCUCAUACUCCUCUGCCUCUCCUAUUGUUAUGUAGUAUAUUUGUUUUACCUGAAAGUCAAAGAAAGCAGGAGCANNNNNNNNNNNNNNNNNNNNNNNNNNNNNNNNNNNNNNNNNNNNNNNNNNNNNNNNNNNNNNNNNNNNNNNNNNNNNNNNNNNNNNNNNNNNNNNNNNNNGGCACACAUCAAGUAGUUGCCAUCAAGGGUAAAAAGAUGGGGGUUUUAUCAUUGGUUUGAGAUUAUCCCUCUACAUCAUGUCAUCUUGCUUAAGGCGAUACUCUAUUCUUAUGGACUUAAUACACUAGAUGCAUGCUGGAUAGCGGUCAAUGUGUGGAGUAAUAGUAGUAGAUUCAGACAGUAUCGGUCUACUUGUUUUGGACGUGAUGCCUAUAGAAAUAAUCAUUGCAUAGAUAUCGUCACGACUUUGCGCGGUUCUAUCAAUUGCUCGACAGUAAUUUGUUCACCCACCGUCUACUUGCUUUCAUGAGAGAAGCCACUAGUAAACACUACGGCCCCCGGGUCUAUUCACAUCCAUCAUUUACAUCUCCGCUUUUACUUUGCUUUGUUACUUUGUUGCUUUCAGUUAUCACUUGGCAAACAAUCUAUAAGGGAUUGACAACCCCUUCAUACCGUUGGGAGCAAGUUUUUGUGUUUGUGCAGGAUCUUGAGAUACUCCUCCACUGGAUUGAUGCCUUGGUUCUCAAACUGAGGGAAAUACUUACCACCGCUACGCUACAUCACCCUUUCCGCUUCGAGGGAACACCAACGCAAGGCUCAAAGUCUCCCCUUUUACUUUGCUUUGUUACUUUGUUGCUUUCAGUUCUCACCUGGCGAACAAUCUAUAAGGGAUUGACAACCCCUUCAUAGCGUUGGGAGCAAGUUUUUGUGUUUGUGCAGGAUCUUGAGAUAAUCCUCCACCGGAUUGAUACCUUGGUUCUCAAACUAAGGGAAAUACUUACCACCGCUACGCUACAUCACCCUUUCCGCUUCGAGGGAACACAAACGCAAGGCUCCAAGGCCACGGGGGAAAUCCUUUGCAUACUUACCUAGGAAGUCCCUUAAGGCAUAGCCGCAGCAGAAAGAUCAAGCCAAGUAUUCUCCCGUCUACGUGCCUAUUUCUGGCGCCGUUCGAAGGUCUUUUUUUGCAGUAGCAACCAGCUAAAUCAACAUUUCUAGCUCAAGAAUAGGGUCACCAAGGUAGCAAGAAUACGCGAAGGAUAAAACAGUAGAGCAAAAACUAAUUGGAGCAAUGGAGGUGUCACUUACCAAGAAGUAAUUUCCCCAAAACGGUUCGGAUAAUGGUGCUUUGAGCAAGGAGAUCGAAAAUCACAGCCAAAUGAGCAAGAACACGGGUUUGAGCUACGAAACAAUUUUUUCUGGAGGUGAAAGAAGAGGAUGGGAGUUGGAAUGAGUGGAGGGGGUCCCUGUGGGCCGCACAAGCUUGCUAGCCGCCACGAGGGGGGGCGGCAGCUGCAGGGCUUGUGGCCCACUGGUCGGGCCCCCAGGCCAGCUCUCAGGCCCAGUAUUUUUCAAAUAUUCUAGAAAAAAUCAUACUAGAUUUUCAGGACCAUCGGAGAACUUUUAUUUUCGGGGUAUUUUUCUCCAGGACGCUAAAACAGAAAACAGGAAAAUCUAAACUAAAUCUAUCAUUUUUCUUCUAAGCAAUAGAAAAUGAAAGCUCAAAACAGAGUUAUGUGACUCUUUGAUUCAUCCAUUUCAUGGUCAUCGAAAGAAAUCCGUCAAUGGGGUUGAUCAAGUCCUCAUGACAAAACCUUCUCGAAUCGCAAGAGAGAACGGAGAAUUUUCGAAUAACCACUAAGUCACCUCAAUGGGGAUAUGUAUCUCCCCAACAAGCAAAUCAUACUUCAUCUUGACACGAGGAAUAGGGCAUUCAAAGCUCCCAACAAGAAUCGAUGAAGGCUUUUCAAUAGCAUUGAUGCAAUGUACUUGAUAUCGUUUCUUCGGAAAGUGCACUGUGUGCUCAUUACCGUUGACAUGGAAAGUGAAAUUGCCUUUGUUGCAAUCUAUAACAGCCCCUGCAGUGUUUAAAAAGGGUCUUCCGAGGAUGACGGCCAUGGCAUCAUCCUCGGGAAUAUCCAAGAGAACAAAGUCUGUUAAGAUAGUAGUCUUAGCAACCACAACAGGCACAUCCUCGCAAAUGCCGAUAGGGAAAGCAGUUGAUUUGUCGGCCAUUUGCAGAGAAAUUUCNNNNNNNNNNUUCAAGUCUACGAUAAAGAGAGAGCGGCAUAACACUAACACCGACUCCAAGGUCACAUAAGGCAUUUCUUACGUAGUUUCCUUUAAUAGAACAAGGUAUAGUGGGCACUCCGGGAUCACCAAGUUUCUUAGGAGUUCCACCUUUGAAAGUGUAAUUGGCAAGCAUGGUGGAGAUCUCAAGAUCUGGUAUCUUCCGUUUAUUAGUCACGAUAUCUUUCAUUUACUUGGCAUACAGAGACAUUUUGAGCAUAUCAGUUAACCGCAUCUGCAGAAAGAUGGGUCUUAUCAUCUCAACAAAGCGCUCAAAAUCCUCAUCAUCCUUUUUCUUGGAUGUCUUGGAGGAAAGGGCAUAGAUCUCUGAACCCAUGGAUCCCUUUCUUUACCAUGCUUCCUAGCAGUGAAGUCAUUCUUAUCGUAUCUCUUAGGUUGUGGGUUAUCAGGAUUAACCGUAGGUUCAAUCUCCACAUCCUCAUCAUUGCUAGGUUGUGCAUUAUUAUGAACAUCACUGUCCAUAUUGUCACCAGGUUCAUGUUCAUCACCAGAUUGUGUUUCUGCAUCAGACGCAGAAAUAUCAUUAGAUUCUUCAGGUGUGACAGUAUUUGGUGAACUGGCAUGUAGGUUUCUAUCAUCCUUCUUCUUCUCAUUAGGAUGACUGGGUGUAUCAGCAUUAAUUCCUUGAGAAUCUUGAUCAAUUCUCUUAGGAUGACCUUCAGGAUACAAAGGUUCCUGAGUCAUUUUGCCUCAUGUAGUAAUGACUCUGACAGAGUUGUCUUUUAACUCAUUGAGCAAGUCAUUCUGAUCUUUAAGUACUUGUUCUACCUGAGUAGUAAUCAUAGAUGAAUGUUUACUCAGAAGCUUCAGAUCAUUGACAUUUCUGUCUACACAAGCACUUAAAUGGCUAAGCAUACGAGUACUUUGUUCCAAAUGUCUGCUAACAUAAGCAUUGAAACUCUGUUGUUUGGCAACAAAGUUGUCAAAUUCAUCAAAGCAUAGGCUAGCAGGUUUGUCAAAAGGAAUAUCACUCUCAUCAAACCUACAUAGAGAAUUCACUUCUACUACUUGUAUCGGGUUAUCGAGACCAUGGAUCUCUUAGAUAGGUGGUAGAUUUUUGACAUCUUCAGAUCUAAUGCCUUUCUCUUGCNNNNNNNNNNAUCAAAAGGAAUAUCACUCUCAUCAAACCUACGCAGGAAUAUCACUCUCAUCAAAGGCUCACUACCUAUAGGUUAUCGAGACCAUGGAUCUCUUCAAUAGGUGGUAGAUUUUUGACAUCUUCAGAUCUAAUGCCUUUCUCUUGCAUAGAUUUCUUGGCUUCUUGCAUAUCUUCGGGACUGAGGAAUAGAAUACCUCUUUUCUUAGGAGUUGGCUUAGGAGGUGGUUCGGGAAUAGUCCAAGCAUUAUCGUUGAUCAAGAUGUUAUUCAGUAGGAUCUCAGCUUGUUCGAUAGUUUGUUCCCUAAAAACACAACCGGCACAACUAUCUAGGUGGUCUCUAGAGGCAUCGGUAAGUCCGUUAUAGAAGAUAUCAAGUAUCUCGUUCUUCUUAAGAGGGUGAUCAGGCAAAACAUUUUGUAGUUGGACGAUCCUCCCCCAAGCUUGUGGGAGACUCUCUUCUUGGAGUUGAGCAAAGUUGUAUAUUUCCUGCAAGGCAGCUUGCUUCUUAUGGGCAGGGAAAUUUUUCUCACAGAAGUAAUAGACCAUAUCCUAGGGACUACUCACACAUCCAGGAGCAAGAGAGGUGAACCAGGCUUUAGUGUCAUCCUUUAAAGAGAAAGGAAACAACUUAAGGAUGUAGUAAUGGCGGAUCUUCUCCUCACUAGUGAAAAGGGUGGCUAUAUCGUGUAGUUUGGUAAGAUGGCCUACGACCGUCUCAGACUCAUAACCGUGGAAAGGAUCAGAUUCGACUAGAGAGAUUAUCUCAGGAUCGACAGAGAAUUCAUAAUCCUUAUCGGUGAUAAAGAUAGGUGAAGUGGCAAACUUCGGGUCGUAUUUCAUCCUAGCUUUCAUUCAUCCUAGCUUUCAGAGAUUUUUCCUUCCACUUGAGAAGUAAUUUCUCAGCGUCAUAGGCAUCCUUACACGCAAGAAAAUCCUCAUCUAUCUCUCCCUCCAUAACAUAACCCUCAGGUAUAUCAGGCAAUUCAUAUCUAGGAGAGCUAGAUCUAGCAGGAGAAAAAGCAGGUUCUAUCUCAAUAGUAUCGGCAUUUUCAGAAGCAUCACGAGCAAUGGCAGUAGCUCUAGCAAUAUGAGCAUCAAGGAACACCCCUAGUGGAACAUCAGGCAAAGUAGCGUCUCUAGCAGUAUCAAGCAUAGCAUCAUGAGGCAUAGCAUCUCUAGCAGUAUCAGGCAUAGCAUCGCUAGCAGUAUGAGGCAUAGCAUCUCUAGCAGUAUCAGGCAUAACAUCUCUAGUAGUAUCACGCAUAGCAGCAUCAUAAGCAUCAUCAAGCACAGGCGACAUAUCAAGAUUUCUAGCAGGAGGUGAUGUCGCAAACUUACUCAUAACUGAAGGUGAAUCAAGUGCAAAGCUAGAUGGCACUUCCUUACCUCCCCUCGUAGUUGAGGGCAAGACUUUGGUUUUCGGAAACUUCAGAUUCUUCAUAGUGAUCAGCAGAUAUAAAUCCCAAGUAACUUAGAGAAUAUAGCAAUCGCAUCCCCGGCAACGGCGCCAGAAAAAUGCUGAUGGCACUCUCUGGCAAUGGCUAGACGAAUGCUAUUCUCGAUUGCUCAACAAUUAGAAAUUGUCUUGCAAUGACCCACCAGCGCGUGGGAUCGAGGUAGUUUUCGAGGGUAGAGUAUUCAACCCAAAUUUGUUGAUUCGCCAAUAGGAAGUUGGAGGAUACUCUCAAGUAUUAGCAGCUGAAUAUGUCAGAUUCAACCACACCUGAAAGAUUAAUAUCUGCAAGCAAAGUAUCAACAACAAAGUAGUAUGAUAGCAAUGAUGUCAGAAACGAUCUGUUGAUGGCACACUAUUCCUAACUAUCGUAUCAAUGGCGCCAGAAGUUGCCCGUUGACGGAAAUUGUCUUUUUCUGUCAACGUCGAGCGAAUCAGAAUUGUAGCAGGUAUCAGCUGUGUAACGAGUAGCAGCAGUGGCAAGGAACAGUAGUAGUGACAGAAAUAGCAAGUAACAGCAGUAGCAAGUAACAGCAGUAGCAAGUAGCAACAGUAUUCAUCAUGCAACAGUUAUAACACGGAGAUAUAUGUGGCUAGCUCCCGUUCGUCAAUGUGAUGUAGGCAUGCAUUCUGUGUGUAGUCAUACGUGCUUAGGGAAAAGAACUUGCACGACAUCUAUUGUCCAUCCCUCCCGUGGUAGCGGGGUCCAAAAGGAAACUACAGGAUAUUAAGGUUCUCCUUUUAAUAAAGAACCGGACCAAAGCAUUAGCACUUGGUGAACACAUGAACUCCUCAAACUAUGGUCAUCACCGGGAGUGGUUCCGGUUAUUGUCACUCCGGGGUUGCCGGGUCAUAACACAUAGUAGGUAACUACAACUUGCAAGAUUGGAUCUAAAACACACAUAUAUUGGUGACAACAUAAUAAUUUCAGAUCUGAAAUCAUGGCACUCAGGCCCUAGUGACAAGCAUUAAGCAUGACAAAGUAGUAGCAACAUCAAUCUCAGAACAUAUUGGAUACUAGGGAUCAAUCCUCGGCAAAACUAACUCGAUUACAUGAUAGAUCUCAUCCUACUCAUCACCGCCNNNNNNNNNNCGAACAAUGAAGAGCUUCAUGGAAUUGGAGAGGGAAGAAGGUUGAUGAUGACGAUGGUGACGAUUUCCCCUCUCCGGAGCCCAAAACGGACUCCAGAUCUGCCCUCCAGAUGAAGAACAGGAUGUGGNNNNNNNNNNNNNNNNNNNNNNNNNNNNNNNNNNNNNNNNNNNNNNNNNNNNNNNNNNNNNNNNNNNNNNNNNNNNNNNNNCUGGGACGAAUGUGAAUUUAUAGAGCUGAGUUUGGGGGCGGCAGAGCCACGUGGGCCCCACAAGCUUGCUACCCGCCACCAGGGGGGUGGCAGCUAUAGGGCUUGUGGCCCACUGGCCCAUCCCCUCUGGUGGAUCUUUGCGCGGGUAUUUUUCAUAUUUUCUAGAAAUAUUCUUCGUAAAUUUUCAGGACGUUCUGAGAACUUUCAUUUCUGCACAAAAACAACACAAAGGCAAUUCUGCUGAAAACAGCGCGAGUCCAGGUUAGUUCCAUUCAAAUCAUGCAAAUUAGAUUCCAAAACAAGGGCAAAAGAGUUUGGAAAAGUAGAUACGAUGGAGACGUAUCAAUGACGACAAGUACUAUCAAGCAAUGGAGAAUAAAUGCUAAUGAUAUAGAGAUGUGAAACCUCUAUGAAUGAAGAACCGAAAAAACUCCAUCCUCAAAAACGACAUAGAAUAUGCAUAUGAACUCCGUUUUCGAUGAACUUGAACUUGUCAUGAAUAUGACCAUAAGCUCAAGAACGCGCAUAGGGAAAAACCAUCCAAGAACCAAGAAAGAUUAUCUUUCCAAUAAUGCAUUGGUUUGAGCUCUCAACAGACGAUAUGAUCAAGCUACUCACUUGAGAGCCCCCCUUGGUAGUACGACAAUCUAUCCUAUAACCCGGUCUCCCAACUAACGCGCUGAGACCGGUAAAAUAGAAAACCUAUUAAGGACAAAUAUUUGCCUUGCGCAUAGUCCACUUGAGCUAAAUGAUGAUGAUGUUGUACUCCUCAAGAUUGACCACCUUCCUUCAUUGUGUUGGCUUGAUGAAGACUAGUUGAUUGCGCCCCAUACUUCACUAUAGGAAAGCAACUCUUCGGCACAUCUUCACCAUAGUGGACGACAAGAUUCAAGCAUGAUCUCGUCUGAUGCUCCACUUGAACUUGCACGCUGCAAUCUUCCAUGGGUUGAAUGAGACUUCCUGUUGACGCGGUCCCAUGGAAACACACCUACCCCACAUAGAACUUUCACAAAGACCAUGGGUUAGUACACAAAGCGUAAUGGACAAUGCUUACCGUACCAUGGGCUCACUUGAUCCCUCUCGGUACAUCUUGUACGCUUUGUGUGUUGAUCAACUUGAUUUACUCUUUGACUUAGUCUUGACCAACGUUGUGUAUUUAUGACCAAUCUUUGGAUAAAACCUUGAAUACCAUAUUGGUCAUCAUAUAAACUCUUUGAAACCAUUAGAUGGACUUCAAGAAGUGCCUAUGAACAAAUCCUUCGAAUAUAACUCAAGGCAAGCAUAUGCUCUAACAAUUCCCUACCAGGCACAUCAUUCAAAAGGAUGGAAGGUGUUCCAUAGGAUAGUAUCUUAUUGAUCCAAGUGAUGGAUCCAAUUUUUACGCACUUUUUAUAGCUCAUUUGUCGCCUAUUAUCUCCAUAUAGCAUGUUCUAUUGAGCAAAUGACAUGUACAUAUGCAUAAUUUCAAUUAUUUAUCAUGUCCAACACAAGGAUUGCAUAAUCGUUAUUCUUUGUUAGUGCUUAUAUGUGUCUUAUUUGUUUUUGUGUGUUUUGUAAGCAAUGUGGAACUCCCAUCCACUUAACACAAUGAAAAGGAUCCAAACGGAGGACAUCUAGGCACCAGACUUAGGCAGUCGGUUUUCAGAUGCUAAAAAUCAAUAUCUGCAUUGUAGGUUCAUGAGCGUUCUUCUCGUGAUUCCAACGAGUAGAGGAACGUUGAAAACAGAGUAUGGAUGUCAAAUUUACAAUUUUACCGAAGAGUCCAAACCAUUUAGUGACCUUUGGGAGGGAAAAAAUACUCGUCCCAGGCCCACACAAGCUCAAAAGUUGCAGGAUUUCAUUAUCGUUUGUUCCUACUACUUUCUUGUCCAUCAAGGGAUGUUUUGGGAAAGGAUUUGGUUCACCGAGAGCACUUAUAUCAAAGUAGAUGCUACAUCAAUGAAAGAGGGUUUGGGAGAGCUCUUAUAAAUAUAUCUCCAACCCUAACCACUCGGGGACACCAUCCAUAUCCACCUAUCCAUGCUCAGCUGUCAUCCCCAUCAAGAGGAACUUGGGGGUUGUGCCAAGCCUACAUCUCCAUUGUUGCAACCUUGGAGGAAGACUAGGAGGGAGUCAUGCUGGAAAAGCGUCAUGGGGGCUGCGGUCAUGGGCCAUAGCUGUCACAUCGUCCUCACCUAGCUACACCCCUUCUCAUUCCCCCAUCACGGUCUCCGUGAUGAAUUGUAACAACUCUUGAACCCCUUUAUAUGUGAUGUUAUUUGAGUAAUUCUUGGCUAUGGGUUGAUCAGCUAGUAAGCAUUUAUUUGAUAUGCGUCGUCUAUUUAUGCCUAUCAUCUUCAUGUUAUUAUUUACCCUUGCGGUAAUUUAGUGAUUGCAGCUGUACCGUCCAUUAGUGUAGUUGGAGACGUUCAACUCCCUAGGUCACACAUGAAGUUGAUAGAUACUUGUCCAUAUCGAGAGACCUCCGGGGUGACAGGCAUCGAUAUCUUGAGGGGAAUAAAAUUAUCCGAAGGAUCACGGUUGUUCAUAGAACUUAUUGCAUUCGGUUCAUGCCUUAUGAUAUUAAUGUCUUUCUUUUGCCCACUCACAGUAUGGGACAGGAAAUAGGAAGAGAGAGUUGUCUGAGUAUGACGAUGUUUGAGAGACAAUGUUAUGUGAGGGACCGCCCACCAUUGAUCAAUUGCGAUAUCGUAUAAUGCAAGGUAUAGACUUAAUUGUAGGUUUUAAUAGUUGAGAUAUAGAGCUUUUUGUCCUACCCACUAAUGUUUAAAACAAGGUAUGGUGUAGCUCAGCUCCAUUGUCACAAAGAGUGGUAAAAAAGUUGAGAUAUAGAGCUUUUCUUUUCGUUCCUACGCACAUAGUUGAAAAAAUCACAUCAAGGCCAAUGGACCAAAGAACAGCCAUUCCCUUCGCCAAAGCGAGGCGCAGAUGCGCUGUUGUCUUCUCUCCCACACAGGAGCUAGCCUCAUCAUGUCCAUGACAACUAGGAAGUCUUACUUGCACGUGCCCCUAAGUACCUGUGUUCUGGAACCACGGUUAUCCCCGAAUCGGUUUGAAGAACCUGACACGAAAUCUCGAUGUGCGUACGCACCCGAGAGGCUCCAUCUAAUCCUUCCUCGUGGACGAACUUCAAGAGGAUCGGAUCCCGAAAGACUAACUCGAAGAAGAAGCAUAACCAUCCAUCCCAGCACCAUCCGUAUGAGAGCUAAAACCCUACCUAUGUACUAGACGGAGCUGAGGCACCAGGAGUCCCCUUCCCGCCGAGGGGAGUCAUAUACAUAGGUUGGUCGACGGAUGUCAAGGGGAUGAAAGCUUUACCUAGUCGCCUUGCGAGAGGGGAAAGAACUUGUUCUACGUGUGGUCGGUUACUAUGCUAGUUGAGUUAAUUAUACCAAGAAAACACAUAUUUCAUUUUGAGAAACAUGCAUGUACACCACCCCUUUCAAUGCGCACACACACACUCUAUGCCUAUGAACAUUUACGAGAGAGUGAGCCAACAGACCUUAUGAUAAAAUAAAAAUACUUUACCCGCACCACUCAAAUGGCGUACUCAGACAAUUUGUAAUCAAAAAAUCUUGGGCUUAAAAUGAAACCAAAAACAAGGAAAGGUGGAAAAAGGUUGUGUGGCAACCACCCUAUAACAUCAAGAACUGAAACUUCCAUCAGACACAAUGCAUCUGAGGGCCACGCAACCUUUGAAAUGGAUAUGGCAGUGGCUGCAACAAGGCCAUUCCCAGGUACAACAAAUAAAGUCUGAGUUCAUCAAAACAAUGCCUUCAACAAGGCCAUUGCCACGUACAAAUAAUAUAGGCCAGACCAUUAGCUUUCACCAUGGAAAUCAAAACUCAUUACUCGAGGAGCAGCAUCAAAUUGCAGUCCUUCAGUGUUGCCGCCCCCGCUUGCCGAGACCGCUGUUGCAAGUCACCAAACACCUGGCACAUAGUCUUCAUCGUAUCCAAUACACCCUUCCAAUAAAGCUUAAGACCUCCAAUCACAGCGUCCAAGACUUCCUCCACCUCUAUUCAUGCCUUAGAAAUCAUAAAUUCGACAUGUCCAUGACACCCGUAAGAAAUCGAACAUUCGCGCCAUGCCCUCUCGAGCUGGGUUGGAUGAUAAUAUUAGCGCGCGCAACCGGAGCCUUUCCAGUCUAGAUAUCCAGGUUCGACAUACGUCAAUCUGUAUAGAUCUCUGAGGGGGAAGACCAGAAUGCGUCAGCAACCCGAUCCAAGAGGUCGACAUUAGGUAGAAAGACAACUUGGCGGAACAAAAGCGCUAUGGCCAAAGCACCAUUUUUAGGCCGAACCACACUCACCCACCUCCAAAGAAAACGAGCCACUCCGCACUAUGCCAAAUGCUCCAGCCACCAUACCGAGCACCACUCCGAGAAACACACCCCUGAACAACCUCCAUUUUACGGACUCAUGGCGCCAGGUCCCGAAUCCGGCUGCUCCCCGGGAGGAACGAGUCACUAGACGGCGUAGCAGCAAGCACCGGCUAUGCAUGCACUCCGGCCUGGUCGGUCCAGAGUGAUCACGAUGUUCAUCCACAUGAUUGCUAUAUCAUUGAGAGGUCAUGGUUGAUCGCAUCAUUUUGCAGGGUGCUUCAUCAUCAUGAAAUGAAUGAAUAUACGCUUCCUUUUUUGUGGGUUAGAUUCCACGAUGAUACAAAAUCUGGACUCACGAUACAUAAUUUAUGGGUUCAGUGGGGACGACAUGAACAGAGCAAAUGGACAACAGUGGGUUCUAAAAUUUUAGCUCAUGGAUGAAAACAAAGUUUUACCUUGCUUGGACACCCAAUUAAGUAGCAUUUCUACUCGCAAAAAAAAUAGCAUUUCCAAUUAAAAAAAAUCCUCCAUGACAUGUAAAUGAUUAGGCGUAGAAAAUAGUACUCCCUCCGUCACGGUUUAGAAGGCACAGUUAGACUUGCGUGCGUUUUCAAAAUAGACAAAGAUUAAGGCACAUUGCAUUUACUCCUAGCAGUUAAUUAGUAUUCCGUUGUACUAUUUCUAUAUGCAUGUGUAGUGUGAAUGCUAUUUUUUAACUCAUUGUAUAGCCAAUCAAUAACCACCUAGGUCCUAGAGAAUUUGCAUGCACGCCUUCUAAACCGUGACGGAGGGAGUACAACACUUUUGUAGUCCAAUGAAUAAUUGUGAAUAAAACAUAUAAAAGGUCAUGAUGACACACAUCACACAUGCAGCAAAUAUAUGUUAAUUACCUGCAUGAAAUGUUAUAAAAUGAAGCACCAAAGUUUACAAGCAAGCAUAAUUGGUUGACAAGUUUGUAUUAUAUAAAAGUGGAUAAAGGAUGUACGAUUAACAUUCGUCGUGCCUGUGCCACUGAACCUAAAUCGCCCAUCAACAAAGGAACUUCUUCGUGCACCUUUGAAGCGUUACCCGUCGGANNNNNNNNNNNNNNNNNNNNNNNNNNNNNNNNNNNNNNNNNNNNNNNNNNNNNNNNNNNNNNNNNNNNNNNNNNNNNNNNNNNNNNNNNNNNNNNNNNNNAUGAUCUAAACGUAUAUUUGUUCGUGCACAAUGCCCAAUUACUUCUUUUCAGAUAAAAAUACCAAGUUACUUUCGUAUGUUGCGUCAUGCUUCCCAUAAUUAUUGAUACUUCGAAACAACCUAUGCACAAGGCAAUAUAUUUUCCCGUGUAGUAGUCCAACCCAAUUUCAUUCCAACAUGAGAAAACUUGUGGAUACACCAUCUCUGCCCCUCACACGGCCUGAUGGCUGAUUGUGUCCUCAUCUAUGUCCUCCUCUUCCUCCUCCUCUCCCCUCACUCCCACCUGCCGUAGCAUCACUGUGACAUCUGUAUGCCUCCAAUUUGUCGCAUUUCUGGAGCACGAGAAAACUACAAGAGGCUAACAAGGCUACAUACGACAUAACUAUGGUAGGCUGUUGGCACUGCUGUUCACCUUCUUAAUAUCCUUGGAUGUUGGACUCUACGCCGGCCUCUCCCAUCUUGAGUGUUGGUGGCUGCAUGAUCUGAGCAUCGGCUUGGAUGGCGUCCAAUAAAGACACCAUGCAUUACUGGCAGUGUAGACUCUGACACACACAAGUAUAUGAUCUAAGCUUUUCGUUGGCCCAAAACGCACACAUACUGCAGCCAAGAUUAAUCGACAUCAAUGCCCAAUUACUUCCUUUCAUACAACAAAACAUAUCAACGCCAACAUGUGUGGGAUGAGAAGGCGCUGGGCUGCAUGCCAGUGUGGGCCUAUGCCAGGGGGACAAGACGACACUCUCAGCCUCGGAGAUGCUCCCGAUGCACUGCAAGCACCAUUGCAAAUUCGGAAUACGGUCUUUCUAUUCCCAUCUUCAUUUCCUUGUGUAUAAAUUGCUAACUGCAUGUACAUGACAGAUAGCAACAACAAAUUCUAAAACAAUCCCUCUCAUAUAGGCUAUACCACAUGGGAAAGAUCAUGAAUGUUGCGGUUCAAUUAUAAUCUAUUUGCAAUACCUAGAUUUUGUUUUUAGAUGUUUUGAGAGUAGUGUUCGUAAUUACAGAUGAAAACGUAAUCCUAUUGUUGUUGUGGCCUCUUGAUUUCUCCAUCAUAACAAGAAGAGGAAGUGUACACAUGUUGAAGUCACGUUUAGGCAUCAAUGUGAGUGGUAUGUAAGCAAACAUUGUCUAAUGGCCGACUAUAUGUUUCUUGAAUAAAAAUAAUUAUACAAUAUGAUUACAUAACGCUGCAAGCAGAUCCUAGAAAAAUAUAAAUGAAAUUGCACAAUAAAUUUUUUUGUGACCAUGAUUAUAUGAAUAUUAGUUUAGUCAUAGUAUAUCAUCAACAUAUUUAUUUUUAUGUUAUAUUUUGUAAUGCUGAUAUGUUCACAAAAAUAGUAAUAUUAGUAGUAGAAACUAAUAUUUUUGUACCAUUAUUAGUAGUAUAAUUUAUCACAAAAAUGUGAACCAAUGAUUGUAAAGCUUUUCCCACAACAUAAGCUAUUACUUGAAUGUGAUAAGGUGAGAUAGUAUUAUGACCAAAUGUUACGAGUGCAAGUUAAUUAUUAUAUCACAGAAAUAACUGAAUCAUUUCAUUUCAUUGUCUAACAAAUAAGUAUGCCCUCAAUUUGAAUUUAUUCGCAUAUGAGUAUUAUCUCGAGUUAGACUUCUACGAUACCGAAACAAUACCAUUAGACUCAUUAUUGAAUAUAUUUACACAUCUUAUAAGUUUUGAAAAAUGAACUUAUUAGGAAGUAUAAAAACCAGUCGGCCCACACAACCCACCAGAUGAAUUUAAAUUGACCUGCGAUAAAAUUAAUUACCACUCACCCUAUUAGGGUAGCCCGUGCGAAUGCACGGGUUCACGACUAGUUUAUCUAAUGUAGGUUAGAGCAACACCAACCAGGCCCCCCAAACGGACGCUCGUUUUGUCCGUGUUUUGUCCAUUUUGGUCGGCUUGUUCGUCCUGUUUUCGUUUUGGGUCCGUCGUGCGUCCAAUGCGCCCAUGCUUCUUUCGCGCUAUGCUUCUUUCGUUAGUGUGGUAGGCUUGCAGCCAUUUUUUGAUCUCUUUGUUACAUAUGUUUAAAAUUUAAUCCUAGAUUAACGAAGUUGAGUAAAAAUACAACCAUUUCAUAGUUCACAAACCACAUAAAUAUCUGAUAGUUUACAAGCCAAAUUUACAUUAAAUUGUCUCCAACACAUUUGAAAGAAAAGGUUGCCAACACAUCUAUUGGUUGCCAAUAUGAAUGCACAUAUGCUCGCAGCUGCAUGUGAGUUUCAAUCACGUAUCUGAUGAUGAAAUUGGACGAACUAUGCAAACGUGAUCACUCCUCCAUGCACAGGCACAACAUUGUCACCCUGUUGAAUCCUAGGUUUUCAUUGGAAUUGCCUACCAGGCACACCAUUCAAAAGGAUGGAAGGUGUUGCAUUGGAUAAGAUCUUGAUCCAAGUGAUGGCUCCAAUUUGUACACAAUUUUAGAGCUCAUUUGUCGCCUAAUAGCUCCAUAUAGCAUGUUCUAUUCAGCCAAUUACAUGUCCAUAUGCAUGAUAUCCAUUAUUUGUCCUUUCUGUCACAAGGAUUGCGUAAUCAUAAUUCUUUUUUAGUGCUUACUGUGUUUCUUUGUUUUUGAGUGUUUUGUAGGUAACGUGGAACUCCCAUACACUUAACCCAAUGAAAAGGAUCCAAAGGUAAGGACAUACAGGUACCAGAUUUAGGCAGUCGGUUUUUUAGUUGCUCAAAAUCGAUAUCUGAUAUUGUACGUGCAUCAGCAUUGUUUUCAUGAUUCCAACGAGCAGAAGAACAUUGAAAACAGAGUCUGGAUGUAAAAGUUACAAUUUUACCAAAGAGUCCAAAGCGUUUAACGACCUUUGGCAUGACCCAAAAUGCUCGUAUCAGGCCGUGACAAGCUCGAAAGUGGCCCUUUCCAAAGGAAUUCUUCGAGGCUUUCUUGUUCAGUGCCACAAGAAAGUGGUACUAUCAUUAUUAACUUUGUAUUUGUUGGCGUCAAUGUUAUGGACAUCAAUAUCACUACUAUCUAGAUUCAAAAAGAAUAAACCAUUCACAGUAGGCUCAUGACCAUAAAAGAUGUUACCCAUAUAAAUGGAACAACCAUUAUUCUCUAGUUUAAGUGAAUAACUGUCUCGCAAUAAACAAAAUCUAGAUAUAAUGUUCAUGCUCAAGCGGGCACCAAAUAACAAUUAUUUAGGUUUACAACUAAUCCUGAUGGUAAUCGAAGAGCGAUUGUGUCGACCGCGAUCACAUCAACCUUUGAACCAUUUCUGACGUGCAUCGUCACUUCGUCCUUUGCCAACCUUCGUUUAUUCCGUAGUUCCUGUUCAAGUUACAAAUAUGAGUAACCAAACCGUUAUCAAAUGGCAUUACUACGAGAGCUAGUAUGGUACACAUAAAUAACAUGUACAUCAAGUAUAUCUUUAUUGAUGUUGCCAGGCUUCUUAUUGGCCAGAUACUUGGGUCAAUUCCGCUUAUAGUGACCAGUUCCAUUGCAAUAGAAGCACUCAGUCUCAAGCUUGGACACAACUUUGGGUUUCUUGAGGGGGGGAACUGGCUUGUCGUUAUUCCUGAAGUUUCCCUUCCUGCCCUUGCCUUUCUUCAAACUAGUGGUUUUAUUCACCAUCAACACUUGAUGCUCCUUCUUGAGUUCUACUUCCGCGAUUUUCAGCAUCGCGAGAUUAGCUUCUUCAUCCCUUGCAUAUUAUAGUUCAUCGUGAAGUCUUUGUAGCUAGGUGGCAGUGACUAGAGAACUAUGUCAGGACCGUCUCAGGUGGAAUCUCAACUCCCAACUGAUUCAGGCGGUUGUACCACACACACAUUCUGAGUAUGUGCUCACUGACAGAACUAUUAUCUUUCAUCUUGCAGGUGAAGAAAUUAUUAGAGGUCUCAUACCUCUUGAUCCGGCCAUUUGCUCGAAAUACUAACUUCAACUCCUGGAACAUUUGAUAUGCUCCAUGGCGUUCAAAACGGUUUUGAUGUCCCAAUUCUAAGCUGUACAACAUGGUACACUGAACUAUCGAGUAGUCAUCAGCACGCGCCUGUGAGACGUUCAAAAAAUCUGCAUACGACACUAGAGGGGUGGCGUCUCAAGCGCUGCAUCAAGGACAUAAGCCUUUUGCGAAGCCGUGAGGAUAAUCCUCAGAUUAAAGACCCAGUCUGCAUAGUUAUUUCCAUCAUCUUUCAGCUUAUCUUUCUCUAGGUACACAUUCAAAUUCAGGGGAGCUACUGUGUGAGCCAUUGAUCUACAACGUAAUUUGCAAAGACAUCUAUAGACUAUGUGUCAUGACAAUGAAUUCAAUUAAUCAUAUUACUAAAGAACUCCCACUCAAAUCAACAUCCCUCAGUUGUCUAAGUGUGACAUGAUCCAAAUACACCAACCCAAGUCCGAUCAUCAUGUGAGAUGAGGUGAUUUCAAUGGUGAACAUAUCCAUUUGAUGAUAUGUACUACAUGACUCAUGUUCGACCUUUAGGUCUCCUCUAUUCCGAGGCCAUGUUUGUACAUGCUAGGCUCAUAAAGUUUAACCCAAGUGUUUUCCAUGUGCAAAACUGGCUUACAACACUUGUAUGUGAACGAAGAGUGUAUCACACCUGAUCAUCACGAGGUGCUUCGAAACAACAAACUUUCACAACGGUGAGGGAUCAACUUAUAAUGCUAUCAUUGUCCUAAGGAUAAUAAGAUGCAUAAAAUAUAAACAUCACAUGCAAAUCAUAUAAGUGACAUGAUAUGGCCAUCAUCAUCUUGUGAUUCUGAUCUCCAUAUCCAAAGCACCGGCAUGAUCUCCAUCGUCACCGGCAUGACACCAUGAUCUCCAUCAUCGUGUCGUCAUGUGGUUGUCGUGCUAACUAUUGCUAACUCAUAGUGAUAAAGUAGAGCAAAUGACACAAAUAAAUAAAAGACAACCCUAUGGCUCCUACCGGUUGUCGUACUCAUGGAGAUGGAAGUUGUGAUAACUAUACAAAACAUGAUCAUCUCAUACAUCACAUAUAUCAAAUCAUGUUUUUGGCCAUAUCACAUCACAACAUGCCCUCGACAAACAAGUUACACGUCCUCUACUUUGUUAUUGCAAGUUUUACACGGCUGCUAUGGGAAACUAGCAAAAAUCAUUCUUACAUACGCAAAGCCACAACGGUGAUAUUCAAGUUGCUAUCUAACCUUCUACAAGGACUGCCUGUGUCGAAUCCGAUUCAACUAAUUAAAUUGAGAGAGACAAACACCCGCGAACCACCUUUAUGCAAGCAAGUUACGUGUUAGUUGGUCAAACUAGUCUCUUAUGCGUGGACAGGUACGGUUGGUCCGAACCGCUCCAUCCCAGAAUAUCGCUGAAUCAAAAUAAUACUAAGGAGCUAAGCAAGAUGAACAUCAACACCCACAAACACUUUGUGUUCUACUUGUGCAUGCCAUCUAUACAGAAACCUAGCUCAUGAUGCCAGUGUUGGAGAAUGUUGCAUGGGAAACAAUAGUUUUCCUAUGUACACCCAAGAUCUAUCUAUGGAGAUGUAUAGCUACGAGACGGGGAGUGGAUCUACACACCCUUGCAGAUCACUAAGAGGAAACAUUAAGAAACGCGGUUGAUGUAGUUGUAUGUCUUCACGAUCCAAUCAUGAUUCGUCCUGAUCUAGCGCCGGUCAGACGGCACUUCCGUGUUCAGCACACGUACAGCUCGAUGACGUCUUAGCCCCCCAGAGAGCGAUGGUGGAGUAGUAGAUGAGUUCUCCAGUAGAACGGCGGCGUGGUGACGCACUAGUGGAGAAAGGGGUAUUAGAACCGGUUGGUAAGGGCCUUUGGACCCAGAUACACAUCCGGUGCUACGUAUCCGGGACUAAAGCCCCCCCCCCUUUAGCACCGGUCUCUUACAAACCGGUGCUAAAGGCCUCCACGUGGGCGCCGAAGAGUGCGCGCAGGCGGAGGACCUUUAGAACCGGUUGGUAACACCAACCGGUCCUAAUGCUUUUUUUUCUUUUUUUUCCUUUUCUUUUCACGGUUUCCGAUUCCGUAUUUUGGUGUUUCCGUGUUCCGUAUUUUCAGGGUUUUCGUUUUCGUGUUUCCAGUUCCGUAUUUCCGUUUACGUCUUUCCGAUUCCGUGUUUCCGAUUCCGUGUGUCCGUGUUUCGUUUUUUACGAACACGGAAUCGGAAACACGUAAUCGGAAACACCGAUUCCGUGUUUGCGGUUAAGUGUUUCCGAUUCCGUGUUUGCGGUUAAAUGUUGAUGCACCAAAUAAAAGUACAUAUAUACAUGUAACACGAAGUACUGGACCGAUUAUCAUUACAUAAUUUGAAGUUCGUUUCCUAUGGCUGUAUACUUGCAUAGAGAAGGGAACUGGCUAUUGGUUCGUAGGAUGGAAAAUUUCUCCGCCUUCAUCUAUGACUUGCGUGAGGAGAAAUCCUGCCAAUUCCUCUACAACUGCCUUGCAACGUUGGAUUGGUCUGAGCAUCGCCCGCUUUCGUUGCAGCUUUAAAAGAAGUAGAUGAAAACAAUUAAGUUAUGAACAAAACUAAACAUAAUUGAUGGCAACAUAAAUAAAGUUGUGAAGAUCCGGUUACGUACCUCUAGAUUUCUGGAAGUACGGGAUUUCUCAUUGAUAAUCCUGUGAAUGUACUCGCAAACGUAGUAUCCACAAUAAUCAGUNNNNNNNNNNNNNNNNNNNNNNNNNNNNNNNNNNNNNNNNNNNNNNNNNNNNNNNNNNNNNNNNNNNNNNNNNNNNNNNNNNNNNNNNNNNNNNNNNNNNUUCUUCUCCUCCUCCUCCUCCUCCUCCUCCUCCUUCUUCUUGAUUUCUUCUUCUUCUCCUCUUCCUCCUCUUUCUUCUUCUUCUCCUCCUCUUUCUUCUCCUUCUUCUACCAUAAUAAGCUCAAAAUGAAAAGAAAGAAGAAGAAGAGAUGAAGAAGAAGAGAGGAAGGAGAAGGAGGAGGAGGAGGAGAAGGCCAAGGACCUUCUAUCCUUCUCCUCCUCCUCCUCCUCUUUCUUCUCCUCUUUCAUAUUAUCCUUGCUUUAAUUAACCCAACAAUGACAUAGUUAGCCCAUUGAGCUCCAAAAUACCGUAAUAAGCUCAAAAUGGCAUAAGAACCUUGGUUAGCUCAUGAAUAUUAUAUACUUAGCUUCUUUUCCUCUAAAAGGACAUAAUUGGAAUAUUUAGCUCAAAAAAAAGGAGAAGGAAGAAGAAGAGGAAGAAGAGAAGAAGAAUAGAAGGAGAAGGAGAAGAAGAAGGAGGAGGAGGAGAAGAAGAAGAAGGAGGGGGAGAAGAAGAGAAGAAGGAGAAGGUAGGAGGAGAAGAAGAAGGAGAAGGAGAAGGAGCCCUCCUUCUUCUCCUUCUUCUUCUCUCCUUCUUCUCCUCCCUCUUCUCCUUCUUCUUCUCUUAUUUUUUCUUCUUCUCCUCCUCCUUCUCCUUCUCCUUCCCCUUCCCCUCCUCCUCCUCCUCCUCCUCCUUCUUGUUUUUCUUCUCCUUGUUCUAUUAUUGCUUCUUCUCUUUCUUCUUCAAUUUAGCUUAUUUGUCAUAUAUGUUGUUGUUCUUCUUGUACUUACUUUCUUAUUCCCAUUUUGCAGAUUGGAUGUACUACAUGCAUGGAAGCUGGCGUUGGAGUGCUUUAGUUUCCUUUUUUAUUUGAGUUGAUGAACAAUGUGUUGGUUCUUUGUAUGUGUUGAUGAACAAUGUGUUGAUGAACAAUAUAUGUGGAACUAUAUGUAUAUAUAUAUGGAUGAAACUUUGUAUAUGUUGGUUUCUUUUGAUAUAUGGAUGUCCAUUGAUGAACAAAUGACAUUGGUUAACUUUAUAUGUAUAUCAUAUAUGUGUUGUGAACUAUAUAUCAUAUAUGUGCUAUGAAUUAUAUAUAUUAUUGCUGUGAAAUAACAUAAAAUAAAAAAAACAGUGACAAUAUGGGCUCUUUGCCGUCUGCNNNNNNNNNNNNNNNNNNNNNNNNNNNNNNNNNNNNNNNNNNNNNNNNNNNNNNNNNNNNNNNNNNNNNNNNNNNNNNNNNNNNNNNNNNNNNNNNNNNNGGCGUGCGUGGGAGAGAGAGAGAGCGCGUGGGAGAGAGAGAGUGCGUGGGAGAGAGAGAGAGAGUGCGUGGGAGAGAGGAGAGAGGUAGGCGCCGUUAACGCUUCCGAGUCGUGGGGCUACGCACUUCCGUGCCAGUUCCUGCGGCGUUCUUCUUCUCCAGCCAUCGACCCCGGUGUCGAUCUUCCCCCCGUCACGCGCCGCAACAAGCGAUCCGGUCGUUCGCAGCUCCAGUGUUGGGUGCGACACGCCCUAGCGCGACAAAACAUGUCCUCUUAAGUGGCAGUGCUUGAAUCGGUUGUGGUCCCGCGGUCAUCCCAGUGCUUGGAGUCAGUUCUGACUGAACUACCUUCCGAGUAUCAGGGUCACGGGCCUGCAGCCGAAGUACUCAUGGCGGAUUCCCAUGAAAGUCCCUCCGGACUGGUCGGAACAAGGGUGAGAUCGGGGAAUCAUCCGGCGCUCGUCGUCAGCACCCUCGUUCUUCCGGUCGAUGCGCUCGCCAGAGCAACGUCGAGGUGCUCCGCACACCCAUCCUCAACUUAGCUGCAGCCGCCAGGAUCGCUGACUCUCUCCAGCCGACUGAUUCGGAGGCUGGUAGAGGAAUCGAGUAGAUCCGUGCCUUGUUACAUACGGCGCAGCAGCAAAACUCGGUGGUCUCCCAAUCGCACAACAAGAUACACAACAGUUCCGUUCAAGCGAACACGGGUGAGUUUUCAGUCCCGGCUCUCACCAGCAUCGCAGAGGGGGCAGCCUCUAGAACGAUCGUUCCAGGGACCAGAGUCGGAAUCCGCUUUCCAUUCGGUCUCAUCCCGAAGAUCGUCGCCGUUCGCGUACUCCUCCACGGAGUGGGCCUUACCGACCCCGGCAUUACGAUGGUCAUCGUUCGGGCGGUGACGCGCAUGAUCAAAGGCCUGAUGCAAGAGGGUAUAUCACUCAGAAGAAGGUUGAUAGAAGCUGAGCCACCGCGAUGGUCAUGAUAGAGAUCAUCCGAGUGGAAGCAGGACCGUUGUUUCUGGUCCCGAGUGUUUCAGUCGGGCAAUUCGCUCGGCUGACAUCCCUCCCAACUUCCGAUUGGCGACGGGAAUCAGCAAAUUCACAGGAGAGUCCAAACCAGAAACUUGGUUAGACGACUACAGAGUGGCGCUCUAGAUCGGUGGUGGAGAUGACCAUGUCGCCAUGAAACAUCUCCCGCUGAUGCUCGACGGUUCGGCUCGAGCUUGGCUAAACCAGUUAGCUCCAUCAAGCAUUUACAGUUGGGCAUAUCUGUCCCGAGUCUUCAUCAGGACCUUCGAGGGUACGUGCAAACGCCCUGCUGGUCUCACAGAGCUUCAGCACUGUGUCCAGAAGCAAAACGAUCCCUUGCGCGAUUUCAUCCAGCGCUGGACAACCCUGUACCACACGGUGGAGAAUGUUACUGAACACCAAGCAGUCUGCGCCUUCAAGGCAGGCGUUCGGUACAGAGAUCUAUACCUGAAGUUUGGUCGGACAUGCGACAUCUCCAUGAGCAAGAUGAUGGAGAUAGCCGCGCGCUAUGCGAGUGGCGAAGAGGAGGACCGCAUACAUAGCGGCAAGCAUAAGUCAGUCGCGGACGGAGAUGGGAGCAGCAGUCGGAAGUAGAAACAGAAAGCCCAAUCCACUCCGCAAGCAGAGGUGGCAGUCGUUACAAACGCUAAGUCCAAAGGCAAGGGGAAACCACAGUACACCCCCAAGAAGAAACAGUCAGGAAAUUCCAUCCUAGAUCAACCGAGGCCGAUCCACACGAAGACGGAUGAAGAAGGCAAUGUCAUAUUGCCGAAACAUACCACUCGGCAGUGUCGCCUCCUGAUCCAAGGAUUCGGUGAAGGACAGCCGAGUGAGAAAGACUCUGAGCAAGAUGAUGAGGACAAGGGGGAUCCGUUCCCUCAAGUCCAUGCAACGUUAAUGAUUUUUGCUGAUGUAGAAAGCAAAAGUCGACUGAAGCUGGUCAACAGGGAGGUAAACAUGGCAACCACAUCCACUCCCACGUUCCUCAAGUGGUCACAGACUGCAAUCACUUUUGAUCAGUCAGACCACCCAGCACACGUAUCCACCCCAGGGAGGCAAGCUCUGGUCGUCGACCCGGUGGUGGAAGGAGUUAGGCUGCGCAAAGUCCUCAUGGACGGCGGCAGCGGCUUGAAUAUCAUGUACGCCAAUACUCUCAAGGGAAUGGGCAUUCUGAUGUCCAGACUUAGCGAGAGCAGUAUGCAAUUCCAUGGAGUCGUCCCAGGAAGAAAGGCCAAGUCACUCGACCAGAUUGCGUUGGAUGUCGUUUUCGGCUCUUACCAGAACUUCCGCAAAGAGAAAUUAACAUUCGAGGUGGUAGACUUCCAGAGUGCAUACCAUGCCAUUCUGGGCCGUCCGACAUACGUACGUUUCAUGGCCCGUCCAUGUUACGUAUAUUUGAAGCUGAAGAUGCCUGGUCCCAAAGGCGUGAUUACUAUCACAGGCAAUCGGCAGCGGGCCGAGGAGUGCCUGCAGCAGGGGUCGAGAAUGGCAGACCAUCAGAUAGCUGUACUCGAGUUGGAUGAGUACAAGAAGAUUGCCGACCCCGCCGACCUGAUGCGUUCAAAGAAGCCAGCUUCCGAGUCCGCAUUCCAGUCGGCGAGAGACACGAAGAAAGUAAGCAUCCACCCGGCGGAUGCCACCGCCGCCCCAACAAACAUCUCCACCACCCUUGAUCCAAAAUAGGAAGACGAGCUCAUCCAAUUCCUCCGUGAGAACUGGGAAAUUUUUGCAUGGAAACCUGCUGACAUGCCAGGUGUACCGAGGGAGUUGGCUGAGCACCAAUUGCAUGUGGAUCCUACCGCUCGGCCCGUCUGAGAACACCUGCGUCGGUCCGCCGCGCACAAGAGAAAAGCAAUCGGAGAGGAGGUAGCUAAACUUCUGGCAGCCAACUUCAUUCGCGAGGUACACCACUCCGAGUGCCUCGCUAAUGUUGUCAUGGUACCCAAGAAGGACAAGUCUCUCCCUAUGUGCAUCGCUUUCAAGCACCUUAAUAAGGUCUGUCCGAAAGACCAAUUGAUCAAAUUGUUGAUUCGACUUCGGGUUCCAAGCGUUUAUCCUUCCUUGAUGCCUAUUCGGGCUAUCAUCAGAUCCGUCUGUAUGGUCCAGAUGAAUUAAAAACAUCUUUCAUCACCCCAUUCGGGUGCUUCUGUUACAUCACUAUGCCAUUCGGUUUGAAAAAUGCAGGAGCAACUUUUAUGCGAAUGAUCCAAAAAUGCCUCCUAGACCAGAUUAGUCGAAAUGUGGAGGCAUAUAUGGACGAUAUCGUAGUCAAGUCACGCAAAGGUUCCGACCUGCUGACUGACUUGGCAGAAACAUUCGCCAACCUACAUAGGUACGAUAUCAAGCUCAACCUAGGCAAGUGUUCAUUCGGCGUUCCCAGCGGGAAGUCACUCGGUUUCUUUGUUUCUGAACUUGGGAUCGAUGUCAACCCCGAAAAGAUCGGGACCAUUGUUUGAAUGGAGCGGUCGGUAAGAGUACAUGAUGUACAAAAGCUCACAGGUUGCCUAGCGGCUUUGAGCAGGUUUAUCGCUCGACUCGGCGAGAAGGCGUUACCUCUGUACCGACUCAUGAAGAAGUCGGAUACCUUCGAGUGGACAGACGAAGCCCAAACCGCAUUCGACGACCUCAAAGCCCUGCUUUCCACCCAGCCGGUUCUUACAACCCGCUCAGUAAAGAACCCCUUCUUCUAUACAUCGCGGCUACAAAUCAAUUCGUCAGCACCGUUCUGACAGUCGAACGCGAAGAAGAAGGCAAAGCGUACAGGGUUCAGCGGCCAGUAUAUUAUGUUUCCGAAGUCCUGACUCCUUCCAAGCAGAGGUAUCCCCAUUAUCAGAAGCUUAUUUAUGGGAUCUACAUGACUGCAAAGAAGGUGGCUCAUUAUUUCCAAGACCACUCGGCAUCCGUCAUAUCUGAUGCUCCGUUGUCGGAAAUUCUCCACAAUCGGGAUGCAUCAGGCCGAGUGGCAAAGUGGGCAAUGGAGAUGCUAUACUGCGACAUCAAGUUCGAAGCCAAGAAAGCUAUAAAGUCUCAAGCUCUUGCUGACUUCAUAGCAGAAUGGGUAGAACAACAGCAACCGACUCACAUCUACUCGACUCAUUGGACCAUGUUCUCCAAUGGGUCCAAGAUGUUGAAUGGCUCCGGCGCCGGCGUAGUGCUCAUGUCCCCGAAAGGUGAUAAACUCAAUUAUGUGUUGCAGAUCCAUUUUGAUUCUUCCAACAACGAAGUAGAGUACGAAGCUCUCCUUUACGGGUUGCAUGGCCAUCACACUCGGCGUCCGUCGCCUGAUGGUCUAUGGCGACUCAGAUCUAGUGGUUAAUCAAGUAAUGAAGGAGUGGGAUGUAAGGAACCCCACCAUGACUGCAUAUUGCAAUGCAAUAAGAAAGCUCGAAAAGAAGUUCGAAGGUCUGGAACUUCACCAUGUUCCCCGACUGAAAAACCAAGCAGCAGAUGAAUUGGCAAAACUUGGAUCCACACGGAGACCUGUCCCGAGUGAUGUCAGCCUCGAGCACCUACACCUCGCCUCGGUAAAAGAAGAUUAUUUUACACAGGAACCGGUGCAACCGAAGAGCUCAACAGAUUAGACUGAAGCCGAGGUUCCAGCUGUGGUUGACCUGAUCAUGGAGAUUCUGGAUAUCAUUCCCGAAUGGACUGUGCCAUUCAUUGUGUACAUCCUGAGGCAAGAGUUACCGGAAGACGAGGUCCAAGCGAGGCAGAUCGUUCACAGGUCGAAGUCCUUAACCAUCGUUGAUGACCAGUUAUACAGAGAAAGUGUUUCAGGCGUCCUUCAGCGGUGUAUCUCUCCUGAGGAGGGUCGGUUAAUUUUGGAAGAAAUUCACUCGGGAACCUGCGGCCAUCAUGCCUCCUGAAGGGUAAUCGUCGCCAAAGCAUUCAAAGCUGGUUUCUUCUGGUUGCAGGCGAAUGAAAUGGCAAAAGAUAUAGUCGACCAUUGCGAAGGUUGUCAGUUCUAUUCAAACAAGUCCCACAAGCCAAUGUCCGCGCUGAAGACAAUUCUCCUUUCUUGGCCAUUCGCCGUGUGGGGAUUAGAUACAGUCGGACCAUUCAGAACAGGCCAAGGAGGAUUCACCCAUCUGCUGGUAGCAGUCGACAAGUUUACCAAGUGGAUUGAAGCCAAGCCAGUCAAGAAGCUUGAUGCCCUUACGGCCAUCAAAUUUAUCACAGACAUCAUCGCCAAAUAGAGGGUUCCACACAACAUAAUCACCGACAAUGGCAUAAACUUUAACUCGGACGAGUUCAAAGGUUUUUGCGCAGGCCAAGGUAUGCGAGUGGAUUUUGCAUCCAUUGCGCACCCCCAAACAAAUGGACCAGCGGAGCGGGCGAAUGGACUCAUUCUUCAAGGGUUGAAGCCUCAACUCCUGCGGGAAGUUGGACAUGCCGCCGGCGCAUGGGUCACCGAGCUGCCUUUGGUGCUGUGGGGCCUCCGAACAACUCCGAAUAGAUCGAUAGGACGAUCCCCGUUUUUCCUCGUUUAUGGAGCAGAGGCAGUCCUUCCGAGUGACUUGCAUAACAACUCUCCACGAGUCGAACUCUUCUCCGAAGCCGAAGCAGAGCAAGCCAGGCAAGACGGACUAGACCUUUUAGAAGAGGAGCACGAGAUGGCAUUGAUCCGUUCAACAAUUUAUCAGCAAGAUCUGCGGCGAUUUCAUGCAUGGCACGCCAGGAGCCGCACGUUCCAAGCAGGCCACCUGGUGCUCCGAGUGGAUCAACAGAGACCACACAAGUUGGCUCCCGCCUGGGAAGGAUUGUUCAUCAUUUCUAAGGUGCUGAACAACAGAGCGUAUCGACUCUACAACCUCGACAGGGAGACGGACGAGCCGCGAGCAUGGAAUGGAGAUCUACUGAAGCGCUUCUACACAUAACCACCGACAGAGACAAUGUAAAGAACAAAUGUCAUCGAAGUAAUACAAAGCGGUUUAAUUUCUUGCCGAUUCAAAAUUCUUGCGCGUUUGCAGACUCCGGUCNNNNNNNNNNNNNNNNNNNNNNNNNNNNNNNNNNNNNNNNNNNNNNNNNNNNNNNNNNNNNNNNNNNNNNNNNNNNNNNNNNNNNNNNNNNNNNNNNNNNAACAUAAAAUAAAAAAAACAGUGACAAUAUGGGCUCUUUGCCGUCUGCCUGCUGGGGGGGCAGACGGCAAAGAAGAGGGCACAGAGGAGGGGCAGGAGUGGAGAGAGGGGGAGGGGAGGACACGGCAGACGGCAAAGAUUGACCAGCAGGCAGACGGCAAAGAGCCUCCGUUAACCCCUAACGGAGGCAACGCCUCUCGGCUGCCGUCUCAAGCUCUUUGCCGACUGCUCCUCAAGGAAGCUGACGGCAAAGAGCUUUGCCGUCCGCUUUGGGGGGGGGGGNNNNNNNNNNNNNNNNNNNNNNNNNNNNNNNNNNNNNNNNNNNNNNNNNNNNNNNNNNNNNNNNNNNNNNNNNNNNNNNNNNNNNNNNNNNNNNNNNNNNNNNNNNNNNNNNNNNNNNNNUAGGCUGACGCAGAAAAUUUGCCAGCCGUGACAAUCUUUGCCGUCUGUGGUAUGUUCUUUGCCGUCCGGGUAUUUGUCUUUGCCGUCCGUGAUGGCAGAUGCCAAAGAAGGUGAUUCCUGUAGUGGAUGUACAGAGUGGAUUCCAGUCGGUACGUUAGAUAUGCUCCGAGUGGAUCGUCGCCGACUGGAUGAUGGGGGCGUCCUUAGUUCAGUUGGAACUGUCUAAGGGCCUUCUCCCCUAUGAAGGGUAGUCCUUGGGUAGGACCUAUAGGGCAGACCUAUGACNNNNNNNNNNCUCGCUAUGCUCCAUCAUCCUCACACAACUAAUGUAAAUCAUGCACAACCCCGGUAUUGGCCAAGUAAUUGUUUUCGCACUCUUACUUUCUCAAACUUUUUAUAACAGUCACGCAACACAUGAGCGUGAGCCAUGGAUAUAGCACUAUAGGUGGAAUAGAGUGUGGUGGUGGUUGUGAGACAAAAAGGGAGGAGAUAGUCACAUUGACUCGGCGUAUCAAAGGGUUAUGGCGAUGCCCAUUAAUAGAUAUCAAUGUGAAUGAGUAGGGAUUGCCAUACAAGAGAUGCACUAGAGCUAUAAGUAUGUGAAAGCUCAAAAGGAGAACUAGUGGGUGUGCAUCCAACUUGCUUGCUCACGAAGACAUAGGGCAAUUUUGAGGAAGCCCAUCAUUGGAAUAUACAAACCAAGUUAUAUAAUGAAAAUUCCCACUAGCAUAUGGUAGUGACAAAGCAAGAAGCUCUCAAUCAUGAAGAAUAUGGUGCUAUUAUGAAGCACAAGUGUGGAAAAGGAUAGUAGCAUUAUCCCUUCUCUCUUUUUCUCUCUUUUCUCUUUUUUUCAUUUGGGCUCUUAGGCCUUUUUUUCUUUUCUCCUUUUUUUGUUUUUGGGCUCUUUGGACUCUUUUUUUAUUUCCUCACACGGGACAAUUCUCUAAUAAUGAUGAUCAUCACACUUUAAUUUACUCAUAGCUCAAUGAUGACGACCCUAUAGGAAAUGCGUCCGGCAGUGUACCGGGAUGUGCAACGAUCUAGAUGGCGUAUGCCGUUGAAACAUCUCGCUAGCUAUCUUACGAUCAUGCAAUGGAAAUAUGAGAGUGACGGCAGAAGUCAUGAGACGGAACGGUGGGAGUUGCAUGGCAAUAUAUCUCGGAAUGGCUAUGAAAAUGCCAUAGUGGGUAGGUAUGGUGGCUGUUUUGAGGAAGGCAUAUGGUGGGUUUGUGCACCGGCGAGAAUUGCGCGGCACUAAAGAGACUAGUAAUGGUGGAAGGUGAAAGUUCAUCUAUACCAUGGACUCACAUUAGUCAUGAAUAACUCACAUACUUGUUGCGAAAGUUUUUAUAAGUAACCGAAACAAAGUGCUAAACGCAUACUCUGAGGGGAAGGGUUGGUAGGUGUUAACCAUCGCGCGAUCCCGACCUCAACACAAAGGAUGACAAUCAAUAGAUCAAUUAUGCUCCGAUUUCCUAACAUAGCGGUCACCAUACGUGCAUGCUACAGGAAUCACUAACUUCAACACAAGUAUUUCUAGAUUCACAACACCCUACUAACAUAGCUCUUAAUAUUACCAAAUCCACGUCUCAAAACUAAUUGGAGGAAUCAAAACUUCUCUUUCUACUCAAUGCACAUGAAAAUGGAGGUUUUUGCAUCCUCUUUGGGUACUUAUCACAUUUGGGACUACUUUCAUAGCAUAAGUCAACUACCAAAUCACGCACCGCCGUGCUCUAAAAGAUAUAAGUGAAGCACUAGAGCAAAAGUAUCUAGCUCAAAAGAUAUAAGUGAAGCACUAUGAGCAUUCUNNNNNNNNNNAAAAAUCACGAUGAGUGCAUGUCUCUCUCUCUAUCAAAAAGGUGUGGAGCAAGGAUGAUUGUGACACAACAAAACGAAAAGACUCCUAAGAUACAAGACGAUCCAAGCAAAACACAUAUCACGUGGUGAAUAAAAAUAUAGCUCCAAGUAAUGUUACCGAUGGAUUGAAGACGAAAGAUGGGAUGCCUUCCCGGGGCAUCCCCAAGCUUAGGCUUUUUGGUGUCCUUGAAUUUGGCUUGGGAUGCCUUGGGCAUCCCCAAGCUUGAGCUAUUUCCACUCCUUAUCUCUUUGUCCAUGAGAACAUCACCCAAAACUUGAAAACUUCACAAAACAAAACUUAAACAGAAGCUCGUGAUAACAUUAGCACAAGAAAACAAAUUACCACUUCUUUUGGUACUGUAGCAAACUUGAAUUCUAUCUAUAUUGGUGUUGGGCUACUCCAUUCUCACUUUUCCAUGGCUAGUACCCCCCGAUACUAACCAUAGUUUCAUCAAAACAGGCAACCAACUCAACAAAAACAGAAUCUGUCAAAAACAGACCAGUCUGUAGUAAUCUGUAUACUUCCUAUACUUGUGGUAACUCAAAAAAUUUCUGAAAAAUUGUGAAUGCCUGGGAAAAAGGUAUAUCAACCAGCGGAAAAAAGAAUCAAGUCAAAAUCUCUUUCUGAAUAAAAAUGAAAAAUCAUCUCGUGAGCGAAAAGUUUCUGUCUUUUUCCAGCAGGAUCAAACAACCAUCACCAAGACUAGUCAUAAAGGUUUUGCUUGGCUCAAACACAAAAAGAAACACAAAAGACACAAUCAUAACAGAAUUCUGAUAGUGUGGACGCAACAAAUUAGAAAGAAAAAGAAAUAAAUUUAUUGGGUUGCCUCCCAACAAGCGCUAUUGUUUAACGCCCUUAGCUAGGCAUAACGAAUUCAAUGAUGCUCACGCAAAAGACGAGAGUUGAAGCACAACGAGAGCAUCAUCAAGCAUGUGAAAAUCACAUCGAAGUCUAACAUACUUCCUAUGCAUAGGCAUUUUAUAGGAAAAAAAAUUGGUCAAGCAACCAAUAGUUACCAAAUGCAAGGAAGAAGAAAGAGACAAUAGCAAUCUCAACAUAACGAGAGGUAAUUUGGUAACAUGAAAGUUUCUGCCACAAUAUUUUCCUUUCUCAUAGCAAUUACAUGUGGGAUCGUAUUCAAAUUCAACAAUAUAGCUAUCCCAUAUGAUAUUCUUUUCAUGAUCCACAUGCAUGCAAAGUUAACGCUCUUCAAAAAUAGUGGGAUUAUCAUCAACUAAAGCCAUGACUUCUCCAAACCCACUUUUAAUCUUAUUGCAAAAUCAUAUUCAUCAUGAGGCUUAAACAAAUUUUUAAGAUCAUAAGAAAAAUCAUCGCCCCACUCUUGUUCAUUGCAACAAGUAGUGGACAUAACAAAACUAGCAUCCCCAAGCUUAUGGUUUUGCAUGUUCUUAGCAUCCCCAAAUUUACAGUGAAACCAUUGCAAUCAUGCUUUUCAUCCAAGGAGCCCUCAUGAAUCACUUCAUAAAUUUCUUCCUCACAAUUUUCAGAUUCACGCAUCUCAAGCAAAACUCCAUAAAGAUAGUCAAGUGCACUCAACUCACUAGCAAUUGGAUCAACAUAAUUGGAUCUCUUAAAGACAUUAGCAAGUGGAUGAGGAUCCAUAUCACUAGAUUUUCAGCAAGCGAAGAUGCAAGCAUAUUUAAGGCACAUGGCACAUAAGCGAACAGAAAGCAAGCGAGAGAAAAGGGCGACCGAAAAAGGCAAACGAAAAAAAGGCAAACGAAAAAGGCAAAUAGGUGAAGUGGGGAGAGGAAAACGAGAGGCAACUGGCAAACAAAGUAAAUGCAAGAGGUGAGUUUGCGACACCUACUUGGAUGAGUUCUUGACUUGAUCUUCCUCCCCAGCGACGGCGCCAGAAAUCCUUCUGCUACGGUCCUAGACAACAGCGCCAGAAGUUGACACGUUGAUGGAGAUUGGGCUUGCGUUGGUUUGUCUUCUGAUCAUCUCUCCGUGUCGGCCCUUCCUCCGAUGCUUGCCCCCACGCACCGUAGCUCCGCCGCCAGCCCUGCCUCCGCCUCCUCCUUCGUUACUCGCGCCCGCCCACCGCAGCUUCGCCGUCGGCCCCGCCUCCGCCUCCGCCUCCGCUGGUCGCCCCCGCCCACUUCAGCACCGCCGCCGCCCCUACGACGCUCAUUUUAGGAAUUUUGUAUAGGAAUUUUAGAUAUUUUAGAAUGUAGAUUAACUCAUUUUGAUCGGUAUGUAGUUUAUAGUGUAAUCUCUAGAAGGUCUUAUAUUUAGGAAAGGAGGGAGUAAUGUUGGUGUGACUUACUAGGCUACUUCUUAUUAGGCCCCUCCCGUAUUUGUGCUAAUGUUUAUAUGAAAAUACUAGGUUACUUCUUAUUAGGCAUUAAGUUCUGGACGUCGACGACUGACUACUAUAUAUGAUUCAGUUUUUCCAUUAAAUACUAAAAUGUUAAUCUUAGAAUCUAUAAGCAUCAAGAAAAAAAAUUGCCGUCGAUUUUUAAUCUUAGAAUGAUGAACAUAGGAAAUGACGUGGUCCGACGACGAUAGGAUCCCUAAGUGCCAGUUGUGCCGGGAUGACACGAGUAUAUGCGACCGUUAUCCUCACCUAGACAACGGUACGUCCUUCACCAUCAAGCUACAUGAUGACUUUGAGAUUAUUAUGGUAUGUAAAGACGACAUGUAAUUUUUGUUAAUAAAGUAUGACGUAUGAUUUUUUUUGCUUUAAUUAACUUUUAAUUUUCUUUUGUACAAUUCGACUACACUAGUAGAAAAUAGGGCUUUGGUCGAGGCGAUCAAAGAGCUUUAAUCCCGGUUCUGUUACGAACAGGGACCAAUGUGUUCAUCAGUCCCGGUUCGUGAGGCUAAGGCACCGGCCGGGCCAGGGUCCCAGUUCGUCUGACCACUUUGGUCCCAGUUCCAGACAAGAACCGGGACCAAUGGUCCUCGCUCUUGGAGAAGAACCUUUAGUCCCGGUUGGUGGAUGGAACUGGGACUAAAGGUCAGUUUUCUGUCCCGGUUUUGACCACCAACCGGGACCAAAGAGAUUCCUAUAUAUACACGCACCUACCCAUCCUCUCCUCUGUUUUUUGCCGUGUGGGAGGUGUGCAUGCAGUGCUCGGUUCAUCGUUCCACGCAUGCACAUGAGGUGUUCGAUGAAAUGCCCGAGCCACACUUAAGCUUUCUCCUCUUGAAGCUCGACCUCCAAGCUCCAUUUUCCUCAAGAUUUGUUUUGGUUUGGCGGUGCACCAACUACACAUGUGUUCUAAAAGGUUAGCUACUUCAUCCUUUCAUCUCCCACUCCUAGUUUAGCUCAUUUCAAAUGCUCUAGAAGUAGAGAGGUUUCUGGGUUUUAGUGUAGCAGUGUAUGUGGGAGUUCUUUUUAUGUAGAUGCACAAUUUUGCUCCAAUUAACUUCUUAGAGUUUGCACAUGUGUAGCGUGUCGUCCCAUCCCCGUCCUCACCGUCGUUGAUCGUCCACGCCGAUCUCGUCACGGCACCACCAUGGUGAGCCUCUUGUUCUUAUUUUCUUUCUAAAAGAAAAAAAUAAUUCUUACUUGUAUGAUUUAGAUAGAUACUUGUAUAAAUUUCUUACUUUUAUUAUUAUUUGUUGAAGGUGAGCUCUACUCAUUGGCCAGGGGAGCAUCUUCGACUGUAUUGACUUACAAAGGGUACGAGAUAAAUGAGAAUACAUUUUAUACGAUUGCCCAAGAUCAAAAGAGCACCAACCAAAAUAGUGUUGUCCGCUUUGAUGCAGCAACCAAGGGGGGAAAUGACACGUAUUAUGGUUACAUAGUGGACAUAUGGGAACUUAGACUAUGGACAUGAUAUUGAGGUCCCUUUAUUUCGAUGCAAAUGGGUCAAUCUAUUAGGAGGUGGGGUACAGGUAGACCCACAGUAUGGAAUGACAAAAGUGGAUCUGAACAAUCUUGGGUACACAAACAAACCAUUCGUCCUAGCCAAUGAUGUGACGUAUGUUUUCUAUGUGUAGGACAUGUCUACCAAACUGAGAAAAAGAAAAGAUAAAGAAGCGAAUACAUCAUACGAUGAGCCAAAGCGCCACAUAGUUCUUUCAGAGAAAAGAGACAUCGUGGGAGUGGAGGGCAAGAUAGACCCUUUCAGUGUGUUAUGUGGGUGAAAUGAUGAUACAUUUUUGUCGUAACCCUUUCAAUUUUUUAGCACAUGCUAUGUGGGUGAAAUGAUAAUACCAUGACAACUCUCAACCUUUUCAGUGUGUUCAUUUGUAGUGCUUUUCAGUUUCAGGGUCAUUUAGCUAAAAACAAUCAGUAAAUGCAUGAAAAAUACCAAAUGAAGUGAGAAACGGUUGAAAAUUGAUGGUGUGGCUUUUGAAUGGUUCAUGUUGAAUGCACAAAAAGUCUGGAGUUCAAAUAAGUUCAAAAAAAUGAAAUACCUUUGUAACAGAUGAGUUUUCGUCUGAAACCGUGAUACUUCGAAAGAGAUUGUCGAUUUUGCACACGAAGUGCAUCCAGUUUCUGUCGUAACCCUCUCAACUUUUUAGCAUAUGCUAUGUGGGUGAAAUGAUGAUACCAUGCCAACUUUCAACCUUUUCAAGUUUAUUUGUAGUGUUUUUCAAUAUCAAGGUCAUUUAGCUCAAAGAAUAACUAACAGAAAAAAGAAUGAACUAACAAGAAUCAAAAUAAUAUUAACUAAAAUCAUCAAAGUAUUGAUUUGUUAAAAAUAAUGAACUAAAAAGAAUUAAAAGAUAUUAACUAAAAUUAUCAAAGUAUUUAGUUGUUAAAAAGAAUGAACUGCAAAGAAUCAACUAAAAGAAUGAACUAAAAAGAAUCAAGUAAAACAUUAACCGAAAGGAAUGAACUAAAAAGAAUAAAAAAAAUGAACUAAAAAGAACUUUCAUAAAUUUUCUUAGUUAAAAUCUUUAAUAGCAAACUAAAAUAACAGAAAAAAUCUUUAAUAGCAAAGAAUUCAAAUUUGAAAACUACUGGCACUAAUAGAAAUUUUAUAACAGAAAGUUUAUAAUUUUUGUUACCUAAAGCAAAAAGAAUCAUUCAAAANNNNNNNNNNNNNNNNNNNNNNNNNNNNNNNNNNNNNNNNNNNNNNNNNNNNNNNNNNNNNNNNNNNNNNNNNNNNNNNNNNNNNNNNNNNNNNNNNNNNCUAAUGGCGCACCAGCACGUGGUGCGCCAUUAGUAACCUGGUUAGUAAUGGCGCAUCUGUUAGUAGUGCGCCACUACUAUAAAAAAAAUUGGUUUUUUUUUGCAAACUACUAAUGGCGCACCAAAGCUAGUGCGCCAUUAGUAACCAGUGUUACUAAUGGCGCAUCUGUUGGUGGUGCGCCACUACUAAGUUCUUUUUACAGAACUACUAAUGGCGCACAAGAGGAGGUGCGCCAUUAGUAACCUGGUUAGUAAUGGCGCAUCUGUUAGUAGUGCGCCACUACUAUAAAAAAAAUUGGUUUUUUUUUGCAAACUACUAAUGGCGCACCAAAGCUAGUGCGCCAUUAGUAACCAGUGUUACUAAUGGCGCAUCUGUUGGUGGUGCGCCACUACUAAGUUCUUUUUACAGAACUACUAAUGGCGCACAAGAGGAGGUGCGCCAUUAGUAGUUCUGUAAAAAAAAUAGUAAUGGCGCACCACCUACGAAUGCGCCAUUAGUGACCCUGGUUACUAAUGGCGCACCUCCUCUUGUGCGCCAUUAGUAGUUCUGUAAAAAGAACUUAGUAGUGGCGCACCACCAACAGAUGCGCCAUUAGUAACACUGGUUACUAAUGGCGCACUAGCUUUGGUGCGCCAUUAGUAGUUUGCAAAAAAAAACCAAUUUUUUUUAUAGUAGUGGCGCACUACUAACAGAUGCGCCAUUACUAACCAGGUUACUAAUGGCGCACCACGUGCUGGUGCGCCAUUAGUAGUUUUGCAAAAAAAAAUAUAUAUAUAUAGUAGUGGCGCACCGAGACUGUGGUGCGCCAUUAGUAUCCACCACACUAAUGGCACACCUCACAUGGUGCACCAUUACUAUAUAGUAGUGGCGCACUGCUUGUGUGGUGCGCCAUUAGUAUCUAUAUCAUCUAUAUCCCUUUUCCUAGUAGUGGAGGGGCCAAGUCUGCGCUCUAUCUACCCCUCCUCCUAUAUAUAGAGAGGGAGAUAGAGGGCAGUACCACCCCAAGGCAUUUCUCCUCCGAAAAGCAUCUGCGGCAACGCUUGGCGAAGCCCUCUUGAGAUCGCACCACCACUGCCGCCACCAUGCCGUUGUGCUACCCGAGAACUCAUCUACAAGUUCAGCCAUGCUUGCUGAAUCGAGAUCAUGAAGACGUCAUCGUGUUGUACGUGUGCUGAACGCAGAGGUGCCGUCUGUUCGGCACUUGAUCGGAACGAUCGUGACUUGAUCGCGAAGACGUUCGACUACAUCAAGCACNNNNNNNNNNNNNNNNNNNNNNNNNNNNNNNNNNNNNNNNNNNNNNNNNNNNNNNNNNNNNNNNNNNNNNNNNNNNNNNNNNNNNNNNNNNNNNNNNNNNUUUUGAAUGAUUCUUUUUGCUUUAGGUAACAAAAAUUAUAAACUUUCUGUUAUAAAAUUUCUAUUAGUGCCAGUAGUUUUCAAAUUUGAAUUCUUUGCUAUUAAAGAUUUUUUCGGUUAUUUUAGUUUGCUAUUAAAGAUUUUAACUAAGAAAAUUUAUGAAAGUUCUUUUUAGUUCAUUUUUUUUAUUCUUUUUAGUUCAUUCCUUUCGGUUAAUGUUUUACUUGAUUCUUUUUAGUUCAUUCUUUUAGUUGAUUCUUUGCAGUUCAUUCUUUUUAACAACUAAAUACUUUGAUAAUUUUAGUUAAUAUCUUUUAAUUCUUUUUAGUUCAUUAUUUUUAACAAAUCAAUACUUUGAUGAUUUUAGUUAAUAUUAUUUUGAUUCUUGUUAGUUCAUUCUUUUUUCUGUUAGUUAUUCUUUGAGCUAAAUGACCUUGAUAUUGAAAAACACUACAAAUAAACUUGAAAAGGUUGAAAGUUGGCAUGGUAUCAUCAUUUCACCCACAUAGCAUAUGCUAAAAAGUUGAGAGGGUUACGACAGAAACUGGAUGCACUUCGUGUGCAAAAUCGACAAUCUCUUUCGAAGUAUCACGGUUUCAGACGAAAACUCAUCUGUUACAAAGGUAUUUCAUUUUUUUGAACUUAUUUGAACUCCAGACUUUUUGUGCAUUCAACAUGAACCAUUCAAAAGCCACACCAUCAAUUUUCAACCGUUUCUCACUUCAUUUGGUAUUUUUCAUGCAUUUACUGAUUGUUUUUAGCUAAAUGACCCUGAAACUGAAAAGCACUACAAAUGAACACACUGAAAAGGUUGAGAGUUGUCAUGGUAUUAUCAUUUCACCCACAUAGCAUGUGCUAAAAAAUUGAAAGGGUUACGACAAAAAUGUAUCAUCAUUUCACCCACAUAACACACUGAAAGGGUCUAUCUUGCCCUCCACUCCCACGAUGUCUCUUUUCUCUGAAAGAACUAUGUGGCGCUUUGGCUCAUCGUAUGAUGUAUUCGCUUCUUUAUCUUUUCUUUUUCUCAGUUUGGUAGACAUGUCCUACACAUAGAAAACAUACGUCACAUCAUUGGCUAGGACGAAUGGUUUGUUUGUGUACCCAAGAUUGUUCAGAUCCACUUUUGUCAUUCCAUACUGUGGGUCUACCUGUACCCCACCUCCUAAUAGAUUGACCCAUUUGCAUCGAAAUAAAGGGACCUCAAUAUCAUGUCCAUAGUCUAAGUUCCCAUAUGUCCACUAUGUAACCAUAAUACGUGUCAUUUCCCCCCUUGGUUGCUGCAUCAAAGCGGACAACACUAUUUUGGUUGGUGCUCUUUUGAUCUUGGGCAAUCGUAUAAAAUGUAUUCUCAUUUAUCUCGUACCCUUUGUAAGUCAAUACAGUCGAAGAUGCUCCCCUGGCCAAUGAGUAGAGCUCACCUUCAACAAAUAAUAAUAAAAGUAAGAAAUUUAUACAAGUAUCUAUCUAAAUCAUACAAGUAAGAAGGGGGGGGGGGAAAGAAAAUAAGAACAAGAGGCUCACCAUGGUGGUGCCGUGACGAGAUCGGCGUGGACGAUCAACGACGGUGAGGACGGGGAUGGGACGACACGCUACACAUGUGCAAACUCUAAGAAGUUAAUUGGAGCAAAAUUGUGCAUCUACAUAAAAAGAACUCCCACAUACACUGCUACACUAAAACCCAGAAACCUCUCUACUUCUAGAGCAUUUGAAAUGAGCUAAACUAGGAGUGGGAGAUGAAAGGAUGAAGUAGCUAACCUUUUAGAACACAUGUGUAGUUGGUGCACCGCCAAACCAAAACAAAUCUUGAGGAAAAUGGAGCUUGGAGGUCGAGCUUCAAGAGGAGAAAGCUUAAGUGUGGCUCGGGCAUUUCAUCGAACACCUCAUGUGCAUGCGUGGAACGAUGAACCGAGCACUGCAUGCACACCUCCCACACGGCAAAAAACAGAGGAGAGGAUGGGUAGGUGCGUGUAUAUAUAGGAAUCUCUUUGGUCCCGGUUGGUGGUCAAAACCGGGACAGAAAACUGACCUUUAGUCCCAGUUCCAUCCACCAACCGGGACUAAAGGUUCUUCUCCAAGAGCGAGGACCAUUGGUCCCGGUUCUUGUCUGGAACUGGGACCAAAGUGGUCAGACGAACUGGGACCCUGGCCCGGCCGGUGCCUUAGCCUCACGAACCGGGACUGAUGAACACAUUGGUCCCUGUUCGUAACAGAACCGGGAUUAAAGCUCUUUGAUCGCCUCGACCAAAGCCCUAUUUUCUACUAGUGUAGUCGAAUUGUACAAAAGAAAAUUAAAAGUUAAUUAAAGCAAAAAAAAUCAUACGUCAUACUUUAUUAACAAAAAUUACAUGUCGUCUUUACAUACCAUAAUAAUCUCAAAGUCAUCAUGUAGCUUGAUGGUGAAGGACGUACCGUUGUCUAGGUGAGGAUAACGGUCGCAUAUACUCGUGUCAUCCCGGCACAACUGGCACUUAGGGAUCCUAUCGUCGUCGGACCACGUCAUUUCCUAUGUUCAUCAUUCUAAGAUUAAAAAUCGACGGCAAUUUUUUUUCUUGAUGCUUAUAGAUUCUAAGAUUAACAUUUUAGUAUUUAAUGGAAAAACUGAAUCAUAUAUAGUAGUCAGUCGUCGACGUCCAGAACUUAAUGCCUAAUAAGAAGUAACCUAGUAUUUUCAUAUAAACAUUAGCACAAAUACGGGAGGGGCCUAAUAAGAAGUAGCCUAGUAAGUCACACCAACAUUACUCCCUCCUUUCCUAAAUAUAAGACCUUCUAGAGAUUACACUAUAAACUACAUACCGAUCAAAAUGAGUUAAUCUACAUUCUAAAAUAUCUAAAAUUCCUAUACAAAAUUCCUAAAAUGAGCGUCGUAGGGGCGGCGGCGGUGCUGAAGUGGGCGGGGGCGACCAGCGGAGGCGGAGGCGGAGGCGGGGCCGACGGCGAAGCUGCGGUGGGCGGGCGCGAGUAACGAAGGAGGAGGCGGAGGCAGGGCUGGCGGCGGAGCUACGGUGCGUGGGGGCAAGCAUCGGAGGAAGGGCCGACACGGAGAGAUGAUCAGAAGACAAACCAACGCAAGCCCAAUCUCCAUCAACGUGUCAACUUCUGGCGCUGUUGUCUAGGACCGUAGCAGAAGGAUUUCUGGCGCCGUCGCUGGGGAGGAAGAUCAAGUCAAGAACUCAUCCAAGUAGGUGUCGCAAACUCACCUCUUGCAUUUACUUUGUUUGCCAGUUGCCUCUCGUUUUCCUCUCCCCACUUCACCUAUUUGCCUUUUUCGUUUGCCUUUUUUUCGUUUGCCUUUUUCGGUCGCCCUUUUCUCUCGCUUGCUUUCUGUUCGCUUAUGUGCCAUGUGCCUUAAAUAUGCUUGCAUCUUCGCUUGCUGAAAAUCUAGUGAUAUGGAUCCUCAUCCACUUGCUAAUGUCUUUAAGAGAUCCAAUUAUGUUGAUCCAAUUGCUAGUGAGUUGAGUGCACUUGACUAUCUUUAUGGAGUUUUGCUUGAGAUGCGUGAAUCUGAAAAUUGUGAGGAAGAAAUUUAUGAAGUGAUUCAUGAGGGCUCCUUGGAUGAAAAGCAUGAUUGCAAUGGUUUCACUGUAAAUUUGGGGAUGCUAAGAACAUGCAAAACCAUAAGCUUGGGGAUGCUAGUUUUGUUAUGUCCACUACUUGUUGCAAUGAACAAGAGUGGGGCGAUGAUUUUUCUUAUGAUCUUAAAAAUUUGUUUAAGCCUCAUGAUGAAUAUGAUUUUGCAAUAAGAUUAAAAGUGGGUUUGGAGAAGUCAUGGCUUUAGUUGAUGAUAAUCCCACUAUUUUUGAAGAGCGUUAACUUUGCAUGCAUGUGGAUCAUGAAAAGAAUAUCAUAUGGGAUAGCUAUAUUGUUGAAUUUGAAUACGAUCCCACAUGUAAUUGCUAUGAGAAAGGAAAAUAUUGUGGCAGAAACUUUCAUGUUACCAAAUUACCUCUCGUUAUGUUGAGAUUGCUAUUGUCUCUUUCUUCUUCCUUGCAUUUGGUAACUAUUGGUUGCUUGACCAAUUUUUUUUCCUAUAAAAUGCCUAUGCAUAGGAAGUAUGUUAGACUUCGAUGUGAUUUUCACAUGCUUGAUGAUGCUCUCGUUGUGCUUCAACUCUCGUCUUUUGCGUGAGCAUCAUUGAAUUCGUUAUGCCUAGCUAAGGGCGUUAAACAAUAGCGCUUGUUGGGAGGCAACCCAAUAAAUUUAUUUCUUUUUCUUUCUAAUUUGUUGCGUCCACACUAUCAGAAUUCUGUUAUGAUUGUGUCUUUUGUGUUUCUUUUUGUGUUUGAGCCAAGCAAAACCUUUAUGACUAGUCUUGGUGAUGGUUGUUUGAUCCUGCUGGAAAAAGACAGAAACUUUUCGCUCACGAGAUGAUUUUUCAUUUUUAUUCAGAAAGAGAUUUUGACUUGAUUCUUUUUUCCGCUGGUUGAUAUACCUUUUUCCCAGGCAUUCACAAUUUUUCAGAAAUUUUUUGAGUUACCACAAGUAUAGGAAGUAUACAGAUUACUACAGACUGGUCUGUUUUUGACAGAUUCUGUUUUUGUUGAGUUGGUUGCCUGUUUUGAUGAAACUAUGGUUAGUAUCGGGGGGUACUAGCCAUGGAAAAGUGAGAAUACAGUAGCCCAACACCAAUAUAGAUAGAAUUCAAGUUUGCUACAGUACCAAAAGAAGUGGUAAUUUGUUUUCUUGUGCUAAUGUUAUCACGAGCUUCUGUUUAAGUUUUGUUUUGUGAAGUUUUCAAGUUUUGGGUGAUGUUCUCAUGGACAAAGAGAUAAGGAGUGGAAAUAGCUCAAGCUUGGGGAUGCCCAAGGCAUCCCAAGCCAAAUUCAAGGACACCAAAAAGCCUAAGCUUGGGGAUGCCCCGGGAAGGCAUCCCAUCUUUCGUCUUCAAUCCAUCGGUAACAUUACUUGGAGCUAUAUUUUUAUUCACCACGUGAUAUGUGUUUUGCUUGGAUCGUCUUGUAUCUUAGGAGUCUUUUCGUUUUGUUGUGUCACAAUCAUCCUUGCUCCACACCUUUUUGAUAGAGAGAGAGACAUGCACUCAUCGUGAUUUUUCUAGAAUGCUCAUAGUGCUUCACUUAUAUCUUUUGAGCUAGAUACUUUUGCUCUAGUGCUUCACUUAUAUCUUUUAGAGCACGGCGGUGCGUGAUUUGGUAGUUGACUUAUGCUAUGAAAGUAGUCCCAAAUGUGAUAAGUACCCAAAGAGGAUGCAAAAACCUCCAUUUUCAUGUGCAUUGAGUAGAAAGAGAAGUUUUGAUUCCUCCAAUUAGUUUUGAGACGUGGAUUUGGUAAUAUUAAGAGCUAUGUUAGUAGGGUGUUGUGAAUCUAGAAAUACUUGUGUUGAAGUUAGUGAUUCCUGUAGCAUGCACGUAUGGUGACCGCUAUGUUAGGAAAUCGGAGCAUAAUUGAUCUAUUGAUUGUCAUCCUUUGUGUUGAGGUCGGGAUCGCGCGAUGGUUAACACCUACCAACCCUUCCCCUCAGAGUAUGCGUUUAGCACUUUGUUUCGGUUACUUAUAAAAACUUUCGCAACAAGUAUGUGAGUUAUUCAUGACUAAUGUGAGUCCAUGGUAUAGAUGAACUUUCACCUUCCACCAUUACUAGUCUCUUUAGUGCCGCGCAAUUCUCGCCGGUGCACAAACCCACCAUAUGCCUUCCUCAAAACAGCCACCAUACCUACCCACUAUGGCAUUUUCAUAGCCAUUCCGAGAUAUAUUGCCAUGCAACUCCCACCGUUCCGUCUCAUGACUUCUGCCGUCACUCUCAUAUUUCCAUUGCAUGAUCGUAAGAUAGCUAGCGAGAUGUUUCAACGGCAUACGCCAUCUAGAUCGUUGCACAUCCCGGUACACUGCCGGACGCAUUUCCUAUAGGGUCGUCAUCAUUGAGCUAUGAGUAAAUUAAAGUGUGAUGAUCAUCAUUAUUAGAGAAUUGUCCCGUGUGAGGAAAUAAAAAAAGAGUCCAAAGAGCCCAAAAACAAAAAAAGGAGAAAAGAAAAAAAGGCCUAAGAGCCCAAAUGAAAAAAAGAGAAACCCCCCCCCCCCCCAGAGAAGGGAUAAUGCUACUAUCCUUUUCCACACUUGUGCUUCAUAAUAGCACCAUAUUCUUCAUGAUUGAGAGCUUCUUGCUUUGUCACUACCAUAUGCUAGUGGGAAUUUUCAUUAUAUAACUUGGUUUGUAUAUUCCAAUGAUGGGCUUCCUCAAAAUUGCCCUAUGUCUUCGUGAGCAAGCAAGUUGGAUGCACACCCACUAGUUCUCCUUUUGAGCUUUCACAUACUUAUAGCUCUAGUGCAUCUCUUGUAUGGCAAUCCCUACUCAUUCACAUUGAUAUCUAUUAAUGGGCAUCGCCAUAACCCUUUGAUACGCCGAGUCAAUGUGACUAUCUCCUCCCUUUUUGUCUCACAACCACCACCACACUCUAUUCCACCUAUAGUGCUAUAUCCAUGGCUCACGCUCAUGUGUUGCGUGACUGUUAUAAAAAGUUUGAGAAAGUAAGAGUGCGAAAACAAUUACUUGGCCAAUACCGGGGUUGUGCAUGAUUUACAUUAGUUGUGUGAGGAUGAUGGAGCAUAGCGAGUGAUGGGGUUAUAGUCCCAGGGUAGGGUCAUAGGUCUGCCCUAUAGGUCCUACCCAAGGACUACCCUUCAUAGGGGAGAAGGCCCUUAGACAGUUCCAACUGAACUAAGGACGCCCCCAUCAUCCAGUCGGCGACGAUCCACUCGGAGCAUAUCUAACGUACCGACUGGAAUCCACUCUGUACAUCCACUACAGGAAUCACCUUCUUUGGCAUCUGCCAUCACGGACGGCAAAGACAAAUACCCGGACGGCAAAGAACAUACCACAGACGGCAAAGAUUGUCACGGCUGGCAAAUUUUCUGCGUCAGCCUACGAUGGCAUAGGACAUUCUUUGCCGUCUGCCCCCCCCCCCAAAGCGGACGGCAAAGCUCUUUGCCGUCAGCUUCCUUGAGGAGCAGUCGGCAAAGAGCUUGAGACGGCAGCCGAGAGGCGUUGCCUCCGUUAGGGGUUAACGGAGGCUCUUUGCCGUCUGCCUGCUGGUCAAUCUUUGCCGUCUGCCGUGUCCUCCCCUCCCCCUCUCUCCACUCCUGCCCCUCCUCUGUGCCCUCUUCUUUGCCGUCUGCCCCCCCAGCAGGCAGACGGCAAAGAGCCUAUAUGGCCAGCUGCUACUGCCCAGGAAGCACAGCUGGUUGCCAUGUGGCACCUUUGCCGUCUGCUGGCUGAUGGCAAAGGCCUUUGCCAUCAGCCAGCAGACGGCAAAGAGCCCAUAUUGUCACUGUUUUUUUCAUUUUAUGUUAUUUCACAGCAAUAAUAUAUAUAAUUCAUAGCACAUAUAUGAUAUAUAGUUCACAACACAUAUAUGAUAUACAUAUAAAGUUAACCAAUGUCAUUUGUUCAUCAAUGGACAUCCAUAUAUCAAAAGAAACCAACAUAUACAAAGUUUCAUCCAUAUAUAUAUACAUAUAGUUCCACAUAUAUUGUUCAUCAACACAUUGNNNNNNNNNNNNNNNNNNNNNNNNNNNNNNNNNNNNNNNNNNNNNNNNNNNNNNNNNNNNNNNNNNNNNNNNNNNNNNNNNNNNNNNNNNNNNNNNNNNNGCUCCCAGCCUGGCCCUCGGCUCCUGGCGCAACAGGGCCGUGCUGAGGAACGACGAUGGCGCCGGCUCCUGGUGCCGGCUUGACAGCUAGCUCGGGCGCCAUCCCGGCCGGCGCUACCUCCUCCGCAGGAGGCGGAUGGGCCGCGUCCGGCGCAUCCACGGUCGCCCCUGGGAAGUUAGGGGCCAUGUCCGGCGCACCUAAGUCCAGCUCCGGUGCAUCGGGUGCCGCCUCGGCCCUAGGAGAGUCAGGGAUCGUUUCCAGGUCCACCUCCGCCGAGGCUUCCGGCUCUGAUGGCUGGGCCCCCUCGGCCCUUGGGGCUGGCCUGGAGGCGGCCUCGCUAGCUGGCUCCUCCGCACGAGCAUGUGCGGAGGGGUCAUGUCUAGCCUUCACACGCUUCUCCACCGGCCUCUCGACCCGGCUGGGGCGAGGCUGACCCACGGUGGCCUUCCCCGCAGCCGUGUCCCACCGGCGCUUGGACUCCGUCUCAAGCUCCCUCUGGGCAGCAUCAGCUCCUGCCCAGCCAGCCCGCUCGGCUGCGGAGGCGGUGUCUUCAUCCGCAUACUCCGCCUCCCUGUCAAGCAAAACUCCUAAGGAACAAAGCUCAUCACAAGAUGGAUAAAGGAAAAGAGGAGGAAAUCUUACCCCGCUACCANNNNNNNNNNNNNNNNNNNNNNNNNNNNNNNNNNNNNNNNNNNNNNNNNNNNNNNNNNNNNNNNNNNNNNNNNNNNNNNNNNNNNNNNNNNNNNNNNNNNAGGUUAGUUAGGUUAGUUGUUAGUGGUUACGUACUGGUAAUUAGGUUAGUUAGGUUACUUGUUAGUUGUUAGUGGUAAUUAGGUUAGUUGUUAGUGGUAUUACCCCUCGAGCUAGGUUAGUUGUUAGGUUAGUUGUUAAUUACCUACUGUGUGUUAGGUUAGUUGUUAGGUUUGUAGUUGACCGUGUAGAGCCCUCCGGUCGCCGCCUAUGCUUGCACUAGCCACAACGUUGAGGAUAUUACAACAGCUCGCAAUAGUAGUUGUCGCACCGACACGACAUCUCGACGACACCCCUGACACCCGUCACGAUGCCCCGAAACCCCGACACGACGCCCCGACACGACAUCUCNCCGACACGAUGCCCCGAAACCCCGACACGACGCCCCGACACGACAUCUCGACGACACCCCGGCAUGAAAUAUUUUUUUAUGGAACCUAGAAAGUUUUAUAAAGUAGUAUAGGUAACCUGGAAAGUUUUAUAGGUAACAUAGAAAGUUUUAUAGGUAACCUAGAAAGUUUUNNNNNNNNNNNNNNNNNNNNNNNNNNNNNNNNNNNNNNNNNNNNNNNNNNNNNNNNNNNNNNNNNNNNNNNNNNNNNNNNNNNNNNNNNNNNNNNNNNNNCAUAGUUUGAGGAGUUCAUGUGUUCACCAAGUGCUAAUGCGUUGGUCCGGUUCUUUAUGAAAAGGAGAACCUUAAUAUCCCACAGUUUCCUUUUGGACCCCGCUGCCAUGGGAGGGAUGGACAAUAGAUGUCAUGCAAGUUCUUUUCCCUAAGAAGGUAUGACGACACACGGAAUGCAUGCCUACAUCACAUUGACGAACGGGAGCUAGCCACAUAUCUCUCCGUGUUAUAGCUGUUGCAUGAUGAAUAUCAUCCAAACAAAUCACCGACCCAUUGCCUACGAGUUUGUCCUACUGCUGCUGCUACUACUAUUGCUACUACUGAUGUUACUUGUCUUGCUCUGCUGCUGCUGCUACUACUGUUGCUACUACUGUUACUUGUCUUGCUCUGCUGCUAUUGUUGCUACUACUGUCGCUUGCUACUCUUGCUACUUGCUACUGCUGUCACUACUGCUGUUCCUUGCCACUACUAUUACUCGUUACACUGCUGCUACCUGCUACACUGUUGGUUCACCGGCCGUUGACGGGAACUGACAACUUCCGUCAACGCGGCAACGGAGGCGCCAUUGAUACGAUCGUUAGGAAUAGUCUGCCGUCAACAGAUCAUUUCUGACACCGUUGUUAUCAUACUACUUUGUUGUUACUACUAUGCUUGCAAAUACUAAUCUUUCAGGUGUGGUUGAAUCCGACAAAUUCAGCUGCUAAUACUCGAGAGUAUUCUCUCACCUCCCGACUGGCUUAUGAACAAAUUGGGUCGAAUACUCUACCCUCGAAAACUACUGCGAACCCACUUGCUGGUGGGCCGUCAACAACAUUCUUCUAGUUUCAUUACUGGGGAGUGCUAUCAGCAUUCUUCUGGUGCUGUUGCAGGAGAAGGUUCGUUGUCAUAAGCAUUCGUCUAGCUAACGCCAGAGAUUGCAGAUCAGUUCUCCACUCAUCAAGCGAGCUAAUAUCAAAUAACCUCUUCUCACCGGCAAGUUUGGAAUCAAAGUUGAGCUCGUUGAUUGCCCAAUAAGCUUUAUGCUCUAUCUCAAGAGGUAAAUGACAUGCUUUACCGUACACCAUUUUCUACGCAGACAUGCCCAUGGGAUUCUUAUGGGCAGUUCUAUAAACCCAAAGUGCAUCAUCGAGCUUCUUAGACAAAUUCUUUCCAGACCUGUUGACAGUCUUUUGCAGAAUCAGUUUAAUCUCUCUAUUACUUAGCUCUACUUGACCACUGCACUGAGGGUGAUAGGGAGACGCAAUUCUAUGGUUGACAUCGUACUUAGCAAGCGUUUUACGGAAAGCGCCAUGAAUGAAGUGUGAACCACCGUCAGUCAUUAGAUAUCUAGGGACUCCAAAUCUAGGGAAGAUAACUUCUUUCAGCAUCCUGAUAGAGGUGUUGUGAUCAGCACUACUAGUGGGGAUAGCUUCUACCUACUUAGUGACGUAAUCAACAGCAACUAGGAUAUGAGUAUACCCGUUGGAUUUGUGAAAAGGUCCCAUAUAAUCAAAGUCCCAAACAUCAAAUGGUUCAAUGACAAGUGAAUAGUUCAUAGGCAUUUCCUGAUGUUUGCUAAUAUUACCUAUUCUUUGACAUUCGUCACAAGACAAGACAAACUUACGGGCAUCCUUGAAGAGAGUGGGGCCAAUAGAAACUUGAUUGCAAUACCUUGUGUGCAGUUCUAUCUCCCGCAUGGUGUCCUCCGUAGGCCUCGGAGUGACACUUCUGUAGGAUUUGUCCCUGUUCAUGUUCAGGUACACAACGUCUAAUAACACCAUCUACUCCUUCCUUACAAAGGUGAGGAUCAUCCCAAAACUAGUGUCUCAAGUCAAAGAAGAAUUUCUUCUUUUGCUGGUAUGUGCAACUAGGUGGUAUAUAUUUGGCAACGAUAUAGUUUGCAUAAUCAGGAUACCACGGUGCACUACGUGAAGCAUUGAUGACUUUCAGUUUCUCAUCGGGAAAGUUAUCAUCAAUAGGUUGUGGGUCAUCAAGAACGUUCUCCAACCUAGACAAAUUAUCUGCUACGGGGUUAUCAGCACCCUUCCUGUCGACAACGUGCAAAUCAAAUUCUUGUAGCAAGAGAACCCAUCUGGUAAGUCUAGGUUUAGUGUCCUUCUUCUCCGUGAGGUACUUAAUAGCAGCGUGAUCAGUGUGAAUAGUGACUUUGGAAUCAACUAUGUAAGACCUGAACUUUUAACCUCAAACACGACUUCUAAAAAUUCCUUCUUCGUAGUAGCAUAGUUUCUGUGGGCACUUGAUACAUCUCCAACGUAUCUAUAAUUUUUUAUGGUUCCAUGCAAUUAUCUUGUCAAACUUUGGAUGUUUUAUAUGCAUGAAUAUGCUAUUUUAUAUCUUUUGGGGGAUUAACCUAUUAACUCAGUGCCAAGUGCCAGUUUCUAUUUUUCCCGUGUUUUUGACCCUUUUUCAGAUAGAGUCCAAAUGGAAUGAAACUUUACGAUGAUUUUUUUGGGACCAAAAGAGACCCCCGAAGCUUUGGAAGAAGGCCAGAAGAGCCACGAGGGAGUCACAAGCCCAUGGGGCGCGGCCUACCCCCCUGGUCGCACCGUGCGGGCUUGUGACCUCCUCGUGGGCCCAACUAACGCAAUUCCACCGCCAUAAAUUCCUAUAAAUUCGGAAACCUCCAAAAAUAAACCUAGAUCGGGAGUUCCGCCGCCGCAAUCCUCUGUAGCCACCAAAAACCAAUCGGGAGCCCGUUCCAACACCUUGUCGGAGGGGAAUCCAUCUCCGGUGGACAUCUUCAUCAUCCCGACGAUCUCCAUGACGAGGAGGGAGUAGUUCUCCCUCGGGGGUGAGGGUAUGUACCAGUAGCUAUGUGUUUGAUCUCUCUCUCUCUCUCUCGUGUUCUUGAGAUAUCUUGAUCUCGAUGUACCGUGGGCUUUGCUACUAUAGUUGGAUCUUAUGAUGUUCUUCCCCCUCUCCCUUCUUGUAAUGAAUUGAGUUUCCCCUUUGAAGUUAUCUUAUCGGAUUGAGUCUUUGAGAACACUCGAUGUAUGUCUUGCACGUGUCUAUCUGUUGUGAUCAACUUGCGGGUUUGUGACAAUUGGGAACCUAUGCAUAUGGNNNNNNNNNNACUUUUGCUCUUGUGCUCCACUUAUAUCUUGUGAUCAACUUGCGGGUUUGUGACAAUUGGGAACCUAUGCAUAUGGGUUGGCACACGUGGAUUCAUGUGAGUACUCGAUGUAUGUUUUGGUGAUCAACUUGCGGGUUCGUGACAUUGGGAACCUAUGCAUAGGGGUUGGCACACGUUUAGACUCUCNNNNNNNNNNNNNNNNNNNNNNNNNNNNNNNNNNNNNNNNNNNNNNNNNNNNNNNNNNNNNNNNNNNNNNNNNNNNNNNNNNNNNNNNNNNNNNNNNNNNUUUUGUGAACUUCACUUUUGUCCACGACUCUGCUUUCCGACCAGAGCAUAAUUUUCUUCUCUAUGAUCUGUGUAUGUACGAGCAUAGGUUGUGGAGCAUAUAUGCAUAUGUAAAUUCUAGCACCGCCUACACAUAUACAACACCUGUGUCAUAUUUAUAAUAUAUACAACAAGCGGACCAUUGUCUUGCUGUUAAUUAUCGGAAAAGUUNNNNNNNNNNCAAUGGCCUAUGUCGUAUGAAGGUCUUCUGUGAACUUCACUUUUGUCCAUGACUCUGCUUUCCGACUAGAGCAUAAUUUGCAUCUCUAUGAUCUGUGUUUGUACGAGCAUAGGUUGUGGAGCAUAUAUGCAUAUGUAAAUUCUAGCACGGCCUACACAUAUACAACACCUGUGCCAUAUUUAUAAUAUACAACAAGCGGACCAUUGUCUUGCUGUUAAUUAUCGGAAAAGUUUAUUUUAUUUAGCACUGCAAUGGAUGUCUCGCAGCUAGUGGGUGGAAGAUUCCUGUAUUUGACAUUAAGACCCACUGAUUGACAAUUGCAAUUUUCAGUUUCUUUACUUAUAUCAAUAA